rnacentral:lncRNA from 1 species
AAAAAUUCAAGAAGAUAUUGGGAAGAAGAUAGGUCUAUCUGAUGAUUCAUGGAAGAAUAAAAGUUUUGACGAGAAAGCUGUGGACAUCCAGCGGAGAUUAGGAGAGAAGAGAUUUGUAUUGUUGUUAGAUGAUUUAUGGGAGCGGGUUGAUUUAACAGAAGUGGGCGUUCCACUUCCCAGCGCACAAAAUACUACCUCAAAAGUCGUAUUCACAACCCGUUCCAUUGGUGUUUGUGGUAGCAUGAGAGCUAGGCCGGUUAAAGUGGCAUGCCUAUCAGAAAAGCAAGCUUGGGAACUGUUCCGCGAAAAUGUUGGGGAAGAAACUCUUGAGAGUGAUCAUGAGAUCGUUGAGCUAGCCCAAACUGUGGCCAAAGAGUGUGGUGGUUUGCCACUCGCACUUAUUACUAUUGGUCGAGCUAUGGCCUACAGAAAGAAAGCGGAGCAGUGGAGACGUGCAAUUGAAGAGUUAAGAAGAUCAACUUCAGAGUUUGCAGGUUUGGGAAAAGAGGUGUAUCCUCUUUUAAAGUUUAGCUAUGAUAGUUUGCAGAAUGAUACAAUUAGAUCUUGUUUCUUGUAUUGUUGUUUAUAUUCUGAAGAUUAUGGCAUUCUUAAAUGGGACUUGAUUGAUUGUUGGAUUGGUGAGGGAUUUUUGGGGGAAUCUGACAGGUUUGGUGCAGAAAACCAAGGAUAUGACAUUUUGGACACUCUUGUUCGUGCAUGUUUAUUGGAAGAGGUGGAAGAUGAUAAAGUAAAAAUGCAUGACGUUAUUCGUGAUAUGGCUCUAUGGAUAACUUGUGAAAUUGAGAAGGAGAAGAGAAACUUUUUGGUUUGUGCAGGUGCGGGACUAAAGGAGGCACCGGAUGUUAAAAGAUGGGAAAAUGUGAGAAGAUUGUCAUUGAUGCAAAACCAAAUUGAACUCUGUCAGAGGGUUCCUAAAUGCCCUCAUCUCNNNNNNNNNNNNNNNNNNNNNNNNNNNNNNNNNNNNNNNNNNNNNNNNNNNNNNNNNNNNNNNNNNNNNNNNNNNNNNNNNNNNNNNNNNNNNNNNNNNNUGACGUUUUGAUUUUUGCAAGUCUACCCAAGUUAUCAUGCUCUCCAAAUUCUUUUGAGCUCAAAUAGGUUAAAAAGUUGUAUUCGAUCUCUUUUCCUCCCGUUGGCCGGAGAUGCAACGUCGAUUAUUGAUGCUACGGCUUUCGCAGAUCUAAACCACCUCAAUGAAUUAGGGAUUGAUAGGGCUGAGGAGUUGGAAGAAUUGAAGAUUGAUUAUGCGGAGAUAGUACGAAAAAGGCGGGAACCUUUUGUUUUCCGCAGCCUUCACCUUGUUGCUAUAUAUGAAUGCCACAAAUUGAAAGAUUUGACAUUCCUCGUUUUUGCUCCAAGCCUUAAGUCUCUUUCGCUAUACGGUUGCAAUGCUAUGGAAGAAAUAAUCAGCGUUGGAAAAUUUGAUGAGACUCCUGAGGUGAUGGGACAUAUAAGCCCUUUUGGAAAUCUCCAAACGCUUGAUCUAUCAAGAUUGCCAAUUUUGAAGAGCAUCUACUGGAAGCCAUUGCCUUUCACUCAUCUCAAAGAAAUGGCGGUGACACAUGGGUGUAAUCAGCUUAGAAAGCUUCCACUCGAUUCCAACAGUGCAAAAGAGCGUAAAUUUGUUAUUCGUGGAAGAGAAGACUGGUGGAACCGACUUCAAUGGGAGGAUGAAGCCACUCAAAUUGCUUUUCGUUCCUGUUUCCAACCUCAUUCCUGGUGAGUGCGUUUGUCUUUUAAAAGAAGAAUUUAAAAGAAAUUUAUUCUUGUCAUUUUCUUCUCUGUAUUUAUUUCAGUUUCUUUCUCUCUCUCUCUCUCUCUCUCUGUCUUCUGCAAAUCACAGUUAAAUGUUGAAUUAAUCGAAUUAAUGCUUCAUAAAAUUUGCCGGCACUGCCAUUACUUUUUUAAUUUCCUGUCAAAAGACGAGCGAGAAGAACAUAUAUAUGACUUAAACCAAUUGAUACUUUAUUUAUGUGCAUCGUAUGUAAUAAAUAUUAAGUAUACUUUAUUUUGCCCUGUUCUCUGUUUUUAUUUCAGUCUCUCUCUCUCUCUCUCUAAAACAUUAGAGUCAAACUAAUGCUCACAUAAAUUUCCCGUAAGAAUAUAUAUAUUAUUAGACUGGAAUGCACACCUCUAGAUUGAACAGAAUUAAAGCUGAGGAAUAAAUGACGCGAAAAAAUAUAAACAUAUAUACAAAAUCAUAGAUUAUAAAUCUUUUUUUUUUUGGUUUUAAGAUCAACAAUACUACAUAUCAUAAAUGGUAUCUUUAAAUACUCUUCCCUCAUGAAGAGAUUAAUUGAAAUACAACAUUGAUUUUAUGAUAAAAAAAAAUUUCUUAUAUUUUUUAGACAAGUUUGAGAAGUACAUUUAAAACUUUAUUGCAAUGCACACCUCUAUAUUUUUCUGUAUAGUAGCCCUCUUUACAGAAAAAGACGCGAAAGUUAAUUUAGAAAGAUAUAUUCUUGAUUAAUCCAUUUUCUGAAGUUUUUUUAUUUUGUAUGGUCAAUUAUACCUUCAUACUAGAAAUUUCUGAAGUUAUAAAUUAGUGCAACUUGACAAUUUUUACUGAUGAUAUCUUCUAUUUUUCCUUUUUUUUUUUUAACUCUCAUAGAAUGUUACUGUCAUUUUACUUACAAAUAGGUUUGAAUUUGAGCCCAUGAAACGAUAAUGAGGAAUAAAUGAGACUGAGGAUCUGCAAUAUGAUCUGCAAUAGUAGUUAAAAUAUCAUUGAUGACUUUUCUGNNNNNNNNNNNNNNNNNNNNNNNNNNNNNNNNNNNNNNNNNNNNNNNNNNNNNNNNNNNNNNNNNNNNNNNNNNNNNNNNNNNNNNNNNNNNNNNNNNNNAGUAUGUUAAGUAAAACAUAAUCAAUUAUUUGUGUUUUAUCUCUAAUUAGAACAUCAAUCAGUUCAGUACCUCACAAAUAAUUCGUAAUAUCUACAAAAUACUAUAAUGGCUACAAAAUAAAUCCUGCUUGCAAAUUGUCAAGGAUACCUAUCCGUUCGCUUCACAAGUCAUUUGAAUAAAUAUUGUUCACAUUCCUUACUAAAACAAUAAAACUCUGGAGGACGAUUUGUUAGCCUCAGUUUUCUGUCAGGUUCAUAUCACAUAUAUUUCACUUAUAUACAAGCUAAGAAUACAUAUGAUAAACAUUAGCUUACAAGAUAACUACAAGGAUAAUUACAAGACUAACGAUAACUACAAGGAUAAUUACAAGACUAACGAUAAGAAUAUUUUAAGUUUUAUCUUUAUCGUUAUCACUUACUCUGUCAAUUAUCCAAUGGUCCUCAACUUUAGUUUGAACAGUAUACAUGCCAUCACCAUUACCAAGAAUCAAGCAUGGAAGAGUCAUUCUAUAGAGUUAAUCGAAGCAAGGAAUGAUGUAUCAGAAAAUAUUUGGUGGAGAAUUCAGCACAAACAUAUUUCGGAUGAUCAGAAUCAAUAAAACCUGGUGGUUGCGCCAUAUAAACAUCUUCGGAAAGCUGGCCUUGAAGAAAGGCGUUAUUGAUAUCCAAUUGAUGAAGAGGCCAGCCAUGACUAACAUCAAUACUUAGAACAAGCCGUACUGUGGUGGGCUUAACAACUGGACUGAAAGUGUCAUAAUAGUCCACACCACGCCGUUGAUUGAACCCUUUGACAACAAGACGAGCUUUAAACCUGUCAACAGAACAGUUAGAAUGUCUUUUAAUACAAAAAUCCAUUUGCAGCCAACAAUAUUGGAAGGGAUGGGAGGUGGAACAAGCUUCCAUGUCCCGUUACGAACAAGAGCAUCAUACUCUUCUAACAUAGCUUGACGGUAGUGAGGAUUUUUGAUAACUUGCGUCACAAUUGUAGGUUCACAAUCAGAAGAAAGGCUGAAAUGAGCACGGAGGUUAAGUUUUUGUAACGGCUUGUGAAUCUUAUAUUUAGCUCCGGUAGUCAUAUCAUGAUGAUUUGUGUGGAGGUAGAAGUAGGUUGGGAGGAUUGCUGCGGAGAUGUUACCGGUAGAGAAGAAGGAGCAGUACACGGUGGCAACUCCAGAGGGCCCACAAUAGAUGGAGUAGGUGCCGACGAUGGAGUACUAGGAAAUGAAACAGAAGAAUUGGUGGAACACUUGCGUAAUUAGGAGUGGUAGAUGAGCUUGUAAUGAUUUGUAUGGAAAAACAAACUCUACAAAUUUAACGUGACGUGAAAUAAAAAUUUGAAAGGUGGAUGGGUCAAAACAUAAAUAAGCACUUUGAGAUAAAGGAAUAUCCUAGAAAAACACAAGGCUUAGAGGGUGGUUCGAGUUUAUGUGAUGAAACACAAACAUUCAAAAAUUUUAAGUUUAUAUUAAGAGUAAUGAUACAGCCACAAACUCUUGUACAAACUUAUUUUGUACAAACUGAUGUGGCAUGAUAAGAUUAGUUGAAUUGAAUAUCACUUGGCCCACAUGAUUUGUUUUUAUUAAUUUAUAUUUUCAUUCAACCAAUGAAAUCAUGCCACGUCAGUUUGUACAAAAUAAGUUUGUACAAGAGUUUGUGGCUGUAUCAUUACUCUUAUUAAUUAGGAGUGGUCCGCGGGACAUGUAGCUAUGGGGUUGUUGGAUGUGUUUUGGAUAUUUACAGUUAAGUUUGAGUUUAUAUCUCAACUUAAAAUUUGUAGUUUUCACUUGAAAAAAUUCAGUUAAAAAUUGAUUGGUAGAGUUGUGAAAAAGUUUAAAUUUUUAGUUCAACCCGAUUGCAUAUUUAAGAACAUCUCAAAUGAAUUGCUUACUGCUAUCAUCAUCGUUAUUGUAAGAGAUGGUUAAUUGAUAGACUAUGUGCCUGGGUCGAGCACUGNNNNNNNNNNNNNNNNNNNNNNNNNNNNNNNNNNNNNNNNNNNNNNNNNNNNNNNNNNNNNNNNNNNNNNNNNNNNNNNNNNNNNNNNNNNNNNNNNNNNNNNNNNNNNNNNNNNNNNNNNNNNNNNNNNNNNNNNNNNNNNNNNNNNNNNNNNNNNNNNNNNNNNNNNNNNNNNNNNNNNNNNNNNNNNNNNNNNNNNNNNNNNNNNNNNNNNNNNNNNNNNNNNNNNNNNNNNNNNNNNNNNNNNNNNNNNNNNNNNNNNNNNNNNNNNNNNNNNNNNNNNNNNNNNNNNNNNNNNNNNNNNNNNNNNNNNNNNNNNNNNNNNNNNNNNNNNNNNNNNNNNNNNNNNNNNNNNNNNNNNNNNNNNNNNNNNNNNNNNNNNNNNNNNNNNNNNNNNNNNNNNNNNNNNNNNNNNNNNNNNNNNNNNNNNNNNNNNNNNNNNNNNNNNNNNNNNNNNNNNNNNNNNNNNNNNNNNNNNNNNNNNNNNNNNNNNNNNNNNNNNNNNNNNNNNNNNNNNNNNNNNNNNNNNNNNNNNNNNNNNNNNNNNNNNNNNNNNNNNNNNNNNNNNNNNNNNNNNNNNNNNNNNNNNNNNNNNNNNNNNNNNNNNNNNNNNNNNNNNNNNNNNNNNNNNNNNNNNNNNNNNNNNNNNNNNNNNNNNNNNNNNNNNNNNNNNNNNNNNNNNNNNNNNNNNNNNNNNNNNNNNNNNNNNNNNNNNNNNNNNNNNNNNNNNNNNNNNNNNNNNNNNNNNNNNNNNNNNNNNNNNNNNNNNNNNNNNNNNNNNNNNNNNNNNNNNNNNNNNNNNNNNNNNNNNNNNNNNNNNNNNNNNNNNNNNNNNNNNNNNNNNNNNNNNNNNNNNNNNNNNNNNNNNNNNNNNNNNNNNNNNNNNNNNNNNNNNNNNNNNNNNNNNNNNNNNNNNNNNNNNNNNNNNNNNNNNNNNNNNNNNNNNNNNNNNNNNNNNNNNNNNNNNNNNNNNNNNNNNNNNNNNNNNNNNNNNNNNNNNNNNNNNNNNNNNNNNNNNNNNNNNNNNNNNNNNNNNNNNNNNNNNNNNNNNNNNNNNNNNNNNNNNNNNNNNNNNNNNNNNNNNNNNNNNNNNNNNNNNNNNNNNNNNNNNNNNNNNNNNNNNNNNNNNNNNNNNNNNNNNNNNNNNNNNNNNNNNNNNNNNNNNNNNNNNNNNNNNNNNNNNNNNNNNNNNNNNNNNNNNNNNNNNNNNNNNNNNNNNNNNNNNNNNNNNNNNNNNNNNNNNNNNNNNNNNNNNNNNNNNNNNNNNNNNNNNNNNNNNNNNNNNNNNNNNNNNNNNNNNNNNNNNNNNNNNNNNNNNNNNNNNNNNNNNNNNNNNNNNNNNNNNNNNNNNNNNNNNNNNNNNNNNNNNNNNNNNNNNNNNNNNNNNNNNNNNNNNNNNNNNNNNNNNNNNNNNNNNNNNNNNNNNNNNNNNNNNNNNNNNNNNNNNNNNNNNNNNNNNNNNNNNNNNNNNNNNNNNNNNNNNNNNNNNNNNNNNNNNNNNNNNNNNNNNNNNNNNNNNNNNNNNNNNNNNNNNNNNNNNNNNNNNNNNNNNNNNNNNNNNNNNNNNNNNNNNNNNNNNNNNNNNNNNNNNNNNNNNNNNNNNNNNNNNNNNNNNNNNNNNNNNNNNNNNNNNNNNNNNNNNNNNNNNNNNNNNNNNNNNNNNNNNNNNNNNNNNNNNNNNNNNNNNNNNNNNNNNNNNNNNNNNNNNNNNNNNNNNNNNNNNNNNNNNNNNNNNNNNNNNNNNNNNNNNNNNNNNNNNNNNNNNNNNNNNNNNNNNNNNNNNNNNNNNNNNNNNNNNNNNNNNNNNNNNNNNNNNNNNNNNNNNNNNNNNNNNNNNNNNNNNNNNNNNNNNNNNNNNNNNNNNNNNNNNNNNNNNNNNNNNNNNNNNNNNNNNNNNNNNNNNNNNNNNNNNNNNNNNNNNNNNNNNNNNNNNNNNNNNNNNNNNNNNNNNNNNNNNNNNNNNNNNNNNNNNNNNNNNNNNNNNNNNNNNNNNNNNNNNNNNNNNNNNNNNNNNNNNNNNNNNNNNNNNNNNNNNNNNNNNNNNNNNNNNNNNNNNNNNNNNNNNNNNNNNNNNNNNNNNNNNNNNNNNNNNNNNNNNNNNNNNNNNNNNNNNNNNNNNNNNNNNNNNNNNNNNNNNNNNNNNNNNNNNNNNNNNNNNNNNNNNNNNNNNNNNNNNNNNNNNNNNNNNNNNNNNNNNNNNNNNNNNNNNNNNNNNNNNNNNNNNNNNNNNNNNNNNNNNNNNNNNNNNNNNNNNNNNNNNNNNNNNNNNNNNNNNNNNNNNNNNNNNNNNNNNNNNNNNNNNNNNNNNNNNNNNNNNNNNNNNNNNNNNNNNNNNNNNNNNNNNNNNNNNNNNNNNNNNNNNNNNNNNNNNNNNNNNNNNNNNNNNNNNNNNNNNNNNNNNNNNNNNNNNNNNNNNNNNNNNNNNNNNNNNNNNNNNNNNNNNNNNNNNNNNNNNNNNNNNNNNNNNNNNNNNNNNNNNNNNNNNNNNNNNNNNNNNNNNNNNNNNNNNNNNNNNNNNNNNNNNNNNNNNNNNNNNNNNNNNNNNNNNNNNNNNNNNNNNNNNNNNNNNNNNNNNNNNNNNNNNNNNNNNNNNNNNNNNNNNNNNNNNNNNNNNNNNNNNNNNNNNNNNNNNNNNNNNNNNNNNNNNNNNNNNNNNNNNNNNNNNNNNNNNNNNNNNNNNNNNNNNNNNNNNNNNNNNNNNNNNNNNNNNNNNNNNNNNNNNNNNNNNNNNNNNNNNNNNNNNNNNNNNNNNNNNNNNNNNNNNNNNNNNNNNNNNNNNNNNNNNNNNNNNNNNNNNNNNNNNNNNNNNNNNNNNNNNNNNNNNNNNNNNNNNNNNNNNNNNNNNNNNNNNNNNNNNNNNNNNNNNNNNNNNNNNNNNNNNNNNNNNNNNNNNNNNNNNNNNNNNNNNNNNNNNNNNNNNNNNNNNNNNNNNNAUCAUCAUACCUGUGCACUGGAUUUUUAAUAUCAAUGCCACUGCAGCUGUGAUCAAGAAUAUAAGAGCGUUUAACAUCUUUUCUCCAUCGAGAAAGAAUGUACUGAGAUGGGAUCUCCUGCAUGCCACUCUGGCUUAGAACACAAAGAAUGUGUCUGCAUAAAUAUCCUCUGAAAUUGAACAACCCACAAACACAAAGCACCUCUAAGUCGGAGGCAUUGUACAAAACAAUGAAAGCCCUUGAAUCUUUCUCAUUGCUACCAACCUCGAAUUCUUCCUUCACUAUGUAUGUUAUAGGUCCAUCAGCACUAACAUGUUUUGUGCUAUAGCAAGAGUACAUAGCCUCCACCUCCGUCUGAAACUUCCUUAACAUUUCAUUUGUGUACAGUUUUGAGAGUUGAAAUUCAUAGUAGCAUCUUGGUUUCUGGAUACAACUUGAAUUUCUUGAAUCCAUAUCUGCCAAGGCUUCCAGUUGAUAAUUCGCCCGCAGUGCUUGAUCAUACUUGUCUAAGAAUUCUUUCAAAGGAGUAUUCGUAUCAAGAUAUCCUUCAAAGUAUAAAGUAGAAACCUCAUUCUGCAGGAACGAAAACACUCCUGAUAAAUAAGCUUCCUUCAAAUAAACAGGAGCCCACCCUUUACGAUCUUCAUAUAACGUUUGAAUCCAUCCGUGAUCCUUUAUUCCAUGACGUUGAAUCAUGUCUUCCCAAGCUGCUUCAAAUUCCUCAGGCCUGAGACAGUGAUAAAUUGCUCUAUGUAAUGCAGCUCUAAUAGCUUCUUAUUCAAACAAUCCUUCGAGUUUCUCUGGAAUUUUUUGCAUGAUGCAUGACAAUGAAAAGCAAUGAUAAGCUCUUGGGAAAACAUUGCCAACAGCAAUUUGCAAGAUUCUACAUUGGUCAGUGAUGAUUGUUUGUAGAGAGCGUCCUAACAUACAUGUAAGCCACGCCCUAAACAGCCAUGUAUAUGAUUCUAUAGUCUCACUGGCAAGUAAACCACAACCCAACAACACUGAUUGUCCAUGAUGAUUCACCCCAAUGAACGAAACCAGUGGCACAUUAUAUCUUUCUGUCAAGCACGUAGUAUCAAUUAAGACUACAUCACCAAAGUACCUAUACGCAACUCUUGACCUGGUAUCAGUCCAGAGCAGGUUUCUCAGGCAUCCCUUUUCAUUUAGAUCCACCACAUUAAAAAAGUUUGGAUCUGUCAACUGCCAACGACAAAAGAAACUCUGGAUAGCUUGUGCAUCUCCUGGUUUAAGCUUCAAUUGAUUUGAGCUAUUAACAUUAUUUUCAAAUACUCCACUAACAUCUACAUUACCAUUUCCCUUGGUAUCAAUGAUAAGAGUUCGAAACAGUCUAACUUUUUGAACUUCUUCAGCACCAUCUAAGUGCAACAUUCUUUUGGUUCCAAUACCUAUGUGCUUAUGUGACUUGUAAAACUUUCCGCUUCUUGGGCUUAACAAGUGGUUAUGGUCAAGCUCAACUUCAAUGAUUCUCCACCUUUUGGUUUCCAUCAACCUAAACUUUAUCAUUGCUGGACAGCCAGUUCUUGUUUCUGGUCUUGGGCGGUUUGCCUCGCUUUUCUUCUUGAAGCCUGCACUACUACAGCUCAGCUUUCCUCUAUACUUUUCUCUACUCUUUCGGUACCAUGUAUUGCUAACUCUAACACCAAAACCCUGUUCCUUGGCAUAGCAAUUGUAAAAGUAAUAAACGUCAUCAUAUGUCUCAAACUCCAUUCCAACAGCAGGAGGCAAUGGAUUUUGGAUUAUCCCAGUUUGUCCAACAUAUUCAGUAAUUGCACAAUCUCCUACGACCUCAAAAUCAUCAGCAUCAUCAUCACCUACUGGUUCAGUAUUCAGAGAAACUUCAUCCAUCUACAAUAGAUGUUUAAUGAAGUGAGCUUUAAGGAGAAAAAGCAAAAUCAGUAAGGAACGAUAAUAUAACCAUACAGUUACUUUCACAAAGCGUCGUAUUUCAUCACUGCUUUACCAACAUGCAACUGCCAGAGAACAAACAGACAUGUCAUAGACGCUUGAAUUAAGUAUUGGUACAAAUGAGCACACAUCAUGUGGGACAAAAUUUCAGUCACCAAACCCAAUACGACUUUUUACAUCAUACCAAGGAACAGAUUAAACCCGACACCUUCUUUUAAACCAUACCAAGGAACAGAUUAAAUCAUCAAUGAAAACUUAAUCACAUAAUAACUUAACCAGACAAAUGAAGGGCCUGAAACAGCAUAAAACUUGAAUCUGAUUAUGAUAAUUGUUGAGUCCUUGUAUCUACAGCUUUCCUUCAAUGAUAAGACAAUGAACAUAAACGAGACACAAAAAAUUUAUUUUAAACUGACAGCCCAUGAUAUAAAUCAAACAAAAUCAACUCCUUUUUUUACACAUCACAUCUCAUAUUCAUUUACAUUGAAACAAAAAAAGGAAGCGGGAGUGGGAAAAAAACAACAGCAGAGGAACUUAUUUCUAUAAGGUUUACGAAAUAAGGAAUCUAUUAAAACCCAAAACUUGAGGUCACCCCAAAGAAUUUGGUUCUCAUUAUUUUUUUCUUCAUUUUUCACCAAUUGAUGAACUUAAAAUACAAUCAUAAAUGAUAAAACCCCAUCUCAAUCUUUUUGAACUAGAGCUAAAGCAAAGCAUUUUAAGAUGUUUCAUCAUUUUUUUUUAAAAAAAAACCUCAAUAGUACAAUGUUUUUCAAUGUUAAAUGCACAAUUCAAUCUUCUCCUAAUUUACUCUAAUAAUCUCUUAAUUAAGGAAGAUUAAGCUUUAGUUGUAAGCUAAAACAAAUUUCUUAAAUCAAGCCCCAAUGCUUUAUGCUCUUCAACAAGGGCUCAUAAAUGAUAAAACUACUUCUACAAAGAUACCCAUUUUCUAAAUUAAUUUCAAAAACUGAAAUCAAACUCCUGAAACGUAACGAGCAUUAAUAUAAUCAAACCCGAACAAGAAUUGAAAAAUGACACAUAAACUCGUUUACACAUUUCGACAGACACUUUGCAAUCAAUGGGCAAAAAAUUAAUGGAGAAGAUAAAAUUCAAACGAAACAUGCCUUACAUUGAUAAAUUAGAAGGGCCAAAGAAAUUUUAGUACGAUAUGGGAUCAGGGUCUUGCCACGGUGAUGUUAUUUGUGAUGUUCGAGCGACUCAGCAACCUUCGAGGUUGAAAAUUUGAUUGACCAAAAGCUUCCCGUUCGUUGAUUCUCUAAUAGCAGAAACAAGACUGGCAGUAUACACAAGAAUGUGUUCGAUGAAUAUCAAAAUCUCAAAAACCUUUUGUUUUUCAUUUUUUUGGAAAAAACCAUUGAGAUCCUUACUAUUCUUUCUUAUAUAUUAAACAUGCAAAUAUACACACUAAUUUAGAUGUGUGAAUAACAAAUAUGGAACAACACAUGCAAAGUCAUCUGUAUAAUUGAAGUUGCUCCAAUGGUUACUGUUCAUUUAUUUUUAUUUAUGAAUUUUUUUGUAAAAUUUAAGAAAUAUGUAGAAAUGUUGCCAGCAAUGAUUUUGGAACUUUGCAUAAUAUUUUUAUCAUUAUUGUUUUUUGUAUUAAGAAAUCCGAGGCGGUGAUUAGACGUAUGUUGCAACAAUUAAGAAAUUUCUUAUUGGAAAUAAUUUGGUAGGUUGCAACAAUCAGAGAAUCAUUUUCCUGUCAGUUAAUCAAUCAAUAAUAAAUUUCAAAUUGCAGAAAAUAAAAUAAUACUGUAGCACUUAGAAUCAUCUUUUCUAUCUCUUUCAAUUGUGGCAAUCAUUUGUAACAAAUAAAUCAAUUUGAUGCACAUCAUUUCCCCAAUUCAAAGUUCAAGUCACUGCCCAAUUCAAAGUUCAAGAACUGCAAAUGAAGCCACAGCCGUGGGAUAGAAGCUGCUACAAUGCUGCGAGUUGUGGAGACUUUAAUGGGUGAAGGAUCAUUUGAAUUGGUGGGUGAGAGGGUGCCAGAAGAUGCAGCAGAGGAGAUAAAUUGUGAGCCAACAAUAAUGGGCAUGUUGUCGACUUUUGAGAAAGCCUGGAGAUGCCUUGAAGAAGAAUCGGUUGGAAUUAUUGGCCUAUAUGUCAAUGGGGGAGUUGGAAAAUAUUUACUCAAAUCAACAAGUUCCUUGAUAGUCCAAAUAAUUUUGAUGUUGCGAUCUGGGUGGUUGUCUGCCAAGAUUUGCAACCCCAGAAGUUUCGGGGAAAAGUUUGGGAAAAAAAAAGGCUUGUUCGAUGAGUCAUGGAAGAACUGAAGUUUUCAAGAGAGAGCACACGAAGUUUGUAUUACUGAUGGAUGAUAUAUGGGAGCAGGUUGAUUUAAUUAAAAUUGGUGUCCCUCUUCCAAGCACAAAAAUUACUUUCAAGAUAAUCUUCACAACUCCUUCUAUUGACAUUUGUGGCCUCAUGGAAGCUCACAACAAGAUUAAAGUGGAGUGUUUAAAUGACGAAGAAGCAUGGGAAUUAUUCUGCAAGAAGGUUAGAGAAGAUGUGGCGACUCUGUCCAAGUGCUAAGGAGCUCAACCUCAGAAUUUCUAGGUACGGAAAAAUAAGUAUAUCCUCUUUUGAAAUUCAGUUAUGAUAAUUUACGUAGCGAUAAAAUUAGAUCGAGUCUGUUAUACUGUAGUUUGUUUCCGGAAGACUUUCCAAUUAGCAAAAUGGAAUUGAUACAUUGUUGGAUAAGCGAGGGCCUUUUGGAUGAAACUAAUAGUUCUGAGAUAUGAAAUCAAGGAUACUACAUUAUUGGUGUUCUUGUUCCUUUAUGUUUAUUGGAAGAAGAGGCUCCACUUUAUGUAAAAGUGCAUGAUGUGAUACGCGAUAUGCUUCUGUGGAUAGCAUGUGAAGUUUUUUUUUGAUAGGGAUAGCAUGUGAAGUUGAGAAGGAGAAAGAGAAUUUUUUGGUUCGUGCAGGUGCAAGGAUUAACUGAAGUACCAGACAUUUGGAAAUGGGAAGGGUUGAGAAGGGUGUCUUUGAUGAGCAACAAAACUGAGAAGGUAUCAGAAAUUCCUUCAUCUCACGAUCCACUAACUUUGUUGCUUCAACAUAAUUAUUUAGAGAUGAUCAAUAAUGACUUCUUUCAAUCUAUGCAUUCCCUAAGAGUUUUGAACUUGUCAUGUAAUCAUUCUCUAACUGAUAAUUUCAAAGUUAGUUUCCCUACAACAUCUUAAUUUAUCAAUGACUAACAUACGAGAGUUGCCGAAUGAGUUAAAGUUUGUAGUGAAUCUAAAGUUUUUGAAAUUGGAGUAUGCACGGUUUCUUCAUUCAAUUCCAGGGCAAGUGAUAUCCAGUUUUACGAUGUUACAAGUUUUGAAGAUGUUUGGUUGUGGGAGGUCAUCUUCUGAUCAUGAGCCACACCAGAAGAUAGAGUUUUAUUUGAAGGCUGUAAACUUUUGAUUGUGGAGUUGUUUGGUUUGAGAGACAUUUAGAUGUGUCGACCAUCAUCCUAACAAGUUCCCAUGCUCUGAAAAGAUUUUUGAGCUCCAACAAACUUCAAAGUCGUACUCAAUCUCUCUAUCCUAAAUGCUUUGAUAAAAAUUUAAUUUAAUUCAAUCCAACUAAACUUAUCAAACAUGAGAAAAAAAUUUAAUUCUAAAAUUAGUCCAAUUCCAUAUUUAAUCCUAGCAUUCAAAUAUAGCCCAAGUUGUUUGCUUAAAGAAGCUACCAAAUUUGAAGAGCGUUUACGGGAAGGCCUUGCGUUUCCCAGAUGUAUGUAGAUUUUUUGUAUCUAAAUGCCCAGAACUUAAGAAGCUGACGCUGGAUUUUGAAAGGGCGGGCCAAGGUAAAAUUCUUAUCAAGGGAAAGGAAAAUCGGUGGGAACAACUUCAAUGGGAGGAUCAAGCAACUCAGGAUGCAUUGCUUCUGUUUUUCAAAUCAACUGACAAGUGAUUGAAGGGGGCAUCAUCAACAUCAUCAGCCUGGAUGGGGAGAUUCUGGAGCAGAUCUGUAGGGUUUGAAUCUGCAUCAUCAACAUCAUCAGGGUCUGUAUUUCUAUUGCUGGUCUUAAUGCUUGCUUACUGUUGCUUGACAAAGUGAGCCAGUUUUUUGUUUAUUAAAUUUUGUCUUGAAGAGACAGUCACAAAGUAUUUUUCUUAGUUGUUCUAUAUGAGAGUGAUGUGAAUCAAUGUUUCAAUUAUAUAUUCUGUGGUCAUUUUGAAUUUUGUUUAGAGAUGCAAACUUAGAAUAUGGAAAAGUUCACCGGCAAACAUUUUGUAAAAGGUUCCAACUGAAAUAGGGAAUGCACUUACUGCUAAGGACAUUUGGUGGCCAGCUAAUGCAUUCAUUUUAUAUCCAUUCAUCAUUUUAAUUAUUGAAAACAAGUGGCUCAUCGCUUUUACUUUAGGUAAAAUUCAGAUAAUCUCUAUUAUGAAAUGAUAAUAUUCUAUUAAAUUAUUAUAAACCUCAGCCAAUCUUAAUUUUAUUUAAAAGAUAAAAGAAAUAUAGGUUAUGUUGGUGACUUUUUUCUUAUCUUUUUAAUAAAAAUAAAAUAAAAUGAUGUUUAUAAUUGUUUAAAAUACUUUAAAGAUUGUUAUUUUAUGAGAGAGUAAUAUUUUACUUUUUUAUUGUGAAAGGCUAAAAAGGACAAAGCAAGUGUCCCUGGUUUUUAUUUUAUUUGAAAUUGGUCAUCUCGUAUACUUUACAUUUCAACACUACAAUUUUUUUUGUUAUAUUUUUAUUAUUUUUUUCUUUUUUACACAUGCACGUGAAUUUCUUUUCUUUAAGCUCCUGAAUAUUUAAGACAAAUCAUGGAAGAGAUGAAAAUAUAACAAGAUGAUCAAAAUACGUAACAAAAAAUUUACAAGUGAAACAUACGUUAGAGUCGAAGUAAAACUCUGAAAAUAGAGAUAUUGAUUAAUUUAGAAGAGAUGCAAGCAAAAGAUAUUCUAAAAAAGAAGAAAAGCAAUCUGUCACUUUCGAGGGCAAACUUGUUAGUCUCAAAAAGGUACAUUUUGUUGUUGUGCAUUAGUUGGAGAAGUCAAGCCUAGUGAAAAAUGUUAUGAAAGAGCAAAUGAUAUUUCUGACAGCUUUAUUUGAUUAUGUAUUCAUUUAAUGGAUGUAUUGUUAGAAGAUAUCUAAGUGCAUUAGUUUAUCGGUGUCUGUCGAUGUGCUUUUAGUGAUUUUUCCAGCUGUUUGCUGUAAAAGAUGAUUGUAAAUUGAAAUGAACUUGAUGUUGUAAUAUUUUCUCUUUAGUGGAAUCUCCAUUGUGUUGUCAAUAAUUUUGGUCAAAAUUAUUGUUAUUAUUUCUUACUAGAGGUAAAUUUUUUUGUUAAACCUCAUUAACACAAUUCUUAAUUAGAAGUAUAGGUUAGUGUCGGUGCAGGAUUUGCAGCACCAAAUCCUGCCUAGCUACGUGUCAAAAGUGCAAAAUAAAUGAAGAGAAAGCACAAAUACAUGACUUGGAUUAGGAUAGAAGGAAAUUUAAAUCUUAGAGAAAAGGACAGCUAUAUCCCAAUAUUUGAAAAAAUUGUCAUAUAGAUUUUUAAGAUUUCAAUAAGGGACGGAGAUCUUCUUUUGAUAAAUAAUAUCUUUUAGCUCUCUCAAGUAAAAAAAAAUUAAAUUAAAUAUUUUAUAAUAAAUAAAAAUAUAAUAUUAAAAUAUACGUGAUAAUAUAUACAUUUUAAAUAAUUUCAAUCUAAAAAAAUAGUUAUGUUUUACAGGAUCCACCUAUGUUACAAUAGUGGUAUAGUACCACAGUUUUUGUUCUUAUCCAAUGUAAUAAUUGGAUGAUUUAGAGCUUAAUCUAUCGGCUUAAAUUAUUUUUCUGAAUAUUUGAAGCAACAACUUGCAACCGUUGGAGCCGGUUGCAUAUUAAUUUAAUAUCAUUUGGGGAAGCGUACGGUCAGGAAGUUUCUUAGUAUGCCAACAAUGGAAUUUGAUUUCAUCUCAAAUCGAUCUGCAGGCAGCAAUUGGGAAAUUACACUCACGAUCUUCCUCUUCUUCACUUCCUCUCUACUCUUCACUUUUCUCACUCUCGCGAUGUUUACAGCAUGACAAAUACAAUUACAAACCAGGAAAUGCCAUUAACAAUUUUCAUUUGUCUUAGUCCGUUUUUUUUUUUUUUUUUUCUAGUAGAAAGCCAAAAAAACAAAAAAGAAAACGGGUGGGAGGUUGGGGCGCCGUGAUGAGAUGGUUUUGAGUUUUUGACGGAAUGUUUGUUUUUGUGAUUCAUUUAGGGUUUGAAUUCAGGCUUGUACGAACUCGGAUCUAUUCGAGAUCCGUAUUGGCGCUGAAAUCAGAUCCUUUGAAGCCUUGGUUUGAAUUCAACCUUGAGAACUCGAAGCUUGUUAGAAUCUUCAUUGAUCUCUCCAGAAAUUACACGGAUCUUAUUACUAAACCCUACAUAUCGGGCUGCAAUGGAGUCCGAUUCUCUCACAAUUAAUGAAUCAAUAUUGAGACAGUUCGAAAAGGAAGUAAAAAAGAGAAUCAACUUGACUGGCUAUAUAAUUGCGGAGGCCAAAGAGUCUUUUGAUAAUCAAUUGAAGAUUUAGAAGUUAAAAGACACUAUUUUUACUAUGAAUGAACAAUUGACUAAGGCGAAAAAGCAAGGAGCAUUUUUGAGUUUGAUUGCUGCGAAAUCGAUGCCUUAGAGUUUGCAUUGUUUGGCCAUGAGGUUGAUGAAAGAGCGAAUUGUUCAUCCGGAGAACUAUAAUGAAGAAGGGAAGCCCACACAUGCAGAAUUCGAGGAUCCCAAACUUUAUCAUAAUGCUAUUUUUUCUAGGUAAUAUGCUUGCAGCUUCGGUGGUGGUGAUUGGUGAAUUUAGCUGUUAAGAACUCGAAGGAGCCUUGGAAACAUGUGUUUCUUGUUGUGAUGGAUCAAAUGAAUCUCGGGGCAAUACAGGUUAUGUUGAAAUUUAAGGAUUAUAAUGGAGCACAUUUAGGCACGAAGGCUGUUGGGGAUUAUAAGUUUUUGAAUUCUCACAUGUCCCUGUGUUAAGGCAGCCGGCGUUUGCUAAUUUGCAAAGGUUUUAGUUCGGGAAGUAGCUUGAGAAUGCUACCAAAGAUGCUACUAACCUGAAGUUUAGGAAUCCCAAUUACUUGUUGAUACUGUAUCAUUUGAGGUUCUGGAUAAGAUUUCAAUGAUGGCCGCUUAAAACAAAUAAAAAAAAGAACUUGUACUGUAUUGGAUCUUUACUUAUUUGAUAUAGUUUUCCGCAAUCUCUCUAUGCAACCGGUUACUUUAAUUAUCCACUAACUCAUCUCAACCGUUUGAUGAACUCACUUUAUAUCCAACGAAAGUUUUAAAUGAAGACAAAAAGUGUGGUAUGUUGCAAUUGUUGCAACAUAUGUGAGUCCUGUUUUACAAUCUAUUUAACAUAUUUUAUUAAAUUAAUAUAUUUCUAUGAUAUAGGAACAUAAUAUUAAAAUAAAUUUACAAAAAUUUAAAGAAUUUUGAAUGUAAAACAAUUUCAAUAUAUUAAUAGUGAGAUUUUUUUAUUAUUAUAAAAAUUAUUUAACCCAUAGAUUUUUUAAAAUCUUUACAAUAAGUAUAAAUAUAUUAUCUUCAUUUUAAAAUAUUUAAAUAUUAUUAACCUAUAAUUAGGUUUGCAUUUAUUAGAAAAUUUUAAAGUCAAAUAUAUUGCACUUUUGCAUUAUUAGAAUCAUCACAGAGAAAGGAACAUAUAUAUUGUAUAGCUUUAGAAAUUGGUUUCUUUUACGUCUGGAAACAGAGAUGAUGAUUAUUAUAAGGAUGAAAAAAAAAGAUAAAGAAUAUUAAUGAUUAAUGAAACCUUUAUGCAAAUUGAUUUUAGUAGGGAAAGAGUCAGAUGAAUGGCUUCUUUUACAGCUAAAAACAUAGAUGAUGAUUAUUAUAAGGUUGAAAAAAAAAGAUAAAGAAUAUUAAUUAUUAAUGGAAUCUCUAUGCAAAUUGAUUUUAUAGGAAAAAAGCGAGCUAAAUGAUUUAGACAUUCAUAGUGUAUUUAUUUUUUGAAUUGGUGAAUAAGAAUUAUUGACAACGCUAACUUCAUCUUCACCGUUGGCUAUCCAAUAGCGGCAAUUGUCGCCGAUAAUGAUAUCUCCAAUGAUGAUGACAAUUUUUUUUAUUAUUAUUAUUGGUGGCCCCUUGGAAAGUUAACUGCAAGUGCCAAUCAGAGAAAAGUCGUCAUGCACAAUCCUCAAUCGGACCAAUCUACAUUACAGAUUCUGUAACGUACACACCAAAUGGGAAGCAGCACACGUGUUCUGAGGAGAGAGAAAAACCGUGCAAAUGCAGGCAAUAGGAGUUGGCUACAGUUGGAUCUGUAAGUUACAGAAUCUGUAACUUAGCCAACUCCCUCAAUGAUCACUAUUGUUUCCGAUAUUUAUAAAUUGGUGGCCCCUUGGAAAUUUAACUGGAAGUUUGCAAGUGCCAAUCAGGAAAAAAUCGUCAUUCGUUGUUUUUUUUUUUUCUGCAUUCCCUUUCAUGUUCUUAAUAAUUGAAGACAGGUUGUUCAUAACAUGUAUACUUUUCAAAUGUGGAGCCGCAGUUAAUGUUGCUAUUUUAAUUUGGGAUUAAAUUAGGGGAACACUAACUUUUAUAUUUAUCUAAACUCCUUAAAUUUAAGACAGAUUAUGGCGUAAAUAAGAAUAUAAUAAUAACAAAGGAAUUAAAAAGUAUAGUGAAGAUCUUGCAGAAAUAUAAAUAUUAGCGUUGAAUUAAAUAACACAGAACACAUGAAUUGAAUAGUGAUUAUCAAGACGGUGUUACUUGCACUCCUAUUUAUAGAAAAUCUUGGUUCUGUUCCAUUAGAUUUUUUAUCUUCAAAAUCUUGCAAAGUUUUGACAACCCAAAGGCUCAGUUUGCUUGUUCUAUAUUUGUAUGAUAUGAAUUCAAAUUUUUGUGUUUUGUUUUUCUUAAUUCUGAACACGGAUUCUUCUCUUCUCGUGCAAACCAGAAAGAAAUGUUGUCUUACAAAAAAAGGGGAAUAACUUCAUGAGAACAAAAAUUCAGAAAAAUAAUAUAAAGUUUAUAUUUAGACUUUUGAGGUAUAUUUUAACUUUCAACAAUGAGUUAAAGAAAAUAAAUAUUUUAAAAGAAAAUAAUAAAUAAAGUAAAUAAAAGUUGGAAAAAUGACACAUACACCCCCAACGUAUAAUAAAGGGACACAAAACUCCCUAAUAUUUGAAAAAAGACAUACAGACCCCAUUUAAUAACCGAAACAAUUUCGUUAAAUCAGUCAAAUGUUAAUAUCGUAAUUGCAUAUUAAUAACAAAUGAAUUGACCAAAAACCCACACACGAACAAAACGCUUAACACACAUGCACUGACACUGCUCCUCCCAGAUCUUGACAUAACGGACACACUCACACGAUUCGCCGGAAACUGCUGGAAUUGCUGGGGUUGCCGGAAGUCGCUGGAACUGUGGGGCCUGCCGGAAGUCCAGCCGCUGGAACUGCUCGCGCUGCCGCAAGCCGCUGGAUCUGCUCGCGCUGCCGCAAGUCGCUGGAUCUGCUCGCGCUGCCGCUGCUGCGUCGAUCGAGACCGCGUCUGGCUGCUGCUCGUUCGUGUGGCUGCUGCUCGUGCGUCGUUGCUGCUCGUUCGCGUGGAUGCUGCUCGUUCAUCUUCAAUCCACGGUUCACUUCUCUUAAACUAGUUUUUCCCUCUUUAAUUUUCAUUUUUUUACUAAAUUAACAAAUUAACAACUUGAGCGGGGAAGUUCCUCCUUCCCAAGGUCAAUUUGCUACCUUUGAUUCAGACUCUUAUAUCGGCAACGAAUAUCUGUGUGGACUUCCACUUCGAAAAUUGUGUGCGGGGAAUGUUUCAACACAUGUAUACGAACGUGGAUCAGGUGGAAAACAUGAACUGAGCUGGCUUAAUGUUAGCUUGUCACUAGGAGUUAUAUUGCUGAUUUUUGGAGUGUAAUUGCUCUUUUUUCUCAAUAAAAGAUGGUCAACAAUGUUGUGAAACUUAAUAACUAAUUUUAUUUAUUUUUAUUCUUGAAUAAUGGAUUAAAAUUAUUUGGCUUGAAGAGAAUUUGAUAAAAAAUUAUUAAUAAUUUUAUUAUAUGGACAAAAAAUUUAAUAGAGAAAUUGGAUAAUGAGGAUAUAUUCGUAAUUUUAUUAAUAAUAUAUGGGUAAAAUAGAUAAUGAAUAAUUUUUUUUAUAUGCUAGAAGGAUAUAACAAUAAUUACACGUUAAAAUUAUAAUUUCCGUUAAAACUAACGGUUUCGUUAAGAAAUUGGGGUCUGUAUGUCUUUUUUCAAACAUUAGGGGGUUUUAUGUUCCUUUAUUAAACGUUGGGGGUGUCUGUGUCCUUUUCCCAUAAAAGUUUAGAGAUUCAAAUUUUUUGUAUUGGAUUCUUUAAUUCAAAUACCUCUUAAUUAAUUAACACUUAAAAGAGAGUUCACUAUUAUAAUUUUAAGCUUUUUGAUUUAUUAUUGAUAUACAAAUUAGGAGUUUAAGCUUACUUUUUUAUUUUUCCAUUUUUUUUCAAAUUUGAAAUUAUUAUUUAAAUUUAUAAUUUUUUUUAAAAAAUAAAGGGCUUGAACCUGGCUUGGUAUUGUUUCCUAAACCCUUAUCCGGCCCGGCUUUUUUGCCAACCCCAAUGAUGAUGAUGAUGAUUAUUUUAUUAUUAUUAUUAAUGAUGAAAAAUAUUAUAAUUAAUUAAUAUAUUAUUGUAUUGUUAUUAAGAUUAACAAUAAUUAUUAAUAAUAACAAUUUUUUGAAUAAAAAUAAUCACAAUAAUUAAAAUAUAAAUUAAUAAUUAUAACAAUAGUUAAUUAAUGUCUUUUUAGCAAUUUGUAAUAAUUUAACUCAUUUUGAUUUCGAUUAUUAUAGUUAAGUAAACAACUUAUUAUAAUUCUCAUUCUCCAUUUUGAUUUCAGCUUAUUUCGAUUUCAGUCCAUUCCGAUUUUCAUUUAAUAAACGUUCCAUUAAUGCUAUAGUAAUAUUUCAUAUAGAAAAAAAUAAAAACUACAACUAAGGUUAAGGGAAAGGACUUAAAAAUUCUCUUUGGUCAUAAUACAUUUUUUCCUAAUUAACUUAAAGAGUUUGAAUCUAAUAUUUUAUAAUAAAUAAAAAUAUAUUUCAAAAGUAAAUAUAAUAUAUCUAUUUUAAACUAAUCUCAAUAUUUAAAAUAUAUUUAAUAUUUUACAAUCUAUUAGACAUAUUUUAUUAUAUUAAAAUAAAUUUUACAAUAAAUAUGAACGUACUGUUAAAAUGAAUAUAUAAAAAACUUAGAGUAUUUUGAAUAUUAUAUAAAAUAAUUUUAGUAUAAUACGUGAGAUAUAUUUUAUUAAUGUAAACUGCUAUUUAAUCUAAAGAUUCAUUUAUGAUAAAUUAAUAAUUAUAUUUUUAAAAUUAUUUUAAAUAUUAAUUUUUAAUAUUUUUAAUUUAUUAGACAGAUAAAAUUAUUUAUAUUAUUUUGUAUUUGUUAAAAAAAUUUAAAGUCAAUUUUUUUAAUUACUAUUCAAAGGAUAUAAUAAUUAAAAAAAUCUUAGCGUUUUUAUUAAAAAUUUAAAAAUUUACAUGCUAUUUCUAUAAAUAUUUAAGGUAUAUAUGAACUUCGGUGGAGAAGCUUCAUUUAAUAUUAUUGAUUUAAAUAAUAUCUCAAUUAAAAAUGUACAGAGAACAAAUUUCGGUGGGUAUUUCAGUCUUUUUAGCAAUUAUCAUGGUUAGCCCUUGGCCUUGAAACGUCUGUCAGAAAGGUUUCAAAUGCUUUAAUUGUUCUUAUAAAAAAAAAAAAAAAAAUGCAUUAAUUGUUUUUUCAUUUUAACGUCAGCGGCCUUGAAAGUGCUUUAUCUUAUAACAAAUUAAUUAAUGCUGACGAGAAAAUAUCUCUUCCACAGCCCACAGCAGCUUCUGUUAAUCAAACUCAACCAAUUUUCUCUCUUAACAAAAUUCCAAAGAUGGGUAGCGUUUUUCAGAUCACAUGCGACGGCGCUUUUUUCAAUCGUUGCUUGGAUUGCUUUCUUGGAAAAGCAGCAUACAUAAGCAACAUCCAAGAUAAUCUUGCAGCCUUGGAGACUGAACUGGGAAGACUAAUCGCAGCAAAGAACGAUGUGAUGAUGAUGGUUGUCAAUGCUGAACGGCAACAAAUGAAAAGGCUAGGCCAAGUGGAAUGGUGGGUGUCGAGGGUGGAUGCUGUUAAAAUUGAAGCUGAUGAGCUUAUCAGAGACGGCUCUCAAGAAAUUGACAAAUUAUGUGUUGGAGGCUACUGUUCUAAGAACUGCACGUCAAGCUACAAGUUCGGGAAACAAGUGGCUAAAAAGCUACGAGAUGUGGAGACUUUAAUCGCCGAAGGAGUUUUUGAGGCGGUGGCUAUCGAGGUGGUGCCUGAGAGAGCUCCGGAGCCUGUAGCAGAUGAAAGACCUACCGAGCGAACAGUAGUAGGCUUGCAAUCACAACUUGAACAAGUCUGGAGAUGUCUUGCAGAAGAAUCAGCGGGAAUCAUUGGCCUAUAUGGUAUGGGCGGUGUUGGUAAAACUACACUAUUGACCCAUAUCAACAAUAAAUUUCUCGAGAGUCCAACCAACUUUGAUUGUGUGAUUUGGGUAGUAGUUUCAAAAGACCUGCGACUUGAAAAAAUUCAAGAAAAUAUUGGGAAAAAGAUCGGUUUGGUUGAUGAUUCAUGGAAGAGUAAAAGUGUAGAGGAGAAAGCUCUCGACAUCUUCCGGAGUUUAAGAGAGAAGAGAAUUGUAUUGCUGUUAGAUGAUAUAUGGGAGCGGGUUGAUUUAACAAAAGUGGGCGUUCCACUUCCAGGACCACAAAAUACUACCUCAAAAGUCGUAUUCACAACCCGUUUGAUCGAUGUUUGUGGUAGCAUGGAAGCUGACAGGAAGUUCAAAGUAGCAUGCUUAUCAGAAAAGGAUGCUUGGGAACUGUUUCGAAAAAAAGUUGGGGAAGAAACUCUUGGAAGUCAUCAUGAUAUCGUUGAGCUAGCCCAGACUGUGGCCAAAGAGUGUGGUGGUUUGCCACUCGCACUUAUUACUAUUGGUCGAGCUAUGGCCUUCAAAAAGACAGCCGAGGAGUGGAGUCAUGCAAUUGAUGUGCUAAGAACAUCAGCUUCUGAGUUUGCAGGUUUGGGAAAAGAGGUGUAUCCUCUUUUAAAGUUUAGCUAUGAUAGUUUGCAGAAUGAGACUAUUAGAUCUUGUUUCUUAUAUUGUUGUUUAUAUCCCGAAGAUUAUGGAAUUCUUAAAUGGGAUUUGAUUGAUUGUUGGAUUGGUGAGGGAUUCUUAGAGGAAUCUGACAGGUUUAGUGCAGAAAACCAAGGAUACUACAUUGUGGGCACUCUUGUUCAUGCAUGUUUAUUAGAAGAGUUAGAAGAUGAUAAAGUAAAAAUGCAUGACGUUAUUCGUGAUAUGGCUCUAUGGAUAACCAGUGAAAUUGAGAAGGAGAAGAGAAACUUUUUGGUUCGUGCAGGUGCUGGAUUAAAAGAGGAACCGGCUGUUAAAGAAUGGGAAAAUGUGAGAAGAUUGUCAUUGAUGCAAAACCAUUUUAAAACUCUGUCAGAGGUUCCUUCAUGCCCUCAUCUCCAUACUCUAUUUCUUGCCUCUAAUGAUAAUUUGAGGAUGAUCACGGAUGGCUUCUUUCAAUUUAUGCCUUCUCUCAAAGUUUUGAAGAUGUCAAACUGUGUGGAUUGGCCAGUUUCGAAAUUACCUUUGGCGAUGUCAAAGUUGGGUUCACUACAACUUCUUGAUAUUUCACAUACCAGCAUAGAAGAGUUACCAGAAGAGUUGAAGUUGUUGGUAAAUCUGAAAUGUUUGAAUUUGAGGUGGACAUUUGAGUUAAAUAAAAUUCCAUGGCAACUAAUAUCAAAAUUUUCAAGGUUACGUGUGCUGAGAAUGUUCGCUACUGGCUUUGCACGUUUUGAUGAAGCAUCAGAAGACAGCGUUUUAUUUGGUGGGGGUGAAGUUUUAGUACAGGAAUUGGUCGGUCUGAAAUAUUUAGAGGUAUUGGAGUUGACCUUGGGAUGUCAUCAUGCUCUCCAAAUUUUUUUGAGCUCAAAUAAGUUAAAAAGUUGUAUUCGAUCUCUUCUCCUCCAAUUGGCCGGAGAUACAAUGUCGAUUAUUGAUGCUACGGCUUUUGCAGAUCUAAAGCACCUCAAUGAAUUAUGGAGUGAUAGGGCUAAGGAGUUGGAAGAAUUGAAGAUUGAUUGUAAAGAAAUAGUACAAAAAAGGCGGGAACCUUUUGUUUUCCGCAGCCUUCACCGUGUUACUAUACAUAGCUGCCAGAAGUUGAAAGAUUUGACAUUCCUCGUUUUUGCUCCAAACCUCAAGUCUCUCGAUCUAGACCGUUGCGAUGCUAUGGAAGAAAUAAUCAGCGUCGGAAAAUUUGCUGAGACUCCUGAGAUGAUGGGACAUAUAAGCCCUUUUGAAAAUCUCCAAAUGCUUGAUUUAGAAGAUUUGCCACAUUUGAAGAGCAUCUUCUGGAAGCCAUUGCCUUUCACUCAUCUGAAAGAAAUAUCUGUGGGUUAUUGCCGUAAUCUUAAAAAGCUUCCACUCGAUUCCAACAGUGCAAAGGAGCGUAAAUUUGUUAUUCGUGGAGAAGAAGACUGGUGGAACCGACUUCAAUGGGAGGAUGAAGCCACUCAAAUUGCUUUUCGUUCCUGUUUCCAAUCUCUUUUUGAUUAACUCUUAUACAUUUUCUCGUCGUUUGCUUCGUGCAAAAGACUACGUCUUUUGUUCUCCGUUUUUAUUUCAGUUUCGUUUUUUGUCUCCUGCAAAUCACAAUUAAAUGUUGAAUUAUAUGGAAGUAACGCUUUAUAAAUUUGCCGGCACUGCCAUUUCUUUUUCCUCUUUUUUUUUUUUUUUGGGUCGAAUUGAUGCUCUGGCUUUUUUACUUUUUGUCAUCGAAUUUUGCUCUGUUUUUCAAAUUGAUGCUUGAAUAUGUGAAUUCAAUUAAUGCUCACAUAAUUUUGUUUAGUUGCCGUAAAAGAAUAUAAUUAGACUGAAAUUCGCACUCCCAGAAUGAAUAGAAUCACAACAGAGAAAAUAUUAAGUAUGCUAGCCCUCUUUACAGAAAAUCAAAUGAAAAUAAAAUUUUUUUGGAUAUUUGAUUUUCUAUGGUGUACUAAAUACACUUUAUAAAUUCUUCUGUUCUAAGGAUAACCAAAUCCUUUGUUCAAGGAUUUUUAUUUGGGGUAUUGAUAAUAGUCCACCAAAAUAGUGAAUGCUUGGAUGCUGAUUAAGGAUCUGUAAUCAAUAAGCUGGAAGCAAACGAGAAGGCGGUCGCUACUCUGUACAAAGCCAUGCAGCAAUUGCUAUUCAUCUUAAAUUCUUAAUAAUUACGAAGCUUUGGUAAAAUUUUCAAACAAAGUUGACAUGUUAUUUUGAGAUUUGGUUCCUGAUUUUGGUUGAAUUUCGCUGUUUCGUUUGAGUUGGAUGUGAAUUCAAAUCCAAAUAUUCUUUGUUUUUCAAUUCUGAACUCAAUUUCUUUUUCUCAAGAAUGUUAUGCAGAAAUGAUUUUUACUAAAUCAUUUUUGAUGAAUUGUUUAAAUUAAACAAUUGGGAUAAGAAUUGUAACGAUUUAUCAUAAGCGUGCUAAUAUGAUAACUUGUUUUACAAAUGAUUAAUUAAUCAAUUAAUAUUAAAUUAUAUAUUAGUCAAUUAGAUAUGUGUUACAUUUGUCAUGUUUUGUAGGAGCGAUACUACAUAAUUUCUAAAAGAAUAUAAUAAAAACACAUUAAAAUGUUAUUUUAAUGAAGAAAAAAUUAUAAUUUUAUUAAAUAGGUGACACAAUAAUAAAUGGAUUUCUGUAAGAAUUGAGAUUCUUGAGAUAAUUUUGACAUGAUAAGAAGACAACACAGCACAGAAAACCCAAAUUGCCACUUCUACUAAUAAAAGAUAACCUGUUUGAAAAGUAAUUAUAAACUACCUUCUUUGCGUUAUUUCUCAAAACUUUUGUGGCACAAAUGUUAUUUCCAUUGACAACAGUACGAAAUACCGCCCCUUUCACUUGAGCAGGAGCAAAGCAAAGGUAUGAUGAGCUAUCUCUGUAUAAUUGAAACGCCAUUACUAAACGAUUCUUGAUGAUGGGAGCCACCGUGCCAGCUUUGUCGCUGAUUUGCAUGAUUUAUUAGUUGUCCAGAUGGCGGAUUUUGUACUGUUACCUUCUUUUCAUUCUUCAGAGCCAUGUACAGUUCUAGGAUACCAGAGAAACCAAGGUGGCAUUGAAGUUGCCCCGGUGGUUAGUUUUCAGAUCAUUUUUUUUUAAUUCAAUUAUUUAUGUUUUUAGAAAAAUGUAGGAAAUAUGUAGAAAUGUUGACAGCUAUGAUUUUGAAACUUUUGCCUAAAAUUAUUAUCAUUACUUAUUGUUUCUUAUUUAAAGAGAAAUCCUAGAAACAUGAAAUGAUUAUUCUACGCUUGUUUUAAUAUUAUACUAUGAAGAUUAUGAAGGUUUGAUUAUAUGUCACUAUCAAUUGCCUUAAUCGUUUGUCGUAAAUCAAUUAAGCAUUUUGAUGCGAAUGAUUCCCUAUUAAAAAAUUCAAGUCAGAGCUGAAUUGCAAAGUAGUUAGUCGUGCUUGCAAUUCAAAUUAAGUAUUGUAUUUUCUCCCUGAUUUGGUUGAUUCAACUAUGUGCAUUUGCUUAUGAAUGUUGUAGUAUAGAAAUCGAAACAUCUUGUCUUUUGCUAAGCCCAGAAGCAAAUUCUUUGUAUUCUACUCAUCAGUUUUCUUCAUUCUCUUCGUUGAAAUUUUAUCCAAACAGCGGUUUCGAAAUUGUUUUCACUACAAUACCUUAGUCUUUCAGAUGCUCCCGUCACUGAGUUGCCAGAAGAGCUAAAAGCCUUGGUAAAUCUUAAGUGUUUGAACCGGAGUACACAAAUUAUCUCUCUACAAUUCCGAAGCAACUGAUUUGUUACUUUUUGAUGCUACAUGUUCUGCGAAUAUUCAGUUGUGGUUAUCUUGUUCAAAUACCAGAAAAUAGCGUUCUAUUUAGUGGUAAUGAAUUCUUGGUUUGGGAGUUGCUUAGUUUAAAACGUUUAAAUGUAUUAAGCAUCAUCUUGAAAAGUUUUUCUGCCGUCCAAAAACUUAUGAGCUCCCAAAAGUUUCAAAGCCGUACACAAUGCUUGGAGCUUCUAGACUGUGAUGAUCCAAAGUCAUUUGCCUUGGCAGAGUUGAAGCAUCUUGAAAAACUAGGUUUUUCGAGUUGUGGAAAUUUGGAAGAGUUAAAGUUCUGCUGUGUCGAAGUUGCAAAGGCUCGAGAAUGUUUUCGUUUGAACGGCCCUCACUGAGUUAAGAUGAAGGCUUGUCAUAAAUUGUGGGUCUUGAAUCAAAUUUCAAUGCAUGAAUUAAUAUUUUUUAAAAAAAUUACUACACGCAGUUUAGGUUACAAACUAUUUUUUGCAAAGUUGACUAUGAAAUUGGAGAAAUUAAGUAAUUUAUAAUGUUUGCAAAGAAAGAGACUAACAUACUUCCAAUUACACUAUAUCUCUAUUAUCAUAAUGUUAAGACUAAACUAACUUAAAAUAAAUUUUAUUUGAAAAGUUAUAUCAAACGCAAUCUAAUUUUAUUAACUUGAAGAGAUAAUAGUUAUAGAAAUUAUUGUUCUAACUUAAUUAGUAUAAGUGGUAUAAAGGUUAAGUGUGCACUAAAUUCGUUUAAAUUUUUUCCACUAUAACUAACAGAGGUCAUUACUAGAAUUAUAUUACUAGUCUAUUAGAUAGAAAAAAUUAUUUAUAUUGUUUUAUAUUUAUUAAAAAAAUGUAAAGUCAAUCUUUUUAAUUACUAUUUAAAGGAUAUUAUAAUUAGAAAACAUUUAAUGUCUUUAUUAAAAAUUUAAAAAUUUACAUGACCGUUCUAUAAAUAUUUAAAGUGUAACUGUCAUUUUCUCAUAUAUAUAUAUAUAUAUAAACCAUGGUGGUGAAGCUUUAUUUAAUAUUAAUGAUUUAAAUAAUAAUAUCUCAAUUAAAAAUGUAGAGAGAAGAAAUUUCGGUGGGUAUAUUAGUCUUUUACAAUUAUCAUGAUUAGCCCUUCCUCUUGUAAUGUUGGUAAGAAAAGUUUUAAAAUGCCUUGAUUUCUUUUACUUUUAACGUUAGCGGCCUUAUAUUUUAUUACAAAUUAGUCCUAACAAGAAAAAGCAAGAUCAUAUUCCACAAAAGCAAAAGUGACAAAACAACCAACUGGAUUAUUUUUUUAAACUACAAAUUGUAUAGUCUUUUUCAAAUUGUUAUAAAUUGGUGGCCCCUACAAUUAUCAACUGUGCAAGUGCUCAUUCACAAUCUUCCAGGUCAUGCUCUUAAUAAUUGUUUUUUUUUUUUUCUGCAUUCCCUUUCAUGCUCUUAAUAAUUGAAGAGCAUACUUUUCAUUUUCAAAUGUGGAGCCGCAGCUAAUGUCGCUAAUUUAAUUUGGGAUUAAAUUAGGGGACCAUUAUAUUGCAGUGUGCACUAAUUUUUGUGUUUAUCUAAACUCCUUAAAUUUAAGACAUAUUAUGGCAUAAAUAAGAAUAUAAUAAUAACAAAAGAGUUAGAAAGUGUAGAGAAGAUCUUGCAGAAAUAUAAAUAAUAUCUAUUUUAAAAUAAUAUCAAUAUUUAAAAUAAUUUUUAGUAUUUUAUGAUCCAUUAGAUAUAUUUUAUUAUAUUAAAGUAAAUUUUAUAAUAAAUAAAAACGUACUAUUAAAAUGAAUAUAUAGAAAAUUUAGAGUAUUUUAAGUAUUAUAUAAAAUAAAUUUAAUAAAAUAUGUGAGAUAUUCAUAGUUUAUUAAUUUAAAAUACCAUUUUAAAAUUAAAGAUUUAUUUAUGAUAAAUUAAUAAUUAUAUUUUUGAAAUUACUUCAAAUAUUAAAAAAUUAAUAUUACUAAUCUAUUAGAUAGAUUAAAUUAUAUAUAUUAUUUUCUAUUUAUUAAAAAAUUAAAAUUAUUUUUAAUUACUAUUCAAAAAAUAUAAUGAUAAAAAAAUCUUAACAUCUUUAUUAAAAAUUUAAAAAUUUACAUGAUCAAUUCUCUAAAUAUUUAGGGUAGAUGUGAACCACGGUGGAGAAGCUUUAUUUAAUAUUAUUGAUUUAAAUAAUAUGUCAAUUAAAAAUGUACAGAGAAGAAAUUUCGAUGGGUAUUUUAGUCUUUUCAGCAAUUAUCAUGAUCAGAUCAGCCUUUAACCUUGAAACGUCGGUCAGAAAAGUUUUAAAAUGCUUAAUUGUUUUUCACUUUUAACGUUGAUGGCCUUGAAAUUGCUUAUAUUUUAUUAAAAAUUAAUGCUAACAAGAAAAAACUAGGUCAUAUUCCACAAAAUCAAAAGUGACAAAACAACCAGCUGGUUUCUUUUACUAAACUACAAAUUAAAAUAGAUUUUUUCGAUAAAUUACAAAUUAAAGUGGAUUCUUUUUUUUUUUUGAAAGGUAAAGUGGAUUCUUUUGAAUACAAGUGAGACAGAUUAGGCUCUUUUUAUUAAAGACAAGUAAAAACUAGUCAAGAAUCGAAUAAUCCUUUUCAAAAUCUUGUUUUAUUAUUUUUCAAAACUAGUUUUUGGUAAUUACAAUCGGGUCAUUAAUCAUUAUUCAAAGUUAGCGGCUCAUGUUUGCAAGUGUGAAUGUGCGAUGCUGCAAUUACAGUGGGGCCCGAAUCAGACGUGCCGAAUAAAUCUUUUUAAAAUUUUUGCCGUAUAACGAACAGAGGUCAUUACUAAAAUUUCUCUUCCAAAGCCCACAGCAGCUUCAGUUUAUCAAACUCAAUCAAUUUUCUUUCUUAACAAAAUUCCAAAGAUGUGUAGCAUUUUUCAGAUCACAUGCGAUGGUGCUCUUUUCAAUCGUUGCUUGGAUUGCUUUCUUGGAGAAGCAGCAUACAUAAGCAAACUCCAAGAUAAUCUUGAUGCCUUGGAGACUGAACUGGGAAGACUAAUCGCAGCAAAGAACGAUGUGAUGAUGAGGGUUGUCAAUGCUGAACGGCAACAAAUGAGAAGGCGGGAAGGAGUGCAACAAUGGGUUUCGAGGGUGGAUGCUGUUAAAACUGGAGCCGAUGAACUUAUCACAGACGGCUCUGAAGAAAUUGGCAAAUUAUGUGUUGGAGGCUACUGUUCCAAGAACUGCAGGUCAAGCUACAAGUUCGGAAAACAAGUGGCUAAAAAGCUACAAGAUGUGAAGACUUUAAUCGCCGAGGGAGUUUUUGAGGCGGUGGCUACUGAGGUGGUGCCCGAGAGAGCUCCGGAACCUGUAGCAGAUAAAAGACCCAUUGAGCCAACAAUAGUAGGCUUGCAAUCACAGCUUGAACAAGUUUGGAGAUGUCUUGUAGUAGAAGAAUCAGUGGGAAUCAUUGGCCUAUAUGGUAUGGGCGGUGUUGGUAAAACCACACUAUUGACCCGUAUCAACAAUAAAUUUCUUGAGAGUCAAAACAACUUUGAUUGUGUGAUUUGGGUCGUAGUUUCAAAAGACCUGCGGCUUGAAAAAAUUCAAGACGAUAUUGGGAAGAAGAUAGGUCUGUCUGAUGAUUCAUGGAAGAAUAAAAGUGUUGAGGAGAAAGCUGUAGACAUCUUGCGGAGAUUACGAGAGAAGAGAUUUGUAUUGUUGCUAGAUGAUAUAUGGGAGCGGGUUGAUUUAACAGAAGUGGGCAUUCCACUUCCCAGCCCACAAAAUACUACAUCAAAAGUCGUAUUCACGACCCGUUUCAUUGAUGUGUGUGGUAGCAUGGAAAGUCACAGGAAGUUUGAAGUGGCAUGCUUAUCAGAAGAGGAUGCUUGGGAGCUGUUUCGAGAAAAAGUAGGGCAAGAAACUCUUGAGAGUGAUCAUGAGAUCGUUGAGCUAGCCCAAACUGUGGCCAAAGAGUGUGGUGGUUUGCCACUNNNNNNNNNNNNNNNNNNNNNNNNNNNNNNNNNNNNNNNNNNNNNNNNNNNNNNNNNNNNNNNNNNNNNNNNNNNNNNNNNNNNNNNNNNNNNNNNNNNNNNNNNNNNNNNNNNNNNNNNNNNNNNNNNNNNNNNNNNNNNNNNNNNNNNNNNNNAUUGAUUGUUGGAUUGGUGAGGGAUUUUUGGGGGAAUCUGACAGGUUUGGUGCAGAAAACCAAGGAUAUGACAUUUUGGACACUCUUGUUCGUGCAUGUUUAUUGGAAGAGGUGGAAGAUGAUAAAGUAAAAAUGCAUGACGUUAUUCGUGAUAUGGCUCUAUGGAUAACUGGUGAAAUUGAGAAGGAGAAGCGAAACUUUUUGGUUUGUGCAGGUGCUGGAUUAAAUGAGGCACCGGAUGUUAAAGGAUGGGAAAACGUGAGAAGAUUGUCAUUGAUGCAAAACCAAAUUGAAACUCUGUCAGAGGUUCCUACAUGCCCUCAUCUCCUCACUUUAUUUCUUGACUUUAAUGAGGAUGUGGAGAUGAUCGCGGAUGGCUUCUUCCAAUUUAUGCCUUCUCUCAAAGUUUUGAAGAUGUCAAACUGUGGAAAGAGUUGGAGCAAUUUUCAAUUACCUGUUGGGAUGUCAGAGUUGGGUUCAUCACUAGAACUUCUUGAUAUUUCACAUACCAGCAUAAGAGAGUUACCAGAGGAGUUAAAGAAGUUGGUAAAUCUGAAAUGUUUGAAUUUGAGGCGGACAGAAUUGUUAAAUAAAAUUCCACGGCAACUAAUAUCAAAUUCUUCAAGGUUACGUGUGUUNNNNNNNNNNNNNNNNNNNNNNNNNNNNNNNNNNNNNNNNNNNNNNNNNNNNNNNNNNNNNNNNNNNNNNNNNNNNNNNNNNNNNNNNNNNNNNNNNNNNGCGUUUUAUUUGGUGGGGGUGAAGUUUUGAUACAGGAAUUGCUCGGUUUGAAAUAUUUAGAGGUAUUGGAGUUGACCUUGGGAAGUUAUCAUGCUCUCCAAAUUCUUUUGAGCUCAAAUAAGUUAAAAAGUUGUAUUCGAUCUCUUCUCCUCCACUUGGCCAGAGAUACAACGUCGGUUAUCGAUGCUACGGCUUUCGCAGAUCUAAACCACCUCAAUGAAUUAUGGAUUGAUAGGGCUAAGGAGUUGGAAUUAUUGAAGAUUGAUUAUACGGAGAUAGUUCGAAAAAGGCGGGAACCUUUUGUUUUCCGCAGCCUUCACUGUGUUACUAUACAUAUCUGCCAGAAGUUGAAAGAUACGACAUUCCUCGUUUUUGCUCCAAACCUCAAGUCUCUUUCGCUAUUCCAUUGCGGUGCUAUGGAAGAAAUAAUCAGCGUCGGAAAAUUUGCUGAGGUUCCUGAGAUGAUGGGACAUAUAAGCCCUUUUGAAAAUCUCCGACUUCUUCGUUUGUCACAUUUGCCAAAUUUGAAGAGCAUCUACUGGAAGCCAUUGCCUUUCACUCAUCUGAAAGAAAUGGUGGUACGUGGGUGUGAUCAGCUUGAAAAGCUUCCACUCGAUUCCAACAGUGCAAAAGAGCGUAAAUUUGUAAUUCGUGGAGAAGAAGACUGGUGGAACCUACUUCAAUGGGAGGAUGAAUCCACUCAAAUUGCUUUUCGUUCCUGUUUCCAGCCUCGUUCUUGAGCAGUGGCCGCAAAAUUUGAUUUCUGGUGAGUGCGUUUGUCUUUUAAAAAGAAUAAUUUAAAAGAAAUUUAUUCUUGUCGUUUUCUUCACUGUUUUUAUUUCAGUUUCUCUCUCUCUGUCUCUCUCUUUUUGUCUUCUACAAAUCACAAUUAAAUGUUGAAUUAAUGGAAUUAAUGCUUCAUAAAUUUGCCGGCACUGCCAUUACUUUUUUUUUUAAUACAAAUUGAUACUUUAUUUAUAUCUUCUUAGCGAUAUAAUUUCCUGUCAAUUGACGAACGAGAAGAACAUAUGACUUAAACCAAUUCUCGCAUAAACUUGCUGUAAAAAGAUAUAAUCUCACUGAAAUGCACACGUCUAGAAAGAAUAGAAUUAAAACAGGGAAAAUCUUUACCGAAAAUCAAAUGACAAUAAAUUUUUUGAAGUUUUGAUUUUCUAUGGUCAAUUCCACCUUUUGCAAUUUCUUCUGUUCUAACAAAAACCAAUUUCUUUGUUCAAGUAUUUUCGUUUGGGUAUUAAUAAUUCUCCACCGAAAGAGUGAACUCUUGCUCAAGGGAUCUCUAAUCAAUAGCCGGAAGGGCGCCGAGACCUGAUCGGACCUAGGCCCAAGUUUGGUCUUAAAGCCUGGGCUUGAGCCUGGCAAUUAAAUUAAAACAUUAAUUUAUUUCUUGAUUGAAUUGUCGUGUAAUUGAUUUAUGGGGGAUGACACAUCAACAUACUUGAAAAUACACUAAUCUCAGCAUCAUCGGUUAAUAACUUUUAGAUUUAUGGGUAAUCAAUAGUUAAGAUUAGUUGUCAUUAAUACUAAAUAAUUUUUACUUUUUUUUGUCUCUUCUAGAGGAUCUUCUAGAAAAAUGCAUCUGCAAUUAAAUUUAAUACUUUACAUAAUAAACAAAGCAUAAAUGUUAAAUUUAAGAAACUGCAUUGUAUUUCAGCUGAAGUUGACUUUAAUAUUUAGGGUAGAAAAAAAUUAAAUCCUUAAUGUGUUUAAUUUGUAUCACUUGUGUCAUUAAAAUUUUCUAGUCACCCUAACCAAUUACAUCUCAACCCACUUUUUUUUGGAUGAUUUUAUUUUUACACUAUUAUUUUCAACAUUUUUUUCCUUUUAACACCAACAUUAGUGUAUGUUACGUAACAUAAUUCAUAUUUGGAUAAUUUGAAAUUUGUUUGUGUUUUAUCUCAAAAUAGAGCUUCAAUCAAUUUGUACCUCAUAAAUUCACAAUAUCUAUGAAGGCUAAUAAGACCAAACUCUGGCAUAUUGUCAAAUGUGCUUAUCCUUUUGCUUGACAUGUCAUUUUAAAAUUGUCAUUCAAUGCCAAAAAAUCACAUCAACUAAUGGCCGAUAAUUAUAACUUAAUUGUUAUAUUGAAAUUUUUUUCUUUAUAAUUUUUAAGUUUAAUACUGCUACAUGUGUAGCACAUAAGUUGGAAAAUAUAACAAAAAUUGAAAAAUGUGUAGUUUUCGUUCCUUUUUUUCCCCUUAAAAAUGAAAAAAAAACAACAGUAAUUUUGUUUAAAUUACUGUUGUGAUAACAAGUAUUAUUUUAUUGAUUAAUUGGCAGAUAAUCAUUAUGGUUUCGUAUGGUUGUUAAAAGAUUGGAAAGUCCACUACAUCAUCCGUUAAUAACUUUCAGAUUUAUGGUUAAUCAAUAGCUGAGAUUUAUUAUCAUUAAUGCUAAAUAUUUUUUUCUCUCUCCUAGAGAAUCAUCCACAGCAAAAAUUUAAUAUUGUAAAUAGUAAACAAAAUAUAAACGUUAAAUUUAAGAAACUGCAUUGCAUUUCAGCCGAAGCUAACUUUAAUAUUUAAUGGAGAAAAAUAAUUAAGUCCUUAAUGUAUUUUAUUUACCCAUACAUGUGGCUAAUUAUUUAAGAUAAAGGGGAAGGAUGAUGCUCAAAAAUAUAAAUUAUAGAAUUAAUUGAACUCUCAAGUAAGUUUAAAGUUCAUUAUUUUUAAUUACAUGUUUAUAAUUUAUUUUUAUUUCGUAUUAAUCUAUAGAUCUAAAUCCACUUUGGAUUCAUAUACAUAUAUAGACAUAAUGUGUAUGUUAAUCUAUAGGUCUAAAUUCAUUUUAGGUCUAAAUCCACUUUGAAAAAGAUAAACUUUAAAUUUACUUAAGAGAGUAAUUAAUUUCAUAGUUAAAAUCUUUAAAUUUUACCCCUCAUCUUAACUUAAGAAAAUUAAUCACUUAUUUUAUUUAACAAAGAAGAGAUUUUUUUUCCCCCUAUAUUUUCCAAUUAUUUCUCUCCCUCUCGCUCCCUCAAGUUAUACAACUUGACGUGAAAUAUGAGUGGUCUGAUUCUAGCUUAAAUAAUUUAUUGUGACAUGCUAUCGAAGGACAAUACAAUACCUAGCUCUACAUAUUUUAUUUAACCUCCGGCUCACCCUGUGCAAACUUGCCUUUCCCCUGCAAGACAAGAUUAAUCAAUGUAUCAAGUCUCAAAUUCAAUUUGGAAUAUGACCAUCGUACGCUCUUGUUCUUCCCUCUUUACGAGUGCAUUCCCCCCAACCUCAAGCUCCCUCUCUCGUCUUCAAUGUCACUGCUUAUAUCCUUAUGUUGUUCUCAAAUUCUGAUUUCACCAUAUUUUAAUUACUGAUUAGCAUAUAUUCAAGUGCUCUCCAUUAUAAUAGAAGCCGCCGCCUCACUCGUGAUUCCAAACUUUAUCUUUUUUCCUUUUUUAAAUUAAUGCAAGUAGCCGCUGUCCUUUUUAUUAAUUAAUUAAUUCGGCCGCCCACAUUUCUUUUCCUAAUGUCUUCUACUGUCGAUUUUCUUUUAUUUUUUCUUUAUUCUUAAAAUAUGCUUUUAAUAAUAAAAUAUAAAAAUAUAAAUUAAAAUAAAAAUAUCAAAAUAUAAUUUAACAGAAAAUUAAGAUAAAAAAUGAAAAAAAAUUAUGAGCAUAUCAAUUAAUAAAUAAAAAUAAUAAUUUUUAUUUUUAUUAAAUAUAUAUUUUUCAGUAUUAAUCAAUUAUCUGAAUAACUAAAAUCAUUUAAAAAUAAAUAAAUAAAUUAUUCUUUAAAAACAAAAAGAAAAGAAACUUUUUAUAACACUCACCAUGCUGUUUGUAGGGUAGACGGUUUGGGGACUGAAGUUGGUAACUUCUACAAGUAGUCUUAAGUUGACUGGCAACAACUAUAUUGGCAUUUUGACAUACUGUACUGCAACCAUAUUGGUAUGUUCAAAUGUUCUUACUAUUGUAUUGGUGUGUCAAUAUUAUCUCUAACUGUCCUAUAGAUAAAAAAAUAAUCUAAAUUUAUAAUUUAACAUAAAAUAAAAUAAUUAGUUAUAGAUAAAAAAAUAAUUUAAAUUUAUAAUUUAACAUAAAAUAAAAUAAUUGGUAGAAAAACAAUUAUGGUUCAUUUACUUAUCAGUAAUCAGAAUAGACUGAAAUCGAAAUAAGUUGUAUUGCCGUUGAUGUGUUUAUGUUGUCCUCGAAUCGGAAUGAAUUAUUUUAAGUUACUAAAAUACCCUUGGUUUGUUAUUCUAAUAAUUAUUAUUUAAUAUUUAUUAUAAUAUUUUUCAUAUUAUUAAAAAGAAAUAAUAAUGAUGAUAAUAUUAUCAUUAUUGUUUGUUACAUUAUUAUUAUUCAAAAAAAUUAUUGUUAAUAACAAUAAUUACUUUAUUUCAAUAAUAAUAAUGAUAAAAUUAAUAAUAACAAACAUGACAACAACAAUAAUUAUUUAUUAUGCCAAAAAUAACAAUAAUAAUAAGAAUAAUAGUCAUCAUCAUUUUUUUUCCCAAAGAAGCAUUAUCAUCAUCAUUUCAAAAAAAAAAAAAAUCAUCAUUAUCAUCAUCGUUUUUGUAGUGGCUGCCUAUCGACUGCUGCUUUCAUGUGAGAUUGACUUGCGACGCUUCAACGGCUAUUAUUUCUGGCAAUGUCAGGUGUUACUGUUUCAAUUUAGGAAGAAGUUGUUUCGUUGUACUAACGAUGGGAGAUGUUGUGGCUGCGAUUCGGGGAGCUACUAGUUUAUUGCACUAAUGACGGCAGGUGCUGCUGCUUGAUGCGAGGUCCAUGGCCAGUUGUCAGCAGUUUGACUUUGGUAUGGGUGCUACUGGUUUGAUUUUAGGUGUUGUCCAAUUUCAUUUUCAGGAUUUUAAUUUUAUUUUUUCUUUAAUGUUUUCAUUAAUUAAUCAGGGCAAAGUUGGAUUUUAGAAUUUAGAAUGAAGGUAAUUUUGUUAAUCAUGGAAAUGAGAUUCUGAUUGUCGAGAAUGAGCUUAUACAAGCAACUGCAAAUUAAGUGAAAACAAAACGCUUUUUCUCUUUGUGUGAUUAAAACAUGAUAUGUAUCAUAAAUAAAUAAGUAAAAAAUAAAUCAAUACAAUCCAAAACAGUAAACAAAUUACAAGAGGUACAGAUUUUUAUGUGAAACACCGAAAAUAGAAAAAAACCACAGUAUCUUAGUCUGAUAUAAUCUUCUACUGUAUUAAUGGGAUUACAGCACAAAUUCUUCCCUAUAUACCACUAGAGGUUAACAACAUCUAGAUUCUCAAUAAUAUUGACUUACAAUACAGCUUAAUAUAUGUCUCUCUAAUAAGUAGAUAUCUAAAAUAACAAUCUCUAAUAAAUAAGUAUCUCAAAUAACCGUCUCUAAUAAGUAGGUAUCUUAAAUAAUAGUCAACAAGAGGAUAAAACAAAAAAUUAAGAUUAGUAGGAUGUGUAUCAGGCAAUGCUAUCAACUUAUUAUCUAAAUUUGAGAAAAAUAGUUAAAUUCACUUUUUCGAUUGUCCGACCAAAGAUGGAAACCCUUGCCCCAAAACCAAAGGAAUCAACAUUGUGUCUCUCUCUCUCUCUCUCUCUCUCGUUAUUUUCUUCUACUUUUCUUAAUGUUAGCCGCCACUUGCUUUUAUUCUUUAUAGCAUUUAAAAAGCUACUUUUAAUGGUAAAUUUAUAAGUCCAAACUUGGUGAUAAUUGCACACCAAACAAUCCUUACAUAGUCUUUUAGACCUCUAAAUGAGAUGAAUACAGUAAAUUUCCCCUUUUAGAUCAUGUGGGGGGCACCACAAGGCCACUCUCUGCAUAUAGCUUUUCAACUUCUCCUUGAAUAAUGUCUUUGUCAUCAUACAUAACCCAUUCUCCGUUGUGUAAAUCUUCUCAAGCUGUAAAUGUUCCUUCUCAAGCACAUCUCGUAUCUAACGAUACCUCACAUCAAUAUGCUUAAAUUUCGAAUGGUAUAUCAAAUUCUUUGAACGACACUCUGACUGUCGUAGUACAUAACAUAGUUGUCUCGUUUUACACCGAGCUCUUAUAGGAAAUUCUUCGUCCACAAUAUUUUUUUGCAACCUUCAAUAAUUGUAAUAUCAUUUGCUUUAGUGGUAGAAAAGGCAACUUAUUACUAAAGUUUAGAUUGCGAUGAGACUGCUCCCCUUGCAAAAGUGAGCAAACAUCCUAGUAGGAGUUUUUCGGAAUCAACAUCUCCUGCCAUAUCUACACAAUUGUAAAACAUGUUUGUCACUACCAAAAUAUAAACGUGCUCUGGAAAUGCCUCUAAGAUAUUUGAGAAUUUUUCACUGUUGUCCAGUGCUGAAGCAUAAGGAACUCCUCUCAUGGAGAAAUGGAUUUUGCUCUUAGAGAUUUUUGGNNNNNNNNNNNNNNNNNNNNNNNNNNNNNNNNNNNNNNNNNNNNNNNNNNNNNNNNNNNNNNNNNNNNNNNNNNNNNNNNNNNNNNNNNNNNNNNNNNNNGACACUUUUUCAGGAGAUGCAAACUUCAAAUAUAAUGGGAGACGAGUUUACCAUUGUUAGCAUUCUUACAGCUCGUGCGAAUCUGGGGGCACUAGAACUGGGAGAAUGGAUAAAGACUUAUACUGACAAAAACAAAGUCAAGAAUGAUAUAUUUGCGGGGAACGUUUUGAUAGACGUGUACUGUAAAUGCGGAGAUGUUGAGAAAGCUCAAAAGGUAUUCAGGAAGAUGCUUUGAAAGGACAAAUUCACAUGGACGACCAUGAUUGUUGGCCUUGCCAUCAGUGGCAAUGGUGAUAAAGCUCUUGAUAUGUUUUCCCAAAUGCUUAGGGCUUCGAUCAAACCGAAUGAGGUAGCUUAUGUUGGUGUUCUGUCUGCCUGUACUCACAAUGGUAAUGAAACUUUUGUGAUAAAUAGUUGCAACUAAAGGUGAGAAUUGGAGGAAAGGAAAUAGACUGAAGUUGUUCAAUCAUCAGUGGUUGCUAUUUGGUUUUAAGUUGUUCAAUCAUCGGUCGUCUCUAUUUGGUUUUCUCCAAUAUCUCAUCUUCAGUUUUGACUCAGAUUCUAUCUUACCACUAGUAAUUACAUAGACUUGCUGCCAAAGGUAAGAAUGGGAAUAAAUUAAAUAGAUUAUGUCGAAAACGAAAUAAAUUUACUAUUGUUCUGUUCAUUCUAUUUGUUUCCUACAAAAUAUUUCUCCUGCCUAAAAUUUUUUGAAUCAGUAAGUUUUUACCUUAUGCAAGAAUUGUGCUGAGAGUAAUUCCAUUUCUCAGUCUCUUUAUGUUUCAAUGAAGACGUAAAACUUGUGUUCUAGUGCACCAAUGUUUAUGCUUCUUACAAUUUGACUUUAAUUUACUUUGUAAAACUUUUGUCAAAAAGUACUAAAAAGUAGUGCACCAAACACCAACUUUAUUACACUUUAGUUUAAUUUUAAGAGAACACUCAAAAGAAAGAGUUAUAAAUUAGUAUAGAAAUAUUUCACAUAAAUAAAAGCCAUCCCAUGCUACAAAGAUCUUGCUAUCAUCACCAAAAACUAUCGGGAGCUUUUAGGGUUUCCAAAAAAAUGUCAUUUCGUUCCAAAAGUCAAUGGUGGGUAGAAAGUGGUGCAAAUGAGACUCAUUGUUAAUGGUAUAAGUUUUUGCUUAAUUAUGUCUUCCCCAAGAUGAUGAUUUAAUUUCCAUUCUCAAUUAAUUUUCAAGUUUCAACACUUUUCUAUCUAGCAUGACAUUGGAAAGAUCUUGUACAGUUGUACUACUAAAAGCUAGCACCACACGUUAGUUAUUGUUAAGUUCUUUUUCAACGUGAAAUAAAGGAAGUAGUCCCUCGUUAAAACCAUUAUAGCCAAAUUUCACCUAAUUGGACACUUACAGACUUUCAUUUCAAGUUGGAUUUUGGUCCAACGUUUCAAAGUUGGCCCAAUUAUUUUUGUCUGGUCAAGUCCUACGCAGCUAAGCCCCUCAAUGAAUGAGGGUGAGAUUGCUAAAAAUUACGACAGGUGAUAUUUUAUUGUUAUUAUUAUUAUUUUUGGGGGAUAAAUCCUCACCAAAGUGAGGAGAUUUUAUCAAAAUCAAAAUAAAAAUAUAACAAGAACUGAAAGUCGGGCAGCCUAAAAGCUAGAUGAACUAAAAGUCAGGCGCCUAAAAACAACCUUAUGCAAAAGAAAAGCAACAUGAGACCGAUCAAGUAAAAGAAUCCACCGCAACACCUAAAUUGGCCAAAUUAUCUGUUGGUAUUACAAGUUUCUUGUUAUAAAAGUGUAGAAUGAAGUAGGUGACGUAGUUUUAAGUUACAGCUGCAUGCCCAAUCGCAAUAUCAAAUAAUGCUUAAAGUAGUUGCCUAGGCGCCACAAUUUAUAUUAACUCUUAAAUUUAUAAAUAAUUAAAUUUUUAAAAGUUUGGAUUUAUAUUAAAAAAUCUUCAUAUAAAUAAAUCAUAUAUGCACUUUUACAACACAGUCUUUAAAUUUAAAUUUUUCUAGAAAAAUCUUCUGUAUAUCUUUUCUAUUAAAAAAUUUCCAUAUAAAUAAAUAAUAUACCUAAUUUAAUUGGACCCAGCACAACGUACAUGCAUAGAACACAUUCCGAAAAGCCAUGCUAUUCGGAAAUUGACGAAUGAAAAGUGAGGAGGCAGCAGUCAAUGCUACUUCGGCUUGGCCCAAAAUUGAUUUAUCAGUUUCACGUAUGCCAGGAAUGAAGAACUGGAAUAUCCCCGUCAAGCAAGCAACCUGUGGAGCAAUACCAUAGAAUGCACAAUCCGGCUUUGCAAAGUGACACUGGAGGCUUUUUGAAAAGUGCUUCAUGCUCACUUGCACAGAUUGAGCAUCCCCUCUGGAUAUUGCCCUCUCUGAUCGAGUCUGAGCACUCAAAUUUCGGUCCUCAGAUGGAGCUACAGCUUUCUCUCCCAAUAACCAACAAUUUUCUAAACUCAGCACCCUCGUGUGAUCAGAGUUGUUGAUAUUUGCAAAUGGAGAUCCCCCAUAUUUGCAAAUGGAGACAUUUAACAAAUCACCAACAUGUUUCAUUCAGUCUACGAAAUUCUGCAGCUUAUUCAAAUCCGGAACCUGAACCAGAGUCGGAGGUAAAUCUUGAGCCAUAUCUAAAGCAGCCUGAAGUUCAAGUACUUGAGCCCUUGACAAUGGUUUUGAAAUUGGAACAUCUUGGAUUACUGCAGAUUUGUACCCCUUGGUUUCAAAAGUGUGAGAGGCAUUGCUCGAGUACAAUUUGGAGGCAGCUUCUUCACCAAUUUUAUUUGGAGGCGAUUGGCAGCGGAUCCAGCUGCACCAAUUUCAGAGCAAAUACUGACACUACUUCGAACAGCACGCUGAAGAAGAGAUAUGUCUAUGGCAAAGGCAAUGCAGUCCUUAUUUUGACUUGAGAUGCAGUAAUCAUCAAAGAGAGUUUCCUUGUGAAACUGGGCAAAGCAUCGAAUCCCUUCACCACUGAGAAGGUUGUGGAGGAAGUGAGCUUUCUCUCUUGUGAGGAAGAGGUGGCGUGCCUUCCCCAUUUUGUCUAGGGCAGGUAUAAAUCUCUUUUCUAAGAGAUUUACUCCAUUCUCUGUGAGAAAUGCUUUGAACUUCAUCCCUCUGUCUGUAUCCUCACUUAUCAGGAAAAUAGUUGAAAGCGCUACAAGGAUAGAGAAGGAAAGUAUUAAGAUAAAUAGACAAGAAAAAUAUUAGAUGCCGAUCUUACAAACUAAUACUCCAAACACUAUCCUAGAAAGCUAAAAACUGAAGGAUGGCUUGAAAUUUUGAAAAGAACACAUGCUUUUCCUCCUUAACUUGGGAAAAUGUUUAAUAUAGUGCAACUUACAGAAGCAUUUAAGCAAUUAGAAAUUAGCACAAAAACAUCAAGAAGACUAAACAAAUCAGAUGCAGUGUAUUUGUCCAAGCACAAAUUGCAUUUUGUCCUCAACUUUAAUAUUUAUUGAUGAGAAUCAAUACAGGUCCCUCAUUUGUUAUAGAAAGCUUUCUUGUAGUCUCACCAGUUAAUUCACAGGUCUAUAAUCAUCUUGCAAAGUUAAGGGCAUUCUUCCGAUCUAAAGUCUUGCAUCACCACCUNNNNNNNNNNNNNNNNNNNNNNNNNNNNNNNNNNNNNNNNNNNNNNNNNNNNNNNNNNNNNNNNNNNNNNNNNNNNNNNNNNNNNNNNNNNNNNNNNNNNNNNNNNNNNNNNNNNNNNNNNNNNNNNNNNNNNNNNNNNNNNNNNNNNNNNNNNNNNNNNNNNNNNNNNNNNNNNNNNNNNNNNNNNNNNNNNNNNNNNNNNNNNNNNNNNNNNNNNNNNNNNNNNNNNNNNNNNNNNNNNNNNNNNNNNNNNNNNNNNNNNNNNNNNNNNNNNNNNNNNNNNNNNNNNNNNNNNNNNNNNNNNNNNNNNNNNNNNNNNNNNNNNNNNNNNNNNNNNNNNNNNNNNNNNNNNNNNNNNNNNNNNNNNNNNNNNNNNNNNNNNNNNNNNNNNNNNNNNNNNNNNNNNNNNNNNNNNNNNNNNNNNNNNNNNNNNNNNNNNNNNNNNNNNNNNNNNNNNNNNNNNNNNNNNNNNNNNNNNNNNNNNNNNNNNNNNNNNNNNNNNNNNNNNNNNNNNNNNNNNNNNNNNNNNNNNNNNNNNNNNNNNNNNNNNNNNNNNNNNNNNNNNNNNNNNNNNNNNNNNNNNNNNNNNNNNNNNNNNNNNNNNNNNNNNNNNNNNNNNNNNNNNNNNNNNNNNNNNNNNNNNNNNNNNNNNNNNNNNNNNNNNNNNNNNNNNNNNNNNNNNNNNNNNNNNNNNNNNNNNNNNNNNNNNNNNNNNNNNNNNNNNNNNNNNNNNNNNNNNNNNNNNNNNNNNNNNNNNNNNNNNNNNNNNNNNNNNNNNNNNNNNNNNNNNNNNNNNNNNNNNNNNNNNNNNNNNNNNNNNNNNNNNNNNNNNNNNNNNNNNNNNNNNNNNNNNNNNNNNNNNNNNNNNNNNNNNNNNNNNNNNNNNNNNNNNNNNNNNNNNNNNNNNNNNNNNNNNNNNNNNNNNNNNNNNNNNNNNNNNNNNNNNNNNNNNNNNNNNNNNNNNNNNNNNNNNNNNNNNNNNNNNNNNNNNNNNNNNNNNNNNNNNNNNNNNNNNNNNNNNNNNNNNNNNNNNNNNNNNNNNNNNNNNNNNNNNNNNNNNNNNNNNNNNNNNNNNNNNNNNNNNNNNNNNNNNNNNNNNNNNNNNNNNNNNNNNNNNNNNNNNNNNNNNNNNNNNNNNNNNNNNNNNNNNNNNNNNNNNNNNNNNNNNNNNNNNNNNNNNNNNNNNNNNNNNNNNNNNNNNNNNNNNNNNNNNNNNNNNNNNNNNNNNNNNNNNNNNNNNNNNNNNNNNNNNNNNNNNNNNNNNNNNNNNNNNNNNNNNNNNNNNNNNNNNNNNNNNNNNNNNNNNNNNNNNNNNNNNNNNNNNNNNNNNNNNNNNNNNNNNNNNNNNNNNNNNNNNNNNNNNNNNNNNNNNNNNNNNNNNNNNNNNNNNNNNNNNNNNNNNNNNNNNNNNNNNNNNNNNNNNNNNNNNNNNNNNNNNNNNNNNNNNNNNNNNNNNNNNNNNNNNNNNNNNNNNNNNNNNNNNNNNNNNNNNNNNNNNNNNNNNNNNNNNNNNNNNNNNNNNNNNNNNNNNNNNNNNNNNNNNNNNNNNNNNNNNNNNNNNNNNNNNNNNNNNNNNNNNNNNNNNNNNNNNNNNNNNNNNNNNNNNNNNNNNNNNNNNNNNNNNNNNNNNNNNNNNNNNNNNNNNNNNNNNNNNNNNNNNNNNNNNNNNNNNNNNNNNNNNNNNNNNNNNNNNNNNNNNNNNNNNNNNNNNNNNNNNNNNNNNNNNNNNNNNNNNNNNNNNNNNNNNNNNNNNNNNNNNNNNNNNNNNNNNNNNNNNNNNNNNNNNNNNNNNNNNNNNNNNNNNNNNNNNNNNNNNNNNNNNNNNNNNNNNNNNNNNNNNNNNNNNNNNNNNNNNNNNNNNNNNNNNNNNNNNNNNNNNNNNNNNNNNNNNNNNNNNNNNNNNNNNNNNNNNNNNNNNNNNNNNNNNNNNNNNNNNNNNNNNNNNNNNNNNNNNNNNNNNNNNNNNNNNNNNNNNNNNNNNNNNNNNNNNNNNNNNNNNNNNNNNNNNNNNNNNNNNNNNNNNNNNNNNNNNNNNNNNNNNNNNNNNNNNNNNNNNNNNNNNNNNNNNNNNNNNNNNNNNNNNNNNNNNNNNNNNNNNNNNNNNNNNNNNNNNNNNNNNNNNNNNNNNNNNNNNNNNNNNNNNNNNNNNNNNNNNNNNNNNNNNNNNNNNNNNNNNNNNNNNNNNNNNNNNNNNNNNNNNNNNNNNNNNNNNNNNNNNNNNNNNNNNNNNNNNNNNNNNNNNNNNNNNNNNNNNNNNNNNNNNNNNNNNNNNNNNNNNNNNNNNNNNNNNNNNNNNNNNNNNNNNNNNNNNNNNNNNNNNNNNNNNNNNNNNNNNNNNNNNNNNNNNNNNNNNNNNNNNNNNNNNNNNNNNNNNNNNNNNNNNNNNNNNNNNNNNNNNNNNNNNNNNNNNNNNNNNNNNNNNNNNNNNNNNNNNNNNNNNNNNNNNNNNNNNNNNNNNNNNNNNNNNNNNNNNNNNNNNNNNNNNNNNNNNNNNNNNNNNNNNNNNNNNNNNNNNNNNNNNNNNNNNNNNNNNNNNNNNNNNNNNNNNNNNNNNNNNNNNNNNNNNNNNNNNNNNNNNNNNNNNNNNNNNNNNNNNNNNNNNNNNNNNNNNNNNNNNNNNNNNNNNNNNNNNNNNNNNNNNNNNNNNNNNNNNNNNNNNNNNNNNNNNNNNNNNNNNNNNNNNNNNNNNNNNNNNNNNNNNNNNNNNNNNNNNNNNNNNNNNNNNNNNNNNNNNNNNNNNNNNNNNNNNNNNNNNNNNNNNNNNNNNNNNNNNNNNNNNNNNNNNNNNNNNNNNNNNNNNNNNNNNNNNNNNNNNNNNNNNNNNNNNNNNNNNNNNNNNNNNNNNNNNNNNNNNNNNNNNNNNNNNNNNNNNNNNNNNNNNNNNNNNNNNNNNNNNNNNNNNNNNNNNNNNNNNNNNNNNNNNNNNNNNNNNNNNNNNNNNNNNNNNNNNNNNNNNNNNNNNNNNNNNNNNNNNNNNNNNNNNNNNNNNNNNNNNNNNNNNNNNNNNNNNNNNNNNNNNNNNNNNNNNNNNNNNNNNNNNNNNNNNNNNNNNNNNNNNNNNNNNNNNNNNNNNNNNNNNNNNNNNNNNNNNNNNNNNNNNNNNNNNNNNNNNNNNNNNNNNNNNNNNNNNNNNNNNNNNNNNNNNNNNNNNNNNNNNNNNNNNNNNNNNNNNNNNNNNNNNNNNNNNNNNNNNNNNNNNNNNNNNNNNNNNNNNNNNNNNNNNNNNNNNNNNNNNNNNNNNNNNNNNNNNNNNNNNNNNNNNNNNNNNNNNNNNNNNNNNNNNNNNNNNNNNNNNNNNNNNNNNNNNNNNNNNNNNNNNNNNNNNNNNNNNNNNNNNNNNNNNNNNNNNNNNNNNNNNNNNNNNNNNNNNNNNNNNNNNNNNNNNNNNNNNNNNNNNNNNNNNNNNNNNNNNNNNNNNNNNNNNNNNNNNNNNNNNNNNNNNNNNNNNNNNNNNNNNNNNNNNNNNNNNNNNNNNNNNNNNNNNNNNNNNNNNNNNNNNNNNNNNNNNNNNNNNNNNNNNNNNNNNNNNNNNNNNNNNNNNNNNNNNNNNNNNNNNNNNNNNNNNNNNNNNNNNNNNNNNNNNNNNNNNNNNNNNNNNNNNNNNNNNNNNNNNNNNNNNNNNNNNNNNNNNNNNNNNNNNNNNNNNNNNNNNNNNNNNNNNNNNNNNNNNNNNNNNNNNNNNNNNNNNNNNNNNNNNNNNNNNNNNNNNNNNNNNNNNNNNNNNNNNNNNNNNNNNNNNNNNNNNNNNNNNNNNNNNNNNNNNNNNNNNNNNNNNNNNNNNNNNNNNNNNNNNNNNNNNNNNNNNNNNNNNNNNNNNNNNNNNNNNNNNNNNNNNNNNNNNNNNNNNNNNNNNNNNNNNNNNNNNNNNNNNNNNNNNNNNNNNNNNNNNNNNNNNNNNNNNNNNNNNNNNNNNNNNNNNNNNNNNNNNNNNNNNNNNNNNNNNNNNNNNNNNNNNNNNNNNNNNNNNNNNNNNNNNNNNNNNNNNNNNNNNNNNNNNNNNNNNNNNNNNNNNNNNNNNNNNNNNNNNNNNNNNNNNNNNNNNNNNNNNNNNNNNNNNNNNNNNNNNNNNNNNNNNNNNNNNNNNNNNNNNNNNNNNNNNNNNNNNNNNNNNNNNNNNNNNNNNNNNNNNNNNNNNNNNNNNNNNNNNNNNNNNNNNNNNNNNNNNNNNNNNNNNNNNNNNNNNNNNNNNNNNNNNNNNNNNNNNNNNNNNNNNNNNNNNNNNNNNNNNNNNNNNNNNNNNNNNNNNNNNNNNNNNNNNNNNNNNNNNNNNNNNNNNNNNNNNNNNNNNNNNNNNNNNNNNNNNNNNNNNNNNNNNNNNNNNNNNNNNNNNNNNNNNNNNNNNNNNNNNNNNNNNNNNNNNNNNNNNNNNNNNNNNNNNNNNNNNNNNNNNNNNNNNNNNNNNNNNNNNNNNNNNNNNNNNNNNNNNNNNNNNNNNNNNNNNNNNNNNNNNNNNNNNNNNNNNNNNNNNNNNNNNNNNNNNNNNNNNNNNNNNNNNNNNNNNNNNNNNNNNNNNNNNNNNNNNNNNNNNNNNNNNNNNNNNNNNNNNNNNNNNNNNNNNNNNNNNNNNNNNNNNNNNNNNNNNNNNNNNNNNNNNNNNNNNNNNNNNNNNNNNNNNNNNNNNNNNNNNNNNNNNNNNNNNNNNNNNNNNNNNNNNNNNNNNNNNNNNNNGUACAAAUUAAUAAGUUAUGCUCUUUGGAAGCAAACCUAAAUUCCAAGAGAAACAGAACUCAAAAAAUUUGCAAUUAUACGCAAAGGAAGUGAAGCACAGCAUUCUAUCACACAAACGAAUUGUAUAACAAGAGAUCGACAUAUCGAAUCAGAAGAACUCAAUUCAAAUUUGUCUCAAAAAUCAAAAUUAGAAGAUUUCACAUUUCGAGAGGAACAAGCGACAGGUCAGAUGCAAAAUUUUCAGCCACAACAUGCCACAAUUAACGGUUUAUUUCCAUGGAUUUAGAGAGCUGACUGACCUUUUGGCUUUUGGAAUUGAGAAGAUCGCGCGCCAAAAUGGAAGAGGGAAAGCGAAAGUGCGGGUUUUAAUAGGGUAUUGCAUUAGCAAAUUUAAUUAGUUUGCGAGGGUAAAAUAGGAAAGAGAUAUCACUAUUAACCUUUUUUUUAUAAGAAAAAAGAAUAAUAAAGAAUAUUUUAUUGUCAUUUGCAGCCUUUAAUUUUUUUUAAAUGCUAUUAGAAAAAUACGACGACAAAGAAAUGCUCUUUUUUUUAUUUUUUUCUUGAAGGUAAAAUCAAUUAUUUAGCUCCUUAUAUGUAAUCAAACUCCAUUUCUUACUUUAAGUCAUAUCCAACAGAACAACAAAGUAAUUAUUUUUUUUUUCAUUUAUUUUUGCAGAAAAUUAAUAACUUAAAAAUAUUGAAAGCUAUUGUAAAAUUUUUUAUUAUCAACCUCAUAAUUUAAUUUUUUUGGGGAAGAAUUGAUUUUUUUUUUUAUUUCCAAGAAUUUCAUUCUCUAGUUUUUCCAUUAAUAUUACUUAUCUUCAUACCCAUCUUAAUUAAAAUCUGUAGUUUUAUUCAAGAGUCAUGCUAUCCAUUCACUCGGACCAAAGGCUUUCCGCAGCAAUAUUAUUAUUUAAAGAGUAAUGAUAUAGCCACAGACUCUUGUACAAACUUAUUUUGUACAAACUGACGUGGCAUUAAUUCAUUGGUUGAAUGAAAAUAUAAAUUAAUAAAAACAAAUCAUGUGGGCCAAGUGAUAUUUAAUUCAACCAAUCUUAUCAUGCCACAUCAAUUUGUACAAAAUAAGUUUGUACAAGAGUUUGUGGCUGUAUCAUUACUCUUAUUUAAAUUACAACAAAGGGGAAAUCAAAUACGUCAUACAGAGGCUUAAAGCUCAAUCUACAAAAUCUAGAGCUCUCAACUACAUAAAUUACACUUGAUGAUCCUCUACAAGAUGAAGCUUGUUCAAUAUCUCAUCCAAAGCUUGUAAAGUAACCUUGUAACGAUCUUGAGAUUGCCUGCCUUCCUCGACGACCUGCACCAUGCGUUUGUACAAAUCAUCAUACCUGUGCACCGGAUUUUUAAUAUCAACGCCACUGCAGCUGUGAUCAAGAACAUAAGAGCGUUUAACAUCUUUUCUCCAUCGAGAAAGAAUGUAGUGAGAUGGGAUCUCCUCCAUACCACUCUGGUUUGGAACACAAAGAAUGUGUCUGCAUAAAUAUCCUCUGAAAUUGAACAACCCACAAACACAAAGCACCUCCAAGUCGGAGGCAUUGUACAAAACAUCGAAAGCCCUUGAAUCUUUCUCGUUGCUACCAACCUCAAAUUCUUCCUUCACUAUGUAUGUUAUAGGUCCAUCAGCACUGACAUGUUUUGUGCUAUAGCAAGAGUACAUAGCCUCCACCUCCGUCUGAAACUUCCUUAACAGUUCAUUUGUGUACACUUUUGAGAGUUGAAAUUCAUAGUAACAUCUUGGUUUCUGGAUACAACUUGAAUUUCUUGAAUCCAUAUCUGCCAAGGCUUCCAGUUGAUAAUUCGCCUGCAGUGCUUGAUCAUAUUUGUCUAAGUAUUCUUUCAAAGGAGUAUUCUUAUCAAGAUAUCCUUCAAAGUAUGAAGUAGAAACCUCACUCAGCAGGAAUGAAAACACUCCUGAUAAAAAUGUUUCCUUCAAAUAAACAGGAGCCCAACUUUUACGAUCCUCAUAUAAAGUUUGAAUCCAUCCAUGAUCCCUUAUUCCAUGACGUUGAAUCGUGUCCUCCCAAGCUGUCUCAAAUUCCUCAGGCCUCAGAGAGUGACAAAUUGCUCUAUGCAAUGCAGCACUAAUAGCUUCAUAUUCAAAAUAUCCUUGGAGAUUCUCUGGAAUUUUUUGCAUGACGCAUGACAAUGAAAAACAAUGAUAAGCUCUUGGGAAAACAUCGCCGACAGCAGUUUGCAAGAUCUACAUUGGUCAGUGAUGAUUGUUUGUGGAGAGCGUCCUAACAUACAUGUAAGCCACACCCUAAACAACCAUGUAUAUGAUUCGAUAGUCUCACUGGCAAGUAAACCACAGCCCAACAGCACUGAUUGUCCAUGAUGAUUCACCCCAAUGAACGAAACCAGCGUUGCAUCAUAUCUUUCUGUCAAGCAUGUAGUAUCAAUUGAUUUGAGCUAUUAACAUCAUUUCCAAAUACUCCAUUGGCAUCUACAUUACCAUUUCCCUCGGCAUCAAUGAUAAGAGUUCGAAACAGUCUAAUUUUUUUAACUUCUUCAGCACCAUCUAAGCGCAAUGUUCUUUUGGUUCCAAUACCUAUGUGCUUAUGAGACUUGUAAAACUUCCCGCUUCUUGGGCUUAACAAGUGGUUAUGCUCAAGCUCGACUUCAAUGAUUCUCCACCUUUUGGUUUCCAUCAACCUAAACUUUAUCAUUGCUGGACAGCCCGUUCUUGUUUCUGGUCUUGGGCGGUUUGCCUCGCUUUUCUUCUUGAAGCCUGCAUUACUACAGCUGAGCUUUCCUUUAUACUUUUCUCUACUCUUUCGGGACCAUGUAUUGCUAACUCUAACACCAAAACCCUGCUCCUUGGCAUAACAAUUAUAAAAGUAAUAUACGUCAUCAUACGUCUCAAACUCCAUUCCAACAGCAGGAUUCAAUGGAUUUUGGAUUAUCCCAGUUUGUCCAACAUAUUCAGUCAUCGCACAAUCUCUACGACCUCAACAUCAUCAGUGUCAUCAUCACGUACUGGUUCGGUGUUGAGAGAAACUUCAUCCAUCUACAAUGGAUGUUCAAUAAAGUGAGCUUUAAGGAGAAAAAGCAAAAUCAGUUCAAGGAAUGAUAAUAUAAUCAUACAGUUACUUUCACAAAGCUUCAUAUUUCAUAACUGCUUUACCAACAUGCUACUGCCAGAGAACAAACAGACAUGUCAUAGACGAUUGAAUUAAAUAUUGGUACAAAUGAGCACACAUCAUGUGGGACAAAAUUUCAGUCACUAAACCCAAUGCCUUUUUUUUUUUCACAUCAUACCAAGGAACGGAUUAAACCCAAUACCUUCUUUUACGCCAUACCAAAGAACAGAUUAAAUCAUCAAUGAAAAUUUAAUCAAAUAAUAAUUUAACUAGACAAUUGAAGAGCUUGAAACAGCACAAAACUUGAAUCUGAUUCUGAUAAUUGUUGAGUCCUUGUAUCCACAGCUUUCCUUCAAUGAGAAGAUUAUGAACAUAAACUACACAUAAAAAAAUUAUUUAAACUGACAGCCCAUGGUAUAAAUCAAACAAAAUUAACUCCUUUUACAAAUCACAUCUCGUAUUCAGUUACAUUGAAACACAAAAAAGGAAGCAGGAGCCGGAGAAAAACAACAACAGAGAAACUUAUUUCCAGAAGGUUUACGAAAUAAGGAAUUUAUUAAGACACAAAAUUUGAGGUCAACAAUAAGAAUUUGGUUCUCAUUCUCUUUUUCUUCAUUUUUCACUUAUUGAUGGAGUUAGCGUACAAUCCUAUAUGAUAAAACCCCAUCUCCAUCUUUUUGAACUAGAGCUAAAGCAAAGCUUUUUGAGAUGUUUUUCCCUAAAAAACUCAAUCGUACAAAGUUUUUCAAUAUUAAAUACACAACUCAAUCUUCUCCUAACUAACUCUAAUAAUCUCUUAACUAAGGAAGAUUAAGCUCCACUUGUAAGCUAAAACAAGUUUCUUAAAUCAAGCCCCAAUGCUCUAUACUAUUCAACAAGGCCUCAUAAAUGAUAAAACUACCUCUGCAAAGAUACCCAUUUUAAUUUUGCAAACUAAAAUCAAACUUCUGAAACGUAACGAGCAUUAAAACAAACAAGUCCGAACAAGAACUGAAAAAUGAUACAUAAACCCGUUUACACGUUUCGAAAAACACUUUGAAAUUCAAACGAAACAUACCUUAGGUUGAUAAAUUAGUAGCGCAAAAGAAAUUUUAGUGAGAUAUGGGAUCAGGGUUUUUGCCACUGUGAUGUUAAUUGCGACAUUGGGGUGACUCAGCAGCCUUCGAGGCUGAAACUUUGAUUGACCAAAAGUUUCCCGUUCGUUGAUUACCUAAUGUGUUCGCUGAUUUGAUAAUUCUGUUAAAAUCAUUGUUUUUUUUUCAGAUUUUUAAUGUGUUCGAUAAAAUAUCAAAAUCUCAAAAACUUUUGUCUUUCAUUUUGGGGGGAAAAACCCCAUUGAGAUCCUUAUGUUUUUUCUUAUAUAAUCUGGCUUAAUAAUUUGCAAAGUCUAUUACUUAGCACCCAUGCAUGCUGCGUUUCAAUUUACAAAAUUGUACGAGUGCAUCCAGCUAAAAUUUGUAAAAGAAAAUAACAAUAACAUGUUAAAAAUGUGAUUAUUAAGAAGAAAUUUUAAUUUAGUUAAAUAGGUGACGAUGGAUAGGUAUAAAAUCUGAGAUCUUUUAUGAGAUUAAUAAAUAUGUUGAGUUUGGAUCAGUUCAAUUUUGACAUAAUACGGAAUAAACACAACCUGCUAAUCUAAGUUAUCAUCUUUUCUCGUCAUCAGGUACCUGUUUGAAAAAUAAUUAUAUACAAUUUUAUUUGCGUUGUCUCUCUAAAAAUUUGGGACUCAAAUGUUAUUUCUAAUUGCUAAAAGUACGAAAAUGCCCCAUUUCUCUUCAGCUAAAGGAGUGCAAAGUCAUCUGUAUAAUUGAAUCUGCAUCAUCAGUUUCUAUUGCUGGUGUUACUGCAUGCUUACAGUUGCUUGACAAAGUGAGCCAGUUUUUUGUUUAUUAAUUUUUUUUCUUGUCGAGACAGUCACAAAGUAUUACUUGUUCUAUUUGAGAAUGAUGUGAAUCAAUUUUUCAAUUAUGCAUUCUGUGGUAAUUAUUGUGAAUUUAGUUUCAUUUGUCUUGUCUCCUGCAAAUUAUGAAGAAAAUGCAGACAUACAAACUUACAAUAUGUAUUUGCGUUAGUAUAAAAACAAUUGUUAGAUGAUUAAAGCGAAUUUGUUUUUUUACAGCAUUUGAUUGUAUUAGUUAAAAUCAUUUUUUAAGGAUAAAAAUAAAUAGAAAAUUAUUCUCAUGUAGUGUGGAAAUCUUUUCUAAUUUCUUGUUGACUUGUACAUUUAUUUCAGAAUUUCCAUUCAUUCUACUGUUUUAAUCUUUGACUUAGUUACCGUAGUUGACUUUUCAUAUCAAAGGCUUAAACAGCAUGCAUUUUUGAAUUGACUGAGAAUAAUUUGGUGGACAAAUUACAAGGACUUUAAAUGGUUGAAUUGACUGUGGGUUUUUCAUGCCCAAGUCACUCACGUCCUUUCAUCGAAACAAAGUGCCCGGUGCAAAUGGUGUGAUGUAAAACACCUUUUUAAAUUGUCAUUUUUUUCCUUUGCUUUUGCUUUAAUUUUCUAAAUGCUCAACGCCAUAAAUCCAUGCAUUCUUAAUUUUCGUUUGCUGUAUUGAUUCCCAACCCUCUAUGUCACAAGGUUUUGAAUGCCAGUAAUUAAGUUAAAUUAAACAUAUUUUAAGUCCUACUUUAAAUUAUUGAAAAAUGUAUUAUGGUUGAACUGAAUUUUAACUAAAAAAUAUAUACAAAAUAAAAGAUUAAUCAUAUCUUUUUAUGAGGAAGGUCAGUCAUCAUUCUGACCACAGACACUUAAAAUUAAUUGAGUGGAAUAUUGCAAAAUAUAUAUAAACCAUGCCAAAACUAGAUGUUUGAGUAAUGAAAACGAGAAUUCAUAUGACUCAGAAAUAUGGUCGCUUUCCUUUUUCUGAAAGGCAAAAAAAAAGGGGGAACCAAAAAGCACCAAAAUGAACAAAAAUGGAAGGCGAAGGUAAGCAGACAUGUUAUAUGUUUUACCUAAGAUGCCAAAUGCAACUCCCCAUUGAUGGUGAUCGAACAUUAUGGCCAUUUUCUUAGUAAACAAAAAAUGAAUUUUGAACACUCAACAACGAAACUUGAGCAGAAGAUCAAGCAAGGGCCUCGAUCUCAAAGAAGAUACUAUGAAACCCUACUUAAUGGUUAAAUAACUUUCAUUCAGCUUUGGACCCUAUUUCGUGAUACGGAAAGACAAACCUUUCUUGGCCGGCAGUGUCCCAGAUCUGGGCUUUGAUGAUCUAGAGGUUGAUGGUGACAGUUCUGGUUUGGAACUCGACGCCAAUGGUUUAUUUCGAUUCAAAGCAAAACUCAUUCUUGGUGAAUCUCGAAAGAAUCUGAGACUUGCCCACGGCCGAGUCACCGAUCACCACUACCUUGAAUACAUAGUCUAUUUUGUCAGGAAUCAUAUUCUCUCGUUGUUGAUGACGAUGAUCGGUGCCAUCACCACUCAUUUCUUCGUUCAUUCAUUCUAUGUCCAUUGAUCUUUUUGAAUUAUUGAAGACAAGUGGCUCACCGCUUUUAGUAUUGGUAAAAUUCAGAUAAUCUCUAUUCCGAAAUAAUAAUAUUCAAAAUAUCUCUUAAAUCAUUAUAAACUUCAAAUCUAUUUUAAUUUUAUUUAAAAAAUAAAAGAAAAAUAAGUUAUGUUGGUGAUUUUUUAUUAUCUUUUUAAUAAAAAUAGAAUAAAUUGAUGUUUAUAAUUAUUUAAAGUAUUUUAAAGAUUGCUAUUUUAUGAGAGAAUAAUAUUUCAUUUUUUUUUUCGUGUGAAAGACCGAAAAAGGACAAAGCAAGUUUCCCUAAUUUUUAUUUUAUGUGAAAUUGGUCAUCUCAUAUACUUUACCCUUCAACACUCUAAUUUUUUUUUAGGGAUGGCAAAAAUCCCCAAGGGGACGGGUACCCUCGGGAAUUUUCCCUAUUCGGGAAGGGUACGAGGAUAAUUUUAUACCCAAUUUUUUAUUUGGGGAGGGGACGGGGAUAAUUUUUUACCCAAUUUUUUAUUCGAGGAGGGGACGGGGAUGAGGUGGAAUCCCCAUCCCCUACCCAUUUCCCCAUUUUAAUUUUUAUUUUUAUUUUUAUUUUUAAAAUUACUAAUAAAUAAAUAACAAAAUUAUAAAUAUUGUUAAAAAUAAUAAAUAUUACAAUAUUUAUAUUAUUAAAUGCUAAUAGGUAUCCUACAUUAGCUCGAAUUGCUAGAGAUAUUUUGGCAAUUUCAAUUACAACAGUUGCUUCUGAAUCAGCUUUUAGCAGCGGUGGUAGAGUUGUGAGCCCACACCGUAACAAACUUCAUCCAAGCACAUUGGAGGCCUUAAUGUGCUGUCAAAGUUGGUUACGAGCUUACAAUAGCAGUAUGAGUUUAUUUUACAUUGUAAUUAUAUUAUACAGUUAUUAAUAUUUACACUUAUAAGUUACUUUACUUAUAUCAUUUUCAUUGUUUUAGGUUUGAAAUCUGAGGCUAUCUCUCAAUUUGCCACAUUUCUCGAGGAAGAACAGGAGGAGCAGGACGAGCAGGAGGUAAAUAGUUUUAUUAAAAAUAUUAAUUAAGUAUCUACAUUUAUUUCAUUUAUUUUAUUGUCGAUAUAAAAAUAAUUUUUUUUCUUUUUAUUGUAGGAUUAUGAAGAUUCUGACAAAGGAUAAUUUAUUUUUUUUAAUAAUUUAUAUUUUGAAUGUGACUUUGUAAUGGAUCAAUAUUAAUGUAAGAUAUAUUUUGAACUUUAUUUUUAUCUGAAUUUUUUAUUUUAAUAUGAUUAAUUUAAAAUCGAAAAUAAAAAAAAUGUAUUAGACUAUUAGUUAUUCGGGGACCGGGGACCCUCGGGGAUCCCCUGUUAUUAUUCGGGGAGGGGAUGGGGAUUCUCUCAAGCAAUUCUGACGGGGACGGGGACAUUCGCAAAAUAUCGGGGAUGGGUAUGGGGAGAUUGGUCCCCUCCCCUCCCCUCCCCAUUGCCAUCCCUAAUUUUUUUGGUUAUAAUUUUAUUAUUUUUAAGAUUUCAAUAAGUGACUGAGAUUCAAAUAAUAUCCUUUAAUUCUAUUAACAAAAAACAAAGACUCAAAUAUUUUAUGAUAAAUAAAAAUAUAAUAUUAAAAUAUAUGUGAUAAUAUACACAUUUUAAAUACUUUCAAUCCAAAAAAAUAGUUAUGUUUUACAAUCUAUUAGACAUCUUUUAUUAAAUUAAUAUAAAUUUUCUAUAAAAUAAGAAUAUAAUAUUAAAAUAAAUUCACAAAAAUUUAAAGAAUUUUGAAUGUAAAAUAAUUUUAAUAUAUUAAUACGUGAGUUUUUUUUAUUAAUAUAAAAAUUAUUUAACUUUAAGAUUUUUUAAAAUCUUUACAAUAAGUAUAACUAUAUUAUUUACAUUUUAAAAUAUUUAAAUAUUAUUAACCUACAAUUAUAUUUGCAUUUGUUAGAAAUUUUUUAAAUCAAAUAUUUUGCACUUCUAUAUUAUUAGAAUUAUUGCACACAAAUAAAGAAACAUAUACCUUUAGAAAUUGUUUUCUUUUAAAAAACAGAUGAUGAUUAGUAUAAGGAUGAAAAAAAGGAUAAAGAAUAUUAAUGAUUAACGAAAUUUCUAUACAAAUUGAUUUUAGUAGGAAAAGAGUGAGAUGAAUGAUUUCUUUUACAGUUAGAAACAUAGAUGAUGAUUAUUAUACGAAGAAAAAAGAUAAAGAAUAUUAAUUAUUAAUGGAAUCUCUAUGCAAAUUGAUUUUAGUUGGAAAAAAAAAUGAGUUAAAUGAUUUAGAGUGCGUUUGGAAUUGAGAUUGGGCAGCCAUAGAUUUUAAGUUACAACACUGAAGUGUUUGGUAAAUACUAGCUGCUGCAGAUUGAAAGUUAUGUUGAUAUGAUUUUUCACAUGUAUCAUAGAAAAUAUAUUACAUCUUUAAUAAUUUUUUAAAAAUUUAUAUUUGCUAUAUAUUAUUUUUUUUUUUAUAGUUAUAACUUUUUUUCCACAGCAGCUGUAGCUUAAAAGCCACAGUACCUUAACCUCAAACAAGUCCUUAGACAGUCAUAGUGUGUUUAUUUUUUGGAUUGGUGAAUCAAAAUUAUUGACAACGCUAACUUCAUCUUUACCGUUUGCAAUCCAACAGCAGCAAUUGUCACCAAUAAUGAUGAUGACAAUUAUUAUUAUUAUUAUUAUUAUUAUUAUCAUCAUCAUCAUCAUCAUCAUCAUCAUCAUCAUCAUCAUUAUGAUCAUCAUUAUUAUUAUCAUCAUCAUUAUUAUCAUCAUCAUUAUUAUGAUUUUUAUUAUUAUUAUCAUUAUUAUUAUUAUCAUUAUUAUUAUCAUUAUCAUUAUCAUUAUUAUUAUUAUUAUUAUUAUUAUUAUUAUUAUUAUCAUUAUUAUUAUCAUUAUUAUUAUCAUUAUUAUUAUUAUUAUCAUUAUUAUUAUCAUCAUUAUUAUUAUCAUUAUUAUUAUUAUCAUUAUUAUUAUCAUUAUUAUUAUUAUUAUUAUUAUCAUUAUUAUUAUUAUUAUUAUUAUUAUUAUCAUUAUUAUCAUUAUUAUUAUCAUUAUUAUUAUUAUUAUCAUUAUUAUCAUUAUUAUUAUUAUUAUUAUUAUCAUUAUUAUUAUCAUUAUUAAUUAAUUAAUUAAUUAAUUAAUAUAUUAAUGUUAUUAUUAUUAAGAUUAAGAUUAACAAUAAUUAUUAGUAAUAAAAUUUUUUGAAUAAAAAUAAUCACAAGAAUUAAAAUUCAAAUUAAUAUUUAUGAUAAUAGUUAAUUAAUGUCUUUUUAGUAUUUUAUAAUAAUCUAACUCAUUUUGAUUCUGAUUAUUAUAGCUUAAGUAAACAAAUUAUUAUGAUUCCUAUUCUCCUUUCCCAUUUUAACUCACUUCGAUUCCAGUCUAUUCCGAUUUCUAUAUAAUAAAUGCACCAUUAGUGCUAAAGUAAUAUUUCAUACAUAGAAAAAUAAAAACUACACCUAAGGUUAAGGGAAAGGACUUCAAAACUCUCUUUUGAUCAUAAUACAUUUUGUCCUAAUUAACUUAAAGAUUUUGAAUCUAAUAUUUUAUAAUAAAUAAAAAUAUAUUCCUAAAAUAAAUAUAAUAUCAAUAUUUAAAAUACGUUUUAAUAUUUUACAAUCUAUCAUACACAUUUUAUUAUAUUAAAGUAGAUUUUAUAAUAAAUAUAUAAAAAAAUUAGAAUAUUUAGAAUAUUAUAUAAAAUAAUUUUAAUAUAAUGCGUGAGAUAUAUUUUAUUAAUUUAAAAUGUUAUUUUACCUAAAAAAUAUGAUAAAUUAAUAAUUACAUAUUUGAAGUUAUUUCAAAUAUUAAAAAAUUUUAAUAUUAUUAGUCUUUUAGAUAGAUUAAAUUAUUUUUUUUAUAAGAGAUAGAUUAAAUUAUUUUAAAAUGCCUUAAUUGUUUUUACUUUUAACGUUACCGGCCUUUCUUUUAUUUUAUUGCAAAUUAAUGCUACCAAGAAAAGGCUAGAUCAUAUUCCACAAAAGCAAAAGUGACAAACCCAACCAGCUGGAAUCUUUUAUAAAACUACAAAUUAAAAUGGAUUUUUUUUUGAUAAAUUACAUAUGAAAGUGGAUUCUUUUGAAUAUAAGUGGGGUAGGCAGAAAUCUGAGGUCCAUAAUGCUACUUGUUUCCAAGGCUGUCAUGGGGCAAUUUGCUGGACACCUCCUCAGUUAGGUUGGCUUAAGUGUAAUGUUGAUGCCGCAACAUUUUCAGCUCAGGGAAAAGUGAGUUAUGGAGGGGUCAUUCGCAACUCUGAUGGGCUUUUUGUGGCAGCUUGCUGUGCAUCUGUCCUGGGUAGUUUUGGUGCAAGGGAUGCUGAAGCGCUUGGUGUGCGUGAGAUCCUCAGCUGGAUUAAGAAGCGACAUUUGUCUUGUGUUGUAGUAGAAUUGGACUGCAUUCAGGUUUUUAAAGCUCUCACAGCAAGCUAUUCUUGUCCUAAUGGGUAUGGUCUUAUUCUUGAUGAUUGUCUAGCUUUAGCUAAGUCUAUAGGAGAUAUUGAGUUCUCUUUUGUUCGAAGGUCUGCGAACACUGCCGCCCAUGUUACUGCUCGGGUGGGGGGUUCUUUGUCAGGCUUUGAGGAGUGGAAUCAUGUUCCACCUCCUUGGUUAUUUUCUUCUCUGUAAUCUUUGCCCUUUAAUGAAGUUUCCAGUUUCAAAAAAAAAAAAGUGGGGUAGGCUCUUUUAUUUUUUAUUUUUAAUACUGUAUAAUAGGACUGUAGACUUUUUUAUUAAACUACAAAUUGUAGUCUUUUUAAAAUUGUUCAGAUAUUUAUAAAUUGGUGGCCCCUACAAUCCUCAAUAAUUGUACCGAUAUUCACAAGUUGGUGGCCCCUACAAUUCUGUUCCGAUAAUUUAAUUGUGCAAGUGCUCAUUCACAAUCUUCCAGGUCAUGCUCUUAAUAAUUGUUUUUUUUUUCUGCAUUCCCUUUCAUGCUCUUAAUAAUUGAAGAGCAUACUUUUCAUUUUCAAAUGUGGAGCCGCAUCUAAUGUCGCUAAUUUAAUUUGGGAUUAAAUUUGGGGACCAUUAUAUUGCAGUGUGUACUAAUUUUUGUGUUUAUCUAAACUCCUUAAAUUUAAGACAUAUUAUAGCAUAAAUAAGAAUAUAACAAUAACAAAAGAGUUAGAAAGUGUAGAGAAGAUCUUGCAGAAAUAUAAAUAAUAUCUAUUUUAAAAUAAUAUCAAUAUUUAAAAUAAUUUAAAAUAUUUUAUGAUCCAUUAGAUAUAUUUUAUUAUAUUAAAAUAGAUUUUAUAAUAAAUAAAAACAUACUAUUAAAAUGAAUAUCUAGAAAAUUUAGAGUAUUUUAAGUAUUACAUAAAAUAAUUUUAAUAAAAUAUGUGAGAUAUUCAUAUUUUAUUAAUUUAAAAUACCAUUUAACCUAAAGAUUUAUUUAUGAUAAAUUAAUAAUUAUAUUUUUGAAAUUACUUCAAAUAUUAAAAAAUUAAUAUUACUAAUCUAUUAGAUAGAUUAAAUUAUAUAUAUUAUUUUCUAUUUAUAAAAAAAUUUUAAAAUUAUUUUUAAUUACUAUUCAAAAAACAUAAUGAUAAAAAAAAAUCUUAACAUCUUUAUUAAAAAUUUAAAAAUUUACACGAUCAAUUCUCUAAAUAUUUAGGGUAUAUGUGAAAAUCGGUGGAGAAGCUUUAUUUAAUAUUAUUGAUUUAAAUAAUAUGUCAAUUAAAAAUGUACAGAGAAGAAAUUUAUGAAAGAGCAAAGGAUAUUCCUGAUAGCUGAUAGAGCUCUUUUUGAUUAUGUAUUCAGUGAAUGGAUGUGUUGUUGGAAGAUAUGUGAGUGUAUUAGUUCAUUUGUGUCUGUCAAUGUGCUUUUAAUGAUUUUUCCACCUAUUUGUUGUAAAAGAUGAUUGUAAAUUGAAAUGAAUUUGAUGUAAUAUUUUCUCAUUAGUGGAAUUUCACUUGGUAUGUGUUCAAUUGUAUUGUCUAUAAUUUUGCAUUCGAAUAAGUUUCCACCUAAAAUAUUAGCACGAGUAGUAGCCCUUGAAACUUUAGUCAAAUUAUUGUUAUAAUUUCUUAGUAGGGGUAAACUUUUUAUAAAACCUCGUUAACACAAUUCUUAAUUAAUGGUGUGUUUACUUCAUGAAAUAGGGAAUGAGAAUAAAACUAAUGUUUACUUGGCAAAAUGUAAUUUGAGAAUUAGAAUAAAAUGGAUUAUAAUGAUGAAAAAAAGGACAAAGAAUAUUAAUGAUUAACGAAAUCUCUAUGCAAAUUAAUUUUAGUAGGAAAAAAGUUCGAUGAAUGAUUUCUUUUACAGCUAGAAACAUAGAUGAUGAUUAUUAUAAGGUUGAAAAAAAAAGAUAAAGAAUAUUAAUUAUUAAUGGAAUCUAUAUGCAAAUUGAUUUUAGUAGGAAAAAAGCGAGUUAAAUGAUUUAGACAUUCAUAGUGUGUUUAUUUUUUGGAUUGAUGAAUAAGAAUUAUUGACAACGCUAACUUCAUCUUCAUUGUUCGUUAUCCAACAAUAGCAAUUGUCGCCGAUAAUGAUACCUCCAAUGAUGAUGAUGAUUUUAUUAUUAUUAUUAUUAUUACUAUUGAUAAAAAUUAUUAUAAUUAAUUAAUAUAUUAAUGUUAAUAUUAUUAUUAUUAUUAAGAUUGAUAAUAAUUACUAAUAAUAAUAAUUUUUUGAAUAAAAAUAAUCACAAUAAUUAAAAUAAAAAUUAAUAAUUAUGACAAUAGUUAAUUAAUGUCUUUUUAGUAAUUUUUAAUAAUGUAACUCAUUUUGAUUUUGAUUAUUACAAUUCAAGUAAACAAAUUAUUAUGAUUCAUAUUCUCUAUUCCCAUUUCAGCUCACUCUGAUUUCAGUUCAUUUCGAUUUCUGUCUAAUAAACGCACCAUUAGUGCUAUAGUAAUAUUUCAUAUAGAGAAAAGUAAAAACUAUACCUAAGGUUAAGGGAAAUGACUUCAAAACUCUCUUUUGACCAUAAUACAUUUUGUCCUAAAUUUAACGAUUUUGAAUCUAAAAUUUUACAAUAAAUAAAAAUAUAUUCCUAAAAUAAAUAUACUAUCAAUAUUUAAAAUAUGUUUUAAUAUUUUACAAUCUAUCAGACACAUUUUAUUAAAUUAAAGUAAAUUUUAUAAUAAAUACAAACGUACUAUUAAAAUGAAUAUAUAAAAAAUUUAGAGUAUUUUGAAUAUUAUAUAUGCGUAAGAUAUAUUUUAUUAAUUUAAAAAGCUAUUUUACUUAAAAAUUUAUUUAUGAUAAAUUAAUAAUUACAUUUUUAAAAUUAUUAAAAAAAAUUAAUUUUUUUUUAUAUUAUUAAUCUUUUGAAUAGAUUAAAUUGUUCUUUAAGAGAUAGAUUAAAUUAUUUUAAAAUGCCUUAAUUGUUUUUACUUUUAACGUUACCGGCCUUUCUUAUAUUUUUUUGCAAAUUAAUGCUAACAAGAAAAAGCUAGAUCAUAUUCCACAAAAGCAAAAGUGACAAAACAACCAGCUGGAUUAUUUUAUUAAUCAACAAAUUAAAAUGGAUUUUUUUUAAAACUACGUAUGAAAGUGGAAUCUUUUGAAUAUAAGUGGGGUAGGCUCCCUUUCAAAAAAAAAAAGUGGGGUAGGCUCUUUUAUUAAAGACAAGUAUUGAGUAGUCAAGACUAACUAUGGCCAAUGGGCCGUGCCGUGCCGUGCCUACAUUUUUUUCACUUGAGCCUGGCACGGCCCACGGCACGAGCCCUCUCGUGCCGUGCUCGUGCCGUGCCGUGGGCCGUGCCCAAAAAAAGCCCACCAACUUUUUUUUUUUUUUAGCGUGCCUAAAAAAGCCCACGUGCCUAGCGUGCUUUAUUCAAGCCCACGUGCCCGACGUGCUUUUUUAAGCCCACCAACAUAAUACUAAUAAUAAUAUUCACAAUCAUAAUCAUAUUAAUUUUUAUUAAGAGAGCAAUUAACAUUUUAUUAUUAUUUUAUCACAAUUUCACAACUAUAUAUUUUAUUUCACAAUAAUCAAUCAUAAUUCAUAACACAACAAUACAUAAAUUUAAUUAAAUUUAAUUCCAUAGAUCAUAAUAAUAAUUAAUUAAAAUUAAAAAUACAAUCCUCGAAUAAUCAUUACAAUAAGUCAUAACUACGAAAUAUUAAUAUAACAAAUCAUAGAUCACAACUUACAAGUUACAACUACAAAACACGAACUACGAUCAAUUGACGAAUAACAAGCACGAAAAAAACAUUUAUUAAUCACAAUUAACUAAGUUAUGAUUUAAUAUUAAUAUGAAAAAUAUUUCAUAUGAAAAAUAUUUUAUUAUUAAUUUUGUAAAAAAAUUUAUUUUUUUAUUUAUAAUUUAUAAAUUUAUGAUAUUUAUAACCUUAUUUAUUAAAAUCAUGAUAUUUAAUUAUUUACUUAUUCAUUUAAUAAAUUAUAAACAUAAAUAAAUAAUUAAAUAAAUAUCAUAAAUAAAAUUAAAUAUCAUAAAUAACAUUAUUCAUUUAAUAAAUAUCAUAAAUAAAAUUAUGAUAUUUAUAAUUUUAUUUAUUAAAAUCAUGAUAUUUACUUAUUCAUUUAAUAAAUUAUAAACAUAAAAGAUUAGAAUAUUUAUUUAAACUAAGAUUUAAUGAUUUAAAUUAAUUUUUAAAAGUCUAUGCUAAAAAAUAUAUUAAAACAUUUAAUUUCAAGAUAUUGUACUUUAAUUUCAUAACAUUUUAUAUUUACUUUUUGUUAAAAAAAUUUACUUAGAUAUAUUUUGGCCCACGUGCUAUUAAUAGCUCACGGACCGCGUGCUAGCCCACUAAUGAACCGUGCUUAUUACGUGCUUUUUCGCGUGCCGUGCUUUGGCCCAUCUCUAAUCGUGCUGUGCUUUAAGGCCCACGUGCCUAAAAUUCUAGGCCCGGCACGGCCCACGUGCGUGCCGUGCUGUGCCUCGUGCCUCACCGAAACGUGCUCGUGCCGUGCCGUGCCGUACGGACACGUGCCGUGCCCGUGCCGUGCCACGUGCCGCCCGGCCCAUUGGCCAUCUUUAGUCAAGACGAUUAGGGUCUUUUAUUAAAGGGAGAUUGUCAAUUUUUUCUCUAUAAUAAUUAACAUAUAUUAUUAUUUUUUUUAUAAUGUCAAAAAAUUCUCUUGAUAAUAUAAAUUUAUAAUAUUACUCUUAUUUUUAACUACUCUUUUAUUUAUAUUUAUUAUAAAUUAAAUAAAUCACAUAAAUAGAACUAAAUAAAAACUUAAGCAUUAAAACCAAGAAAUAUAUGUUUUGAUAUAAAUAAUAAAAUUAAUAAUAAUUUUUUUAUACUUAUUUAUUUUGUGAAAAUUUUCUUACAAUAAAUAUAUAAGAAAAUUAUUAGUAAAAUGAUAAAAAAAUUAUUAUAAGAAAAUUUGAAUGACAAAUAAAAAUUUAUUACAAGAUAAAUAAUAAAAUGUUUUGCCUAUACUUUUACAUUUAAUUUUAAAAUAUUAUAAAAUAUUUAUUAUAAGAAAAUGUUCACAAAAUAAAUAAUUAUAAGAACAAAUUUUAUUAUUAAUUUUUUUGCUCAUAUUAAAACAUAUUUUUCUUAUUUUUAAUACUUAAUUUUUUUAUUUAGUUUAUAUUCAUAUAAUUUAUUUAAUUUAUAAUAAAUAUAAAAUAAAAAAAUUAAAAAUAAAUAUAAUAUUAUAAACUUAUACUGUUAAGGAAUUUUUAGUUAUUAUAAAAACAGAAAGAAAGUAAAUGAUAUAUGUUAAUUAAUUUAGAAAAAAUAGCAAUCCCCUUUAUUAAACUACAAAUUGUACAGGCAUUUAUAAACUGGUGGCCCCUACGGCGUCAAUUAUUGUUCCGAUACAUAUAAAUUGGUGGCCCCUUAGAAAUUUAAUUACAAGUCUGCAAGUGCCAUCAGAGAAAAAUCAUCAUUCACAAUCUUCCAAGAGAAACGGGGGAUAUACAAAGAUUAAGACAUGUCAUUCAUUGUUUUUUUUGUUGGCUGCAUGUGCAUUCCCUUUCAUGUUCUUAAUAAUUGAAGACAAGUUGUUCAUUACAUGCAUACUUUUCAAAUGUGGUGCCGCAGCUUAUGUCCUAUUUUAAUUUAGAAUUAAAUUAGGGGAAUAUUAUACGCUUAUUUUUAUGUUUAUCUAAACUCCUUAAAUUUUAGAUAGAUUAUGGCGUAAAUAAGAAUAUAACAAUAACAAAAGAGUUAGAAAGCAUAUUAAAGAUCUUUCAGAAAUAUAAAUAAUAGUGCUCAAUUAAAUAACACAGAACAUCUGAAUUGAAUAGUGAUUAUCAAGACUGUGUUACUUGCACUUCUAUUUAUAGAAAAUCUUGGUUCUGUUCCAUUAAAGUUUUUAUCUUCAAAAUCUUGUAAAGUUUUAACAAUCACAAAUGCUCAGCUUGCUUGAUCUAUAUUUGUAUGAUAUGAAUCCAAAUUUUUGUGUUCUGUUUUUCCUAAUUUUCAACACGGAUUCUUUUCUUCUUGGGCAAAUCAGAAAGAAAUGUUGUAUUAAAAAAAAUGGAAAUAACUUCAUGAGAACAAAAAUUCAAAAAAAUAAUAUAAAGUUUAUAUUUAGACUUUUGAGGUAUAUUUUAAUUUUCAACAAUGAGUUAAAGAAAAUAAAUAUCUCAAAAUAAAAUAAUAAAUAAAGUAAAUAAAAGUUUAGAGAUUUAAUUUUUUAGUAUUAGAUUCUUUAAUUUAAACAUUCUCUUAAUUAAUUAUCACUUAAAAAAGAGUUUAGUAUUAUAAUUUUAAAUUUUUUGAUUCAUUAUUGAUAUACAAAUUAGGAAUUUAAGUUUACUUUUUUUUACUAUUAUUUUUUCAAAUUUUAAAUUAUUAUUCUAAUUUAUAAAAUUUUUUUUAAAUAGAGGACUUGAGCCUAACUUGUGCAUUUUUUCCUAAGCUCUUAUGCAAGCCCUCAUGUGCGAAGGUCAGUCCAAAACCCGUGAGAAUGAGCGGCCCCGGCUUUUUUGCCAUCCAUGAGGAUAAUGAUGGUGAUGGUGAUGAUAAUGAUGAUGAUGAUGAUGAUUAUUAUUAUUAUUCUUAAUGAUAAAAAGUAUUAUAAUUAAUUAAUAUAUUAUUGUUAAUAUUGUUAUUAAUAAUAACAAUUUUUUGAAUAAAAAUAAUCACAAUAAUUAAAAUACAAAUUAAUAAUUAUAACAAUAGUUAAUUAAAGUCUUUUUAACAAUUUGUAAUAAUCUAACUUAUUAUGAUUUUAAUUAUUACAGUUUAAGUAAACAACUGAUUCUAAUUCUUAUUCUCCAUUCCCACUUCAAUUCAUUCUUAUUUCGAUUCAUUCCGAUUUCUGUUUAAUAAAUGCACCAUUAGUGCUAUAGUAAUAUUUCAUAUAGAGAAAAGUAAAAGCUACACCUAAGGUUGAGGGAAAAGACUUCAAAACUCUCUUUUGUCAUAAAACCUUUUGUUUUAGUUAACUUAAAGAUUUUGAAUCUAAUAUUUUAUAAUAAAUAAAAAUAUAUUCCUAAAAUAAAUAUAAUAAUAUCUAUUUUAAAAUAAUAUCAAUAUUUAAAGUAUGUUUUAAUAUUUUAUGAUCUAUCUGACAUAUUUUAUUAUAUUAAAGUAAAUUUUAUAAUAAAUACAAACAUAAUGAAUUUAUAAAACAUUUAGAGUAUUUUGAAUAUUAUAUAAAAUAAUUUUAAUAGAAUGCAUGAGAUAUAUUUUAUUAAUUUAAAAUGCUAUUUAACCUAAAGAUUUAUUUAAGAUAAAUUAAUAAUUAAAUUUUUUAAAUGAUUUCAAAUAUUAAAAAUUUGUAAUAUUAUUAGUCUAUUAGAUAGAUUAAAUUAUUUAAAUUAUUUUGUAUCGAUUAAAAAAAUUUUAAAGUCAAUCUUUUUAAUUACUAUUCGAAGGAUAUAAUGAUUAAAAAAAAUCUUAGUAUUUUUUUAUUAAAAAUUUAAAUAUUUACAUGACCAUUUCUAUAAAUAUUUAGGUCUCGUUUGCUAUGUUGGAUUAGAUUAGAUUGAAUUGGAUCGGAUUAGAUAAGAUAGGAUUGGACUGGAUAAUACUGGAUUAUAUAUAAUAUUAUGUUGUGUUUGUUAUGUCAUGAGAUUAACUAGUAACUAAUAAUAUGUCUUAUAUAUUAAUUUAUUAAAAUCAUCAUAGAUUUACUUUAAAAUGACAUGUAAUAUAAUAUAACUUAAAUCAAUAAUUAUUGGUAAAUUUAUAAAAAAAAUACAAAAUCUUCGCUUAAUUAUUUUUUUAAUAUUUAACAUGUUAUAGUUUCUAAUCCCAUGAAUAGUAAAAGAUAAAGUUUUAUCUUAGAAAAUGUAAUCACAAGGGUCCCCUUGGGAUGAAAUUUUGCCACUAUUGGAAUUAAGUGGUGGGCCUAUUAUUGUUACCUUUAUUUUUUUUACACUAAAUAUGAUAUAAGAAUUAUUUUACACUAAAAUUAUCUAAUCCCAUGAUAUAUAACUAAAACCAAACAGGCACUUAGGGUAUAUAUGAGCCACGGUGGAGAAGCUUUAUUUAAUAUUAUUGAUUUAAAUAAUAUCUCAUUAAAAAUGUAUUGAGAAGAAAUUUCGGUGGGUAUUUUAAUCUUUUCAGCAAUCACAUGAUUAGCCUUUGGCUUUGAAACGUCGGUCAGAAAAGUUUUAAAAUGCUUAAUUGUUUUUCACUUUUAACCUUGGUGGCCUUGAAAUUGCUUAUAUUUUAUUAAAAAUUAAUGCUAACAAGAAAAAAACUAGGUAAUAUUGGAUUCUUUUAGUAAACUACAAAUUAAAAUAGAUUUUUUCGAUAAACUACAAAUUAAAGUGGAUUCUUUUGAAUACAAGUGGGACAGACGAUUAGACUCUUUUUAUUAACGGCAAGUAAAAACUAGUCAAGAAUCGAAUAGUCCGUUUCAAAUUCUUGUUUUAUUAUUUUUCAAAACUAGUUUUUGGUAAUUACAAUCGGGUCAUUAAUCAUUAUUCAAGAUUUAGUGGCUCGUGUUUGCAAGUGUGAAUGUGCGAUGCUCUUUUUCCAAAGGCCCGAAUCGGACGUGCCUAAUAAAUCUUUUAAAAAAUUUUGCCGUAUAACGAACAGAGGUCAUUACUAAAAUUUCUCUUCCACAGUCCAUAGCAGCUUCAGUUUAUCAAACUCAAUCAAUUUUCUUCCUUAACAAAAUUCCAAAGAUGGGUAACAUUUUUCAGAUCCCAUGCGAUGGUGCUUUUUUCAAUCGUUGCUUGGAUUGCUUUCUUGGAGAAGCAGCAUACAUAAGCAACCUCCAAGAUAAUCUUGAUGCCUUGGACACUGAAUUGGGAAAACUAAUCGCAGCAAAGAACGAUGUGAUGACGGAGGUUGGCAAUGCUGAACGGCGACAAAUGAGAACGCUGGAACGAGUGCAAGAGUGGGUUUCGACGGUGGAUUCUGUUAAAACUGGAGCCGAUGAACUUAUCACAAACGGCUCUCAAGAAAUUGACAAAUUAUGUGUUGGAGGCUACUGUUCCAAGAACUGCUGGUCAAGCUACAAGUUCGGAAAACAAGUGGCUAAAAAGCUACGAGAUGUGAAGACUUUAAUCGCCGAGGGAGUUUUUGAGGCGGUGGCCACUGAGGUGGUGCCCGAGAGAGCUCCGGAACCUGUAGCAGAUAAAAGACCCAUUGAGCCAACGAUAUUAGGCUUGCAAUCACAGCUUGAACAAGUUUGGAGAUGUCUUGUAGAAGAAUCAGUGGGAAUCAUUGGCCUAUAUGGUAUGGGCGGUGUUGGUAAAACCACACUAUUGACCCAUAUCAACAAUAAAUUUCUUGAGAGUCCCACAAACUUUGAUUGUGUGAUUUGGGUCGUAGUUUCAAAAGACCUGCGACUUGAAAAAAUUCAAGAAGAUAUUGGGAAGAAGAUAGGUCUGUUUGAUGGUUCAUGGAAGAAUAAAAGUGUUGAGGAGAAAGCUGUAGACAUCUUGCGGAGAUUAGGAGAGAAGAGAUUUGUAUUGUUGUUAGAUGAUAUAUGGGAGCGGGUUGAUUUAACAGAAGUGGGCGUUCCACUUCCCAGCCCACAAAAUACUACAUCAAAAGUCGUAUUCACGACCCGUUUCAUUGAUGUUUGUGGUAGCAUGGAAAGUCACAGGAAGUUUAAAGUGGCAUGCUUAUCAGAAGAGGAUGCUUGGGAGCUGUUUCGAGAAAAAGUAGGGCAGGAAACUCUUGAGAGUGAUCAUGAGAUCGUUGAGCUAGCCCAAACUGUGGCCAAAGAGUGUGAUGGUUUGCCACUCGCACUUAUUACUAUUGGUCGAGCUAUGGCCUACAGAAAGAAAGCGGAGCAGUGGAGACGUGCAAUUGAAGCGUUAAGAAGAUCAGCUUCAGAGUUUUCAGGUUUGGGAAAAGAGGUGUAUCCUCUUUUAAAAUUCAGCUAUGAUAGUUUGCAGAAUGAUACGGUUAGAUCUUGUUUCUUGUAUUGUUGUUUAUAUCCUGAAGAUUAUGGCAUUCUUAAAUGGGACUUGAUUGAUUGUUGGUUUGGCGAGGGAUUUUUUGGGGAAUCUGACAGGUCUGGUGCAGAAAACCAAGGAUAUGACAUUUUGGACACUCUUGUUCGUGCAUGUUUAUUAGAAGAGGUGGAAGAUGAUAAAGUAAAAAUGCAUGACGUUAUUCGUGAUAUGGCUAUAUGGAUAACCUGUGAAAUUGAGAAGGAGAAGAGAAACUUUUUGGUUCGUGCAGGUGCUGGAUUAAAAGAGGCACCGGAUGUUAAAAGAUGGGAAAAUGUGAGAAGAUUGUCAUUGAUGCAAAACCAAAUUGAAACUCUGUCAGAGGUUCCUACAUGCCCUCAUCUCCUCACUUUAUUUCUUAACUUUAAUAAGGUGGAGAUGAUCGCGGAUGGCUUCUUCCAAUUUAUGCCUUCUCUCAAAGUUUUGAAGAUGUCAGACUGCGGGAAUUUAAUUUUGGAAUUACCUUUUGGGAUGUCAAAGUUGGGUUCACUGGAACUUCUCGAUAUUUCACAUACCCACAUAAAAGAGUUACCAGAAGAGUUAAAGUUGUUGGUAAAUCUGAAAUGUUUGAAUUUGAGGUGGACAGUUUGGUUAAAUAAAAUUCCACGGCAACUAAUAUCAAAUUCUUCAAGGUUACGUGUGUUGAGAAUGUUCGCUAUUGGCUGGUUCAAUUUUCAUGAAGCAUCAGAAGAAAGCGUUUUAUUUGGUGGGGGUGAAGUUUUAGUACAGGAAUUGCUCGGUUUGAAAUAUUUAGAGGUAUUGGAGUUGACCUUGGGAAGUUAUCAGGCUCUCCAAAUUCUUUUGAGCUCAAAUAAGUUAAAAAGUUGUAUUCGAUCUCUUCAACUCCGGUUGGUCAGAGAUACACCGUCAAUUAUUGAUGCUACGGCUUUCGCAGAUCUAAACCACCUCAAUGAAUUGUAUAUUUUUAAAGGUAUUGAGUUGGAAGAAUUGAAGAUUGAUUAUACGGAGAUAGUACGAAAAAGGCGGGAACCUUUUGUUUUCCGGAGCCUUCACCGUGUUAUUAUUGGGGAGUGCCAUAAAUUGAAAGAUGUGACAUUCCUCGUUUUUGCUCCAAACCUCAAGUCUCUUCGGCUAUUCGAUUGCGGUGCUAUGGAAGAAAUAAUCAGCGUCGGAAAAAUUGCUGAGACUCCUGAGAUGAUGGGACAUAUAAGCCCUUUUGAAAAUCUCCAAAGUCUUGAUUUAGACGAUUUGCCACAUUUGAAGAGCAUUUUCUGGAAGCCAUUGCCUUUCACUCAUCUGAAAAAAAUGGCGGUACUUAUGUGCGAUCAGCUUAGAAAGCCUCCACUCGAUUCCAACAGUGCAAAGGAGCGUAAAUUUGUUAUUCGUGGAUACACAGGGUGGUGGAACCGACUUCAAUGGGAGGCUGAAGCCACUCAAAUUGCUUUUCGUUCCUGUUUCCAACCUUAUUCCUGAGCCGUGGUCGCAAAAUUUGAUUUCUGGUGAGUGCGUUUGUCUUUUAAAAGAAGAAUUUAAAAGAAAUUUAUUCUUGUCGUUUGUUUUCUUCUCUUUUUAUUUCAGUUUCUUUAUCUCUCUCUCUCUCUUUGUCUUCUGCAAAUCACAAUUAAAUGUUGAAUUAAUGGAAUUAAUGCUUCAUAAAUUUGCCGGCACUGCCAUUACUUUUUUUUUUUAAUACAAAUUGAUACUUUAUUUAUAUCUUCUUAGCGAUUUAAUUUCCUGUCAAUAGACGAACGAGAAGAACAUACGACUUAAACCAAUUGAUACUUUAUUUAUGUGCGUUGUAUGUAAUAAAUAUUAAGUAUACUUUAUUUUGCCCUGUUCUCCGUUUUUAUUUCAGCCUCUCUCUCUUUCCUGUCUUCUGCAAGUCAUAAUUAAAUGUUGAAUUAUAUGGAAUUAAUGCUUUAUAAAUCUGCCUGCGCUGGCUUUUUUUUUUUUGUGGGGUCGAAUUGAUGCUCUGGUUUUCGACUAGUUUUUGUUGUCAAAAUUUUCUCUGUUUUUUUCAAAUUGAUGCUUUAUUUAUAUCUUCUUCGUGAAAAGUGAUUUAAUUUCCUGCCAAAAGACGAACGAGAAGAACAUUAGAGUCAAACUAAUGCUCACAUAAAUUUCCCGUAAGAAUAUAUAUAUAAUUAGACUGGAAUGCACACCUCUAGAUUGAACAGAAUUGAAGCUGAGAAAAUAUUGAGUAUAGUAGCCCUCUUUAAAGUUAAUUUAGAAAAAGAUAUAUUCUUGAUUAAUCCAUUUUCUGAAGUUUUUUAUUUUGUAUGGUCAAUUAUACCUUCAUACUCAAAAUUUCUGAAGUUAUAAAUUAGUGCAAAUUGACAAUUUUUACUGAUGAUAUCUUCUAUUUUUCCUUUCUUUUUUUUUACUCUCAUAGAAUGUUACUGUCAUUUUACUUACAAAUAGGUUUGACUUUGAGCCCAUGAAACGAUACUUUGAUUGCCAAACCACCGUCCAAUUUUUUUAAAAAAAGAAAAAAAAUAUGUAAUCCAUGAAUCUGGUUAAUUUUGUUUGUUUGUUUUUUUUAAUCUGUUAUACAUUUGAAACAUUCCAUUAAUUGCCAAUUAUGUAAGCGAGAUAGUAAUUAAUUUUUUUAUUUAAAAAAAAGUGAAAAUUAAUCCUAUGCAAUGUGAAUAAAUUUCUUUCCUUUUUCCUUCACUCUUUUUAUUUGAUAAUUAAGUUUCAAUCUAUGUACGCAAAAUUUCUGCAACAACUGCAAAACAUAAAAAUAUAUGAUUGUUAAGGGAAACACGCAGAAGUUCAUCACUUCAAUGUUCAGUAUUUCCAAUUUUGGCAUUAAGCUCUUACGAAUAUAUUCCACUUAGAAAGCAAAAUAUUAGAAUUGUGAUUUUAAUUCAUUCAUCAUAUCUCAUUUCAAUCCCAAAAUAUUCAAGUGGAUCCAAGUUACCAUAAGACUUCAGAGGCUCGAGCCUUAGCCAGAGAUGGUUAAUUGAUAGACUAUGUGCCUGGGUCGAGCACUGGAAGCCUGCAAUGCAGACUGAUUGAUUUAUCAGUUUGACGUGUUCCAGGAAUGAAGAACUGGAAUAUCACCCUCAAGCAAACACCCUGUGGAGCAAUACCAUAGAAUGCACAAUCCGGCUUUGCAAGGUGACACUGGAGGCUUUUUGAAAAGUGCUUCACGCUCACUUGCACUGAUUGAGCAUCCCCUCUGGAUAUUGCCCUCUCUGAUCGAGUCUGAGCACUCAAAUUUCGGUCCUCAGAUGGAGCUACAGCUUUCUCUCCAAUAACCAACAAUUUUCUAAACUCAGCACCUAGUGUGAUCAGAGUUGUUGAUAUUUGCAAAUGGAGAUCCCCAUAUUUGCAAAUGGAGACAUUUAACAAAUCACCAACAUGCUUCAUCCGGUGUACAAAAUUCUGCAGCUGAUUCAAAUCUGGAACCUGAACCAGAGUCGGAGGUAAAUCUUGAGCCAUAUCUAAAGCAGUUUGAAGUUCAAGUACUUGAGCCCUUGACAAUGGUUUUGAAAUUGGAACAUCUUGGAUUACUGCAGACUUGUACCCCUUGGUUUCAAAGGUAAGGAAAGGCAUUGCUUGAGUACAAUUUGGAGGCAGCGGAUCCAGCUGCACCAACUUCAGAGCAAAUACUGACACUACUUCGAACAGCACACUGAAGAAGUGAUAUGUCUACGGCAAAGGCAAUGCAGUCCUCAUUUUGGCUUGAGAUGCAGUAAUCAUCGAAGAGAGUUUCCUUGUGAAACUGGGCAACACAUUGAAUCCCUUUGCCACUGAGAAGGUUGUGGAGGAAGUAAGCUUUCUCUCUAGUGAGGAAGAGGUGGCAUACCUUCCCCAUUUUGUCUAGGGCAGGUAGGAAUCUUUUUUCUAAGAGAUUUACUUCAUUCUCGGUGAGAAAUGCUUUGAACUUCAUCCCUCUGUCUCUAUCCUCACUUAUCAGAAAAUAAGUUGAAAGCACUACGGAGAGAGAGAGAGAGAGAAUUAAGAUAUAUAGACAAGAAAAAUAUUAGACGGUGAUCUUACAAACUAAUACUUCAAGCAGUAUCCUAGAAAGCUAAAAACUGCAAGAUGGCUUGAAAUUUGAAAAGAGCACGUGCUUUUCCUCCUUAACUUGAGAAAAUGUUUAAUAUAGUGCACCUUACAGAAGCAUUUAAGCAAUUAGAACUAUGCACAAAAACAUCACGAAGACUAAACAAAUCAGAUGCAGUGUCUUUGUCCAAGCACAAAUUGCAUUUUGUCCUCAACUUUAAUAUUUAUUGAUGAGAAUCAAUACAGGUCCCUCAUUUGUUAUAGAAAGCUUUCUUGUAGUCUCACCAGUUAAUUCACAGGUCUAUAAUCAUCUUGCAAAGUUAAGGGCAUUUCUUUCGAUCUAAAGUCUUUGCAUCACCACCUCAUCACACGCCAAGCCAAUAUUCCAUUUACCUCUACAACAAAAAGUUUUAAGUAAACAAUCCUAAUGCACGCAGCCAAAUAAAAUGCAGUAAGAAUAUUCAACUUAAAAAUCUGAAAGCCAACUUGGUGAAUUGCCUCCUUAGGUGAAGUUCCAUGCUUUACUAUAGUUGACAGAACUCAGCAAAAGCUUCCAUACAACAGAUUUUGAAAAUGAUGAUGCCAAUAGAUACUCAUUCAAUCCAUUGAAAAUCCAAAGGUUCAUUGUUAAUAGAAGUUUACAGAGUUUUGGUCAUCAAAUAGCUCAGACCUAAUCCCAAACAAAAAACGAGUGAAAAUUAGAUCACGAGCAGCUAAUUGUAAAUUCUAACUUAACUCUUCAUCUCCUUUGUAAACAAGAAACAAAAUGAAGACACGCAAAAUGAAUAUGGAGAAAAUUUGAACUCAAAUGAAAUGAGGGCACGAAAGCAAACAAAUGGCAUGCACAAAAAAACCAAGCCUCAAUCAAAAACUAAUUAACCAUUAAGAAAAAAAUUGGUCUGAGAAUGAACUCCAAAUUCAGGAGUGAAGCAAGAAGCUUUCAUUAUUUCAGAAGCUCCUGUACAAAUUAAUAAGUUAUGCUCUUUGGAAGCAAACCUAAAUUCCAAGAGAAACAGAACCCAAAAAAUUUGCAAUUUUACGCAAAGGAAGUGAAGCACAGGAUUCUGUCACACAUAGGAAUUGUAAAACAAGAGAUCGAUAUAUCGAAUUAGAAAACUCAAUUCGAAUUUAUGUCAAAAAUCAAAAUUAGAAGAUUUCACAUUUUGAGAGGAACAAGCAACAGAUGAAGUUCAAAAUUUCAGCCAUAACAUGCUAAAAAUGCUACACUUAACGGUUCAUUUUCAUGGAUUUUCUCGGGAAACAAACAGAAAAUUACGGUUCAGAGAGUUGACUGACCUUUUGGCUUUUGAAAUUGAGAAGAUCGCGCGCCAAAUUGGAAGAGGGAAAGUGAAAGUGCGAGUUUUAAUAUGGGUAUUAGAUAAGGAAAUUUAAUUAGGUUGCGAGGGUAAAAAAGGAAAGAGAUAUCAUUAUUUUAUUAUCGAUAAUUAUUAAAUUUUUUUCCAAAAAAAAGAACAAGCAAGGAUAUUUUAUUUUCAUUACUAAGUUAAAAAAAAUUGUUUCAAAAUUACUCGAGUCAUAUCCAAUGGACCAACAAAGUAAUCGUUUUUAUUUUUAUUGAUUUUUGCAGGAAAUUAAUAACUUCUUAUUUCAUAAUCCAACUCCAGUACUAAGUUAAAAAAAAUUGUUUCAAAAUUACUUGAAUCAUAUCCAAUGGACCAACAAUGUAAUCGUUUUUAUUUUUAUUGAUUUUUGCAGGAAAUUAAUAACUUAAAAAUACUGAAAGCUAUUGUAAAAAUUUUUAUUAUCAACCUCAUAGUUUUUUUUUUUUUGGGAAGAGAAUUCAAACUUUUUUUUUUUUAAUUUCCAAGAAUUCUUGACACCCGUCUUAAUUAAAAGCUAUAUUUUAAUUCAAAAGUCAUGCUAUUCAUUCACUCACAGACCAAAGGCUUUCCGCAGCAAUAUUAUUAUUUAAAUUACAACAAAGGGGAAAUCAAAUACGUCAUACAGAAGCUUAAAGCUGAAUCUACAAAAUCUAGAGCUCGCAACUACAAAAAUUACACUUGAUGAUCCUCUACAAGAUGAAGCUUGUUCAAUAUCUCAUCCAAAGCUUGUAAAGUAACCUUGUAACGAUCUUGAGAUUGCCUGCCUUCCUCGACGACCUGCACGAUGCGUUUGUACCAAUCAUCAUACCUGUGCACCGGAUUUUUAAUAUCAACGCCACUGCAGCUGUGAUCAAGAACAUAAGAGCGUUUAACAUCUUUUCUCCAUCGAGAAAGAAUGUAGUGAGAUGGGAUCUCCUCCAUACCACUCUGGUUUAGAACACAAAGAAUGUGUCUGCAUAAAUAUCCUCUGAAAUUGAACAACCCACAAACACAAAGCACCUCCAAGUCGGAGGCAUUGUACAAAACAUCGAAAGCCCUUGAAUCUUUCUCGUUGCUACCAACCUCAAAUUCUUCCUUCACUAUGUAUGUUAUAGGUCCAUCAGCACUGACAUGUUUUGUGCUAUAGCAAAGAGUACAUAGCCUCCACCUCCGUCUGAAACUUCCUUAACAUUUCAUUUGUGUACAGUUUUGAGAGUUGAAAUUCAUAGUAACAUCUUGGUUUCUGGAUACAACUUGAAUUUCUUGAAUCCAUAUCUGCCAAGGCUUCCAGUUGAUAAUUCGCCUGCAGUGCUUGAUCAGACUUGUCUAAGAAUUCUUUCAAAGGAGUAUUCUUAUCAAGAUAUCCUUCAAAGUAUGAAGUAGAAACCUCAUUCUGCAGGAACGAAAACACUCCUGAUAAAAAAGCUUCCUUCAAAUAAAUAGGAGCCCACCUUUUACGAUCUUCAUAUAAAGUUUGAAUCCAUCCGUGAUCCUUUAUUCCAUGACGUUGAUGUUGAAAAGUCAAAAGAGUUUUGGUUGAAAAAGAAAAGUGAGUAUUAAAAAAGGCGGGAACCUUUUGUUUUCCGCAGCCUUCACCAUGUUACUAUACAAAGCUGCCAGAAGUUGAAAGAUUCGACAUUCCUUGUUUUUGCUCCAAACCUCAAGUCUCUUUCGAUGGUCAAAUGCAAUGCUAUGGAAGAAAUAAUCAGCGUCGGAAAAUUUGCUGAGACUCCUGAGAUGAUGGGACAUAUAAGCCCUUUUGAAAAUCUCCAAAUGCUUGAUUUAAUAGGUUUGCCACAUUUGAAGAGCAUCUUCUGGAAGCCAUUGCCUUUCACUCAUCUCAAAGAAAUAUAUGUGGGUUAUUGCCCUAAUCUUAAAAAGAUUCCACUCGAUUCCAACAGUGCAAAGGAGCGUAAAUUUGUUAUUCGUGGAGAAGAAGACUGGUGGAACCGACUUCAAUGGGAGGAUGAAGCCACUCAAAUUGCUUUUCGUUCCUGUUUCCAACCUCGUUCCUGAGCGGUGGUCGCAAAAUUUGAUUUCUGGUGAGCGCGUUUGUCUUUUAAAAGAAGAAUUUAAAAGAAAUUUAUUCUUAUCGUUUUCUUCUCUGUUUUUAUUUCAGUUUCUCUCUCUCUCUUUGUCUUCUGCAAAUCACAAUUAAAUGUUGAAUUAAUGGAAUUAAUGCUUCAUAAAUUUGCCGGCACUGCCAUUACUUUUUUUUUUUAAUACGAAUUGAAACUUUAUUUAUUUCUUCUUAGCGAUUUAAUUUCCUGUCAAAAGACGAGCGAGAAGAACAUAUAUAUGACUUAAAUUUUUUGUUCAAGGAUUUUUAUUUCGGGUAUUAAUAAUAGUCCACCAAAAGAGGGAACACUUGGAUGCUGCUCUAAGGGUCUCUCUAAUCAAUAGCUGGAAGCAAUUGAGAAGGCGGUCGCUACUGUGUACAAAUCCAUGCAGUAUUUGCUAUUCAUCUUAAUAAUUAUGAAGCUUUGGUAAAAUUUUCAGACAAAGUUGACAUGUUAUUUUGAGAUUUGGUUCGUGAUUUUGUAUGAAUAUCGUUGUUCCGUUUGAGUUGGAUAUGAAUUCGAGUCUAAAUAUUCUUUGGUUUUCAAUUUUGAACUCAAUUUUUUUUUUCUCAAGCAUGUUAUGCAGAAAUGAUUUUUACUAAAUCAUUUUUGAUGAAUUAUUUAAAUUAAACAAUUGGAAUCAGAAUUGUAACGAUUUAUCACAAGCAUGCUAAUAUGAUAAUUCUGAAACUAUCAUUUUUUUUUUCAAUUUGCUGCAGGGAAAGCCAAAUUUUGUAUUUUUCAGUUUUAUCUGAUAUGGAAUUUAUUUCCUCUACACUAGCUACCUAAAGAUUUAUCAAAUUGCUUCUCUUCCCUGCUUCAAAUAUCUUCAUGGCAUCAUAGGAAAAGAGAGUUUGGGUUGUAUUUAUUAUAGUUUUUAUUUUUUUUUCGUUAUAAGCAAAUUUAUUUUAAAUACUUUAGUAGUAACAGUUUUUAUUGAAUAAUAAUGGGGGAUGAUUAUUAUAUGUUCAAAUAGUUGUUAGAACAUUAUAAAAAGUCUAUUUGCUAUCAAAUGUUUUAAAUUGAUGCAACAUGAUAAUUGUCUCAUAUAAUUUUUUUAUACUAUAUAUGUCCCAUAAUCUUAACAUGAAUAAAUGAUUUUCAAUGGUUAAAUUUGACACGAUUAUUAAAUAGAUCAUAUCUAUAUUAAUUCGAUUUAAAAUCUGGUCACAUUUGGAUUUAGAGUUUCUAACAUGGUAUCUUGUUUUAUGACAUAAUUUACUAAUCAAUUAAUAGAAAAUCAAAUGUUAGUCAAUUAAAUAUGUGGUACAUUUGUCAUAUUUUAAAAAUUAUUUAUUUAUAUUUGAAAUAAAUUUGACUAGACUUUGUGCAGGUAAUACUGCAUAAUUUCUAAAAAAAUGUAAUAAAAACAUGUUAAAAUGUUAUUUUUAUGAAGAAAAAUUGGAAUUUUAUUAAAUAGGAGACACAAUAAUAAAUGGAUAAAAAUUGAGAUUAUUGAUAUAAUGAUUAAAUAGAUUGAAUUGAAGUGAGUUUCAAUUUUGAGAAGAUAAUAAGACGACGCGACACAAAUACAACCAACCAGUCAACCCAAAUUGCCACCUUUUACUAUCUUCUUUGUGUUAUUUCUCUAAAAAUUUGUGCCUUCUCUUACACUUUUAAAUCUUAAGUGUUUGAACUGGAGUACACAAAUUAUCUCUCUACAAUUCCAAAACAACCAAUUUGUAACUUGGUAAAUCUUAAUCAAUGGCAGGAAGCAAUUGAGAAGGCGGUCGCUACUGUGUACAAAGCCAUGCAGUAUUUGCUAUUCAUCUUAACAAUUGUUGAGCUUCGGUAAAUUUUCAAAUAUAGUUGACUUUUUAUUUUGAGAUUUGGUUCAUGAUUUUGUAUGAAUAUCGUUGUUCCGUUUGAGUUGGAUGUGAAUUCAAACCUAAAUAUUCUUUGGUUUUCCAUUUUGAAUUCAAUUUUUUUCCUCAAGCAUGUUAUGCAGAAAUGAUUUUUACGAAAUGAUUUUUGAUCGAUUAUUUAAAUUAAACAAUUGGAAUAAGAAUUGUAACGGUUUAUCGUAAGCAUGCUAAUAUGAUAACUUGUUUUACGAACGAUUAGUUAAUCAAUUAAUAUUAAAUUGUAUAUUAGUCAAUUAGAUAUGUGUUAUAUUUGUCAUAUUCUAAAAAUUAUUUAUUUAUAUUUCAAAUAAAUUUGACCAGAGGUUACGUAGGUAAUACUACAUAAUUUCGAAAGGAUGUAAAAAUUUAAAAUUUCAUUAAAUAGGUGACUCAACAAUAAAUGGAUUUCUGCAAGAAUUGAGAUUCUUGAGAUAAUUAUUGCAUAGGGGGAAUUUUGGUUAGUUCAAUUUUGACAUGAUAAGAAGACAACACAGCGCAGAAAACCCAAAUUGCCACUUCUACUAGUAAUAAAAGAUGAGCGAAUUGCGUGGGAUAUACUUGUUUUCCCUCAAAAUACCCAAAAUAUACCUCCACAUAUUAAAAUUGCUAGCUUUACACAUAUAUACUUAAAAAGAUCAGAGAAAAUACAAAAAUAACCUUAAUAAAAAUACUCGACUUAUUUAAUAUGCUUACUCGACUCAUUUAAUAUUCUUACUCGAUUUCUUACCGGACCAUAUACUCGACUUAGUUAAUAUGCUUACUCGACUUAUUUAAUAUUUUUAUUCGACUUAUUUAAUAUUCUUACUCGACUUCUUACCCGACCAUAUACUCGAUUUAUUUAAUAUGUUUACUCGACUCAUUUAAUAUUCUUACUCGACUUCUUACCGGACCAUAUACUCGAUUUAGUUAAUAUGCUUACUCGACUUAUUUAAUAUUCUUACUCGACUUCUUACCGGACCAUAUACUCGACUUAUUUAAUAUGCUUACUCGACUCAUGUAAUAUUCUUAUUCGACUUCUUACCCGACCAUAUACUCGACUUAUUUAAUAUGCUUACUCGACUCAUUUAAUAUUCUUACUCGACUUAUUUAAUAUUCUUACUCGACUUCUUACCCGACCAUAUACUCGACUUAUUUAAUAUGCUUACUCGACUCAUGUAAUAUUCUUACUCGACUUCUUACCCGACCAUAUACUCGACUUAUUUAAUAUGCUUACUCGACUCAUUUAAUAUUCUUACUCGACUUCUUACCCGACCAUAUACUCGACUUAGUUAAUAUUCUUACUCGACUCAUUUAAUAUUCUUAUUCGACUUCUUACCUGACCAUAUACUCGACUUCUUUAAUAUGCUUACUCGACUCAUUUAAUUUUCUUACUCGACUUCUUACCCGACCAUAUACUCGACUUAUUUAAUAUGCUUACUCGAUUCAUUUAAUAUUCUUACUCGACUUCUUACCCGACCAUAUACUCGACUUAUUUAAUAUGCUUACUCGACUCAUUUAAUAUUCUUACUCGACUUCUUACCCGACCAUAUACUCGACUUACUUAUCUCUAAUUCUUACUCGACUAAAUUCUCGAUUUACCCGACUUUGUACCCGACUUCGUACCCGACUUCUUCCUGCACUGAUUCUUCAAUCAUUCAUAACUUAAAUGUAGUCUUAAAUCCCUACAUUGAAAUAGUGUGUGUGUGCAAGCACAAAAAAUGAAUAAUGUACUACUAAAAUUCAUAAAUCAUUAGGAAGUACACUUAUAAGAAAAAUAGAGAAUGGUGAGAGAAGCCCAAAAAAGAGAAGCAAUGGGAGAAGAGAGAUGUGAAUUCUUAGUUUUUUUAAGGUUAUUUUUGACUUUUUCUAUCUUCAUAAGGUAUAUGUAUGUAAUAGGAUAUAAAUUUGGCAUUUAAGGGUAAAUUAAGGAUAUUUAAAUAAAAAACCCAUAAAAGAUACCUGUUUCAAAAGUAAUUAUAAACUAUCUUCUUUGUGUUAUUUCUCAAAACUGUUAUUUCCCUGGAGAAAAGUACGAAAUACCCACUUUCACGUUGGCAGAAGCAAAGCAAAGCUAUGAGCUAUCUCUGUAUACUUGAAACGCCAUUGCUAAACGAUUCUCGAUGAUGGGUGCCACUGGGCCAGUGUUGUCGCUGAUUUGCAUGAUUUAUUAGUUGUCCAGAUGCCAGAGAAACCAUGGUGGCAUUGAAGUUACCCAGAUGGUUAGUUUUCUGAUCAUUUUUUUAUUCAAUUAUUUAUUUUUUUUAGAAAAAUGUAAGAAAUAUGUAGAAAUGUUGACAGCUAUGAUUUUGAAACUUUGCCUAAAAUUGUUAUCAUCACUUAUUUAAAGAGAAAUCCUAGAAACAUGACAUGAUUAGUAGCCUAAUUCAAAAUUAGACAUGAUUACAACAAGAGAAAAGUGGAGAGAACUUGAUAGUCGAGUGCAUUUAGAAUUUAAUUUUUCUUUUAGCUGCCAAUCAUUAAAUUUUCGAUUUCAGAAAAUUAUACCUAGAAUAUUUCAAGGAUAUACUAUGAAGAUUAUGAAGGUUUGAUUACAUGUCACUAUCAAUUGCCCCAAUCAUUUGUAGUAAAUUAAUUGAUCAUUUUGAUGCAAAUGAUUCCCUACUAAAAAAUUCAAGUCAAGGCUGAAUUGCACAGUAGUUAGUCGCGCUUGCACUUCAAAUUAAGUAUUGUAUUUUCUGCCUGGUUUGGUUGAUUAAAGUAUGUGCAUUUGCUUAUGAAAGUUGUAGUAUAGAAAUCGAAACAUUUGUUUUUCGCUAAGCCCAGAAGCAAAGUUCUUUGUACUGUACUCAUCACUUCUCUUCGUUCUCUUCAUUGAAAUUUUAUCCAAACAGCGGUUUCUUCGAAUUUGUGCCUUCUCUUACACUUUUAAAUCUAGCAAAGAACCGUUACCUGAGAAGAUUGCCAUCAGGAAUUUCUAAAUUGAUUUCACUAUAAUACCUUAAUCUUUCAAAUACUCCUCUCACUGGGUUGCCAAUAGUACUAAAAGCCUUGGUGAAUCCUACGUGUUUGAACUGGAGUACAAAAGUUAUCUCUCCACAAUUCCAAAACAACUGAUUUGUUACUUUUCAAUGCUACACGUUCUGCGAACGUUCAGUUGUGGUUAUCUUGCUGAAAUACCAGAAAAUAGGGUUCUAUUUGGUGGUAGUGGAUUCUUGGUUGGGGAGUUGCUUAGUUUAAAACGUUUAGAUGUAUUAAGCAUCACCUUAAAAGGUUUUUCUUCUGUCCAAAAACUUAUGAGCUCCCAACAGUUUCAAAGCCGUACAAAAAUGUUUGGAGCUUAUAGACUGUGAUGAUUCAAAGUCGUUUGCCUUGGCAGAGUUGAAGCAUCUUGUAAAACUAGGUUUGUCAAAUUGUGGAAAUUUGGAAGAUAAAUUACAUUUAUAAACUGUGGAUCGCCCUUUAUAAGUAUUAGGCUUAUUCCAUACUCGAGCAAUGUGGAAUACCUUUAUAAGCAUUAAGCCUCUCCCAUACAAUUUCUGUACAUGACUCUUCUUUUUUUUUUUUUUUUGAAGACCGUUCAAAGUGGUUGAUGAUCCGUUUUGUAAUAUCAUAGAGGGAUCAUGAAUUCCUUUUCUUUUCUGUGGCUAGGCAACACUUUUGGGCCAAAGUAAGGGAAUCUAUUUUAGGUCAUGUAAAAACCAGUUGUGGGAUGUAAUAGUUUAUUAUGCACUGACAAUAACUUUUUGUAUAAUUGUCAGUUUAAUGAAUACGAGAGGAACUCUGUUGGCAAAUUCAUCCAUGAUAGAUGCUAAAAUUAUACCAGUUGCCUUAACUUAUUUUUCUCAACACUGGUAUUGAACAGGAAAAUGAAUAUGCAAUUUGUAUUUGUGCCAUUGUGGAGAAUUUGGAUAUUCUUAUUUUUAGUAACAAGGAGAGUAUUGGCCUCAUCUUUAAAAAAUGAAUCUUUGAGAAAUGAGGAGUGGGUGAUUGGCAGUGUCAGAGUGUCUUCCUGUAAAUGUUCAUUUAUUUGUAUUUUGAACUAUUAGUAGAAUCUUUAUAUGCCAAAUUAGUAAUACAAAUAUUCAGAUGAUUUUUCCUGUUGAUCAUUUCAUUCUUGAGAGCCAUGUACAAUACUAGUAUACCAGAGAAACCAAGGUAGCAUUGAAGUUGCCCCAGUGGCUAGUUUUCCGAUCAUUUUUUAUUCAAAUUUUUAUGUUUUAGAAAAAUGUAAGAAAUAUGUAGAAAUGUUGAUAGCUAUGAUUUUGAAACUUUGCCUAAAAUUGUUAUCAUCACUUAUUGUUUCUUAUUUAAAGAGAAAUCCUGGAAACGUGACAUGAUUAUUCCAUACUUGUUUUUAUAUUAUUUAUUAGCAGCCUAAUUCAAAAUUACACGUGAUUAUUUGUUACUUUUAAUGCUACAUAUUCUGGGAAUAUUCAGUUGUGGUUAUCUUGUUGAAAUACCAGAAAAUAGCGUUCUAUUUGGUGGUAGUGGAUUCUUGGUUGGUUUAAAUGUAUUAAGCAUCACCUUAGAAGGUGUUUCUGCUGUCCAAAAACUUACGAGCUCCCAAAAGUUUCAAAGCUGUGCACAACCUUUGGAGCUUAUAGACUGUAGUGAUUCAAAGUUGUUUGCCUUCACAGAGUUGAAGCAUCUUGAAAAACUAGGUUUUUCAAAUUGUGGAAAUUGGAAGAGUUUAAGUUCUGCUGUGUCGAGGAUGGAAAGGCUCGAGAAUGUUUUCGUGUGAACAGCCUCCAACGAGUUAAGAUAAAGGCUUGUCAUAAAUUGAGGGAAGUGACAUGGCUUGUAUUUGCUCUGUAUCUUGAGGUUAUUCAAAUAGACAAAUGUAUGGGGAUGGAAGUAAUAAUCAGUGCAAGGAAAUUGGGUGAAGUUCCAGAGAUGAUGGCAGAUCUAAACCCUUUGGUAAAACUCCAAUAUCUUGGCCCACGAGUUCUACCAAAAUUAAAAUGCAUCUAUUGGAAUCAAUUGCCCUCUCUACAUGUCAGGCAAAUUUUGUAUCUGAAUGUCCAAUUCUCAAGAAGCUUCCACUUGGUUUUAACAAUGCAAAGGAAUCUAAAACUAUCAUUAGGGGAGAAGAACACUGGUCGAAUGAGCUGCAAUGGGAGGACAAAGUGACCCUUAAUGUUCUUCUUCCUUGUUUCGGAUCCAUUUGAGGGCAUCAACAUGGAUUGAUACUUUGCAGUGGAGAAAUUCGAAUAAAACCUGGUAAGUGCUUUUCCAUUUAUUGCAUAUUUAUAUCUAACUUUUGUUUUCCUUUGUGGUUAAACUUUGCUCUAUAUACGUUGUUGUACGGUGACAUUCUCAUAUCAAUUAUUAGCUUUUUAAUUCUCUUCUCACAUUAACUGCCCUUUUGAUCAUGUAGGAUAUGCUGAUGUCAAAGAGUCGUAAUUUGGACUGCAAAUGUAAGAAUUAGACAGAUGACCAGUUGUUUUGAAGCGCUCGAAGAAGGAUUAAUUACGUCAUUGAAAGCCUCCAAUUUUAUGACUUUUUUUUUAAUUUGUUGUUUUUCUAUUUUUAGAUAGCUUGAUUGUUAGUUGUCGUGACGUAAUGCUUUAGUGUAGAAAAAUGAUAUUCGGCCAAGACAACAUUAGGAGGGCACCUUGUGCAUGCAUACUAGUGGAUAAUUUUGGCAUGCUAAAUCCAGUUAGGGUGGAUGACCUUUUAUAAGCAUUAGGCUUCUCUCAUACCCGAAAACAAUGUAGAAUAUGCUUAUAAGCUGUGGAUCACCCAUUAUAAGUUUUAGGCUUCUCCUAUACUCGAGCGAUGUGGAAUACCUUUAUAAGCAUUAAGCUUCUCCCGGUAUCUUUAUGUUAAAAAUAAUAAUAAUAAAAGAAAUCCAUUUUAAAAUAGACUCUUUUUGCUUUUUCUAUAUAAACAAAUGCAUUCUUCAAAUCAAUUGUGGGCAGAAGAAGUUAGUAGAAAAGAACUAGUCCCCUUUCAUUCCCCCUUAAACCUCACCAAAGCCUCUUUUGUAAGCUUUUCGGAUUUUCUUUCUAUAUUGCUUACGAUCUCAUUUUUGAUUGAAUCACUUCUUUUGCAUGCUGCAUUUUUUGUUUGUUGUAUUUGGAUAUUAUCGUAUUUGGAAUGCUGUUAUGAUUGAUGGAACAAGUAAUCGAUUUUUAGUCUGAUGGAAGUUGACUUAUUUAUUUAUUGUUAUUUUUAUUGAAAUUAUGUACAAUUGCAUUUCAUUCAUUUCUUCCCCCCUAACAUAUUUGUUAUGUAUAAUUGCGUUUCAUUUGAUAUUGAUCAUGCUGUAGAUAACCAUGUGAUUGUAGGAUGGGGAUUUCAAGUUUGUUGAAUAUUCAAGUAAGUGAAGUAACUGUCAAAAUACUAGUGAAAUUGGGAGCUUUAUUCAUGAGCUUGUGGUUUUGAAAAGUACCACAGUUCAACCGAUGAAGGUUCCUUUUUGGGGUUUGUUGAUGCGAGAUUCUGGUUAUGCUCGUCCUACGACCAGGAUAUCUGCUCGAUCAACCUCACCUCGAUCAGGAUCUCUCCUCGUAUGCUUUCUUCUCCAAGUAUCCCUGCGUUCACAGAAACGAGUCAGAGCACGCCGGUUGUUUUCUCGGCGUAAACCCUCCGACGCUCAAGUCAGAUGUGAAGGUUCUGGGAACGCUUGCCACAGAUCUUAUGGCUUUUCUAUAAUCUCAGUUCUUAGAGUUCUCUUUUCUUAGUUCCAAAAUCAAAAAUUCUAAACCUUUUACCUUCGUUGGCUACCUUUUUAUAGGCUUCCUCUGAAUCCAGAUCUUCCGCAGUCCACGCCCGCCAUUCUCCCCACUUUCGGGUGUGGACGCCCCAUUACCGCCAUUGUCGGCGAAUAGAGAUGGACCUCGUGUCUUAAUUCUCGGAUAGGAAUGCACGUCCUGCCAACUGUCGUUGACUGGGUCUCCUCGCCUCGAUGCCUAGCAGGAAUGACCUUAUGCCUCUAAUAGGAGUUCGGCCUCACGAAUGGCAUAUUCGUGGACGAGCAGAAUACUCCUGCUCGUAUUCCCCUGCUACUUGGCUCUUGCAGGAUACCCCUGCUCGCAGAACCCUGCCACCAACCACCUGCUCAUCAUGUUUGGUCGCCUCGAUAUAUUUCCCUCAAACACCGGUCCCCCAGUUUCUGGUGUUGGGUAAUGUAAUGGACCAGCAGUAGAAACUCAACGGUUCUUGCUCGCGUGGGACUGGAGAAGGCUGCCAAGAGUCGUGUCGCAUUUAAUUGCGGACGAGGUGAUGUGGCAGAAAUCUGCCCCUCUAUUUGAAUUUCAAACCAACGGUUACGAGGCCCUUGGGGUUUGGUUCCGUUAAAUGCUGGCAACCUAAGAGUCCGUCCCCUUUAUGAAACCCACCUCCUUUCGUACAACAAAUUCAUCAUCCACUCCGUCUCCGUCUCCGUCUCUCCGGCAAAGAAGUUCCGGCAUAAAGGCCUCCAUCUCUGUCUUUCACCGACUGAAAAAUUACUUCAGGUACUUCUUCUAUCUCCUUGGUCUCGAAUAGUUGUAGAUAAUUUCUCUUCUCUUUUGUUCGGGUAAUAGUUGGUGGUGGCGUUGUGGUUAGCGCUUAGGGAAUGUCGAAAGGUAAAGAGAAGGUCGUUGAGGUUGACGACGAUGAGUUGGACUUCCUGCCUGGUCUGCUCACCGAUCCUGCUUUUGACCCCGGGAUCCCCUUAGAGCCCAUCAGAUCCAGUGUUGGUACUAGCGCUAGGAGGAUGUCUCCCCAAACAACCUCCUCGAGCGGAAAUAACGAUGAAGAGGGGUCUUCUGGAUCGGAGAACACCCCGAGUGAGGGUCGAGGAGAUGAUUCUGGUGAGGUGUCCCCAUCAGGAGCGUCGCGACCAGAAGAGAGGAGUACAAUAGGAGGUAGAGCCCUAUCGCGGGAUUACGCUAUUGAUUAUAUGACGUGCACGACCACGUUUGAUGAGCUCGAUGACCUCCGGCUUAGGUAUAGUAUUCCUGGUGAAAUACCUCUUAAGGUCCCAGGAAAGAAGGAUGCUCCUAGCCGGCCUCCUAGGGGAUAUGUUACCCUAUAUCUGGAUAGCUUUAAGUAUGGGCUGAGGUGUCCCUUGCAACCUUACUUUGCCCGGAUACUUGACGGGCUGAAUCUAUCUCCUGGUCAGUUGAACCCAAACGGUUGGAGAGUGCUCUCUGGUCUGUUCAUAUUGUGGGACAGAUGUUGCCAAAGCGAGCCCACAAUUGAUGAGGUGAAGCACCUGUACCAGCUAAAGAGCAGCCCCAAAGAUGCCGGCUGGUACUACUUCCAAUCUAGCACCAAGACCAGGAAACCUAUAACCGACCUCCCUUCUGGUGGUGGUGGGAAUUGGAAGAGAAAGUUCUUUUUUGCUGGGGGUCCUUGGGGUCAGGUUGCACAAAUGGACGGGAAGGAUUAUCGGGUCCCACCCCGUUUCACAGUCCCAGGUUGCCUGCUCGCUUGAGAUGUCCUGUAUCCAUAAUUGUUCUUGCUUUAUUGGCUUGUCUCUAACCAAGUGUCUGUUUGUGUUGUAGUUUCUUGGGGUGUUCAUUUCCCGCUCCAACCUGGCCAGCUCAAACAGGUUGAGGCUGUGCUAGUCAAUUCCUGCCCGAGCCGAGAGCUGUUAACUACUUACAACUUGCUCGAGUCUCGUUUGAUACUACCUGGUCAUAAGAUGGAGGACGUUGUGAUUGGGGCUCUGAACAGGAAACGUUCUCGACCUCAAACCACGAAGAGGGACCAGAAUAAGGACGCCCUUACUGCAAAGCGGGCCAACAUCGUGCAGCAGGUCUUUCCCUUGAAGACUUUACCUCCUGCUCCUGCCAAAGUCGGGGAAACUAGUGGAGCAGCCACCGAUCCUGCUUCUUCUUCUCCUCCUGUCGGGCCGCGAUCUCGCUUACCUGAUAGCCGAGCAGAACACUUGGUCCUCUAUCUCAAUGAGUUAUCUAAGCUCGUGAGCAAGAAGGACCUGGAGGACUUUGAUGGCUGCACUCUGGGCGAGCUGGUGGGAGCCAUGCAGUAUAGUGCUUUCCAUCUCAGUUGCAUGACCACCUACUAUAAGGCCAAGGUUGGCCGUUAUGACAGGAAGAUGAAGGAGGACAUUCAGUCGGCGACGACCAGAGCUGACGUUGCUGAGAAGAAAGCAGGGGACUUAAACCUCGAGAAUCUCAAGUUGAUUGAGCGAGAAUCUCUUGCUCAAGCCAAGGCUAUUACUCUCGAGGAAGAGCUGGCCAAGGUCAAGGAAGAUCUGCAGAGGCAGAAAGCUAUGUACGAGGCUCAGCUCGAAUCUCUCCGUGAUUCCCACCGGGUUCAGGUCGAGAACUUAGAGAAGGAGGCUGACAACCAGUACGACCAGGGACUUCGGCAUUCCUAUCGUUGCAUCAUGGCCGUCCUCGGGAAGCAACACCCUGAUCUAAAGAUGGAUGACCUUGCAGUUGGUGUUGCUCAACAUAUGGAUGAGGAGGCGGCCGAGGAAGAUGCUGAAGGGGUAGAGCCGAUCGUGAUUGAGGAGGAAACCUCUCCUCCUCGUGCAGUCCCUGCUGCUGUUGGCGAGGCGAGCACCCCCCCGGACGCAACUGGUGAUACCCCCCCUGCACCUGAGGAGGUCCAGACAACCGAUGCUGCUCGGCUUACUGAUCCACCAUCUUCUUAAUAUAUUUCUUGUACUGUAAUGAACAAUUUUUGUGACGAUUAUCUCUUCUGUUAAUUACUAACAAUUAAUAAAGAUGUUUUUUAUUACUUUCUUAUGUUGUAAUCACGGCUUAUUUUCCGUUUGAGAAUCUGCUCGUCCUUGUCCGGUCGAGCAAGUUCUGGCUUGGCAUAUGGUUUUGCCACAUGCCUUAGAAAAUUCUUCGAUGUUCGAGAUUCUGCUCGCCUUCGCGCGAUCGAGCAGACCCUUCCACGCUUGACUUCAUUCUCGCCAUAAACAGGCUUUGAGACUUGACGAGCCUUUGCAUGCCUUAGAAAUUUUUUCGAUGCUUGGGGAUUCUACUCGCCUUCGCGUGGUCGAGCAGAUCCUGGCACGCUUGGCUUCUGUCUCGCCAUAAACAGGCUUUGAGACUUGACGAGCCUUUGCAUGCCUUAGAAAUUUUUUCGAUGCUUGGGGAUUCUGCUCGCCUUCGCGUGGUCGAGCAGAUCCUGGCACGCUUGGCUUCUGUCUCGCCAUAAACAGGCUUUGAGACUUGAUGAGCCUUUACAUGCCUUUGAUUCUUCAAGGACUGGGAUUCUGCUCGCCUUCUCGUGGUCGAGCAGAUCCUGGCACGCUUGGCUUCUGUCUCGCCAUAAAUAGGCUUUGAGACUUGAUGAGCCUUUGCAUGCCUUUGAUUCUUCAAGGACUGGGAUUCUGCUCGCCUUCUCGUGGUCAAGCAGAUCCUGGCACGCUUGGCUUCUGUCUCGCCAUAAAACAGGCUUUGAGACUUGAUGAGCCUUUGCAUGCCUUUGAUUCUUCAAGGACUGGGAUUCUGCUCGCCUUCUCGUGGUCAAGCAGAUCCUGGCACGCUUGGCUUCUGUCUCGCCAUAAAACAGGUUUGAGACUUGAUGAGCCUUUGCAUGCCUUUGAUUCUUCAAGGACUGGGAUUCUGCUCGCCUUCUCGUGGUCAAGCAGAUCCUGGCACGCUUGGCUUCUGUCUCGCCAUAAAACAGGCUUUGAGACUUGAUGAGCCUUUGCAUGUCUUUGAUUCUUCAAGGACUGGGAUUCUGCUCGCCUUCUCGUGGUCGAGCAGAUCCUGGCACGCUUGGCUUCUGUCUCGCCAUAAACAGGCUUUGAGACUUGAUGAGCCUUUGCAUGCCUUUGAUUCUUCAAGGACUGGGAUUCUGCUCGCCUUCUCGUAGUUGAGCAGAUCCUGGCACGCUUGGCUUCUGUCUCGCCAUAAAACAGGCUUUGAGACUUGAUGAGCCUUUGCAUGCCUUAGAAAAUUUUCACAGUUUCAAGCGAAUGAAAUUCCUCAUUGAUUUAUUAUUGAGUUCGGCUUACAUGAGGUUGCUUUGAAAUAAGAAAUCAAAAAUAGAAAACAACGGACACGAACAGAAAAAAAAAACUUUAAAACAUGAAUAAGUCUUACUAGAAAUAUUUCCUGAGGUGUGCCGCGCUCCAGGGGCGUUUCACCUCGUGGCCCUCCGUGCGAACCAACUUGUAAACUCCGGGUCCAACUAGCUGCCAUUCCCGGCUUCCACUCGGGUAUCAAGGUAUGUUAUCUGCAUUGCUUCCCUUGCUGCCGAGGAGUAACAGCUUCGUGCGAUUCUCUGGUCUCCUCGUACCACUCCAACUACCCCAUUCACCCGGUACUUGAGAGCCAGAUAAUGGUUGGACAGCACCGCUUUGCUGAUCCUCAGAAAUGGCCGGCCUAGGAUCAUCUGAUAAGGACCUUCCUCAUCCACUACCACAAAGUCCAGUAUCAUUGUCCUUUCUGUCGGGGAGCUCCCAAUCGUGAUAGGCAGCUCGACCACGCCCAGAGGGACCAGCUUUCCUCCUCCAAACCCCUUCAAGGAGGUAUUGGUGUACUCCAACUUCCGGUCUGCUAUUCCCAUCUCUUCCAAGGUUGACUUAAAUAACACAUCAACUGAACUCCCUGUAUCAACCAGUAUCCGGUCACACUUCUUGCUAGCGACAGUAGCCUUGAUGACUAAAGCAUCCUCGUGGGGGUAUAGAAUUCCUUCCUCAUCUUCAUCCGUCCACAUGAUUGGCACUUGCCUGACCCUUGCUCGUUUGGCUGCUGGGGUGUUGAAGAAUACCUCUUUACUAGUCAUGGCGUAUCUAGCAUAGUUCUUCCUAGAUCUGUUGGAAUCUCCAGCCAAUGUCGGGCCCCCAGCAAUCACCCUUACUGUAGGCUGCUCGUGCCUCAAAUUUCUGCCACUCUGGUCCCCUUCACAUGUCGAGGCCACCAUCGGGAAAGUCCCAUCUACAAACUCGUCCAGGUACCGAUUUCUCACCAAAUCUUCAACUUGGGUCUUGAGAUCUUUGCAUUCUGCGGUGGUAUGGCCAUGAGUGCCAUGGAACUUACAAUGACGUCCCCUAUCCCUCCUGCCGGGUAGCUUUGUUAUUGGGGCAGGGAGGUACAUCGAUCCUUGGUCCUUUAUGGCCUCGUAUACUUCGUCCAGGGACAUCUUCAAGGAAGUGUAUCGCCCAUACUCCUGGUUCUGGUCAAUCAGGUGCACUGCUCUUUCUCUGUUUGCUCCGUUCUGAGUUGGGUGCGGUGGCAGUACCUCUGGUCUGCUCCCUCUGCUACCGUGGGAGUGUUGAUGACCACCAUAUGAUGAAUCGUGCCUUCUCCAAGGCUCCCUAGCUGGGGAGCGAGGAGGCUGCGCCCUGCUGCGCUGAUACUGUGGUGGCCUCUGAUGAGGCUGGUAAGCAAUUACCCGACCUCCUGCUCCACUAUCCGAGGCCUGGUGGUCCCUCCUCCUGAUCGGCCCAUUCCCCGGUAAUGCUUUCUUCUCUUUCCUCCCCAACCCUUCUAACUGGUCUAUCUUAAUGCGUGCUGCCUUCUCCUCUUCGAUCUCAAUAUCUCUCUUAGCCUGCUCGUAUGCGGCCGCAUACGUCUGGAUAGCUGGGCUUCUCAAGUUGUACCACAGCCUUCCUAUCUUCACUCCUUCUUUCAAUCCCCUUAACGCCUGAGGGUGGUUGAAGGCUCCCAAGUCGAGGACAGCACGAUGAAACCUCUUGAUGAAUUCCCGAAGGGUUUCUUGCUCCCCUUGUUUCAUGCUUUUCAGCUCCAUCAUGUCAUCUUCUGGUGCCAUUGCCCCACUAAAUUGCUCUGCGAAUUCCUGGCACAUCUGCUCGAAGGUUUUAAUGCUGCCCCGAGGAAGUUUCCUGUACCACUCGCGUGCACAUCCCUCCAGGGAUAGUGGGAACACCCUGCACCUUUGAGGCUGAGAUAAUCCUUGUACCCCCGUUAUGUCAUUGAAGCGUUCUAUGUGCACCAGCGGAUCAGUUCGUCCCGAAUAUCUAAGGUCCGGGAGACGGAAAUCUCUCGGAAUAACUGCCCUCAUGAUAUCUGCUGCGAGCGGUGACUCUCCGUCCAGCAUUAUCCUCCAACCAGGAGCUCUGCUCCUUCCUUGCAUAUCGUCAAUUAUCUGCGCUAGUCUGCGCACUUCCUCCUCCAGCUGCACCGCACGACCAGGGUCACGUGCUGUAACUUGAUCCCUCUCUUGCUCUACAUCAUGCAAGUGUUGCCUCAACUCUGUUUCUUUUGCAUUCGCCACCCCAUCGUCCUCGUAAAAAAUCUGUCUUGCCGGGGAUUGCUCUUCGUCUCUAUGGAAUUCUCCCCGCAGAGGUAUGUUACCUCUCUCACCACCAAGUCUCCCGGUGGUUUGACUUCUCCUUGUACCAUCGGGACCUGGUGCCACUCCACCACCUCUCACCAUUUCCUCCUGAGUUACCCUUCGUUCACUCCGCAACUCAUGCAUGAUGGUUGUCAAGGUCUCCAUCUGCUUUUCCAUCCGUUCCAUUCGGUCGAACAUGGCUUUUUCCCUGGCUUCGCUGGCUAUCUCCCUCAGCAUCACGGAAUCGUUCAGCCUCAUAUCACCCCCUUGUGCACUACUUCCUCCUGUCUCCAUUACUUUUCACUUGCUUCACUCCUCUUCUUGCUAUCAACAUAAGCUUUUUGCUCAGUUCCCCACAGACGGCGCCAAAAUAUUGAUGCGAGAUUCUGGUUAUGCUCGUCCUACGACCAGGAUAUCUGCUCGAUCAACCUCACCUCGAUCAGGAUCUCUCCUCGUAUGCUUUCUUCUCCAAGUAUCCCUGCGUUCACAGAAACGAGUCAGAGCACGCCGGUUGUUUUCCCGGCGUAAACCCUCCGACGCUCAAGUCAGAUGUGAAGGUUCUGGGAAUGCUUGCCACAGAUCUUAUGGCUUUUCUAUAAUCUCAGUUCUUAGAGUUCUCUUUUCUUAGUUCCAAAAUCAAAAAUUCUAAACCUUUUACCUUCGUUGGCUACCUUUUUAUAGGCUUCCUCUGAAUCCAGAUCUUCCACAGUCCACGCCCGCCAUUCUCCCCACUCUCGGGUGUGGACGCCCCAUUACCGCCAUUGUCGGCGAAUAGAGAUGGACCUCGUGUCUUAAUUCUCGGAUAGGAAUGCACGUCCUGCCAACUGUCGUUGACUGGGUCUCCUCGCCUCGAUGCCUAGCAGGAAUGACUUUAUGCCUCUAAUAGGAGUUCGGCCUCAUGAAUGGCAUAUUCGUGGACGAGCAAAAUACUCCUGCUCGUAUUCCCCUGCUACUUGGCUCUUGUAGGAUACCCCUGCUCGCAGAACCCUGCCACCAACCACCUGCUCAUCAUGUUUGGUCGCCUCGAUAUAUUUCCCUCAAACAGGGUUCUUCUUUUUCUAGGCUGCAAUUAGGAUAUGUACAUGUUAGACAAUCUUUUGUGGGUUUAGCAUAUCUUCUCUGAUUUUGUCUUUUAUUCCCCAAUCUUGUAAUUACACACCAUGAAUGUUGAGUGAUUGUAUAGAUAAUUUAUGUUAGAACCAAAGCAUUGUGAAGGAGUUAAGUUAGUGGCUUCUGUUUUUUUGGCAUUGAUUGGGUAGAUUAUGUGUUACAGUGAUUCAAUUUGUGAUCCAAACUUUGCUUUAAUUUCUGUUUUCCCUAAUUAUUUAUGUCAAAUUUAAAUCCAGAAGCAUGUGCUGAUUUUUUCUUUUUGUAUUAAUCUGUGAAGUUUAUUUGGAAUGGAAGUAUCUGGGUUGGGUCUAACGGAUUAAAUUAUGACAUUGGGGGGAAGGCAGUAAAGGGUUUGCUUGACACAUUUGGUUCUGUGUUUACUUUGCAAGAAAUAGCUUUUGGUUCUCGCAAUGCUGGGGGAAAUCCCGAUUUGGCCAGUGAAUUUCUUUGUGACAAAUAGGCGAACACAUCAACCUCUUCUAUCCAUCCUUCUACUCGUAAGGCAAGGGGUAAAGAGUCUUCAAAAUCAUCAAAUAGUAACAUCUCUGAGAAUUCAUUUUAUGCAAAUGGAAAAUCUUGACCUUCUAAGACAAAAUGGCGUCCUGUAUCAGGAGGUACCGUUUCAAGUUUUCUUGGUAAAAAUUAUGUUAAACCUGCACAGCCAGCUAAUGGCACAUUUCUAGUAUCAAAGCCAUUGAAGUUGGAUCCAAAGGGGUUUCCCAUGUCUCCACUUUUGUGGAGAAGAUACUAAACUGAAACAAUCAAAGGAUGACCAUUUGCAGAAGGAUAUUGAAGAUUUUCUGUUUAAAUUGCUAGGAGAAGUGUUCCAAUUUAAUACAUAUUGUCCUUUUCAAUGUUCUUUCUUUCUUUCUCUUCUUUUCUUCUUCUUCUUCUUUUUUCUUUUUGUGUGCGUGUGAUCACUAAUUUGGUAUUGUAGUUAAGUUGCAGAUAGUUGUGGAUAUGAUAUGCAAAAGGCAAGGACUAUAUCUUCCUGAUGGAGGCCUCUGCUUUUUCCUUUAUGUGUAAUUUAAUAAAUUGCAUCUUCCUUUCCGAUUGUUAGAUCAUAUCAAAGACAAGUCUUAAAUACUGCUGUCAUAUGUUAAGGUUCAACUUGCAGUUUGAUUAACAUUCAUGGCUCAAAGGCCUGCAAAAACUUGCCAGUAAUUGUAAAAUGACAUUCUUUGCUUUUAAUGCAAUAGAGGGAACAGGGAAGUAUAGCUUUGGAAGCCUGGAUUGGUAACUAUAGAGAGACUUAGUAUUUAAUUGAUAAAAAUUCCCAUAACCCAAGGGUCAAGAAAAUUUUAGAUCGUUAAAGACUUCAUUUUGUUUCGGCCAGAAAUGUUUGUUUCGAUCGAAGACUUGAACCAUUUUCAUUGAACCUGAUUAUGAUGCUUUACGUUAUGCAUGUUCCUCUUAAUCAAGAAAAGUUGAGGUGAUGAUUUUAUAUUUCUAUAUUGUAAGUUGAAAUAAUAAUUGGUCUGCUUGUUUCUGUAGCUUGAUAACAUGAAUUUUCCUUCUCAAGUUAAUUUAAUCAAUAAAGUAAUUCUUCAAAGAAAAUAUGCCCAUUCUAUAAUCAUUUUCUUAACUAACAUGUUUUUUUCUUCACUCUUCAGAGCAUGUUGAAACUAAUUGUUUCGGCAGAGACUUUGGGUGAGAAGACAAAAUUUCUCGGUAAAUCCUCUGAAAAGGUAUGCAUAAUUCCGGAGUAUUAAAUAACCAAUGGUCAUAAUUUUUGUACAGGACUCUUUUCUUGUGGAGAUGAUUAAAAGUGGCUGAUGAUCCAGUUUGUAUAUCAUAGAGAGCAUCAAUUCCUUUUCUUUUCAGUGGCUAGGCAACACUUUCAGGGCAAAGUAAGGAAAUCUAUUUUAGGCAAUGUAAAAACCAAUGGUAGGAUGUAAUAGUUUAACAUGCACUGACAAUAACUUUUUGUAUAAUUGUCAGUUGAACGAAUACAAGAGGAACUCUGUUGACAAUUCAUCCAAGAUAGAUGCUAAAAUUAUUUAUGCAUGCCAGUUGCCUUAACUAAUUUUUCUUGACACUGGUAUUGAAGAGGAAAAUGGAUAUGCAAUUUGUAUAUUGUGCCAUGUGGAGAAUUUGGAUAUUCCUAUCUAAGUAACAAGGAGAGUAUUUGCCUCAUCUUUAGACAAUGAAUCUUUGAGAAAUUAGGAGUGGGUGAUUGGCAGUGUCUUCAUGUAAAUGUUCAUUUGUUUGUAUUUUGAACUAUUAUGAGAAUCUUUUAUAUGCCAAAUUAGUAAUGCAAAUGUUCAGAUUAUUUUUUCUGUUGAUCGUGCAUUUGUGUCUGCAAACAACCAUUGUAUAUCACUUCAUUCUGAUGUGCAAGUCUCUGUAGUUUAGAAGAAAAGAAAUAAUAAUGAUAUAUUAUUGCUUGAUUCAUGAUUAUUAAAUGAUUAUGGCUUUAAAAAGCCUACAAAUUCCUUCUGUUGAUAUAUGAAUGUACCAAGUUUGCUAUAUCUUAGAUUACCAUUUCCAAGAUUACAAGUUCAAAUUUUUUCUUUAUCCUUUUCCAUCACAGUUGCAUUUUAAGUGUAAGAUUUGUUAUUAAUACCUGGUUUCCCGUCAUUAUGAUUUCAUAAACAGUGUAUGGGUAUGUGCUCUACUUUUGGAGGGCCUCCACGUGAAAGAAAAAUUGCAACAAUUGAAUUCUUCCAGAUUGUAUGGUAUUUAAUUUAUUUUCUCAACCUCUUGUAAGACUAAUAUAUUUUCCUUCAGUAGACACGGCAUGGUGGGAAGGGUUUUUUAUUGAAAGAAUUCUGAUAUUUCUUAGACUUUGUUUUGGAAGGGGGUGCAGGGGUUUCUCAUCCAUAUAUGGUUACUUGAUUAGCUUUUGACUGUAUUGCCUUAAUCAUGCAAAGGAAGAUCCAAAUACAAACGAAGGAGAAUUGUUUAGACACCCAGAAGAUGGAAAUGAACUACAGAAGGAAGUUUUUGCUGCUUUAUUUAGUGCUCCUGAGAAAUCUGAUGAAUUUCCUGAAAUUACGGUGAAGACCAAGUGUGAGGUCCAAAGCAUUAGGAAAGGUGGUGAGUGAACUGCCGGAGGAAUUGGUACAGAAUACAAGGCUAAUGUGGUGGACUUGCAGCAAGAUAACCGAAACAGUCCGUGCUCUUAUAUUAACUAUAUUGACUGGAUUUGCUAGUGUGUAUAUUUUUGUGUGUAUACUCACUUUUGUAUUUAUGCAUAUUAACGUGUGUAGGAUUCUUGAUUUCUGCCACUUACUGGAGAACUAGUGGAAAGCUUUAUACUGAUAUAUGUGCUAUAACUAAUGGAAACUAUGAUAUUAAUAUUUUCUCUCGCUUGGAGAACUGCAUAACAUAUAUACUUUGUGGCUCUGGAAUACUAAAGAUUCUGCAAUAACUAAUGGAAACUAUGAUAUGAAUAUUUUCUCUCACCUGGAGAACUUUGUAACAGUUACACUUUGGGGCUUGGAAUGUCUAAAGAAUUUUGUCUGCUUCAGUUAGAUCAAAUAUCUUUUAGUUGCAUACAUUAUAGAAAAGAUAAAGUUCUCUGAAUCUGAACGACUUAAAAUUUUGCGCAUUUCUUGAAAGGGAAAUAUCUGUAGAUACUAGUUCAUGCAUUGUGGUAGCAUCAGUGUUAAAGAAAAACAGCAGUAAGUUAUUAUAUAGAAUUAGGUUGACUUGCUUUAAAUCCUGGUCUGGUCAACCAUAUGAACCUGUAAGUGGUUCUGUAGAAAUAUAUAUAUAUACGGGGAGAAAGUAGCUAAAUUUUCCUUUCAUUUAUGGGUUUGGUCAUUUUUUCCCCUUAUUUAUGUUUUCUCACACAUUUUUUAAAUGCCCCAGACAUGCAAUUUUGUAUGUGUCAAUUGCCUUUUAAGUUUUAAAAACCAUAAAGUAAGAAUACAGUUUCUUGUCAGGCUAUUGAUGCAUUUGCUCGGGGGGAUCAUGCUCGAGCAGGAAAACUUCUAGAACAGGUAAGGUUUCCAUCUACAGCCAUUUAUUGACAACAUAUAUAUUUUCAUUCAGCAAGCACUGUUAGCAUUCAAGAUGCUGGCAGAUUCACUUGAUUCUUAUUAGUUUGUUUAGUAGCAAAGCAUAUAACCUGUAUUUCAAAGCUAAGUUGUGCUAUUGAUUAUGUUAACUUUAUUGUUCACAUAAAGUGAUAUAGAGGAAAUAAUCAAUGUAGGAAAAUUAGGUGAAGAGAUGAUGUCAAAUCUUGAACCUCUUACAAAACUCUAAGCUCUUUACUUGAAGAAGCUACCAAAUUCGAACAGCAUGUACUGGAAGGCCUUGCCAUUCCCUGAUGCAUGCAGAAUUUUUGUAUUUAAAUGCCCAGAGCUUAAGAAGCUGCCACUGGAUCUUGAAAGGGCAGGCCAAGGUAAAAUUCUUAUGAAGGGAAAGAAAGAUUGGUGGAAACAAACUUCAAUGGGAGGAUCAAGUAACUCAGAAUGCAUUGCUUCCAUUUUUAAAAUCAACCAACAAGUGAUUGAAGGGGGCAUCAUCAACAUGGAUGGAGAGAUUCUGGAGCAGAUCAGCGGGGUUUAGUACGACCUGUGGUGGUUGCUUUUUUGUGACUUUUUUCCCUUUCAUUUUUUCACUCCCUGUCAUAUUAUCAUUUCUUUGUCUCUGUUUCUAUUGCUGGUGUUGCUGCAUGCUUGCUGUCCUUGACAAAGUUAGCUAGUUUUUUUGUUUAUUAAAUUUUGUAUGUUCGGGACAGUCACAAAGUACUACUUGUUCUAUAAGGGGGUGAUGUGAAUCCACUUUUCAAUUAUAUAUUCUGUGGUAAUUGUGAAUUCAAUUCAUUUGUCUCCAGCAAAUUAUGAAGAAAGUGCAGAGUUACAAUAUGGAAAAGUUCACUGGCAAAUACUUUGUAAAAGCUUCGGAGUGAAACAGGGAAUGCACUGGCAACUAAGGACAAAUUGGUGGCCAGCUAAUGCAUUCAUUUUAUGUACAUUCCUCUUUUUAAUUAUUGAAGAUAAGUGGUUCGUUGCUUUUGUUGUAGAUAAAAUUCAGACGACCUCAAUUGUGAGAUGACAAUAUUUAAAAUAUCUCUUAAAUUAUUAUAAACUUUAAUUUAUCUUAAUUUUAUUUAAAAGAUAAAAGAAAAAUGUGGUAUAUGGAUAAAUUUUUUUUUAUCUUCUUAAUAAAAUGAAAUAAAUUAAAAUUUAUAAUAAUUUAUAAUAUUUUAAAAAUUAUUAUUUCAUAAGAGAUUAAUAUGAAAUUAAUCCUUUUUACUUUUUGAAUGUGAAAGGACAGGAAAAGAGAAAGCAAGUGUCACUGCUUUUUAUUUUAUUUGAAAUCGGAGUUAUCCCAUAUACUUUACUACUUUAGCUCUAACAUUACAAUGUUUUUAGGCUACACUUUUAUUUUUCUUUUUCCCCCUUUUUUUAUACAUGCAUGUGGAUUACUUUCCUCUAAGCGCCUUAAUAUUUAAGACAAAUCAUAAAAGCGAUUGAAGUAUAACCAGAUGAUCAAAACAUUUAACCCAAAAAAAAAAAGAAAUAAAACAUUGAAAAUGGAGAUGUUGAUUAAUUUAGAAGAGAUGCAAGUAAAAGAUAUUCCCAAAAAAAAGAAAAAAAGAAAAAAGCAACGUUAGUUCAUCCAUGUCUGUCAAUGCGUUUUUUAUGGUUUUUUUUCCAGUUGUUUGUUGUAAUAGAUUGAUUGUAAAUUGAUAUGAACUUGAUGUUGUAAUAUGUUCCCUUUUGUGGAAUUAAAUUUGAAUAUUCAAGAUUAUUCAAGUCUUAUUUAGUAUGUGUUUAGUUGUGUUGUCGAUAACUUUGCAUUCGAAUAAGUUUUCACCUAAAAUAUUAGCAUGAGUAGUAGUCCUUGAAACUUUGGUCAAAAUUAUUGUUAUUGUUUCUUUUAGAGGAAAUUUUUUUAUUAAAGCCUCGUUAACACUAUUUCUUAUUAAGAUUAUAAGUUAGUGUCGGUGUAGGAUUUGCAACGACAAAUCCUGUCUAGCCACGUGUCAAAAGUACAAAUAAAUCAAGGGAAAGCACAUGUCGCGGAUUAGGAUCCAAUAAAAUUUAAAUCCCAAGGAAAAGGACAACUGUAUCCUAAAGUUUCAAUAAGAGAUACUGAUAUAUCUUUUGACUAAUGUUAUUUUUUGGCUUCAUUAAUAAAAAGAUCCAAUAGUUUAUAACAAAUAAAAAUAUAGCAUUAAGCUAAAUGUGAUAAUAUAUACAUUUUACAUAAUUUCAAUAAAAAAACAUUUUAAUGUUUUACGAUCUAUCAGACAUAUUUUAUUAAAUUAAUAGGAAUUUUCUGAUAAAUAGCAACAUAAUAUUAAAAUAAAUUUAUAAAGAUUUAAAUGUAAAAUAAUUUUAGUAUAAUUAAUACAUGGGAUAUAUUUUGUAAAUUAUAAAAUUACUUAACCCAAUGAUUUUUAAAAAUCUUUAAAAUAAAUAAAAAUAAAUUAUUCACAUUUUGAUGUAAAUAUUUAAAACAUUUUUAUACAUUAGUCCACAAUUAUUUAUGUUAUAUUUGUAUUUAUUAGAAAUUUUGAAAGUGAAAUGUUUUUCACCUCUAUCUUAUUAGAAUUAUUGCACACAGAGAAAGAGCCAUAUAUGCUUUAUAGCUUUAAAAUCGGUUUGUUUUAUAGCUGGGAACAGAGAUGAUCAUUAUUAUAAGGAUUAAAAAAAGAUAAAGAAUAUUAAUGAUUAACGAAAUCUUUAUGGAAAUUGAAUUUAGUAAGAAAAAAUUGAGCUGAUUUUAGUGGUAUAGUCAUAUUUUAUAUAGAGAAAAGUAAAAGUUGCACCCCGAAAUGUUCAAAACUCUUUUUUAAUAAUAAUAUCCUUUUUUCUAGAUAACUUAAAAAUUUGACUCUAAUAUUUUAUAAUAAAUAAAAACAUAUAAUCCUAAAAUAAAUAAAAUAAUAUAUAUUUUAAAAUAAUCUCAAUAUUUAAAAUAUAUUUUAACAUUUUAUAGUCUAUCAUAUAUAUUUUAUUUUUUUAAAGUAAAUUUUAUAAUAAAUACCAACAUACUAUUAAAAAAGAUAUAUAAAAAAUUUAAAAUAUUUUGAAUAUUAUAUAAAAUAACUUUAAUAUUGUUAAUAUGUGAGAUAUAUUUUAUUAAUUAAAAAUUCUAUUUAACCCAAAGAUUUAUUUAAGAUAAAUUAAUAAUUAUAUUUUUGAAAUUAUUUCAAAUAUUAAAAAAUAUUUUAAUAUUACUAACUAUUAGAUAGACUAAACUAUUUAUAUUAUUUUAUAUUUAUUAUAAAAUUUCAAAGUUAAUCUUUUUAACUACUAUUCAAAAGAUAUUAUGAUAAAAACAGAAUUUUUGUGUUUUUAUUGACAAUUUGGAGUUUACAUCUAUUUUUUUCAAAUAUUCGGGGUGUAAAUGUUUUUUCCCUUUUAUAUAUACGAACGGUGGUGAGAAAGCUUGAUUUAACGUUAUUUAUUUAAAUAAAAUCUCAGUUAAAAAUGUACAGAGAAGAAAUUUCUGUUGGUAUUUUAGUCUUUUACCAAUUAUCACGAUUAGGCCUUGGCCUUGAAACAUUAAUUGUUUCACUUUUAGCGCUAGUGGCGUUGAAAGUUGUCAAGAAAAAAGCAAGACCAUAUUCCACAAAAGCAAAAGUAACGUUGGCUCUUUUAUUAAAGGCAAAGUAUAAAGUAGUCAAGAAUCGAAUAUCCUGUCGUCUACUCUUUUUUAAAUUCUUCUUUUAUUAUCUUUUAGAAUAGUUUUUGGUAAUUACAAUCAUUAUUCAGAGUUAUUGUUAUCUUCCGGGGCAGUCUCUGUUCAUCGAACUCGUUACCCUUUUUUAUAGAUUAGUUCCAGUGGUCAGCAGUAAUUUUCUUAGAACUCGGAUCUUUAAUUCGAGUUUCUGUGUGAAUUAAUAAUAAAAAAUUUCAUUACACGCAAUUUAAGCUACGAAUUACUUUUUGCAAAGUUGAAUAUGAAAUUGGAGAAAUUAAGUAAUUUAGAAUGUUGGUAAAAAUUGACGAACAUAUCUCCAAUUACAGUAAAACCUCUCUACAGUCAUAACAUUAUAAUAAAAUUAAUUUUAUUACUAUGUUGAGGUAAUAUAGGUUUAGUUACAAAAUUAUUGUUUUAAUAUGGUUAGUGUCAAGUGAUAUAAAGGUUAAGUAUGUAGUACAUUGAUAAUUAAAUAAUGAAGCGUGUCAAAUCUAAUGUAUAUAUAUAUAUAUAUAUAUAUAUAUUUUUUUUUUUUUGGUUUUGACCACGAGGUAUCCUGGGGAGGGCCCCAACUGUGGGAGACACCUUUAAGCCCGUACCACAACCCAGACUAGAAGUCCUCACUCGAAUCGAGAGGCACAGGUUCUCCCAACAAAGGCGACUUCCCUACGACUCGAACUGGGGAGCAAACCCAGUCAAGCCACUUAAGGGGACUCCAUUGCCAGUGGAGCCAACACUUUGUUGGUUAUAUAUAUUAAUGAUAUAGAUAGACAUAGUUUUAAAAAACUAAUUAAUGUAUAUUUAUGUAGUGUUAUGAAUAUGGAAAGUCAAGCCUACACUUUACAUUAUCCUUAAUUUUUUCUCUCAGUUAAAUUCUACAAAAAUUUUACAAUGAUUGGGCAAGAACUCUAAAUUAAGAAUAAAUUAUUGUCACAAAUAAUUUUAGAAAAUAUUUUAUUUCGUCUUAAACCUUUAAUGUAAGUAAACAUAUAUAUAUAUAUAUAUAUAUAUAUAUAUAUAUAUAUAUAUAUAUAUAUAUAUAUAUAUAUGUGCAUAUUUUGCAACGUAUAGAUAAUUGUUAGUAUAUGGAGACAAGUCUUUUAAGGUAGGACCUAGGAAAAUUUAUAACUUACUACACUGGGGAGUUUUUAUUCCUUUUUAUAAUUGGCUCAUAUUGAUACAUUCUUACACAAAAUAUUACCACUGACAUAUUUUAUUACAAUUAGUUUAGAACAUUUGUUAGGAAAAAAAAAGAAAAGAAAACAUCCCUUGGAUGUAGCUCUCCUGAUUAUUUAAAUCUUUUAAGGAAAAAAAGAAAAAAGAAAAACUAACACAUUCAAAUCUUGAAGCAAUUACAUUAAAACCUCUCCAUAAUGAUAGGAAUAAUCUCCAUUUAGUAAUAAAAAAUUUUGUUCGCAAUUUAGGCAUAGUUAUAAAUAAGAAUAAAAUCCUCAUUGUAAUAAGUUAUAUUUAUUAUGGAUCCCAUCCUAAGGAACUUGUCUCUAUAUAGUAAUAAUUAUUUGAAUAUUAUAAAUAUAUAUGUUGCAUUAGAUUAAAUGAACUUGUCUCCACAUACUACUUAGACAACGAGAGAAAGUUAUUAAAGAGAACACAAAUAUUUAAAGAUUUUUAAGAUUACUUUGUAUAUUUAUAACAAUAAUACAUUGAUAUAUGUAUUAGUUUUUUGAUAUAUUAGAUUUGACAUGCUCUAUUAAUAAAUUAUUAAUACGAUGCAUACUUCAUCUCUAUAUCCUUGCAAUAAAAGUAACUAAGUUAUAACGAUAAUUUUUGUAACUACAUGCUUAUUAGGUUUUAACUACUUCAUAAUAAUAAAUUAGUUUCGUCCUAAUAUUAUAAUUAUGUAGAGUUGUGGUGUAUAGACACACCCAAUUUAAAUAGUAUAUCAAAUAAAAUUGUCCCCACAAAAAAGAAAAAAGGGGUAAAGGAUUGUUAUUUCUUCAAACAUUAGGAUCACGUUUGUACAAGUGCGAUGCCUUUCUUUUGAAGGCAACGUCAGUGGGUACCCAAUAGGACGUGUGUAAAUCUUUCCAAAAUUUCUCCGGUAUAACGGACAGAGAUCAUUACUUUUCUCUUCCAUAGACCACAGCAGCUUCAGUUAAUCAGACUCAAUCAAUUUUCUUGGUUUCUUCGCUUAUCAAAAUUCCAAAGUAUGGGUAGCAUAUUUCAAAUCACAUGCGAUGGUGCUUUUUUCAAUCGUUGCUUGGAUUGCUUUCUUGGAAAAGUAGCAAACACAAGUAAGCUCCAUGAUAACCUUGUUGCCUUGGAGACUGAAUUGGGAAAACUAAUCGCAGCAAAGAACGAUGUGAUGAUGAGGGUUGUCAAUGCUGAACGGCAACAACUGAGAACGCUGGACCAAGUGCAUGUGUGGCUUUCGAGGGUGGAAGCUGUUGAAACUGAAGCUGAUGAAUUGAAAAGACACGGCUCUCAAGAAAUUGACAAAUUAUGUGUUGGAGGCUACUGUUCCAAGAACUGCGCGUCAAGCUACAAGUUCGGGAAACAAGUGGCUAAAAAGCUACGGGAUGUGCGGACUUUAAUCGACGAAGGAGUUUUUGCGGCGGUGGCUACCGAGGUGGUGCCUGAGAGAGCUCCAGAACCUGUAGCAGAUGAAAGACCCACUGAGCCAACAAUAGUAGGCUUGCAAUCACAACUUGAACAAGUUUGGAGAUGUCUUGUAGAAGAAUCAGUGGGAAUCAUUGGCCUAUAUGGUAUGGGCGGUGUUGGUAAAACUACACUAUUGACCCAUAUCAACAAUAAAUUUCUUGAGAGUCCAACCAGUUUUGAUUGUGUGAUUUGGGCCGUAGUUUCAAAGGACUUGCGACUCGAAAAAAUUCAAGAAGAUAUUGGGAAAAAGAUCGGUUUGGUUGAUGAUUCAUGGAAGAGUAAAAGUGUAGAGGAGAAAGCUCUCGACAUCUUCCGGAGUUUAAGAGAGAAGAGAAUUGUAUUGCUGUUAGAUGAUAUAUGGGAGCGGGUUGAUUUAACAAAAGUGGGCAUUCCACUUUCCGGACCAAAAAAUACUACCUCAAAAGUCGUAUUCACAACCCGUUUCGUCGAUGUUUGUGGUAGCAUGGAAGCUGACAAGAAGUUCCAAGUGGCAUGCUUAUCAGAAGAGCAUGCUUGGGAACUGUUUCGAAAAAAAGUUGGGGAAGAAACUCUUGAGAGUGAUCAUGAUAUCGUUGAGCUAGCCCAAACUGUGGCCAAAGAGUGUGGUGGUUUGCCACUCGCACUUAUUACUAUUGGUCGAGCUAUGGCCUUCAAAAAGACAGCCGAGGAGUGGAGUCAUGCAAUUGAUGUGCUAAGAACAUCAGCUUCUGAGUUUGCAGGUUUGGGAGAAAAGGUGUAUCGUCUUUUAAAGUUUAGCUAUGAUAGUUUGCAGAAUGAGACGAUUAGAUCUUGUUUCUUAUAUUGUUGUUUAUAUCCCGAGGAUUAUGGCAUUCUUAAAUGGGACUUGAUUGAUUGUUGGAUUGGUGAGGGAUUCUUAGAGGAAUCUGACAGGUUCAGUGCAGAAAACCAAGGAUACUACAUUGUGGGCACUCUUGUUCAUGCAUGUUUAUUAGAAGAGUUAGAAGGUGAUAAAGUAAAAAUGCAUGACGUUGUUCGUGAUAUGGCUCGAUGGAUAGCUUGUGAAAUUGAGAAGGAGAAGAGAAAAUUUUUGGUUUGUGCAGGUGCUGGAGUAGGAGCGGUACCAGAUGUUGAAGGAUGGGAAAAUGUGAGAAGAUUGUCAUUGAUGCAAAACCAAAUUGAAAUUCUGUCAGAGGUUCCCACAUGCCCUCAUCUCCUCACUUUAUUUCUUGACUUUAAUUAUAAAUUGGAGACGAUCACCGAUGGCUUCUUCCAAUGUAUGCCUUCUCUCAAAGUUUUGAAGAUGUCAAACUGUGGGCAUGUCAAAGUUUUGAAAUUACCUUUUGGGAUGUCAAAGUUGGGUUCACUACAACUUCUUGAUAUUUCACAUACCGGCAUAAGAGAGUUACCAGAAGAGUUAAAGUUGUUGGUAAAUCUGAAAUGUUUGAAUUUGAGGUGGACACAUAUGUUAAAUAAAAUUCCACGGCAGCUAAUAUCAAAUUCUUCAUGGUUACGUGUGUUGAGAAUGUUCGCUAUUGGCUUCGAAAAUUCUAAAGAACCAUCAGAAGACAGCGUUUUAAUUGGUGGGGGUGAAGUUUUAGUACAUGAAUUGCUCGGUUUGAAAUAUUUAGAGGUAUUGGAGUUGACCUUGCGAAGUUAUGAUGCUCUCCAAUUUUUUUUGAGCUCAAAUAAGUUAAAAAGUUGUAUUCGAUCUCUUUUCCUCAUUAAGCUGGGAGAUACAAAGUCGAUUCAUGCUACGGCAUUCGCAGAUCUAAAGCAUCUCAAUGAACUAUGCAUUCGUUCGGCAGUGGAGUUGGAAGAAUUGAAGGUUGAUUAUACAGAGAUUGCGCCAAAAAGGUCGGAACCUUUUGUUUUCCGCAGCCUUCACCGUGUUACUAUGGAGCGGUGCCAUAAAUUGAAAGAUUUGACAUUCCUCGUUUUUGCUCCAAGCCUCAAGUCUCUUUCGCUAUACGGUUGCAAUGCUAUGGAAGAAAUAAUCAGCGUUGGAAAAUUUGCUGAGACUCCUGAGGUGAUGGGACAUAUAAGCCCUUUUGGAAAUCUCCAAACGCUUUAUUUAACUGAUUUGCCAGAGUUGAAAAGCAUCUACUGGAAGCCGUUGCCUUUCACUCAUCUCAAAGAAAUGACGGUACAUGGGUGUAAUCAGCUUAAAAAGCUUCCACUCGAUUCCAACAGUGCAACAGAGCGUAAAUUUGUUAUUCGUGGAUACACACACUGGUGGAACCGUCUUCAAUGGGAGGAUGAAGCCACUCAAAUUGCUUUUCGUUCCUGUUUCCAAUCUCAUGAAAUAUAAAUUCCUGAGCGGUGGUUGCAAAAUUUGAUUUCUAGUGAGUGCUUUUUUCUGAAACUCUUACAUAUAUUCUCGUCGUUUGCUUCGUGCAACAGACUAGGUUUUUAUUUCAGAUUCGUUUUUUGUCUCCUGCAAAUCACAAUUAAAUGUUGAAUUAUAUGGAGUCAAUGCUUUAGAAAAUUUUCAAGGCACUGCCAUUUCCUUUUUCUUUUUUCUUUUUUUGGGGUCGAAUUGAUGCUCUGGCUUUUUUCUUCUUCUUGUCAAAUUUUGCUCUGUUUUUUCAAGUUGAUGAUUGAAUAGUUGAAUUCAAUUAAUGCUCACAUAAAUUUGUUUAGUUGCCGUAAAAGGAUAUAAUUAGACUGAAGUACACACUUCUAGAAUGAAUACAAAAUGUUAAGUAUACUAGCCCUCUUUACAGAAAAUCAAAUGAAAAUCAAUUUUUUGGGGCUUUGAUUUUCUAUGGUCUAUUAUAUACUCUUUUUAAUAUCUUCUGUUCUAACUAUAACCAAAUCCUUUGUUCAAGGAUUUUUAGUUGGGGUAUUGAUAACUGUCCACCAAAAGAGUGAACACUUGGAUGCUGCUCAAGGAUCUCUAAUCAAUAGGUGGAAGCAACUGAGAAGGCGGUCGCUACUGUUUACAAAGCGAUGCAGUAUUCGCCAUUCAUCUUAAUAAUUGUGAAGCUUUGGUAAAAUUUUCAAACAAAGUUGAACAUGCUGUUUUGAGAUUUGGUUCAUGAUUUUCGAUGAAUAUCGUUGUUCCGUUUGAGUUGGAUGUGAAUUCAAAAUCUAUAUAUUCUUUAGUUUUCAAUUCUGAACUCAAUUUCUUUUUCUCAAGCAUGUUAUGCAGAAAUGAUUUUUAUAAUUACUAAAUCAUUUUUGAUGAAUUGUUUAAAUUAAACAAGUGGAAUAAGAAUUGUAAAGGUUUAUCAUAAGCAUGCUAAUAUGAUAAGUUGUUUUAUGAACGAUUAAUUAAUUAAUCAAUUAAUAUUAAAUUAUAUAUUAGUCAAUUAGAUAUGCGUUACAUGUCAUGUUUAAAAACUAUUUAUUUAUAUUUCAAACAAAUUUGACUGGAUGUUGUGUAGGUAAUACUACAUAAUUUCAAAACAAAAAAAGUAACAAAAACAAGUUAAAUUUUGUUUUUAUGAAGAAAAAAUUUAAAAUUUUAUUAAGUAGGUGAAAAUAAUAAAUGGAUUCGUGUAUGGUUUGAGAUUCUUGACAUAAUUAUGAAAUAAGCCGGAUUCAACUUAGUUCAAUUUUGACGCGAUAAGAAGACGACACCACACAAACACACGAUAAGAACCGUUACCUGAGAAGAUUGCCAUCAGGAAUUUUGAAAUUGAUUUCACUACAAUACCUUAAUCUUUCAGAUACUCCCAUCACUGAGCUGCCGGAAGAGCUAAAAGCCUUGGUAAAUCUUAAGUGUUUGAACUGUACACAAAUUAUCUCUCUACAAUUCAAAAACAACUGAUUUGUUACUUUUUCAAUGCUACAUGUUCUGCGAAUAUUGAGUUGUGGUUAUCUUGUUGAAAAAUCAGAAAAUAGAGUUCUAUUUGGUGGUAGUGAAUUGUUGGUUGGGGAGUUGCUUAGUUUAAAACGUUUAAAUGUAUUAAGCAUCACCUUACAAGGUUUUUCUGCUGUCCAAAAACUUAUGAGCUCUCAAAAGUUUCAAAGCUGUACAAAAUGUUUGGAGCUUAUAGACUGUGAUGAUUCAAAGUCUUUUGCCUUGGCAGAGUUGAAGCAUCUCGAAAAACUAGUUUUUCGAAUUGUGGAAGAGUUUAAGUUCUGCUGUGUUGAAGUUGGAAAAGCUCAAGAAUGUUUUCGUUUGAACAGCUUUCACCGAGUUAAUAUAAAGGCUUGUCAUAAAUUGAGGGAUGUGACAUGGCUUGUAUUUGCUCCAAAUCUUAUGGUUAUUCAAAUAGAAAAAUGUAUGCAGAUGGAAGCAAUAAUCAGUGCAAGGAAAUUGGGUGAAAUUCCAGAGAUGAUGGCAGAUCUAAACCCUUUUGCAAAACUCCAAUAUCUUCGCUUCCGAGUUCUUCCAAAAUUAAAAAUCGUCUAUUGGAAUGAGUCACCCUUUCCACAUGUCAGGGAAAUUAUUGUAUCUGAAUGCCCAAUUCUCAAGAAGCUUUCACUCAAUUUUAACAAUGCAAAGGAAUCUAAAAUUGUCAUUAAGGGAGAGGAACACUGGUGGAACGAGCUGCAAAGGGAGGAUGAAGCGACCGUUAAUGCUUUUCUUCCUUAUUUUGGUUCCAUUUGACAGGCAUCAACAUGGAUUUAUAUUUUGCGGUGGACAACUUGUAGUAAGUGCUUUUCCAUUUAUUACAUGUUUAUAUCUAACUUUUGUUUUCCUUUAUGGUUAAAUUUUACUAUAUAUAUGUUGUUAUACGGUGACAUUCUCGCAUCAAUUAUUAGCUUUUUAAUUCUCUUCUCGCAUUAAUUGUCCUUCUGAUCAUGUAGGAUUUGCCGAUGUCAAAGAGUAGUAAAUUGGGAUACAAAUGUAAGAAAUUAGCCAGAUGACAUGUUGUUUUGAAGCUUUCGAAGAAGGACUAAUUAUGUCAUUCAAAGCAUCCAAUUUCGCUACUUUUUUUUUUCAUUUGUUGCUUUUUCUAUUUUUAGAUAGCUUGAUUGUCAGUUGUCGUAAUGUAAUGUUUUAGUGUAGAAAAAUGAUAUUCGGCCAAGACAUCGAUAGUAGGGCACAUUGUGCAUGCACACUAGUGGAUGAUUUCGGCAUGCCGAAUCCAAUUAGUGUGGACAACCCUUUAUAAGCAUCAGGCUUCUCUCAUACCAGAGCAAUGUAGAAUAUGUUUAUAAACUGUGGAUUACCCUUUAUAAGUAUUAGGCUUCUUCUAUACUCGCGCGAUGAAACAAAAUGCAUUCUUCAAAUCAAUAGUGGGUGGAAGAAGUGAGUAGAGAAGAACUAGGCCCCUUUCAUUCCCCUAAAACCUCACCGAAACCUCUCUUGUGAACUUCUCAGAUUCUCUCUCAAUAUUUCUUAUGAUCUCAUUUUUGAUAGAAUCAAUUCUUUUGCAUGCUGCAUUUUGUGUGUCUUUUUUGGGUAAUAUCUUAUCUGGAAUGCUGUUAUGAUCAAUAGAAAAAGUAAUCAAGUUUUGGUUUGACGGAAGUCGAUUUAUUUAUUUACUAUUAUUUUUAUUUGAAAUUUUGUACAAUUGUGUUUCAUUCAUUUCUUUCAUUUUUUUAAAUAUUUAUUAUGUAUUGUUGAUGCUGAAAUCUGCUCGCCCUUUGCCCAAUCAGAUCUUUCCACCAAUGUUUACGUGGCUAGAAGAGAAGGUGUCACUUUCUUCUUGUUUCGACUGUUUGCUCAAGCCGCUGGGGUUGGAAUCACCCUUCCUUCUUUUACUAAACAUGCGUUCACAAAAAUGGAUCAGAGACGCCGGUGGUUUUAUCGGCGUAAACUCUCCGAUGCCUAAGUCAGCACAAGGUGUUUAUGGGAAAACAGUGCAGUUUAGAUUUUGAGAUUGCUUAUAAUUUGCUCAAAGUUUGUAUAGAAGACGGCUUGGUUUCAAUUUGGCAGAGUUUUCCCCCCUCUCAGUUUUUCUGUCCCUUCUCCAUUGGUUUUUCCUUAUUUUUAUAGCCGUUGUCCCACGUUUCCGUUCACCCUUCAUGCCCCCCCUUUUCUCGGGUAGUGGCAACCCCUCAUGGGACUCCAACUGCUAUAUUGUGGGUAAACGUGGGACACUGUGUCUCCCUCUACGAUUUUGGGCACAGCGCAACUGGCGUGAUUUCGUGAGAUCGUGUUCCCGCUCUUUGGGGAAUGGGUAUCUGCUCGGUAUAUGUCUCUGGUCGGUGCAUUCCUCUGGCUGGUACUCGUCUCUGGUUGGCCCAUGUUUGUAGAAGGCUCAUUAUCAGUGUUCUGCUCGUACCAUUUGGCUGAGGUGAUCCCUGCCGAGGUGGGGAUGAUGGCAUGGCUGAGCUGAUGCUCUUAUUUACUUAACAUGUAUAAUUGUGUUUCAGUUGAUAUUGAUCAUACUCUAGAUAACUAUGUGAUUGUAGCUGGGGAUUUUAAGUUUUGUGAAUUCAAGAAACUGUCAAAAUGCUAGUGAAAUUGGGACCUUUAUUCAUAAGCUUGUAGUUUUGAAAAGUAGCCCAGUUCAACUGAUGAAGUUCCUUUUUGGGAUUCUUUUUUUCCUAGGCUGCAAUUCGGAUAUGUACCUGAUAGACAAUCUUUUGUGGGUUUAGCAUAUCUUCUCUGAUUUUGUCUUUUAUUCCUCAAUUUUAUAAUUACACACCAUGAAUGUUGAGUGAUUGUAUAGAAAAUUUGAGUUAUAACCAAAGCAUUGUGAAGGAGUUAAGUUAGUGGCUUCUGUUUUAUUGGCAUUGAUUGGGUAGAUUACGUGUUACAGUGAUUCAAUUUGUGAUCCAAACAUUUUUUUAAUUUCUGUUUUCCCAAAUUAUUUAUGUCAAAUUCAAAACCAGAAGCAUGUGCUGAUUUUUUCUUUUUGUAUUAAUCUGUGAAGUUUAUUUGGAAAGGAAGUAUCUGGGUCUAAUGGAUUAAAUUAUGUAAGUGGCAGAAAUUCCUACACACAUAAAUAUGCAUAAAUACAAGAGUAUACACAAAAAAAUGCACACACUCAUACAUCCAGUCAAUAUAGUUAAUGUAUGAUACCAAUUGUUGGGGAAAAAUUAGGUUUUUAAUUUUUUAUAAAACCUUUUGAAGAUCGCUCUCAUAUAAUAUAUAAGAAUUUGUAUUCUAGAAAUCGUACCUUGAAAAUCCGAGUUGGCUUUUUCCGCUGAAGUGUUUUAGGCUCCUAGAUCACGAUCCGCCACCACCGCUCCUGUUAGAUCACGAUCCGUCACCACCACGCUUGUUAGAUCACGAACAGUCUCCAAUGAUCUUCCAGGUUAUGACUCAGGUUCGAUCUGCACUUGACGUGUAGGCGCCUUUAUCACUACCAAAGCAACUAGCACGAGAAAAUUUUUCUCUCAACAAUAGAGAGAAAAAUCUUUUUCUCUGAUCUGUAUAAAGUGGCUUCUCACUUUUUCUUUAGGGAAAAAUAAGCCUUUUAUAUCACCCUUUAGUGAAAACCCUAGGCUCCAAAUAAAUGAAAAAUAAAACCCACGUUUAUUUGCUUUUUCAAUAGGGGACCCACCUUGUAAAAUAACAUAAGGCCCCUUAUACAAAAGCUAAUUAAAUGGAGCCUCCCACUAAAUGAUAUAUUUAGGCUUUUGACCCAAAUAGCUGGUUAUCUUACUUAUUAGUCCAGUAGUGGUGCAGUCAAUUAAAUGAGCUAACCCGGGGAUCAUUUGGGAACAUACAAUAGUGGCUACAAUAAUUAGGCCUGUAAUUAAACUAGCCCAAUUAUUUAAUUCCAAAUCUACUCCAUUAAAAGAUUGGAACUGACUUCCAUAAUUGUAUGCUCGAAUAAUAAUUCGUCCCAAGCCACAUUGAUUUCUUUACUGCACAAUCCUUUGUACCACAUCGUUAAUUAAAUUGAUAUCUCAACUGUCCAAUCAAUUUAAUAACAUCUUAUUCCUUGAUCCUUACUGGUUUUCUCUAAUGAUCAUUUUCAACAUACUAAAUAUGUUGACACACUCUGGCCAGAGAAUUCUAUGAUCAAGUGCCGAAAACCCAUGAAGAGAUGUGUUGUACAAAUUCUAUAUUGUUAAUCUAUAACUCCAAUACUCAUAAUUGCUCCCACCAAGAUACCGGGUAAUCUUGACCACAAGGAUGUGUCGUGCCCAUUGGUAACUCAAAUGGAAUAACAAUUACAAUCAUGAAAUCAUAAUUAACUCAAGAUUAAGAUUACAGUAAAAUCAACGCCUAUGAGAUUUAAUAAGUCUGACAGUUAUUACAAAGUUAAUUAAAUCUCAUAUGUGAUCCUGUUCAAUGUAGUCGUACUACAUCAAUAAAUUCAUACAUGAUUAAGACAAAUCAUUCAAUGAAUUUAUUACAGUCUAUACCUAAAUAAAGUGCCCAACUUUAUUUAUCAACUGCGAACUAAAUUUAUUUAAUCAUAAGAUAACAUGUAUUUAUGUCUUCUGUGAAUCCACAUGGUAAUCACAUAAAUACAUAUAAUAUGAUUAAAUGGACUUUAAUACAAGUAUUAAUGCAAUUAAGAUAUUUGAAUAAAAUACCUCAUUUAUUUUAUUAAUCAGAAAAAUAGUUUAUUACAAUUAAAUAAACAUAUAUGCUUUUAAAGAGCAUAUUUUCCCAACACAUACCGGUUUGGUUAUCUUGCUGCAAGUGCACCACAUUAGCCUUGCAUUCUGGUGCCAACUCCUCCGGCGGUUCACCCACUACCUUUCCCAAUGCUUUGGACCUCCAUUCGGUCUCCAUCAGAUUUCUCAGGAGCACUAAAUAAAGCAGCUAAAACUUGCUUCUGUAGUUCAUUUCUGUCUUUCGGGUGUCUAGGCAAUUUUCCUUCGUUGGUAUUUCGAUCUUCCUUUACAUGACUGAGGAAAUACAGUCAAAAGCUAAUCAAGUAACCAUACAUGGAUGAGAAAUCCCUCCACCCCCUUCCAAAACAAAGUCUAAGAAAUAUCAGAAUUCUUUCAGUAAAAACCCUUCCCCCCAUGCUGUGCCCACUGAAUGAAAUAUAUUAAUCUUAUGAGAAGUUGAGAAAAUAAAUUAAAGACCAUACCCUCCGGAAGAAUUCAAUUGUUGCAAUUUUCUUUCACGUGGAGGUCCUCCAAAGUUAGAGCACAUAUCCGUACACUGUUUAUGAAAUCAUAAUAACAGGGGACCAUUUAUUAAUAACAAAUCUUGACACCUAAAAGUCAACUGUGAUGAAAAAGAUUAAAAAGAAUAUGAACUUGUUAUCUUGGAAGUGAAAAAUAUUUGAGAUGCUUGAAUAUGGUGAAAAUAGUAAUUGUUUUUGUUACUUCUACAAUUCUUGAAUUUUACAAAUAUAUAAAGACAUUCAAGAUGCUGUACAAGGAAAGACAAUAUUUACAAUAAUUAUAAUAAUCAACUAGCCGUUGUGAUGAAUCCACCAUGACAUGUGCUACUAUAUUCUCCAUCAAUUAUGGCUUAGACGAGAUGUUGGAAAUCCUCUUGCCAUGGCGGUACAAGCUACCAUAUUUGUUGCUUGUGACUUGUCCUUAUCAGCCCCCUUUAAGCUAGGCAGUGACAUGCGAUGAACACCUAGCUUGGUUCGUAGCGUGAGAAAUUGAUGCUUCCCCAAAGGUUUUGUAAGAGUGUCUGCAAUCUGAAGAUGAGAAGGCACAUAUCGUGUAAAUAAUGACCCUUUAGCAACCUUUUCACGAACAAAAUGCACGUCAAGCUCAAUAUGUUUCAUUCUAGCAUGAAACACUGGGUUCUUAGUCAUAUGAAUUGCACUCAAAUUGUCACAGAGAAGCGUGGGUGCUUUCGGAAUACAGAACCCAAUGUCAUUAAGUAGAUAUGUGAGCCAUGUUAACUCGGCAGCGGCAGAGGCCGUGGACCUAUAUUCGGCUUUGGCACUUGAGCGAGAGACUGUGUGUUGUUUCUUGGAGCUCCAAGAGAUACAAUUGCUUCCAAGAUAAAUGCAAAAUCCUGUUGUACUUCGUCUUGUUAUUGGACAUCCAGCCCAAUCGGAAUCAGAAAAGGCAUAGAGCUUGAGAGAGCUUUGAGACAAAAAUCUAAGGCCAAAGUCAAGGGUACCGUUAAGGUAACGAAGGAUCAUUUUCACGUCCUUGAGGUUGGCUUUUGUUGGCGCUUGGAAGUGUUGAGAGACUCAAUUGACAACAAAUGUGAUAUCGGGCCUUGUGUAGGUGAGAUAUUGAAGGCGUCCAACAAGGCCUCUAUAUUCGGUUGCAUCCAUAGGUUCAUUAUCAUCCGAACAUGGUAUUGAUCGUAUAGCCAUCGGCGUGUUGAUAGGAGAACAAUCCUGCAUUCUUGCCUUGGAAAGAAGGUCUUUAGUGUACUUCGCUUGAGAUAGGAAGAUGCUAUGCGUGAAUUGUUGAACUUCAAUGCCUAGGAAGUAAUGUAGGUUGCCAAGAUCUUUUAAAGCAAACUUUGAGCUCAGAUUGUUGAUGAUUGAUUGAAUUUCCUUCUCAUUAUUUCCUGUAAUGAUCACAUCGUCAACAUAAAUUAAUAUAAGUAUAAGAAUGGAUUUGUUAUUAAAUAUAAAUAAAGAACUAUCAGCUUUGCUACUAGAAAAUCCAAGAGAAAUUAAGGCUUGAGAAAAACACUCGAACCACGCUCUAGGUGCCUGUUUCAGGCCAUAGAGCGAUUUUUGAAGCUUGCAAACAUAUGUUGGAUGACGUGAAUUGCGAAACCCGGGAGGCUGCUCCAUGUAGACAAUCUCCUUUAGUAGUCCAUGAAGAAAAGCAUUGCGAACAUCCAGUUGCUUGAUAAGCCAUUUUGAGCUCACAACAAUUGCAAGGAUAAGGCGAAUAGUUGUGGCCUUUAUAACGGGACUGAAGGUUUCAUCGAAGUCGACUCCUGGAACCUAUGUGAAUCCCUUGGCAACUAAUCGAGCUUUAUAGCGAUCAAUGGUUCCAUCUUCUCUGUAUUUGAUACGAUAUACCCACUUCGAUUUGAUGACAUUAACAUUGUUAGGCCGCGGCACAAGGACCCAUGUAUGAUUUUGAUGCAAUGCUUGAAGCUCUUCUUUCAUAGCUUGAGUCCAAAGUGGAUUCUUUAAGGCAAUUUUGAGUGUUUUGGGUUCAAUUUCUCUACUGUCGCUGGCUUGAAGGGCUAAUUUAGGAUUUUGUUUGAGUUUAUUGCGUGUCAUCAUGGGAUGAGUAUUUAUGCUUUGCAGUUCUGCAGCUGUGUUUGGUAUCUUAAGUUCCACAAAUAAGCGAUUGGAUAUGUCAGGAUAAUCUGGUUGUGAAUUUGUGGCAGGGCUGUUGUCCGUAUUUCUGGACAAAUUAAGUGGUUCAGUUGCAUGUGAACUACUAGAAUUUGAAUCAUUUGUAGUCAAAUGUUGCAUUGCAUGUGGAGACUCCAAAAUAUUUGGAAUUGCUUCUGACUUGUCGUGUGGAGUUGCUGAAUUCAAAUUGUCCUCUAAAUUGUCUUGUGGGAAAUCUAAAAUAAUUGGAGAAGUGGCAUUUUAGUUGUUGUCCAAGUUCACGUCCUUGUGGGGCAUGAAUUGCACAUGUGGUGUUGAUAUUGUAGCGCCUUUACAAUUGUUUACUUUGACAGCACGUGAAUCAUUAAGAUUCUCACAAUUGGGAGAAUUCUUUGGGAGCCACUCAUCUUGUUGAGGGAAGGUGGUCAAUGUACUAUGUUCCUGCACAUUAAAAAAUGAUGUUAAAAUUUUUGAAUGGUAAAUAAUUUUCAUCAAAUACAACAUGCCCAUAUAUAUAUACACGAUUAGUCUCAGGUUGUAGACAACGACAUCCUUUAUGGAGGGGACUAUAGCCUAUGAAAACACAUGGAUAUGAUUUUUUUAUCAAAUUUUGUUUUACUGUAAUCCUGAAGAUAAGGAAAACAUCUACAACCUAGGACUUUUAACCCUCUAUAAUCCGGUAAUUUUUUGAAAAGAAUUUCAUAAGGGCUUUUAUUUUUUAAAGGUGAAAGAGGCAGCCUGUUAAUGAUAUAAGUGGCUGCAAGAAAAGAAUCCACCCAUAAUUUGAGUGGCAAAGAAGCAUGAAACAUCAUCGUCAAGGCUGUCUCAUUGAUGUGCCUAUGCUUUCUCUCAGCAACACCAUUUUGCUCCGGAGUGUAUGGACAAGAAAUUUGUCUUGUGAUGCCGCAAUUUUCAAGAUGUUUGAUGAAGGCCGUAUCCAUCACUUUGAAAUAUUGUGAUCUUUUUGUCCAAUUGUUUUUCAACUUGUUUCUGAAAUUUCAAGAAGCACUCCAAGAAAUCAGAUUUUUGUUUUAAGGGAUAUAACCAACUAAAACGUGAGUAAUCAUCUACAAAUAAUACAUAGUAACGAAAAUGUUGAGUAAAAGUAAUGGGAGCUGGACCCCAUAUAUCACAAUGCACUUUUUGUAAAGGAAAAUCUGCUUUAUUAUUAGAUAAAUUAAAAGAUUUCCUACAACUCUUGCCUAAUUGGCAAGAAACACAAAUAUGGGGUGCUUUAGACCAACUAGAAAAGUCAAUAAAAUUAUUGCGUUUUAAGGCCUCCAAGAUUUUAGGAUUGGCAUGGCCAAGCCUCUUGUGCCAUAAACUAAAACCGCUAGAUUCUCCUUGAAUUGUGUUGAAGGCAGCAUGAAAGUCUCAUUCCAAUGUGUAUAGCUUCCCUUGCUUACUCCCCUUUGCUAGAACCUUGUUUUCCUUUCUCUUCACAAUAAAACCAUCAGUGUUAAAUUUAAAAACACAUUUAAUAUCAUCAAUGAGUUGUCCAACUGAUAAGAGAUUCUUUUUGAGUUUUGGAACAACUAAAAUAUUAUUUAAGUGCAAAGAACCGUGAUUUGUAUUUAAAGAAGCAGAACCAAUAUGUGAAAUAUUUAAAUCUUGACCAUUGCCAACAAUUAUUUUGUCAUUACCUCUAUACGGCCUUACAUGAUCAAGAUUAUCUGUGUUAUUUAUCAUGUGUGAUGUUGCUCCAGAAUCCACAUAGAACUGUUGAUCAUUAUUUUCUUGAAGAUUCAUCGCAGCUAGGGCAUGUGGAUCCUCUUCAUUGUCAUAGUCGUAUCUGUACCAACAUUCAGCAGCACUAUGUUUGCGUUUGUGACAGAUUUGGCAAAUAACUUCUUCAUCUGAGGUAUUAUUUUCUUUAUUUGGUUUUUGAGGCUGCUGUUGUGGUUUACGGUUGUUGCCAUUGUUGUAGUUGUUGGGGUAAUUUCUACCACCUGAGUUGCGUUGAGAUCCUCUGCCUCGGUAUGGAGGUCUUCCACCUCUUUGAUUUCUGCCUCUUCCACCUAUAUUAUGGAAAAGAUAGAGUUCUCUGAAUCUGAAAGACUGAAACAUUUUGCAUAUUUCGUGAAAGGGAAAUAUUUGUAGAUACUAGUUCAUGCAUUGAGGUAACAUCAAUGUUAAAGAAAAACGGCAAUAACUUAUUAUAUAGAAUUAGGUUCACUUGCUUUAAAUGCUGGUCUGGUCAACCAUAUGAACCUGUAAGUGUAUCUGCAGAAGUAUGGUCAGCCAUAUGAACCUUUUUGGGGGGCAAAUUAGAAAAAUUUUCCUAAAAAAGUGAAAAAAAUCAUUUUUUUUUUUUUAAAAAAAAAAAACUUUAAAAAUUUUUUCAAAAGCUUUUUUUUUUUUUUAAAACCAAUGGUUUGAGGCUGCUGUUGUGGUUACGGUUGUGCCAUUGUUGUAGUUGUUGGGGUAAUUUCUACCACCUGAGUUGCGUUGAGAUCCUCUGCCUCGGUAUGGAGGUCUUCCACCUCUUUGAUUUCUGCCUCUUCCACCUAUAUUAUGGAAAAGAUAGAGUUCUCUGAAUCUGAAAGACUGAAACAUUUUGCAUAUUUCGUGAAAGGGAAAUAUUUGUAGAUACUAGUUCAUGCAUUGAGGUAACAUCAAUGUUAAAGAAAAACGGCAAUAACUUAUUAUAUAGAAUUAGGUUCACUUGCUUUAAAUGCUGGUCUGGUCAACCAUAUGAACCUGUAAGUGUAUCUGCAGAAGUAUGGUCAGCCAUAUGAACCAUAUGGGGGGACAAAUUAGCUAAAUUUUCCUCUUAUUUAUGGGUUUGGUCAUUUUUUCCCCUUCAGCUUUCCUUCUCCUGAAGUAUGUUAACAAUUGCAGAUAAUGACGAAGAGGACCGCUUCCAGGCUCUUCGUAGAGCUGCGAUGUAAUAUAGGGGCACAAUGAAGGAACAUUGUAAAGCUGUAGGUUCUUUUUCUCCUGUCAUUUAUGUUUUCUCACACAUUUUUUAUAUGCUCCAAGCAUCCAAUUUUGUAUGUGUCUUUGCCUUUUAAGUUUUAAAAACCAUAAAGUAAGAAUACAGUUCCUUGUCAGGUUAUUGAUGCAUUCACUCAGGGGGAUCAUGCUCGAGCAGGAAAACUUCUAGAACAGGUAAGGUUUCCAUCUACAGCCAUUUAUUGACAACAUAUAUAUUUUCAUUCAGCAAGCACUGUUAGCAUUCAAGAUGCUGGCAGAUUCACUUGAUUCUUAUUAGUUUGUUUAGUAGCAAAGCAUAUAACCUGUAUUUUAAAGCUAAGUUGUGCUAUUGAUUAUGUUAACUUUAUUGUUCACAUAAAGUGAUAUUGAGGAAAUAAUCAAUGUAGGAAAAUUAGGUGAAGAGAUGAUGUCAAAUCUUGAACCUCUUACAAAACUCCAAGUUCUUUACUUGAAGAAGCUACCAAAUUCGAACAGCAUCUACUGGAAGGCCUUGCCAUUCCCUGAUGUAUGCAGAAUUUUUGUAUUUAAAUGCCCAGAGCUUAAGAAGCUGCCACUAGAUCUUGAAAGGGCAGGCCAAGGUAAAAUUCUUAUCAAGGAAAAGAAAGAUGGGUGGAAACAACUUCAAUGGGAGGAUCAAGUAACUCAUAUUGCAUUGCUUCCAUCUUUAAAAUCAACCAACAAGUGAUUGAAGGGGGCAUCAUCAACAUCAUCAACAUGGAUAGAGAGAUUCUGGAGCAGAUCAGCCGGGUUUAGUACGACCUGUGGUGGUUUCUUUUUUGUGACUUUUUUCCCUUUCAUUUUUUCACUUCCUGUCAUAUUAUCAUUUCUUUGUCUCUGUUUCUAUUGCUGGUGUUGCUGCAUGCUUGCUGCCCUUGACAAAGUUAGCUAGUUUUUUUGUUUAUUAAAUUUUGUAUGUUCGGGACAGUCACAAAGUACUACUUGUUCUAUAUGGGGGUGAUGUGAAUCAACUUUUCAAUUAUAUAUUCUGUGGUAAUUGUGAAUUCAAUUUCAUUUGUCUCCUGCAAAUUAUGAAGAAAGUGCAGAGUUACAAUAUGGAAAAGUUCACUGGCAAAUACUUUGUAAAAGCUUCGGAGUGAAACAGGGAAUGCACUAGCAACUAAGGACAAAUUGGUGGCCAGCUAAUGCAUUCAUUUUAUGUACAUUGCUAAUUUGUAUGUUAAUUAUUAGAUAAUCAAUUAUUUGGAUAAUCCCUUGUGUUUUAUCUCUAAUUAGAACAUCAAUCUUCACAAUAUCUACAAUGCUACAAUGGCUAUAAAACAAAACCUGUUUGCAAAUUGUCAAGGAUACUUAUCCUUUCGCUUGACAAGUCAUUUGGAAAAAUAUUGUCCCUUGGCGGCUCCAUGUCUUCUCUGCCCCUCCUUUUGGUCUUAAUGUACGGUUGCAUAAUGAUAGUUUAGGCCCUUCAGGGACUACUUUCCCUGGUGUUGUUAAGUCUUAGCUUGUGCUAGGCUCGUUUUUCUUACCAAAAGAAAAGGAAUACUUCUCCUAUAAGAAAUAAUCUCUAUAUAUAGGGUAGUUGGAUUCACUUGUUUACAUAACAAAUCAAUUAGUUCUCUGUAAGUAGAGAGUUUCAAGUAUGAGAGAAACGGUAGGUCUAUCGAGAGAUUAUGUGUUAUUAGGAUUUUGGUUGUGAAGAAAAGUACUAGAGUGAUUGUGUUAAUUUUCUACAUAGUGGAUUUUUCUAUCGUCAUCUUUGUGGCUGUGAUUUUUCUUUUAUAUAGAAGUUUCCCACGUAAAUUGUUAUGUUAUGUGAUUAGUUUUAUUCUCCAUCUAUUUUUUGUUUAUUAUUUGUUUGAUAUUUUAUUUGUAAGAUGUUGGAUGGGAUUAAAAUUCCUUAACAAAUAACGGAUUAAAAAUAUUGAAGAAAAAGCUCAAGAGAUCUUCAAGAUUUGAAGUGUGAAAAAGUUCAUAUUACUGCUAGAUGAUAUAUAGGAGCGGGUUGAUUUAGUAAAAAUGGGUGUCCCUCUUCCUAGAUCAGAAAACAACACAUCCAAAGUGAUAUUUACAAACCCGUUCUGAGGAAGUUUGCGGCUUAAUGGAAGCUCGUAGGAGUUUUAAAGUGGCGUGCUUAUCAAAUAAAAAUGCUUAGGAUUAUUUCGAUACAAAGUUGGGGAAGAAACUUUGAACAAUCAUCUUGAUAUCCUUGAGCAAGCACAAUAGUUGUUAAGGAGUGUGGUGGUUUGCCACUUGCACUUUUUACCAUCGGCCGAUCUAUGGCGUGCAAGAAGACACAGCCGAAGAAUGGAGAUAUGCUAUUCAAGUGUUCACUUCGUCCGCUUCCUGUUUCCAGGUCUGGAAGAAGGGAUAUAUACUCUUGUAAAAUUCAGUUAUGAUAGUUUACCCAAUGACACAAUUACACCUUGUCUGUUAUAUUGUAGUUUAUAUCCAGAAGAUUGUUGCAUUUCUAAAGAGAAUUUGGUAGAUUGUUAGAUCAAUGAAGGAUUUUUUAAUGAAAGUGAUUGGUUUGGAGAAAAAAUCAAGGAUACUUCAUUUUGGGCAUUCUUCUUCAUGUUUUUUUUUGGAAAAGGGAGGAGAUUGUGAAGUGAAAAAUGCAUGCAUGACGUUAUUCGUGAUAUGGCUUUGUGGAUCGCAUGCGACUAUGAGAAGGAGAAGGAGAACUUUUUGGUUUACGCUGGUGUUGGUUUAGCUAAGGUACCGGAUAUUAGAGAUUGGGAAAAGGUAAGGAGAUUGUCAUUGAUGAAAAAUAAAAUUGAGAAUCUAUCUGAGGCUCAUACAUGCCCUCAUCUCCUCACUUUCUUUCUUGACGAUAAUGAGUUUCGGAAGAUCCCCGGUGAUUUCUUCCAGUUUAUGCCUUCUCUCACUGUUUUAAACUUGUCAUGUAUUAAACUAAAGUCAGUUCCUUUAGGGACUUCAAGGUUGGUUCCACUACAACAACUCGAUCAUUCAUAUUCAAGCAUAAAAGAGUUGCAAGAAGAGUUAAAUGCCCUGAUUAAAGUUAAAUGCUUGAAUAUAGAUCAUGUAGAGGAGCUAAUUACAGUUCCACAACAACGGAUAUUUAAUUUUUAAGGUUAUAUGUGUUGAGAAUGUUCGAUACUAUUAGUUUAAAUUUUCAAGAAGCAUUAAAUAAAGACAGCAUUUUAUUUGGUGGGGAGGAAGUUUAAGCAGAGGAGUUGCUCGGUUUGGAAUAUUUGGAGGUAUUGAGCUUCACUUGAGAAGUGUUCGUGCUCUCCAAUUUAUUUUGAGCUCACAUAAGCUACGAAGUUGUACUCAAGCGCUGUUCCUCCAAUCCUUCAAUAAUUCGAUAUGGCUUGAUAUUUCACUUUUGGCAGAGUUAAAAGCACCACUGCAGAUUUAAGUAUUUUUGGCUGUAGAAAAUUGGAGGACUUGAAGAUGGAAUAUACAGGGGGAGCGAAAAACAAGCGGCAACCUUGUGUUUUCUAAGGCCUACAUACAGUUCACAUAGAGGUUUGUUCUAAAUUGAAGGACUUAACAUUCCUUGUUUCUGCUCCAAAUCUCAAGAACUUGGAAAUACAAAAUUGCCCUGCUGUGGAAGCAAUCAUCGGUGUGGGAGAAUUUGCGGAAGCUCUAGAUGUGGUGGAAAAUCUAAACCCAUUUGCAAAACUCCAGUUUCUUGGACUAGAAAAUCUGCCAAAUGUGGAGAGCAUCUAUUGCAGGCCUCUGCCCUUUCCAUGUUUGAAAAGAAAUGACUGUGGAUAGUUGCGGUUGUCUUAAAAAGCUUCCACUCUACUCCAACAGAGUAAAAGAGUGUACAAUUGUUAUUUCAUCAUUCGGAGAGUUAAUGGUGCAAUGAGAUUUGGCAGUUAACUCUCGUGGGAAGAGCUUUAAUGGGAAGACGAAGCCACUCGAAUUGCUUUUCAUUUCUGUUUCAAAUCUCUAAUUGGAUUGGAGAUUGCAUUUCGCCUCAGGUUCGUACUUUUCUUGAAUUUUUCUUGUUAACUUCAUUUGUUCAUUUAUCCAUUUUUUUUUUAAAGGAAUCAGAAGGGUUAAUAUUUUUGGUUGUGUUAGGUCGACUUCUAAUCACGAGGCAGAAGGAGCUGAGAUGAAGUUUAAUUUUGGUGGAGAAAUUGUUUGAUUUAAAAAAUUUAAAUGAGUUGACCAUCAUUCUUUAGCAUAUUUGUAUGAACAGGAGUGUGUAAAUAUGCAAACUGUCCAGCUGUAUGUGUAUAACGUAAUAAUUUUGAGGAGUUAAAACAUUGAAGAAUAUUGAUGUUUCCAUUGUCAAACCAAAUAUACUUAAUUACUUGAGGAUAAUGAUUACUGCUAAUACAUUUGCAAAGAAAAAAACAUGCCUAUUGAAAAACUCAUCUUAUUAGCAACAGCAUUAUAAGUAGUAUCCAAUCAUAGUUUCAUGCAAGAUUUUGAGAUUUUUCAAAUGCUGAUUCCGGGAAUGGAGAUUAAUAGAUAAUGGAGACAGGUUGACUGCAAUGGCUAAUUGCAAGAGGGAAUUUUAGUCGUAAAAACAGACCAACUAGCAAAGCAGAUUCCAAAUCUUGGAAUGAAGUAGCAAAAAAACGAAACAAACAACUGGCAAGAGGAAGUGACUAUACAAUAAUAACAUCGACUUGCAAUUCAACAUUUAUAUAGUUAUACACACCAAGAAAAGAGAAAAUUACAAUAGCAAUUUGGCUACUAGAAGAUGUUCAUUCAUGCUUAUGCCUGUCAUAUGGAUUUGAAACAAGGAGUAAAAGCAUUUAGAGUGGCUUUAUCCUUCCACUGCAGCUCAUUCCACCAGUGUUGCUCUCCCCUAAUAACAAGUUUGCGUUCCUUGGCGCUGUUGUAAUCGAGUGGAAGCUUCUUGAGGUUCGGGCAUCCAGAUACAAACAAUUCCAAGAGAUUUGGAAAGGGCAAUGCAUUCAAACAGAUCUUCUUCAAAUUUCUUAGAACUUGCAACCGAAGAUAUUGGAGUUUCGCAAAAGGUUUUAGCCCUGGAACUUCUUCCACUUUCCAAACACUGAUUAUUUCUUCCAUCUCAUAACAACGUUCUACAUGCACCAUCUUCAGAUUUGGGGCAAAAACAAGCCUUGUCAUCUCCCUCAAUUUACUGCAAUAGUCUAUGGUAACACUUUGAAGGCUGUUGAAACCAUAAGUUCUCUUGUUGUUUGAACUUCUGCAUAGUCAACCUUUAGCUCUUCCAAACUUGUACAAUACACAAAAUCUAGUUUGUCAAGGUACUUGAGAUCUGCUAUGGACAAAAUAUUCCAUGACCUUGAAUCCUCACAGCGGCGAAGCUCUAAAGCAUAUUUACAACUCUUGUACUGUUGGCAGCUCAAAAGUCUUCGUAGAGCAUAAAAACUUCUUAACGUGACGCUUAAUACAUUUAAAUGUUCCAAAGUAAUCAACUCCUCUACCAAAAUUUCACUACCACCAAAUAGAACGCUAUCUUCUGGUACUGUAUUAGCAGAGCCACAAUCUAGCAUCCUCAACACCUUUAACCCAGAAAAAUUACAAAGCAGUUGCCGUGGAAUCGUAUGGAGAUAACGCAUGUACUCCAAGUUCAAACACUUUAGAUUUUUCAAGGCUUUUAAUUCAUGUGGUAACUCUUUGAUGAAAGUUUCUGAAAGAUUAAGAUAUUGUAGUGAAACCAAUUUUGAAAUUCCUGAAGGCAAUUGACUCAAGGAGCGAUUCUUUGAUAGGUUUAAAACUUUUUUUUUUUUGGUGAGAGGGGGCUCGUCAAAACGAGCUAAAUAGAAACAAAACGGGGUUGAGUAACCCCAAACAAGUCUUGCGAAAUGAUAGAAUAUAUACCCAUAGGAGGGUCAGAGAACACUUGCAAUCCAAGAGGAGCUGAAUGAGCCAUAUUAGCCAUGAAGUCCGCAGCUGAGUUUGCUUCACGAUAGAUAUGGGUGAUAGCAAUCUGCCAAUUUCUACUUAAUAAUUCGUGGACAGCUACUAUUAAAGCAUGGAACACAUUAGGAACGACCACCUGCUUAGAGAUUAUUUGUGUAAUACAAAGACUAUCCACUUCCACCAACAGCCGUUUUAUGCCUACAUCCCAAGCCAGAAUUAGACCCUGAUACAGCCCCCAAAGCUCAGCCAUAAGCACUGAACUCUCCCCAAUUCUCAUACAAAAUCCGGAAAUCCAAUGACCGACUGAGUCUUGAAUGACACCUCCUGCUCCUGCUUCCCUGUCAUUUUUACGAGAGCCAUCUGAAUUUAAUUUGCACCAUGGCCAUGGCGGCGGAAUCCAACGAAUAAAAAUCUCCUUUCUCCUCGGCUGUUGACUUAUACCGGAAUUAUAAACUUUGUAAAUUUCAUUAGCUCUAGCCAUAGCAUCCAUAUAGACUGUUACACCAUCCACCAACUUCCCCGCAAACAAGAAAUGGUUCCUCCAGAACCACAGCCUCCAAACCACCACUCCAAAGAUACAAUCCCAAGGGAGGGAAGAUGCAAUCUUCCAUUUGUUCUGCAAGUUCCCAGUAAUCCAUUCACGUAGAUUCGAAUUGAAGAAAGCGUUAUGAGUUGCCAUUGGGACAAGCUUACGCCAAACCUGAUUAAUACAGCAGUAAUCUCUCAAUGCAUGGAGAAUAUCUUCAACCGCACCCCCACAUCUAUCACAGCCCUCAGGAGCAUUGAUAUGGCGCCUAGCUAGCUCAACAUGAGUCUUUAAUUUCCCAUGCAUCAGCUGCCACAGAAAAAGACGGAUGGAUUGAGGCCCCUUCCAACUCCACGGAAGCUUCCAAAUUCUGUCAUGAUCAGCCAAGUGAUGAUAGCAAAGGGAUGCAUAAGCUGAACGAACCGUAAACAUGCCGCUCGGAUCCAGACCCCAGUAAAUUUUGUCAGACCCAAAAUGCGGUCUCGGAGGCAUGACUGAUGCGAUCUGCAUGAGAGUAUAAUGUGGCAGCAAAUGCUCAAAGCUCGACCAAUUCCAUCCCCCCUGACCAUUCGUAAACUCACUCACGGUGGCGUUGAUAAGCUCCUGAGGAAUCGGCUGGAGAGCUAGGCUGCUCAAGGGAUAUUUCGUAGCCCAACAAUCUAUCCAAAAGCGAGCUCGACCUCCAUCGCAAACAGACCAGCGAGCUCCCUGAACUAUUGUCAACCACUUGCUACGAAUAGCUCUCCAAAUCUGAGAACCCGGUUUAUCUGGAAGGGACAUCGGUAAAUUUGCUGGAAUCCAAUCCAUAUUUGGAACAGAAAACUUUCACCCACAAUUUAUCCGAGCUGGACACAAUCUCCCAGCUCAAUUUCAUUAUCAGCGCCUGGUUCAUCUCGUCCAUUUUUUUGAACCCCAGACCUCCAUAUUGUUUCGGCAUGCAGAUUUUGCUCCACCCCACCAUACUCAUCUUAGGACUCUUUGAAUUCCCAUCCCAAAUAAAUCGCCGACAAGAUUUGUCUAUUUUAUGCCUCACUGGAGAAGGAAGAAAUGUCGUUUGCAUGGCAUAAAUAGGCAUUGCUUGCAGAACUGAUUGAGCCAGGGUGACGCGUCCAGCAAAAGAGAGAUGAGUCGCAUUCCAACCAGUAAGUCGGUUAUCGACUUUAUCAAGGAUGGACUGAUACGUGGAUUUAUUAACCCGCGUGUGAAUUAAUGGCAUUCCAAGAUAAUCACCCAAAUUAUUUGUGGCCGAAAAACCCAAAGUAGAGCCUAUGAGAUUGGCAUCCCGAGUAUCAACAUUUUUUGAGAAGAACACCUUGGUUUUCAACUUAUUUAUUUUUGCUUCAGAGCUCCUACAAUAGUUUUCCAGAACAACAUCAACCACAUAAGCUUGGUCAAUUGAAGCUUCCACAAAUAAAAGCAAAUCGUCUGCAAAAAAGAGAUGAGUUAAGGGAGUUCCAUAUUUGGCCAACCUAAUAGGCCUCUAUCUCCCAUCCAUUACCGCUUGGGUUAUCCCAUGACUCAAACGCUCGAUACACAGAACAAAAAGAUAAGGCGAGAGGGGAUCUCCCUGACGAAUACCUCUCCCUGGAGUGAAGGUCCCUGUAACCUCACCAUUCCACAAAAUACUCAUACUAGCUGAAGUUACGCAAUCCAUGAUAAGUCUAGAUAAAUGAGUUGGAAUACCAGUCUGUUGAAGCGUAUCAAAAAUGAAAUCCCAAUUAAGCCAGUCAUACGCCUUCUCUAGGUCAACCUUAAUGGCCAUAAAUCCUUUCCUGCCAGUUUUUCUGCGCAUUGAGUGAACAACUUCCUGAGCCACAACAAUAUUAUCUACGAUAUUCCUCCCUGGAACAAAACUUGUCUGAUUGGGGCCUAUUAGAUUGGGCAACAGCGAUUGCAAGCGAGUGGCUAUAAUUUUAGUCACCGUCUUGUAAGCCAUUGUGCAUAGGCUUAUGGGCCUAAACAUCUUUAAGCUAGUAGGGUGCUCCUCUUUUGGAAUCAAAACCAGGAGGGUAGUAUUUAUCUCUUGCGGCACUUUGCCCGUGGUAAAAAUAUCAUCAAUAAACCUGCAAAACGACGGACCCACAACAUACCAUUGGGAUUGAUAAAAAAUAGCAUGCAACCCAUCCGUAUCUAGAGCUUUCAGCGGCUUCAUACUAAAAACGGCACUUUUAAUCUCCUCCCUCAAAAUUGGGGCUGCGGCACCAUCAACGUCAUGAGAACUCAAGUCUGGAAAAAAAUUUGGCACAUGGUAGUUCUGAUAAAUAGCAUUUUCUCUUUUAAAUAAUUCUGAAAAAUACCCCACUGCAUGCCUCUUUAUAUCUUCCUCAUCAUACAGCCAAUUCCCUGAACUGUCUCGGAUAGCCUCGAUUCUAUUCCGCCGCCUUCGAGCAAUAGUUUUUUUAUGGAAAAAAUUCGUAUUUCUGUCUCCAUGUAAAAGCCAAUCCUUUCGAGAUUUCUGGAGCCACAGAAUUUCCUCCUGGCUCAUCACCAUUUCGAGCUCAUUACGCAAUCGGGCCUCCAAUCGCCUCAAACUGCGAGAGCUAUAUUUCUCUAGGGUGGCUUGAAUUCCAUUAAUCCGAGCCAUAAGCCGGCGUUUCCUCUGAAAGAUAUUCCCAAACACAUCUCGAUUCCAAACUUGAACCUCCUGAACAAAAUGAGAAGCUGCUGCACUAUAGUGGGAUUGCGGAUUCCACAUCCGCUUAACAAAAUUGUUAAAGUGCUCAUGAGUUAACCAAGCAGCCAAGAAGCGGAAAGGCCUGGUGUUGAGUGUUAGAAAAUGCAUAUUUAUAAAGGAGAAAACCGUCAUUUUACAUUUUAAGUCUUACUAACAACCCUUACUUUUAUAUAUUUAACCUUCUUGUGAUUUAAUUACAUGUGUUUUAUUUUAAUUAAGUAUUUUAUGUAUUUUAGGGGCAUUAUAGUCAUUUCACAAUAAAGGAGAGAUCAGACGGCAAAACGGACAUCACUUUUGAACUCAGGACGGUCGAAAACCUUAGGAGGAGCAUAAAAGGAAAAAUGGCACUAUUCACAUGUACGGUACUAUUCACGUAUACGGUACUGUCUACGUUACUGUUCACGACACUGUUCACAUAGACGGAUCGAUGACGUGGCAUUGACCGAUGAUGUGGCAUUGACUGAUGAGGUGUCACGAUCCUGUUGGGCUAAAAUUCUUAUGUACUGUUGAUGGUGACGUGGCAGCAUAUCAGUGGACGAAAAAUCUCGUGUACGGUGCAUGCAUCACACAGGAUUAUUUUCAACCAAACCGCGUUACUGUUCAUCCGGGUCAAACCGCGUUACUGUUCAAAGUCGGGUCAAACCGUGUUACUGUUCAUCCGCGUGGUCAAACCGUGGACUGUUGACUGAUGACGUGGCGCAAUCCUGAGCGUCCAAACUGUUUUUAAUCCGAUGGCCAUGAUUUACUCCAUGUAUCUAUAAAAAGGGGGCCUCCCCCCCCUAAUUUGAUAUCUCUGAAUCCAUUUUUGGGAUCCAUUUUCUGUAAUUCCUUCUCCAUCUUGUAUUUUCUUCGUAUUUUAAUAAAUUCCCAUUUUGCCCCUAGUUCAAUUAUGAGUGGCUAAUUUUCUUUCAAGCUUGGGUUGAAGGUGAAGUCUCAACAUGUGUCAUGGGCUUAAUUUGGUAAAUUUAUUUUCUCUUCCCCUCUAGUUUUUGUGGAUGUUUUGACUUCUCGUCGACAAAUAAUACUAAUCUUGUCUAGUACCGCCUUGGUUUCACCGGCUCUCUAGUAUAAGGUUAUUAUUAUUUGGCACGAUAAGCCCUUAGCACCAUAUUGAUUAGAGCGUGGUUCAUGCGGUGUGGAUUCCCCCCUCAUGAUUUAAUUGGUAUUAAUAAGGAAUAUUUAGCCUAUGAUGCAUGUUGAUACGGAUCCAGAUACCCAAGUACGUCAUUUCAAUAGAAUUCUCUUCAAUUUAUUCUCACCAUUUCAAUACCAAUUUUAGAAUUUAUUCUCUCCAUUUUAAUUUAAGUUUUAGCAUAUUCCAAUCAUUUCCACCACAAAUCUAAUCACCCAUUCACAAAAUUAAUUCUACACAAUUAAAAUCCACCUCCUCGUGGGAUCGACACUCGUCACCAUUAAUCUAUACUACAACAGAUUCGUGCGCUUGCGAGUACAUUAAAAUUUGCACAACAAGUUUUUGGCGCCGUUGCCGGGGAGGUAAGUAAUUUUAAUUCAUAGAAUUAAUUUUUGUGAAUAAUUUCUUUUAUUUGUUUUCUUGUAUUUUUUUUAUUAUUAAAAAAAAAGAAAAAAAAAGUGAAUCUACAUUUAAAGGUUAGUAUUUCUUUUCUUUUUCUCUUCUUUAAAAUUCUGUAAUUUAAUUUUCAAUUUAUUUUUUCUUUGUAAUUUUUGUUUAUUUUAUUAAUUUAAUUUUUAGUUAAUUUCACGUAUUUGUUUUUGUGUAUUUUUAUAGUAAGGUUGUAAUAGCGCAAUAAGGUUAGUAUCGUAAUUUCUCCCUCUUCUUUAUUUUUAUUUGUUUUGUUCCCAUCUUUAUUUUUUGUUUUGUUUGCAUCUUUAUUUUUAUUUUAUUUAUUUGCAUGCAUGGUCGUAGGUCAUUAUUACCUAAUCUUGAACCUAUAGACCUUGAAUUAGAAAAAACACUUCGCACACACAAACACGUUAAAAAUAAAAUGGAUUUACAAGCACCACAGGAGAGGCCAUUUAAGGACUAUUUUAGUCCCUUAGCUAAUUUGAGCACGUCAUGCAUAAGAUACCCAAAUGUAGCUGCUAGGAGUUUUGAAUUAAAACCUAGUGUGUUAAAUUGUCUCCCUACAUUUUAUGGCCUAGAAAAUGAGGAUCCAUAUAAUCAUUUGAAUGAUUUUCAUGCCAUUUGUCAAACAUUCAAAUAUGAGAAUUUUUCAGAUGAUGAUGUUAAACUUAGACUAUUCCCAUUUUCUUUAAAAGAUAGAGCUCGUUCAUGGCUUAAUACAUUGCCUGCUAAUAGCAUUGCAUCAUGGGAACAAAUGGUAACGAAAUUUUUGAAUAAAUAUUUCCCAGUGCAUAAAACCAAUGCUAUUCGCAGGGAAAUCUCAGAGUUUACUCAGAGAGAGGACGAGCAGUUUUUCGAGACAUGGGAGCGAUUCAAUGGGCUACUCUUGAAGUGUCCACAUCAUGGGUAUGAGAAAUGGCAUCAAUGCCAAUACUUUUUGGAGGGAUUACUACCGAAUGUGCAAGAAUGGCUAAUGGCAACAAGUGGAGGAGAGCUAAUGUCAAAAAGUGCAUCAGAAAUUUGGGAGUUUUUCCAGCGACAAGCGGACAAUUCCCAACAACGGAGUCGAUCACUCAGGAAUACUAGAAGGAUUAAAGGAGUGAAUGAGGUUCACAUUGGCGAGUCAACUUCGGGAAUCAAAGAAGUCAAGGAGAUGGUUGAAGGUCUUGCUCGACAAAUAGCAUCAUUAUCGAUUGCUAAAUCAACAGAACCACAUGACCAUGACUCAUACUCAGAUCAAGCCAAUGCCAUAGGUGUAAUGAGAAAGCCAUCAAAUUACAACCCAUACUCCAACACAUAUAACCCUGGAUGGAGAGACCACCCUAAUUUUUCAUGGUCUCAAGGAUUCCAACAGAAUGGACCAGCAGCUCCAGCUCCACCAAUUCCACAAAAUCCUCAAGCCUCUCAGCCAUCAUUUAGACCAUUCAAUCAGAACCAUAAUUAUUCUCAACCCAGACCAUGGGAGGAUGCAUUUCAGAAUUUCAGGAAUGUUACUCACUCCACGAUUGAGCAACAGAACCGCACCAUUGAUGGAUUACGAAAUGAGUUGAAAGCGGGCUUCAACUCACAAGCCCAAUCAGUUUCAAGCCUUGAGAAGAUGGUGGGACAACUUGCUUCUUCAGUUCAGACCUUGGCAAUGACCGUUGAGAAAGGCAAAUUUCCAAGUCAACCAGUACCUAAUCCUAAAGGAGUGCAUGAAGUAAGUACCAGUUCACCACAGCAGCAUGGAGAGGUCAAAGCAGUAAUGACCUUGCGAAAAGGAAAGGAAGUCGACAACAAAGUGGAGAUGCCGGUGACAAAAGAAAAUCAAAUUGUACCUGUGAAUGUUGAGGACUCAUCACCGGAGGAGAAAGAAGAAACUAACCCACGAGAAUAUGUUCCGAAAGCUCCAUUUCCCCAGAGGUUAGCUAAAGGCAAGAAGGGAAAAUCCACAGGUGAGAUUCUCGAAAUCUUCAAACAGGUAAGUGUUAACAUCCCUUUACUUGAUGCUAUUAAACAAGUUCCAUCUUAUGCCAAGUUUCUUAAAGACCUUUGUACUAAAAAGAGAAAUAUGCAUGUUCAAAAGAAGGCAUUUUUAAUAGAAAACGUUAGUUCUAUACUCCAACAUAAAAUUCCUUUAAAAUGCAAAGACCCAGGCUCCCCCACUAUCUCAUGUAGUAUAGGGAACCACACAAUUGAGAAUGCUUUAUUGGAUUUAGGAGCUAGUGUAAAUCUUUUGCCUUACUCUGUAUUCGUGAAACUUGGACUUGGAGAAUUACACCCAACUCCAGUGGUGUUACAACUUGCAGAUCGGUCCACAAAAAUACCUCGUGGUAUUGUGGAGGACGUGCUUAUCCAGGUAGACAAGUUUUAUUUUCCUGUUGAUUUCAUUGUAAUUGACACUCAACCAAUACAGGAUUCAAGGAAGCACAUCCCCAUUAUUCUAGGCCGACCUUUCUUGGCAACUGCGGAUGCUCACAUUCAAUGCAGGACUGGAAAUAUGCAGUUGUCUUUCGGCAACAUGACUAUGGAGCUGAACAUCUUCAACAUUGCCAAACAACCUCACAGUGCAGAUGAUGGAAUUGUUGAUGUGGAUUUAAUAGAAACAAUAGUUGAUAAUACUUUUCUUUCAAACCUUAGUGAUGAUCCUUUACAAACAUGUUUAACUCACUUUGGUUUGGAUUUUGAUAUUGACAGAUCAGUCGAUGAGGUCAACGCCCUGCUUGACUCAACACCAUCCAUGGACACUAAUAAAUGGAAGUCAAGAGUUGAACAACUAACACCAUCAGAGAAGAAACUCAUCACAUCAUCAGAAUCACCACCGAAACUCGAGCUCAAACCAUUGCCCAACACAUUAGAAUAUGCGUUUUUGGGAGAAGAAAGUUCUCUGCCGGUAAUCAUCUCAUCAUCCCUUAAUGACGAACAAAAAGGUAAGUUGUUGGAUGUUUUGAAAGAGCAUAAAGGGGCAUUAGGAUGGACCAUAGCAGACAUAAAAGGUAUAAACCCUGCAGAUUGCAUGCAUUACAUUCACCUUGAUGAAAAUGCUAAAUCUACUAGGGAAAUGCAACGUCGGUUAAAUCCUAAUAUGAAAGAAGUUGUUAGAACAGAAGUCCUUAAGCUAUUAGACGCAGGUAUCAUUUACCCAAUUUCUGAUAGUUCAUGGGUCAGUCCUGUACAAGUUGUCCCCAAAAAGUCAGGAGUCACAGUAGUUACGAAUGCAGAUAAUGAAUUGAUACCCACUAGAGUAACUACAGGAUGGCGUGUACGCAUUGAUUAUAGAAAAUUGAAUUCUGUCACACGUAAAGACCAUUUUCCUUUACCAUUUAUUGAUCAAAUGCUUGAUAGAUUAGCAGGCCAUGAAUUUUAUUGCUUUCUAGAUGGUUACUCAGGAUAUAAUCAGAUUCCCAUAGCACCAAAAGAUCAAGAGAAAACUACUUUCACUUGCCCUUUUGGCACAUUUGCAUAUAGGAGAAUGCCAUUUGGAUUAUGUAAUGCACCUGCUACAUUUCAACGAUGCAUGUUGAGCAUUUUUUCUGAUAUGGUGGAACGAUUCCUUGAAGUCUUUAUGGAUGAUUUUUCUGUCUUUGGUGACUCGUUUGAUCAAUGUUUACAUCAUCUAACACUAGUUCUGCAGAGAUGUAUCGAGAAGAACUUGGUCUUAAAUUGGGAGAAAUGCCAUUUUAUGGUAAAACAAGGUAUUGUUCUCGGUCACAUCAUUUCGAGCAAAGGUAUUGAGGUUGACAAAGCCAAGGUGGAUCUCAUUUCUAAUCUUCCUCCACCCAAAACAGUCAGAGAAGUAAGAUCUUUCCUUGGGCAUGCUGGUUUCUAUAGACGUUUCAUUAAAGAUUUUAGUAAAGUUUCUAGACCCUUAUGCAAUUUGCUUGCUAAGGAUGUACCUUUUGUCUUUGAUGAUUCAUGUCUUGUUGCGUUUGAAAAAUUAAAGCAUUUGUUGACAUCAUCACCCAUCAUUCAGGCCCCAAACUGGAACUUACCAUUUGAGCUAAUGUGUGAUGCAUCUGAUUAUGCAGUAGGAGCAGUAUUAGGACAAAGAGUUGAUCGAAUUCCCCAUGUUAUUUACUAUGCUAGUAUGACAUUGAAUGAUGCACAGUUGAACUAUUCAACUACUGAAAAAGAAAUGCUAGCAGUAGUGUUUGUAUUGGAAAAAUUUCGAUCAUAUCUCAUUGGUUGUAAAAUAAUUAUAUUCACAGAUCAUGCUGCUCUUAAAUAUCUUCUCACAAAGAAAGAUGCAAAAGCCAGACUAAUUCGUUGGGUGUUACUUUUGCAGGAAUUUGACUUGGAAUUCAAAGAUAAAAAAGGGACAGAAAAUGUUGUGGCGGACCACCUCUCUCGUCUCCAUUUUGACACAAUAAUAGAACAAUUACCAUUAAAUGAGUCAUUUCCAGAUGAACAAUUAAUGAGUGUGGAAGUAUUACCUUGGUAUGCUGAUAUAGUUAAUUAUCUUGUUACAGGUAAACUUCCAGAGCAUUGGACCAAGCAAGACAAGGCUAAAUUCUUUGCAGAGAUAAAGAAUUUCUUUUGGGAUGACCCGUAUUUGUUCAAGUAUUGUGCGGAUCAAAUUGUUAGACGAUGUGUCCCAGAAAGUGAAAUUCAGAAUAUCCUUUCAUUCUGCCAUGAACAAGCUUGUGGAGGCCAUUUCAGUGCUAAGAAAACAGCGACUAAAGUUUUACAAUGUGGUUUCUAUUGGCCAACACUAUUUCGAGACGCUUACACUUUUUGUUCUUCAUGUGAUAGGUGUCAACGAAUGGGGAGCAUUACACGAAGGAACAUGAUGCCACUAAAUCCAAUUUUAGUGGUUGAGAUUUUUGACGUAUGGGGUAUCGACUUCAUGGGACCCUUUCCCCCUUCUUUUGGCCAUCAAUACAUAUUGGUUGGUGUUGACUACGUCUCAAAAUGGGUAGAAGCAAUUCCAUGUAGGACCAAUGAUCACAAGGUGGUGAUAGGAUUUUUGAAAAGCAACAUUGUCUCGCGCUUUGGAUUCCCUCGAGCAAUAAUCAGUGAUGGUGGUGCCCACUUUUGUAACAAAGCAUUCAAAGCUCUUUUGACAAAGUAUUCAAUCACGCACAAAGUGGCGACCCCGUAUCAUCCGCAAACCAGUGGCCAAGUUGAGAUCUCCAAUCGAGAAAUAAAGCACAUAUUAGAAAAAACGGUGAGGCCGGACAGAAAAGAUUGGUCAUUAAGACUUGAUGAUGCCUUAUGGGCAUAUAGAACGGCUUUCAAGACCCCGAUUGGGAUGUCACCCUACAGGCUAGUGUAUGGAAAAGCUUGCCACCUACCUGUGGAACUCGAGCAUCGUGCGUAUUGGGCCAUCAAGAAAUUCAAUUUUGACAUGCAGCAAGCCAGCUCAGAAAGAAGAUUACAGCUGGCAGAACUUGAAGAAAUUCGCAAUGACGCGUACGAAAAUGCCAAGAUUUACAAGCAACGAAUGAAAGUCUUCCAUGACAAGCAAAUUAUGAGAAAAUCUUUCACCCCAGGUCAGAAAGUGCUUUUAUUCAAUUCUCGCUUGCACCUAUUCCCAGGUAAGUUACGCUCUCGAUGGUCUGGCCCAUUUAUUGUUCAUACUGUUUUUCCACAUGGGGCAAUUGAAAUUAAAGACCCAAAGAACGGUGUCACGUUUAAAGUUAAUGGUCAAAGAUUAAAGCCAUAUCUAGAGUACCAACCACAUGAAGAAGACACCGAAAUAAAUUUGAGUGACCCACCAAAUUUGAAUUGAUUUUUUUUUUCUUUUCGUUGAUUUGAUUUUUCUUUCUUUCUUUUUAUUAUUAUUCUUUUGCUAAUUGAAAUUGUUUUUGCAUAAGUGUGUUUAUUUUACCAUUAAGUUUUCUCUUAUCAUUUUUAAUCAUGAGUCUCAUACUUAGACCGUUCCUCCUGAACAUUCUUAAACCACUUCAACGUGUCAAAACUCAUCUCAAAAGACAGAUUCAAUUUUGUAAAACACAUCGCAUUUGGGCUCUACAACCACCAGAGUUAGUAGCCUAUGUUGAGGGUUUAGAACACCAACUCAGAGACAUUGAGAGAAGUGUUUACGACAUCCAGUUGGAGCUUGAGGUAAAUUCAAUAAGAGGACGAUUUUAAUUUUCUUUGUGUGUUUUAAUUUGUUUUUCUAUUUGUGUGCUUUAGUUUGUUACCCCGGUGAAAUGGCGGAUAACGGUACUCCGUGACAAUCAAGUCGGUUACUUCAGUCUCCCAUAAUAACUGAUAUUCUGAGGCGAAGGUAUGGACAGAAACGAGAUUCUAGCGAAGCUUCACAAGCGAUUCCCUUCACUUCCUCAGAAUGCCCUCCUUACGAUCUAUAAAGCUCGGUCCGAACGCAUGCGAUUACUCAUGAGGAAUAACAUACCUGCUGACAUCCGUUGGUUAAUCGAGGCUAAAGUACGAUCGGCAGGUGAGUUACCUCCAAAAUUUAUUGCAUACAUGCCUGGUUGUGGUAAAGGAAAUUAUGCAAGAAAACGACGAGCUCGAAGAAUUUCUGUUGCUUGUCAUAAGUGUGCCAGAAUGAGUUGCAAUAAAAACCCAUGUUCUUUAGGAAUGGUGUCUGAUAACAGGGAAGAUAAGAUUCAAUUCAUUAGGGAUGGCUUGAAUAAGGAGUCAUUGGAUGAUAUCCUUUUGUCUCUUGAAACGCAUCCCAGUGGAUAUGUGCAAGGAGCGAUUCUCCAGUUAUGGCCAUUAUUCCAGAAAGAGCAUGCACGAUAUAGUCUCGGGAAUCUGACUAUAAACGACCCUGUUUGCCAGUUUAUAAGAAAAUUGGAUAGGAAGCCUAUCCUCGACCCAUAGAGGGCGUUCAAGCCGUUUCUGGACGUAAAACCAGAGGAAGAUGUGAGCCACAGUCGCAACUACCUGUAAAUAUUCUUUUACUUUAUUAUUUCACUAUUGUCUUAUUGUUUGCAUUAUUGUCUUUAAUAAUUUUAUUACUGUUUGCUUUUUUUCUUUUUACUGUUUUCUUUUUGACUCGCGAGCCACGUGCUUUACGCGUUAUUUGACAUGGACAUGUGACCUCAUACACAACUAUGACCCAUUAUCACCAAGACUCUUAAAUGUGAUUUUCUUUGUCAAUCACUCACAAAUUAUUUUUGCGAAGUAUCACAAUGGCAGCUACUCCCAAUAGACAAUUCAAGAACAUUUGUGUGCUUUCUGGAUUUACAUAUGGCAAACAUAAAGAGUUCGUUGAGGCAGCCAUAGAUCUUGGUCGAAGCAUAGCAGCGAGAAAAUUACACUUGGUGUAUGGAGGAGGUAAUCGAGGGUUAUCAAAAAUGGUCUCAGAAGCAGCUCUUAUCAGAGGAAGUCAAGUGUUAGGCAUCAUCCCAAGAGUCUUAAAACCAUUGGGCAGUUCGUCUGACUCAUCAACUGGAGAAGAGUUAGUCGUCUCAAGUAUGCAGGAAAGAAUAACUGAAAUGCUUAAUCAUGCUGAUGCUUUUAUUUUCCUUCCAGGAGAUCUUGCAACACUAGAGGCACUUAUGACACUAGCAUCUUGGGCCCAUCUACACAUUCACCAGAAACCCAUCGGUUUGUUAAAUGUCAAUAACUUUUAUGAUGGCUUUAUCGCAUUUCUUAACCAUGCAAUAAAAAACUAUUUCAUUCCCUCUAAUGCGAAAAAACUCUUUAUUUGUGCUCACACUGCUAAUGAGCUACUUGAUAUGUUACAAGCUUAUCGACCGGAGCCAGACCCCUGGACCUUUGUGUUGGAGCGUCCAAAUAAUGAUGGUAACAGUAGCCGCAGUAAGAAGUACAAAUUAGAUUUAACUCUCCGCCUGUAAAUAUUUUCUUCUGUGUUGCACCACCCAGGUGAUGUCUUCUAAACUCUACUUCUUUCAUUUCAAACAUUGAGGACAAUGUUUCGUUCUGGUUGGGGGGAGGGAAUAGUCGACAAUUGUGGAAUUUUGGUUAAGUUUUUACUAAUUUUUUGUUGUAGAAACUAACUGUUGCUAACUUUUUGUGUUGAAGAUGGCUGAAUAUGGAGUGUAGUUACUCUAGAAACGCAUCUUCAUUGUUUGAAAAAAAAAAUUCAAAAAAAAAAAACAAUUCAGACAUUUUCUUUUUCUUUAUUAUGUGUUUAUGUUUAUUUUUCUUCUUUAAUUUCUCCUCUAUAAAUAUAAAUUUUCCAACUUUUGAGUCGAAGAUGGCUGAAUAUGGAGUGUAGUUCCUCUAGAAACGCAUCUUCUUUUAAAAAAAAAAAAAUCAUUUUCGUUUUCUAUCAUUUUACGUGUAACUUUUCUAAUUAGUUUUUAUACAUCAUUUUCACAUUUCUGCAUGCAUAUUUUCCUUUCAUGUUUAGAAUAGGUUGGGGGGUAGAAUGAUGUUUAAAAAAAAAAAUGUGUGAUUUGUUUUAACAUUGGAUGACAUGAUUAAUUUCAAAUUUUAGUAUUUGUAUUAUCUUUGGUCUUAAGUGAUGUUACGCUAUGUUUGCUACUUUACAUGUUGAUGUCGGAGACAAAUGUGAGUUGCUUGAAGGAAUGAAUAUGUCAUAAUAAGUACCAAGUGAGUUUUUGAGCCUAUUAUUUUUCUUGGAGAAUAACCCUUUUGCCCACUCUUUAUACAGCUUAGCAGUUUAUUAUUUUAUACACGAUCUCUAAAUUACUUUUGAGUUAACCCUUAAAAAAAAAAUUGUAAAAUAAAAAAAAAGAGAAAAAAGAAAAAGAAAAAAGAGUGUGUUGCUACAUUUGGAGGCCCAUCUAACUAGUAGAUAUGGAAGAUUAUUUAGAGCCCUAAAAGACGAUGGAGAGGCCAUCUUUGAUCCGUUUGAGCCUUUCAAGCCAUCCCUUUUUAAUAUCCAUAGUUAACCCUUUUGAGCCUAUAAAAAAAAAAAAAAAAAAAAAACCUUUUCUUUGUCAACUUAUCAUCUUGACCCACUCCGAUUUGGAGUAUUACCCGAUAUCUUAUAAGUUCCAUCACCUAUUUAUGUUUGAGAAAAUGUAAAUAAUUAUUUUGUUCAGUGAAGUUAUGCCAAAUAAAAAAAAAACAAAAACAAAAGUUGUUGUUUCAAAAGAAUAAAAAUAGGUGAAAUCCACCUUGCAACUUCCAAAAAAAAAAAAAAAAUUCUCUGCAUUUUUCUCAAACAUACACUUUGUUUUCCUUAUUUUCCUUCUUUGUUAGCCAUGUCCCUAGCCUACGUUUCGUCCUAAUAAAAGUCCUUCUUGAUUUUAGGGAACUAUAGUUUGAAGUAGAAGCUAGUUAUAUGGGCUAAAAAGAUGUAGUGAUGCAUAAUUAAAAAAAAAAAAAAAGAUAAAUAAAGUGGGUUGACUAACAUUUUAUUUGACUUGAGAUCGUAUUAUUUCUAAGCUGAGGGCAUAUUUAUUUCAUCUUGGUGAGAGCAUGUGAUAUCACUUCUUUAUUAUUUUCUCUCUCAAUUACCAUUCAUUGGAGUGACUAUUUUUAUUGGGAUUAAUUUAUUUGUGAGAGUGUCACUACUUCCAGUGAGAUUUUGGGGUUUGACAUUUCAUUCUUGAGAGUAGCUAUAACAAAGUCUACUGGGCUAAUUCAUGUGGAUGGUUGAUGUGGGUGUGAUGUUGCUUUAGACUGGAGAUAAUGCUUAUACUUUUAUUUGAUUGCUAUCAUUAAUCUGAUGGAAUAAAUACGAGUGUUUCUAUUAAAAAAAAAAAAAUUAUUUUGAAUUUGAAUUUUGUUUUCGCUUUAUUUGCUAGGGACUAGCAAUAAGCUGGUUGGGGGGUGUGUUGAGUGUUAGAAAAUGCAUAUUUAUAAAGGAGAAAACCGUCAUUUUACAUUUUAAGUCUUACUAACAACCCUUACUUUUAUAUAUUUAACCUUCUUGUGAUUUAAUUACAUGUGUUUUAUUUUAAUUAAGUAUUUUAUGUAUUUUAGGGGCAUUAUAGUCAUUUCACAAUAAAGGAGAGAUCAGACGGCAAAACGGACAUCACUUUUGAACUCAGGACGGUCGAAAACCUUAGGAGGAGCAUAAAAGGAAAAAUGGCACUAUUCACAUGUACGGUACUAUUCACGUAUACGGUACUGUCUACGUUACUGUUCACGACACUGUUCACAUAGACGGAUCGAUGACGUGGCAUUGACCGAUGAUGUGGCAUUGACUGAUGAGGUGUCACGAUCCUGUUGGGCUAAAAUUCUUAUGUACUGUUGAUGGUGACGUGGCAGCAUAUCAGUGGACGAAAAAUCUCGUGUACGGUGCAUGCAUCACACAGGAUUAUUUUCAACCAAACCGCGUUACUGUUCAUCCGGGUCAAACCGCGUUACUGUUCAAAGUCGGGUCAAACCGUGUUACUGUUCAUCCGCGUGGUCAAACCGUGGACUGUUGACUGAUGACGUGGCGCAAUCCUGAGCGUCCAAACUGUUUUUAAUCCGAUGGCCAUGAUUUACUCCAUGUAUCUAUAAAAAGGGGGCCUCCCCCCCCUAAUUUGAUAUCUCUGAAUCCAUUUUUGGGAUCCAUUUUCUGUAAUUCCUUCUCCAUCUUGUAUUUUCUUCAUAUUUUAAUAAAUUCCCAUUUUGCCCCUAGUUCAAUUAUGAGUGGCUAAUUUUCUUUCAAGCUUGGGUUGAAGGUGAAGUCUCAACAUGUGUCAUGGGCUUAAUUUGGUAAAUUUAUUUUCUCUUCCCCUCUAGUUUUUGUGGAUGUUUUGACUUCUCGUCGACAAAUAAUACUAAUCUUGUCUAGUACCGCCUUGGUUUCACCGGCUCUCUAGUAUAAGGUUAUUAUUAUUUGGCACGAUAAGCCCUUAGCACCAUAUUGAUUAGAGUGUGGUUCAUGCGGUGUGGAUUCCCCCCUCAUGAUUUAAUUGGUAUUAAUAAGGAAUAUUUAGCCUAUGAUGCAUGUUGAUACGGAUCCAGAUACCCAAGUACGUCAUUUCAAUAGAAUUCUCUUCAAUUUAUUCUCACCAUUUCAAUACCAAUUUUAGAAUUUAUUCUCUCCAUUUUAAUUUAAGUUUUAGCAUAUUCCAAUCAUUUCCACCACAAAUCUAAUCACCCAUUCACAAAAUUAAUUCUACACAAUUAAAAUCCACCUCCUCGUGGGAUCGACACUCGUCACCAUUAAUCUAUACUACAACAGAUUCGUGCGCUUGCGAGUACAUUAAAAUUUGCACAACACCUGGUCCUCUGGUGGCCAGCCACAUCUCUCUCAAAACGAACCAGCACCGGCCUGUGAUCCGAAGCAAUUUUCGGGAGAUGGAGCACAUAAUUAUUCAUAUAUUUAAGCAGCCAUUCACUAUUACACAAAGCUCUAUCAAGCCUUUUAAAAAGCAAUCCACGUGACCAAGUAAACCUUGGACCCUUAAAUUUCAAGUCAAAAAGUUUAUGCCCAUCAAACCACUUCCGAAACAGAUUACACACUCCUGAGUUCCUGGCCACACCCCCUUGCUUUUCUGAGGCGUAUAAGAUAGAGUUGAAAUCCCCACCUAUCAACCAAGGCUCUUGAAUUAAAGGCGCAAGGUUCUCCAUAUGGCACCACAGCUGUCUCCGCAACAUUGGGUUUGGACUGGCAUAAACAGCCGUUACCCAAGACACAAAAACAUUGUUCCUGCAAAUUUUAAAAUGGAUGAACUGCCUGUGAUUAAUUGAGACCUCCACCUCUAUAGAACUUCGCCAAAGAAGCCAAAUUCCUCCAGAAAAACCCACAGCUUCCACCCGGUGCGAGUAAUCAAAUCCACUUUUCUUUAUAAAUUCAUCGGCUUUCACCCCACUAGUACGAGGUUCCAUUAAUACCACCAUCGAUGGGUUGUAAUUUUUAAUAAUAGUCCUAAACGAGCACCUGAAUUCCCCCGAGGCUGCCCCUUGGACAUUCCAGAACAUAAUACUGACUGUCAUAAAAAAUAUAAGAAGAGAGAACAUGAGGCUACUGUUGCUAUCCAGAGACAUCAUCCAUCAAUGCCAACGGCGUUUCCUGAACCAUCGAAAAUUCAUCAUCAGUCAUCCCAUCUCCAUCUAUACCACUCAUAGGAACAUCUGGAUGGUUACAAACAUGUCCACCUUCUUUCACCCGAGAAGUGUUAUGGUUAUCAGGAGGGUCUGCUAAGGGUUGCGGAUCCGAUCCCUGCAUCUCUAUAUGAUCCGUGGCCACUUCCCUUACAUCUCCAUUAAGAAGUGUUGGGGGAGAACAAAAAACCAUUGUGUGUUUAGUAGGAUCCAAGGUGGAUUCGAAAGAAACCACACGUUGGUUACUAGAUACUUUCUGGGGGAAACUAUGUGAAUUGGAUUUUUGGUUGGCAUGGGGUAAGAGAGUUAUAUCCUCAUCUCUGAUACUUAAAUCACUAGGCUGGAAAGGGUUACUAGUAGGGACCACUGGAGCAUUUAGCUUUUUGCUCUGAUUCCUUAUUACCACGGUCUUAUUUUGCAGCUUUCGACGAGCUAAAAUCUGUACUGUGUUAUUUGUUUUGGCUGUAAAUGUAGGGUUUGAGGCGGAUAUGAAAGGCUACCGUGAGGUGGAGGGGAAGUCUGUGCAAGCCUCCUGCACUUGGUGUCCUCCUUCAUCCGGGACUUGGGAUAGAAUGUGAAACCUUGAGGUACCAGCUCCAGUAAACUCCCUAUUCCGAUUUAAGUCUCUAGUAUUCAUCCUUCCAUUAUUAGGCUUUCUUCCUCUCCUAGGAGCCAUCAUCCAGGGACCAAAUGGUUCCACAGUGCUGUCGCCAUUACAACCUUUAGCCUGUUGGCCAGGAGCCUCGUUUCCCGGCAUUGCCUGAUGGGAUUGACCAGCUUCUUUAGAGCUUGUCGAGUUCUUAGCAUCUUUGCAAUUAUUACUAUUGUGCCCGUAAAGUCCACACUUAUAACAAAUUACUGGCAAGCCCUCAUAUUCGACCUUCUGUAUCUUCCCAUCCAACUCAAACUGAGACACCAGUGGCCUAGUUAAAGAGAUACUCACUGCAAGGCGGGCAAAUCUUCCACGAGAUGAGGAGGCUGUAUUCAAAUCGAUUGUAAUCACGUUCCCCACUAACUGACCCAGCUUUUGAAGAACUUUUCGAUCGUAAAGAUGAACAGCAAGGCCAGGUAAUCUGAUCCACACCGUGACCUGUUCAAGAGCCGUGUUUGUGAAGUCAAAGGAUGGCGUCCAUGGCUGCACCGUUAAAUAGUGACCCAUGACAAGCCACGGCCCCUUGGUUAAUGCAUCCAUAGCAUCCCCUACCGAGCGAAACCGAACCAGAUAAUAGUUAUUCUCCAAGUCUAUCACUGAAAACCCCAUGGCUGAUUUCCACAUGCCAUUCAAUCUUGCACAAAGGGCUCUAUAGCCAAUUGUGCGGCCAAGCAACUUUACAACAACCGAGUUCUUCCAAGGCUCACUUAACUUAGCAUGAACCCUAGCCGAAAAAGUGAUGGAUGGCAUGGAUCCCUCGUUACUUUCAGUAACGUCCCCUUCCUCAAAAUCCCAGUCAUCUAGUCCACCUCCAACUCCUUGCUCCAUCGCUUGCGUUGCAUUCACUAGGGUUUCUUUGUACGAUACCUGAGCAGUGGGAUCACCAGCAUGUUCCUCAUCGCGAAACCUCGCUUUUUUAGUCGUUCUAGCCUCCCUGAACGGCGGGGGAAAAAUCCCUCCGGAGAUAGGGUUUCCUUCACAUCCGUGGUUUUCGGAGCUUUCCAUUGAAUUUCGCUUGAUUCACUAAAAAAAUUAACGUUUUUAUGAAGGCUCGAACCAUUGCACUCAACAUUGUAAGUGCAUAUUGGAGUUAUUGGUAAAAUCACAAUUUUAUUUCUCAUCAACGAUAUCCUUCUCUUAUCUUCCCAUUGUUUAACCUCGGGUGGUUCAGUUAAUUCAAUACCGGCAGAAACCAAAAAGUUUUCAUUCUCCACUUCACAGGCUAUCCACAAGGUCAUAUCACGAAUCACAUCAUGCAGUUUUACAUAAUCUGAUCCUGCUUCUUCCAAUAGGCAUGCAUGAACAAGAACACCAAUAAUGUAGUAUCCUUGGUUAUGUACUCCAUUAAUUCCUUUAUAUUCCUUUAGAAAACCCUCACCAAUCCAACACCCUACCAAUUCAAUUUUGCUAAUUUGAUAAUCCUCAAGAAAUAAACUACAGUAUAACAGACAAGAUCUAAGGACGUCACUAGACAAACUAUCAUAACUGAAUUUUAAAAGACGAAACACCUCUUUCUCCAUACCUGGAAAUUCAUAAGCUGAUCUCCUUAACAUCUGAAUUGCAUAGCUCCAUUCUUCGGGUGUCUUCUUGCUGCUCAUGGCACGACCGGUGGUAAUAAGUGCAAGUGGCAAACCACUACACUCCUUUGCCACAGUUUGGGCUAACUCCGGAAUAUCGGGAUGACUUUCAAGAGUCUCUUCUCCGACCUUCUUUAGGAACAAUUCCCAAGCAUCUUGAUCUGCCAAACACUCCACCUUGAACUUUUUUUGAGCUUCCAUGAGGCCACAGACGUCCACAAGACGAGUCGUAAAGACUAUCUUUGAUGCAUUUCUUGAACUCCCAGGAAAAGGGACACCCACUUUGGCUAAAUCAAUUCUUUCCCAUAUAUCAUCUAACAAUAGCAGAAAUUUCAUUUUGCUCAAUAAAUUGAAUAUGCCUGAUGCUUUCUCUUCAAAGCUUCUAUUCUGAAGCCAUCCUAUUCUUUCUCCGAUUUUCUGUUGAAUUCUCUCAAGUUGCAUGUCUUUUGACACCACCACCCAAAUCACAAUAUCAAAAUAAUUUGGUGUAUUAAGGAACUUGUUGUUGAUUUGGGUUAAUAGUGUAGUCUUGCCGACUCCCCCCAUGCCAUAAAGUCCGAUGAUUCCAAAUUGUCCUUCUACAAGACAUCUCCAAACUUGAUCAAAUGAUGAUUCUAGGCCGAUUAUUGUUGGCUGAAGAGGCCUUUCAUCCACUGCUGGUUGUGGUACCUUUUCAGCUACCACUGCAAAAGCUCCAUCAUCUAUUAAAGUAGCCACAAGCUGCAGCUUUUUAGACACCUUUUUCCCAAACUUGUAGCUUGACUUGCAGUUCUUGGAGCAGUAGCCUCCAAGACAUAGUUUUUCAAUUUCUUGAGAGCUGUCCCUUCUCAAUUCACCUACUUCAGCUUCCACAGCCUCCAACCUUGCACUCUGUUCAGCCGUCUUAGUUGUUGUUGCUCAGCAUUAGCGACCCUCAUCAUCACAUCGUUCUUUGUUUCAAUUAGUUUCUGCAAUUCGGUCUGGACGGCAACCAGAUUAUUUUCAAGCUGGCUUAGAUAUGCUGCUUUUCUGCGGGUACAAUUGAUGAAGCCAGUGGAAAGGGCAUCACAUGUAAGUUGGAUUCCCAAAAUAUUACCCAUAGUUUGUAUGAGAUUCAGAGUACAAUAGAAGGAAUGCAACACAGUAUGUAUUCGGUUGUGGUGUCUAUGAUUUUACAGUCGCAGAAGCUUAUUCACCUUGUGAGGGCUGGUCAGGUGGGCACCAUCACUCUCCUUACUCUUUAUAGAGAGCGAUAGUCCAUGUGGUCAGAUCUCAUUCAGAUAACUAGCCAAGUGGGCAAUCGCUCCACCUUAUCAAAAUUCUUCAUCUUAUAAUAAUAUCAUGAGUAGGCCUUGAAUUUUUCUUUUAAUUUUAACAUUUAAAAGGUAGAGGUGAAAAAGUCUACAUAGUAUUUUUGUCCUCGUACUUUAAUAACAUUUCUUGAAAGUCACUCGAUCUCAAAAUUUAAUUAAGAAGAUAUUAUAGAUUUAUAAGCCCUUAAAUUUUAUUUGCAAGUAAGCCCAUAAGACUUACUAAAAGUCGUCAACUCGUCAUGACCAAAAUUGAAAAUUCGUCCGCGCGUGAAAUACGGCAUGCACAGUCGUAUUAAAAGCAAAGGCCAGCUAUGAUAGUCUUCGUAUACUUGCAUUCCCUAUCAUCUUAUUAAUAAUUUCAGACACGUAGUUCGUUGCUUGUGAUUUUUCAUAUGCAAAAGCACAGUCAGUGUUACAUUUUACAAUUACAAUUGAGUGCCACCUAUAUACUCCUUCAUUCUUUUCAAAAUAUGUUGUAGGAUGGGUAAUUGUGACAAAAGUGAUUUUUAAAAAAAAUUAACUUUUAAUUUUUUUUAAAUUACUUUUGAGAUUUGUGAAAAAAAUCCUAAACGGGUCUCAGAAGUAUAAUUAGCACCGCGAAUUUAUAAAAUGAUCAAAGGAAUCCAUCGCCUAAUAUUAUAGUACGCAAUUGAUUGCUAUAAACUAAAUUGCUAUGAUCUCACUUCAUAAUAAUUUAUUUUCAAUCUCCAUCAUGGUAGAAAAAUUUCAUCAAUCAACAUACCCUACCACCACCCAAUAGUCGACCAUUUAUCAUCUUCUAUCCGUAAAAAACCGAAAAAAAAAAAGAAAAGGAAAAAUUUAGUCCACAAAAGAAUAUAUCGCAAGACCAAACAGAGAGAGAAAAUAGAAAAAGCAAAGAGCUGUACUGAAUACCGGCGGUGAUGGCUCCGUACUUGACCAUUUAGGUUUGAUUCUGCAUUCACAUAAUAUUUUUUCUACACUGCAGUCACAUCACAACCAUUGAAUAGUCGUGAUCUAUUUUUCUAAAGCGAAUAAUAUUAUCUUCUCGUGUCGGUGGCUUGAUCAUAUAACAAAAUAGACUAAUAAUGUUUCAAUAGACAUUUUGGUAAAUGGAAGAAGUUAUGAUCUGUCCAUUUUUAUGUUACUUUAUUUUAAUUUGUUAAUUACUAUUAAUAUCUUUGAGUGGGAUAGAAUCUUGACCUAAGAUAUGACUAGGCUCCACAUGUUAUAUAUUAAUUUGAUUAAGCCUAGCUAAUUGUUAAUUAUUAAUUUGAUUGCGGCUUUUUAUUUUACCCACAUUUUUUAUGCGUGAAAUCUUUCUUAGUGAAAAACUACACGUAUUUGCAAAUAUUCGGAAUGGACAUUUUCGAAAAAACAAGUAAAAGAAAAUGACUAAAAAGUAAAAGAAAAUAGACACCCAAUUGUAAUUGCGAGGACAAUAGAAGGAAUGCAACAAACAGCUCUCUCCUUACACUCUUAUAGAGAGUUAUAGUCCAUGAUCUCAUUGAGAGAACUAGCCAAGUGGGCAAUCGCUCCACCUGAUCACAAUUCUUCAUCUUAUAAUAAUAUCUUGAGUCGGCCUUCAAUUUUUUUUUUCAAUUUUUAUCUUUAAAAGGUAGAAGAAGUGAAAAAGUUAAAUAAUAUUUUUGUCCUCCUAUAUAACAUUUUUUGAAAAUCACUCGAUCUUAAAACUUAAUUAAGAAAAUAUUAUAGAUUUUUAAGUUAGUGGCCCUUAAAAUUUAUUUGCAAGUAACAAUUAGAGAAAAGUCGUCAUGCCCAAAUGACUUACUAAAAGUCUGCAACUCGUCAUGACCAAAAUUCUUCCGAGUGUGAAAUACGGCAUGCGCAGAUGCAUUAAAAACAAAGGCCAGCUAUGAUAAUCUUUGUAUACUUGCCUUCCCUAUCAUCUUAUUAAUAAUUUCAGACGCGUCGUUCGUUGCCUGUGAAUUUUCAUAUGCAAAAGCACAGUCAGUGUUACUUGCAUUCCCUGUCACCUUAUUAAUAAUUUCAGACACAUCGUUGGUUGCCUGUGAUUUUCAUAUGCAAAAGCACAGUCAGAAUUACAAUUUACAUUUGGAAUUGAGUGCCAUCUAUUUAUUCUAGCUGGAUCUAAAAUGAUAUUGCAGUAUUGCACUGACUUUUCAGUCACAGCGUUUCUCUAUGAAUUCCUUAAAGUUUAGACCCAUCAUGGAAUAAUUAUUUUCUUAAAGACCAAAUUAACAUAAUUCUUAAAUCAUCUUCCGAGUGUCAAAUACGGCAUGCGCAGAUGCAUUAAAAACAAAGGCCAGCUAUGAUAUUCUCUGCAUACUUGCAUUCCCUGUCACCUUUAUUAAUAAUUUCAGACACGUCGUUGGUUGCCUGUGAUUUUCAGACACAUCGUUGGUUGUCAGAAUUACAAUUUACACUGAUUUUUUAGUCACAGCGUUUCUCUAUGAAUUCCUUAAAGUUUAGACCCAUCAUGGAAUAAUUAUUUUCUUAAAGACCAAAUUAACAUAAUUCUUAAAUCAUUUAUAAAACAACAUUUAUCAUAUAACAGAUCGUACAUGAAUAAAUUUACCUUGAACCGUAGCAAACAAACAAGAAUCUCAACCACAUCAAUAUCAUAAUCCCUUCUGACCUUAACAAUAAUUUUAUUCGUCCUUAAUUCAUAGGUAUAAGUAUCCCAAUAUAUACUUGAUGUCAACCUUUACAAUUCUUUACAGAAUUGCAGCAGACCAAAUUUGUAUGCAAAACUGAAAUCAUACAGUAAUUGAAUACAGUGAUAGUAAUUAGUAUAUAUAAAUAUCUUAAUAAUUUAAAAGUUUCUUAAACUGCUUUUACAUAUCUGAAAAAUUAUAGAAAUCGGAACUGCUGCAGAAAUCAUAAUUUCCCAGCGAAUGUGUUACAACUUCAGAAACUCAUAAGAAAUUAAAUUCUUGGGAUCACAAAAUAAUUCAAUAGAAAGCUUAAGAUGUCUAGUUCAUAAAAUCUGAAUUUUUUUUUAAAAAAUAAGAUCUUUGGAAUUUAAGAGAUUCAGCAGUACUUUUAUUACAUCAAUUCUUCAAACAAUCACCAAUCUAACAUUCAUCAAAAUUAAGUCAUAAAAAUCAUGUGGUUUAUAAAAAGAAUUACCUGAAAAAGAUUAGCCUUCCCCUUUCAAAAGCAACGUGAAACUCCAAAAACUCUUCUUCCAUUGCCUAUUCAAACAUGAAAAAAAAAAUUAGUAUAUCUUCUUUAAACGCGUGAUGAGUGUGCUCUGUUUUCUCUGUUCUUCUUCUUCUUUUUUAGAUUUCGAAAACGUAAAGAGUGUUGGAGUCUUUAUUUUCUAAAAACAAGACUUUUCCAUGUAUUCAGUUAAAUUAAAUUAUGUCCUAAUGCUAUGUCAGUUCCAUCAUUAGCAUUUUUUUUUUUGGCUUUUAACACCAACAUUAGCGUAUGUUAAGUAUCAUAAUCCAUAGUUGGACAAUUUGAAAUCUCUUCGUGGUUUAUCUCAAAGUAGAGCUUCAAUCAAUUUGUACCUCAUAAAUUUACAAUAUCUAUGAGGGCUAAUAAGACCAAACUCUGGCAUAUUGUCAAAUGUGCUUAUACUUUCGCUUGACAAGUCAUUUUAAAAUUGUCUUUCAAUGCCAAAAAAACCACAUCAACUAAUGGUCCACUACUUUAAUUUGAAAGCAUGCAUGCGAUCGCCAAUAAUCAAGGAUGUUAGGGUCAUGCUACAGAGUAUAGAAUAUGAUUUUAUGGUAUAGCCUUCUUUCUUUAUAAUUUUUAAAUUUAAUACUGUUACUUAUGUAGCACAUAAGUUGGAAAACAUAACAUAAAAUUUGAAAAAUGUAUAGUUUUCGUUCCCUUUUUUCCCCUCUAAAAAUGGGAAAAAAGAACGUAAUUUUGAUUUAUUUAAAUUACUGUUGUGAUAACAAUUUUUAUUUUAUUGAUUAUUUACCCAUUCAUGUGGCAAAUUUUUUAAGAUAAGGUGAAGGAUGAAGCUCAAAAACAUAAAUUAUAUAAUUAAUUACCCUCUCUAGUAAGUUUAAAGUUUAUUAUUUUGAACUACAUGUUUAUAAUUUAUUUUUAUUAUGUGUUAAUAUAUAGAUCUAAAUUCACUUUGGAACCAUAUACAUAUUUAGACCUAAUGUGCAUGUUAAUCUAUAGAUCUAAAUUUACUUCUAAAUUCACUUUAGAUCUAUAUGAGUAUUUAGACAUAACGUAUUGCAACCAUAUUGGCAUGUUCUCACUAUAGUAUUGGUGUAUUGACAUUAUAUCUAAUUGUCCCUAUAAAUCCAAAAAUAAUCUAGAUAUACAAAUUAACAUAAAAUAAAGAUAAUUGGUAGAAAAUGCAAAUUAUAAACAUAUAAUUGAAAACGAUAAAUUUAAAUUUACUUAAGAAAGUAAUUAAUCACUUAUUUCUUUUUUAUAAUAUGACAAAUAUUAUAAUAAAUAUUAAUUAAUAAUAAUUAGAAUAACAAACUAAAGAUAUUUUAGUAACUUAAAAUAAUUCAUUUUGAUUUCGAGACAAAAUAAACACAUCAAUCGCAAUACAACUCAUUCUGAUUCCACUCAUUCAGAUUUCAACAUAUUUUAAUUAAUUCAAGUGCUCUCCAUUAUAAUUGAAGCCGCUGCCCCAUCCCACUCGUGAUUCCAAACUUUAUCUUUUUCCUUUUUUAAAUUAAUGCAAGCAGCCGCUGUCCUUUUUGUUAAUUAAUUAAUUAAUUCGGCCGCCCACAUUUCUUUUCCUAAUGUCUUCGGCUUUCGAUUUUCUUUUAUUUUCUUUUUAUUCUUAAAAUAGACUUAUAAUAAUAAAAUAUAAAAAUAUAAAAAAAAUUAACAUAAUCAAAAUAUAAUUUAACAGAAAAUUAAGAUAAAAAUGUGAAAAUAAUAUAUAAAUUAUGAGCGUAUCAAUCAAUAAAUGAAAAAUAAUAAUUUUUAUUUUUAUUAAAUAUAUAUUUUUCAAUAUUAAUCAGUUAUCUAAAUAACUAAAAUCAGUUAAAAAUAAAUAAAUAAAUUAUUCUUAAAAAAAAAAAACUUUUUAUACCACUCACUAUGCUGGCUGUCAAGGGUAGAAGCUUUGGGGACUGAAGUUGGUAACUUCUACAAGUAGUCUUAAGUUGACUGGCAACAACUAUAUUGGCAUUUGGACAUAAUGUUCUGCAACCAUAUUGGCAUGUUCAAUUGUUCUCACUAUUGUGUUGGUGUGUCGAUAUUAUCUCUAACUGCCCUAUAGAUCCAAAAAUAAUCUAAAUUUAUAAUUUAACAUAAAAUAAAAUAAUUGGUAGAAAACAAUUAUGGUUCAUUUACUUAUCAGUAAUUAGAAUAGACUGAAAUCAGAAUGAGUUGUACUGCCGUUAAUGUGUUUAUGUUGUCCUUGAAUCGGAAUGAAUUAUUUUAAUUUACUAAAAUACCCUUGGUUUGUUAUUCUAAUUAUUAUUAUUUAACAUUUAUUAUAAUAUUUGUCGUAUUAUUAAAAAGAAUUAAUAAUGAUGAUAAUAUUAUCAUUAUUGUUUGUUAUAUUAUUAUUAUUAUUUAAAAAGUUAUUGUUAAUAACAAUAAUAACUUUAUUUCAAUAAUAAAAAUGAUAAAAUUAAUAAUAACAAUCAUGACAACAACAAUAAUUAUUUAUUAUGCCAAAAAUAACAAUAAUAAUAAGAAUAAUAAUCAUCAUCAUUUCAAAAAAAAAUCAUCAUCAUCAUCAUUUUUGUAGUGGCUGCCUAUCGGCUGUUGCUUUCAUGCGAGAUUAACUUGCGACGCUUCAACUGCUAUUAUUUCUGGCAAUGUCAGGUGUUGUUGUUUCAAUGGGGGGAGAAGCUGUUUCGGUGCACUAACGAUGGGAGGUGUUGUGGCUGCGAUUCGAGGAGCUACUGGUUCAGUGCACUAAUGACGGCAGGUGUUGCUGCUCAAUGCAAGGUCCAUGGCCAGUUGUCUUGUUUUACACCCAGCUCUUGUAGGAAAUUCUUUAUCAAAAAUAUUUUUUUUGUAACCUUCAAUAAUUGUAAUAUCAUUUGCUUCCGUGGUAGAAAGGACAACUCAUUACUAAGUCUAGAUUGUGAUGAGACUGCUCUCCCUACAAAAGUGAGCAAAUAUCAUUGUAGGGAUUUUUCAGAAUCAACAUCUCCUGUCAUAUCUACACACUUGUAACACAAGUUUGUCACCACCAAAAUAUAAACAUAUUCUGGAAAUGCCUAUAAGAUAUCUGAGAAUUCAUUUCACUGUUGUCCAGUGCUCUUUGCCGAGAUUGAAGAGAAACCGACUGACUACACUGACUGCAUAGGCAAUAGCUGGUCUUGCACAAAUCAUGGUGUACACCAAACUGCCAAUUGCCUAAGCAUAAGGAACUCCUCUCACUGAGAAAUGGGUUUUGCUCUUGAGAUUUUUGGGAACAUGAAGAAUAAAGAUGUAAUUUCUUGGACUACCAUUGUGUUGGGGUAUAUAAAUAGAAGACAAGUCGAUAUAGCUCGACAGUAUUUUGCUCAGAUGCCAGAACGAGAUUAUGUCUUAUGGACUGCCAUGAUUGAUGGGUACCUUCGAGUGAAUAGGUAUAGAGAGGCUUUGACACUUUUCCGGGAGAUGCAAACUUCAAAUAUAAGGCGAGACGAGUUUACCAUUGUUAGGAUUCUUACAGCUUGUGCGAAUCUGGGGGCACUAGAACUGGGAGAAUGGAUAAAGACUUACACUGACAAAAACAAGGUCAAGAAUGAUAUAUUUGUGGGGAAUGCUUUGAUAGACAUGUACUGUAAAUGCGGAGAUGUUGAGAAAGCUCAAAGGGUAUUCAGGAAGAUGCUUCGAAAGGACAAAUUCACAUGGACGGCCAUGAUUGUUGGCCUUGCCAUCAGUGGCCAUGGUGAUAAAGCUCUUGAUAUGUUUUCCCAAAUGCUUAGGGCUUCGAUCAGACCAGAUGAGGUAACUUAUGUUGGUGUUCUGUCUGCCUGUACUCACAAUGGUAACGAAAAUUUUGUGAUAAACAGUUGCAACUUAAGGUGAGAAUUGGAGGAAACGAAAUAGACUGAAGUUGUUCAAUCAUCGGUGGUUGCUAUUUGAUUUUAAGUUGUUCAAUCAUCGGUCGUCUCUAUUUGGUUUUCUCCAAUAUCUCAUCUCCAGUUUUGACUCAGAUUCUGUCUUACCACUAGUAAUUACAUAGACUUGUUGCCAAAGGUAAGAAUGGGAAUAAAUUAAAUAGAUUAUGUCGAUAACGAAAUAGAUUUACUAUUGCUAUGUGCAUUCUAUUUGGUUCCUGCAAAAUAUUUUCUCCUGCCUAAAAUUUUUUGAAUCAGUAAGUUUUUACCUUAUGCAAGAAUUGUGCUAAGAGUAAUUCCAGUCUCUCUAUGUUUCAAUGAAGACGUAAAACUUGUGUUUUAGAGCACCAAUGUUAUGCUUCUUACAAUUGGAUUUUAAUUUACUUCGUAGAACUUUUGUCAAAAAGUACUAAGAGUGUAUUUGAAAUUGAUGUACUGUAUCUUUUAAGCUACAGCUGCUGUGGAAAAAAAAACUGUAACUAUGAAAUAAAAGUUAAUAAUAUAUAGUAAAUAUAAAUUUUAAAUAAUAAUUUUGAUAAAAUUAUUAAAGAUAUAAUAGUUUUUUUAUUAUACAAGUGAAAAAUUAUAUAAACAUAGUUUUCAAGUUACAGCAGCUAGUGUUUAUCAAACACUUUAGUACUGUAUCUUUUAAGUUACAGUUGCCCGAGUUCAAUCUCAAACGCAACUUAACGAGUAGUGCACCAAACACCAACUUUAUUACAGAGAGGACUUUGGUUAAACUUUAAGAAAAACACUCAAAGGAAGAGUUAUAAAUUAUUAUAGAAAUAUUUGACAUAAAUAAAAGCCAUUCCACAAUGCGAAGAUCUUGCUAUCAUCACCAGAAACCAUCGGGAGCUUUCAGGGUUUCCAUGAAAACGCCAUUUCAUUCCAAGAGUCAAUGGUGGGUAGAAAGUGGUGCAAACGAUACUCAUUGUUAAUGCUAUAAGUUUUUGCUAAAUUAUGUCUUACCCAAAAUGAUGAUUUAAUUUCCAUUCUCAAUUAAUUUUCAAAUUUCAACACUUUUCUUUGUAGCAUGACAUUGGAAAGAUCUUGUACUACUAAAAGCUAGCACCACACGUUAAUUAUUGUUAAGUUCUUUUUCAACGUGAAAUAAAGGAAGUAGUCCUUCGUUAAAACCAUUAUAGCCAAAUUUCAUGUAAUUGGACACUUACAGACUUUCAUUUCAAGCUGGAAUUUGGUCCAACGUUUCAAAGUUGACCCAACUAAUUGUCUGGUCAAGUCCUACACAGCUAAGACCCUCAAUGAAUGAGGGUGAGACUGCUAAAAAUUACGACAGUUGAUAUUAUUAUUAUUUUGGGAUAAAUCCUCACCAAGGUGAGUGAGGAGAUUUUAUCAAAAUAAAAAUAAAAAUAUAACAAGAAAACUAGCUAAAUUAAAAUAUUACAAAAGCUAGAUGAAAUGAAAGGCAGCCUAAAAACAACCUUAUGCAAAAGAGAAGCAACAUGCUAGUAUUCCAAGCUUCUUGUUAUAAAAGUGUAGAAUGAAGUAGGUGAUGUAGUUUUAAAUUACACCUCCAUGCCCAAUCACAAUAUCAAAUAAUGCUUAAAGUAGUUAUAUUAACUCUUAAAUUUAUAAAUAAUUAAAUUUUUAAAAGUUUGGAUUUAUAUUAAAAAAUUUCUAUAUAAAUAAAUAAUCUAUGCAUUUUUACAACAUAGUCUUUAAAUUUAAACUUUUCUAGAAAAAUCUUCUGGAUAUCUUUUCUAUUAAAAAAGAGAUUCUCAAAAUUUAUAAAAGUAACUUAAAGUUUUGUCUUCCCUUUUCUUUUAGCUUAUACAUAUGUGUGUGUAUUCUUUUAUAGCAAUAACUAACGUUAUUUAUUUUUAAAUCAUAAAAAAAUUAUGAAAAAAAAAUGUACCAAAUUUAAUUGGACCCAGCACAAUGCACAUGCAUAGAACACAUUCUGAAAAGCCAUGCUAUUCGGAAAUUGACGAAUGGAAAGUGAAGAGGCAGCAGUCAAUGCUAUUUCGGCUUGGCCCAAAAUUUCACCAGUUUGUUAAUCAGUGUUCUGCAGCUCUUGCUGCUUUCCUAGAGAUUCUACAUCUUUUGCAAUCUGAUAGAUUUAAAAAAAAAAAAAAAAUUAGUGGCCAUUUGGAAUGGAGGAGAGAUUUGUGUGAAUGGUAUAGGUGAAAAAUUGGAUGAAAAUAAACAGGCAACCGUCCGUAUAAAACAACAAUAACAAUAUACAAAAAGAUAAGUAAUUCACGAAAGGAAAUUUACGGUUGUUUCUGGAAAACAUACAUAUUAAUUUCACUUAUACUCUAAGAUUUGCCAUCAUGACUGGACUUGUGAGGAAUUUGGAAACAUGUAUGCUGUAGAAAUGCUGAAGUAGCUUGAACCCGAUAAAAAUUGAUUGGUAGAAUUGUUAAAAAGUCUAAAUUUUUAGUUCAAACCUAUUGCAUAUUUAAGAAAAUCUCAAAUGAAUUGCUUAUUGCUAUCGUCAUCAUCAUUGCCCAUAUAAUUAUUAUUAUUAUUAUUAUUAUGUCUUUAUAAUUAUUAGUAUCGCUGUUAUUAUUUUUAUGGGUAAAUGGUUUUUCUAUCCUGGCAAUUUAAGCCAAUUACCUAACUAAUCCACGUAAUUUUAAAAAUGUUUCAAAAGAUCUUUAUUUUAUAUAUGUUUCCACUACAAUUUAUUUAAUGAUUCUUUAUUUUUCAAUUAUUGCAUGUUCGAUAUUUUUGAGUUCUAAGCUAUAUCAAUAGAAAUGUUAUCUUAUCCAUAAAAAGUUAGAUCCAGCAAUUAUGAAAAUUACUAUAGAGCUGCUUUGAAUAAUUUUAAAAAAAUACCACAAGCAAAUAAUAAUUAGUUUAAAUAGUGGAGACUAAAAAGCAUUCACCCUUAUUCUUUAUCUGUUAUUUGUUUUUUUUUUUUUCCGUUAAUGCACAUAUUAUACAUUUUAAACAUUCCGUUAAUUGCCAAUUAUGCAAGCGAGAUAGUAAUUUAAAUUUUUUUAUUUUAAAAAAAAGUGAAAAUUAAUCCUAUGCAAUGUGAAUAAAUUUCUUUCCUUUUUCCUUCUCUCUUUUUAUUUGAUAAUUAAGUUUCAACCUAUGUACCCAAAAUUUCUGCAACAGGUAAAAAAACAUAAAAAUAUAUGAUUGUUAAUGUAAACACGCGGAAGUUCAUCAUUUCAAUGUUCAGUAUUUCCAAUUUUGGCAUACGAAUAUAUUCCACUUAGAAAGCCAAAUAUUAGAAUUGUGAUUUUAAUUCAUUCAUCAUAUCUCAUUUCAAUCCCAAAAUAUUCAAGAGGAUCCAAGUUACCAUAAGACUUCAGAGGCUCGAGCCUUAGCCAGAGACGGUUAAUUGAUAGACUAUGUGCCCGGGUCGAGCACUGGAAGCCUGCAAUGCAGACUGAUUGAUUUAUCAGUUUGAUGUGUGCCAGGAAUGAAGAACUGGAAUAUCACCGUCAAGCAAGCACCCAGUGAAGCAAUACCAUAGAAUGCACAAUCCGGCCUUGCUAGGUGACACUGGAGGCUUUUUGAAAAGUGCUUCACGCUUACUUGCACAGAUUGAGCAUACCCUCUGGAUAUUGCCCUCUCUGAUCCAGUCUGAGCACUCAAAUUUCGGUCCUCAGAUGGAGCUACAGCUUUCUCUCCAAUAACCAACAAUUUUCUAAACUCAGCACCUAGUGUGAUCAGAGUUGUUGAUAUUUGUAAAUGGAGAUCCCCAUAUUUGAAAAUGGAGACAUUUAACAAAUCACCAACAUGCUUCAUCCGGUCUACGAAAUUCUGCAGCUGAUUCAAAUCCGGAACCUGAACCAGAGUCGGAGGUAAAUCUUGAGCCAUAUCUAAAGCAGUUUGAAGUUCAAGUACUUGAGCCCUUGACAGUGGUUUUGAAAUUGGAACAUCUUGAAUUACUGCAGACCUGUACCCUUUGGUUUCAAAGGUAAGGAAAGGCAUUGCUUGAGUACAAUUUGGAGGCAGCUUCUUCACCAAUUUUAUUUGGAGGCGAUUGGCAGCGGAUCCAGCUGCACCAAUUUCAGAGCAAAUACUGACACUACUUCAAACAGCACGCUGAAGAAGCGCUAUGUCUAUGGCAAAGGCAAUGCAGUCCUCAUUUUGGCUUGAGAUGCGGUAAUCAUCGAAGAGAGUUUCCUUAUGAAACUGGGCAACACAUUGAAUCCCUUCACCACUGAGAAGGUUGUGGAGGAAGUACGCUUUCUCUCUAGUGAGGAAGAGGUGGCAUACCUUCCCCAUUUUGUCUAGGGCAGUUAGGAAUCUUUUUUCUAAGAGAUUUACUCCAUUCUCUGUGAGAAAUGCUUUGAACUUCAUCCCUCUGUCUCUAUCCUCACUUAUCAGUAAAACAGUUGAAAGUGAUACAAGGAGAGAAAAGGAGAGUACUAAGAUAUAUAGACAAGAAAAACAUUAGGUGUCGAUCUUACAUGUUAAUACUUCAAACAGUAUCCUAGAAAGCUAAAAACUGCAGAAUGGCUUGAAAUUUGAAAAGAACACAUGCUUUUCCUCCUUAACUUGAGAAAAUGUUUGACAUAGCGCGCCUUACAGAAGCAAGCAAUUAGAACUUUGCACAAAAACAUUCAAGAAGACCAAUAUUUCAACUAUUUUACUGAUGAAAAUCUCAAAGCACAAAUGGCAUUGCAUUUUGUCCUCAACUGUAAUAUUUAUUGAUGAAAAUCAGUACAGGUCCCUCAUUUGUUAUGGAAAGCUUUCUUGUAGUCUGACCGGUUAAUUCACGGGUCUAUAAUCAUCUUGCAAAGUUACGGACAUUUCUUUCGAUUUAAAGUCUUUGCAUCACCACCUCAUCACACACCAAACCAAUAUUCUGUCUACCUCUACAACAAAAAGUUUUAAGUAAACGAUCCUAAUGCACGCAGCCAAAUAAAAUGCAGUAAGAAUAUUCAACUUAAAAAUCUGAAAGUAUCUUGGUGAAUUGCCUUCUUAGGGGAAGUUCCAUGAUUUACUAUACUAGACAGAACUGAGCAAAAGCUUCCAUACGACAGAUUUUGACAAUAAUGAUGCCAACAGAUCCUCAUUAACUCCAUUAAAACUCCUAAGGUUCAUUGUUCAUGGAUGUUUACAGAGUUUUGGCCAUCAAAUAGCUCAGACCACAAUCCCAAAGAAAAGACGAGUGAAAGUUAGAUAACGAGCAGCUAAUUGUAAAUUCUAACUUAACUCUUCAUCUCCUUUGUAAAAAGGAAACAAAAUGGAGACGCGUAAAUUCUAACUUAACUCAAAUAAAAUGAGGGCACGAAAGCAAACAAAUGGCAUGCACAAACAAACCAAGCAUCAAUCAAAAACUAAUUAACCAUUAAAAAAAAUAAAAAUUGGUCAGAGAAUGAACUCCAAAUUCGGGAGUGAAGCAAGAAGCUUUCACUAUUUCAGAAGCUCCUGUACAAAUUAAUAAGUUAUGCUCUUUGGAGACAAUCCUAAAUUCCAAGAGAAACAGAGCUCAAAAAAAUUUUGCAAUUAUGCGCAAAGGAAGUGAAGCACAGCAUUCUACCACACACAGGAAUUGUAUAACAUGAGAUCGAUAUAUCGAAUUGGAAGAACUCAAUUCUAAUUUGUGUCAAAAAUCAAAAUUAGAAGAUUGCAUAUUUCGAGAGGAACAAGCAACAGGUGAGGUUCAAAAUUUCAGCCAUAACAUGCUAAAAUUGCUACAUUUAACGGUUUAUUUUCAUGGAUUUUCUCGGGAAACAAACAGAAAAUUACGGUUUAGAGAGUUGACUGACCUUUUGGCUUUUAGAAUUGAGAAGAUCGCGCACUGCAUUAGUCCAUAGUAUAAUUAUAGACAGUUUUGAGUCAAAGUGUAGUUUCAGUGAACAGUAUUACUGUAGCAAAAUUCAAAAAUAACGGUAAUAUUACUGUUCCUGAGCGGCUAGCCGGAUAAUCAAGCGGCUAACCGCUUGAGCACGGGAUUUUGCCUAUAACGACUAGUUUUUGGGCUUCCACUAUAAAAACUCAACUCAAACUUCUUUCUAAGGACUAAUGCACGCAAAUAUAAGAUCAUACAACAUAUAUUGAGCUUCCAAAACGUAAAUCAUAAUUGAUUGAAUCAUUGUUGAGCUAUUAGUUGCAUAUCCACUCUUAAAGAGAGUUUUUGUUGUAAUUUUCAUUUCUUAUCAAAUUGUGAGUGUGUAAGUGUGGGAAACACUUGGGGUAAAGAGAUUAGGGAGAUAAUCUCUUGGUUGUAAAGGUUCAUUGACACCUUGGAAGGCAAUUGUAAAAACUUGAAGCCUUGGGAGGCUUGGAUAGUGAAAUCCUCGAGCUCGGUUGGCUUGGAGGCGUGGACGUAGGCGGGGAUUGCCGAACCAGAUAAAUAUCCGCGUGUUUGCUUUUCUCUUCCGUAACUCUUUUAUUUUUAUGCUUGCUUGAAUUUAUUGUUCUCCAUUUCAUUAAGGCGUUAGAUUGAUUUUAUUGUGCGAAUUGUAUUGCAUUAAUUUUAAAAAUCCAAUUCACCCCCCUCUUGGGUUGCGUUACUUAUAUUUCAUUUGGUAUCAGAGAUUGGUUCUCUUGUUAGGACUUAACCGUCUAGAGUAAAAGAUCUAUGGCAAUCCAAAUUGAUUCAACCUUUAGGGAAGGACAAUCCACAACUAGGCCACCGUUCUUUGACGGAAAUGACUACCCAUAUUGGAAAACUAGGAUGAGAAUUUAUUUACAAGCAUUAGAUUAUGAAAUUUGGGAAGUUGUAUGUGAUGGUCCUUUUAUGCCUUUGACUAAAAACGAAAUUGGGGAAGACAUUCCAAAACCUUCACGGGAAUGGAAUGAAUUGGAAAAGAGAAAAGCUUCUCUAAAUUCCAAAGCCAUAAAUGCCUUGUUUUGUGCACUCGAUAAGAAAGAGUUUCAUAGAGUGUCUAGUUGUGAAAGUGCUAAUGAAAUUUGGCACAACUUGAAGUUGUUUAUGAAGGCACGAAUCAAGUGAAAGAGUCUAAAAUUAGUAGGUACACUCGGCAAUAUGAAUUGUUCCAAAUGGAACAAAAUAAGAGUGUGUAUUCUAUGUAUACUAGAUUUACGGACAUAGUAAACACUCUAGGAGCCCUAGGAAAGACGUUUUCAAAUAGCGAGAAAGUUGAGAAAAUCAUUAGGUCAUUACCUAAGGAAUGGAGACCAAAAAGGACUGCCAUUGAGGAAGCUAAAGAUUUGAAUAUCUUACCUACUGAUGAUUUAAUUGGUUCUCUUAUUUCUUAUGAGAGAGAUUUGGCAGCUGAAUGAGGAAAUGAGGAAAGAAAGAAAAACAUUGCUCUCAAGGUCACCAAACAUGAGAGUGAUGAGGAAAGUGAGCCGGAUGAUGAGGAGUUGGCUAUGCUAGCAAGGAGGUUCAGAAAAUUUUUCAAGAAAACUGGUGACCAAAGAAAAUUCAGAAAUUUCAAAAACCAAAAGGAGAAGAAAGAGGUAAUCAUAUGCUAUGAAUGCAAGAAGCCUGGCCAUAUAAGAUCGGAAUGCCCACUUAUCAACAAACUCAAGAAGAAAGCUAUGGUUGCUACUUGGGAUGAUAGCGAUGAAGAUUCAAGUGAUGAAGAUGAGUCACAAGAAGUAUCAAACCUAGCAUUUAUGGCACUAGGAGAUGAUGAUGAUCUCAAUGAGGUAAGUGAUCCAACCUAUGAUGAAUUGUAUGAUGCUUUUAAAGAAAUGCAUGAUGAGUUGAUGAAAAUUGGUAAAAAGAAUGCAUGCCUUAAAAAGAAAUUGCUAGAAUCUACAAAUGAAAAGGAUACCAUGCAAAAAUGCAAUGAGCCAUUGAAUGAGAAGACUAAAGGAUUAGAAUUAGAGAAUAAAACCUUGCAUAAUAGAGUUGCAUUAUUAAAUGAAAAAUCUAGCACUUCACAUGAGCAUUUAGAGUCACAUGUACAUGAUUUGAAAAAGGAAAAUGAAAUGCUCAAGAAAAAGAAUAUUGAACUUAGUAAUGUUGUUCUAAAAUUUACAAAUGGACAAAAGAUGUUGGAUAACAUGCUUAACUCCCAAAAAUGUGUUUUUGAUAAAAGAGGACUUGGGUAUAAGCCUAACUUGAAGUAAAAGUAUUAUAAGAAUUAUUUUGUUAAAGCUACCUCCACAAAUGAUCAUAAGAUUGUUUGCGAUUAUUGCAAUCAAAAUGGUCACAUGAAAUAUAGAUGUCUUGUAAAAAGGAAUGCAUAUAAUGGUGUCAAAUGUGUGUGGGUUCCAAAAGGAACCGUUGCUAACGAUCAAGGGCCUAAAAAGGUUUGGGUACCUAAAACAUAAGAUUUUCUUUGAAGGGCUUGAAGAAAAAGAAAAAUAAAUGGUACUUGGAUAGCGGAUGUUCUAGGCAUAUGACCGGAAACUAUGCAUGGUUCUCAAGUUUUACCAAAAUCGAAAAUGGUGGAGAUGUAUCUUUUGGAGAUAACUCAAAAGGAAAAAUUCUCGGAAUUGGAAAUGUUGGUAAAAUUUCUUCAACUCUAAUUGAAAAUGUAUGUUUGGUUGAAAAUUUGAAACACAAUCUGAUUAACAUUAGUCAACUAUGUGACAAAGGCUAUAAAGUUAUUUUUGAUAAAUCAAGAUAUGUUAUUGAGAAUGCAUGUGAUGGGAAAAUUUUGUUUAUGGGAAAUAGAUGUGGCAAUGUUUACACGAUUGAUAUAGAGUGUGCAUCUACUCAUGAUAAAUGUUUUUCGGCAUUGCAUGAUGAUUGAUGGGUGUCGAAGCCAACAAAAAUAAAUUCCUACUCUAAAUAAAUUGUGUAUAGUGAUUGAGCAGGGUCGUGUCCACAGAGAUCGGUAAUUAAUUAAAUCCUUUUGAAACGUAAAACGUAAAAUGGGGGAAUUGUUGACAAUAAUAAAAAUCAAAUUAAAAUAACAAGAAUACAAAUUAAAGUUGUAAUUCAAAUUAGAGAAAGCUCUGGUUGAAGGAAUUAACUCAGCUUGAUUCGACUACUGAUCAUUGAUUCAAAUAUAGAUUAUUAUUACUCAUGAAUAGACCGGUUAUAGCUACUGAGACCCUCUAAUAGCCAAUCUCUCCUUAACUAGUCGAUAACCAAGGUACGACCGUUGGUUAUUUCCCUAAUCAAUAGACAACCCUAGAUACGAUCAUAGAAUUUAAUCAAUUGACAGCCUGAAAAACCAGAGAGACCCAAAUCCUAAUCAACACAUAUGAUGAUUCAUUUAAAUUAGAUUGUUUAUUCUCACAACACAACUCUCUGCUAUGUUAUUUGUCACAAGCAUUAAAUUCUUUAUACGAUGAAUCCUUUAAUUGACAAUAGAUUAAGUUGAUAAUUAAAUAGUGGCCAAUUACCUAAUUAACAAACAUAAUCAUGAAAAUAAUUCAGAGAAUAAACAAAUACCCAAAAAGUAAUAAAACAAUUAAAGUAUAAGAAAGAUCUCACAGUAGUGAUGAAUCAAAGCUUCAUUAUCCUUCAACCAGAAAAAUAGGUUUAGUUCUUCAUAAAGAGAAGAGAAAAAUUAAGUCUAGGGUUUCUUUCUUUCUCCAAUCCCCCAAAAAAUCCCCAUUUUCCACAAUAGAUUCCUCCCUUAAAUACUCUCUCUCUCUUCUCUUUUAGAAUUCUAUUUAAAAUAAAAUCCUAAUAUCUGAAAUAUUAAAUUCGUAAUUACAAAUAUAGCCAAAAAUAUAAAACACGUUAAACUAAAAACUGCAGGUCCGCAGUUGACAGCACGCGCCCACGCCUUAUCAACAAAGUUCUUCUGCCGCUCAUAAUUUCUCCAAGGGAACAAUCAUCCCUAAACAUCAUCUUGUAGCUCAAUUUUAUCACCAAUCAAUAGAAUUGCACCUACAAAAGUAAAUCACAAGUAAAUCACUAUUAUUAAGUGCAAAACAUCGAUAUUAAGAGAAGUAAACAAUGCAAAACUAGUGCAUAAAUUGCACUCUAACAAUGAUGGUUGGUUAUGGCAUAGAAGACUAGGACAUGCUAGCAUGGAUUUAAUUUCAAAAAUUUCGAAAAAUUAUUUAGUUAAAGGUCUUCCAAAAAUUGGUUUUCAAAAGGAUAGAAUUUGUGAAGCAUGUCAAUUUGGAAAACAAAUCAAAACCUCUUUCAAAAACAAGAAUCAUAUCUCUACUUUAAAACCUCUUCAAUUACUUCACAUAGAUUUGUUUGGACCCUCUAGAUAUGCUAGUUUAAGUGGCAAAUUUUAUGCAUUUGUAAUUGUAGAUGAUUAUUCUAGAUACACAUGGGUAUUAUUCUUAGUUAAUAAGGAUGAUGACAUUGAUGCAUUUAAAAUUUUCUGUAAAAAGGUUCAAAAUGAAAAGGGUUAUUAUAUUACUUGUAUUAGAAGUGAUCAUGGUGGAGAGUUUGAAAAUCAUGCAUUUGAAAAUUUUUGUAAUGAUUUUGGCAUUGAGCAUCAAUUUUCAUCACCUAGGACUCCACAACAAAAUGGAGUUGUUGAGAGAAAGGAUAUGUCUAUUCAAGAAAUGGCUAGGACCAUGUUAAAUAAAAAUGCAUUACCGAAAUAUUUUUGGGCCGAAGCCGUCAACACCGCUUGUUAUGUUUUAAAUCGGGUGUUGAUUAGACCUUAUCUCAAUAAAACUCUCUAUGAGCUUUGGAAAGAUAGAAAAUCCAACAUUGGUUAUUUCAAAGUUUUUGGAUGCAAAUGUUUUGUUUUAAACACAAAAAAUAAUCUUGGUAAAUUUGAUCCAAAAUCUGAUGUUGGCAUCUUUCUCGGGUAUUCAAACUCAAGCAAAGCUUAUAGAGUUUAUAAUAAAAGAACUUUAGUUGUGGAAGAAUCCAUGCAUAUUACGUUUGAUGAAUCUAACCCCUCCUCUGCUGAGAAAGGAGUUGUUAAUGAUGAUACAAAUGGAGAGUUACAAGAAGAAUCAUCAAAAGAGAAUCAAGAGAAUGCACCAUAAGAAAAUCAAGAGGAUAGACAAGAAGAACAAACAAAUAUGGAGCUGGAGCAACAGGAAGGUAGUUCUCAAACACUCCCCAAGGAGUGGAGGUAUGUUUCCUCUCAUUCUAAGGAUUUAAUUGUAGGUGAUCCUUUAAAAGGUAUCACAACUAGAUCGUCACUUAGAAACACAUGUGAGCAUGCUGCAUUUAUUUCUCAAAUUGAACCAAAAUCUUUUGCGGAUGCGGAAAAUGAUAAGUUUUGGAUUAUGGUAAUGCAAGAAGAGUUAAAUCAAUUUGAGAGAAAUAAAGUAUAGGAAUUGGUUCCUAAACUGGAACAUCAAUCCAUUAUAGGCACUAAAUGGGUAUUUAGAAAUAAAAUGGAUGAAUUCGGUAUGGUUGUAAGAAAUAAAGCUAGAUUAGUGGCUCAAGGAUACAACCAAGAAGAAGGAAUUGAUUUCGAUGAAACAUUUGCACCUGUAGCUAGAUUAGAAUCCAUUAGGAUGUUGUUAGCAUUUGCAUGUCAUAAAGAUUUUAUUUUGUUUCAAAUGGAUAUCAAGAGUGCUUUCCUAAAUAGUUAUAUUAUGGAGGAAGUUUAUGUGAAACAACCUCCUGGUUUCGAAAAUGAGAAAUUUUCAAAUCAUGUGUAUAAGUUAUCAAAAGCAUUGUAUGGAUUAAAACAAGCACCUAGAGCAUGGUAUGAUAGACUUAAAAAUUUCUUGUUGGAUAACGAUUUUUUGAUGGGAAGAGCGGAUACUACCCUCUUUAUUAAAAAUAAAAAUCAAAAUAUAUUUGUUGUUCAAAUUUAUGUUGAUGAUAUUAUUUUUGUUCUACUAAUGAAUCUUUGUGCAAAGAAUUUUCCUCUUGUAUGAGUAAGGAAUUUGAGAUGAGCAUGAUGGGAGAAUUGAAGUAUUUUCUUGGACUUCAAAUCAAACAAAACAAUGAGGGGAUUUUCAUCAACCAAGCUAAGUACGUCAAAGACUUGCUCAAGAGAUUUGGUAUUGAUGAAUCAAAUACCAAGAAUACUCCAAUGAGUACAACAAUCAAGCUUGAUAAAGAUGAGAGAGGUAAAGAGGUUGAUAUUAAAAAGUAUCGAGGUAUGAUCGGAUCCUUACUUUACUUAACUGCAAGUAGACCCGAUAUCAUGUUUAGUGUAUGUUUGUGUGCAAGAUUUCAAUCAUGUCCCAAGGAAUCUCAUUUGCUUGUUGUUAAAAGAAUUUUUCGUUAUUUAAGUGGAACCAUAGAUAUUGGCCUUUGGUAUCCUAGAGGAACUCAUAUAGAUUUAACUUGUUAUUUAGAUGCCGAUUUUAAUGGUCACAAGGUCGAUAGAAAGAGUACUAGUGAAACUUGCCAUUUUCUUGGUCAUUCACUUGUUUCAUGGUUUAGUAAGAAACAAAAUUUUGUGGCACUCUCAACUACUGAGGCGGAAUAUAUUGCCGCAGGAAGUUGUUGUGCACAAGCACUUUGGAUGAAACAAACACUUAGAGACUAUGGUAUUGUUCUUGAAAAAAUUCCUAUCAAGUGUGAUAAUACUAGCACCAUAAAUCUUUCAAAGAAUCCCAUUCAGCAUUCUAGGACCAAGCAUAUAGAGAUUAGGCAUCAUUUCUUGAGAGAUCAUGUUCAAAAAGAUGAUAUUGCAUUAUAAUUUAUCUCUACGGAAAAACAACUUGCCGAUAUUUUUACAAAACCCCUUUGCGAAGAACAAUUUUCAAAAAUUCAGCAUGAACUUGAGAUGAUGAAAUUUUCGCAUUAACAUCUCUAGUUAUGUUAUUUAAUCUAUUAAAAUUGUUUGGAAAACAAAGGAUUCGUUGAAAAUCCCAAGUCUGCACAAGCUGUAAUGAAUUGGUCAUAACUCCUUCUAGAGAACUCCAAAUCCAGCUCUAUAAAAUUUAUUGGAAAGCUAACUUAAUUAUCUUUCCAACGGUAUAUAGUUUGCACAUUACUUCUGGCUCAAUCAAUACAGUUUUUAUUCCGAAUUUGACAUUUCUGCAUUUUAUUAAGUUUUGAAUGCUUAUAUGCUUCAUGAUUGUAUGCUUGUUGGAUGGAUUAUUUGUUUGAAUUAACUAUCUUUUGGAUGUUUAAAAUCAUGAAUCAUGCAUUAAAUUGGCUCUUGAGAUGUUUCGGGAUCACAAACUGGUCACGAAAUUAAUUAAAAUUGGCCGAAAAUUAACUAAGGUACAGCUGGACAACAACCAGGAGGCUAGCCGCUUGGAAAUGUCCCCCCAACCCGAGAGCAAGCGGCUAGCCGCUUGGUCACGGGUGUGGCAAUUGUUUUUUGCUUCUUCUUCUUCCUUUGUUAAUUUUCUGCACAUGCUUUCUCUCUCACUCAAAACCGUGAGCAACCCAUCCAUUUUCACCUCCAUUUUCUUCCUUUUUCAUCUAUUUUCAUGCCCAAAUCAACCAUUCAAACUAAUACCCAUGCAUUUCAUCUUCAUUAAACACUUCUCCAUCAUGAUUUCUUCAUUUGUUUUUCAUCAUUUCAUCAUCAUCUCUCACGCGUGAACAGUACCUCUCCAUUUCUCUCUCAAAAUUCUUCAUUUUUCACUCACUUUCUUGUUAAAAUCAAUCAUCCAAAUCAUUAUUCAUCCAUUACUCCUUCAAUUUUCGUUCUCAAAACUUCAUUUCAUCAACUCUCCACAUAAAACCCAAAAUCAAAAAACCUAACUCUACCCUUUCUCUCUCUACAUUUUCAAGCUUCCUUUAGCCCAUUUUUGAUCCAAUCUACAUCAUAUAUUAGCUUCAUUCAUCUCUAGGAUCAAUUUUCUUGGCUCAAACAAAUCCAUUUCACUCAAUUUUUGUAAACCCGAAAUUGCAUAUUUAAGCUCUUUUUAGUCCACUUUUGAUCCAAUCAACACCAUCCAUUAUCUUAAAUCAUCUCUUGGAUCAAUAUAAUUGGUUUAAAAUCAUCUAUUUCACUCAUUAUUUUACAAAAUUAAAUUUGUGCAUUUUGGGUAUAUGCACCUACAUUUUCAUAUGCAUAAUUGUUUUAAUUGUGGAUUACGGAUGAUGGUUGUUUAAUAUUAAGAUAAUUUAUAUUUGGAUGAUAUUUUCUGAAUUCUUAGAAUGAAUAUGACUCUUUAGUUAAUUGCACGCUUAAUUUUUAUAUGCUUCUUGAUUAAUCAUUGAGAUAUUCUUUUUGGUAUAAACAUGGAUUUAUAGUACUUUUGAUGAUUGAUGAUUAUAUGUGUGUUGCUUGAUGAAUUAAUGGAGUUGUUGGUUUGUGUUACUUGUUUAAGUUCAUAUGGAAGUGUUUUUAAUCACAUUGUGUAUUUGAGGAUUUGUUCAUUUUUAAGGGGAGACUCUGCCGAAAUUUUUACUCGCACACAAUUGGUAAUAUCUUCCUUGAAUCAUUUUUUAUGAUCUUGCUUCAAAUUGCAUUUUUCUAUUUUUUAUGAAAUGGGAGAUAAAUAUGAUAUGUUUUUGGAUAAUAUUAUUUUGGUUAAAUUUUUUAAUUGGCCAUAUAUUUAGGGGGAGCAUACAAUAUGAUUUUGGAUAAUACGCAUUUUGAGCAUUCUUUUGAUGGCAUAAUGGUUCAUGAUCAUUUAAUGGUUAAUUGGAUGUUUGGUUAUUAUAUGUUUCUUGAUUAACCAUUGACAUAUUAUCGAUCUUCGGAUGAAUUUCUAGUAAUUUUGAUGAUGAAGGGGGAGAAGUCAUGUAUUUUGAAUAUGAAGACAUGUAAUACAUAUUUUUGUAUUUCAAGUAUUUAUGCAUGUUUUUGAAAUAUUAAGGGGGAGCUUUCAAAUUAUCAUAAAUCAAAUAUUCAGGGGAAGUUUUUGAUUUAUAUAUGCCAUGUAUUAAGGGGGAGUUUAAUGUCAAAAUAAAUGAGAUGUUUGUCAUCAUCAAAAAGGGGGAGAUUGUUAGCCUAAAGGGCUAUACAUAAUGUAAUUUUGAUGAUAACAAAUAUAUGUAUUAAGUGAUUUAAUAAAUAUUGUAUUUCACAUUUUCACUAGUUUUUUAAGGAUAAUAUUUAUGCAAGUGAAUCAAAUGAAAUCAAGAUUGAAGACACUCAACGGACAACGGCGACAUCAAGAAUAGUCUAGAGCUCAACGAACAAAUUAGUGCGAUAAAUUCUUAUAAAGCCGGUAUGAUUUAAUUGAUGCAUGAUUUAGCAUUUGAGAAGCUCAAGAGAUUAAUUAAUUAAAUAUUUUUCAUAAACUAAAAUGUUUUAUUUUUAAAAAGUAAAGUAUUUUGUGGAUUUGAGUAAAUUGGACUUAAAUGUUAAGAUUUAUAAUCUUUGAGUUUAAUAAAUAUUAUUUUGAAAUUCAAAUUUGGACUUAUUUGCAAAGGUUUGAAACGUUUUGAGGCAUAUUAUAAUUUAUGAAAGUUUGAGGACCCGAAUGUAAUCUAGACACUUGAAAUCCAAAGUUGGACAGAGAGGAAGCGGCUAACCCCCUGAGCGCUAGCGGCUAGCCGCCUGAGGGAAAUCUCAUAUUUUCAAUUUUUGGACUAAAGUGAAAGAUUUUGAUAACUUUAAAAAAUAUGGGUAUUAUGCUAAAUUUAAAAAGGACCUCUUUGAAAAAUAAUAAUAUCUUUGGGGCUAUAUCAUAAUUUUAGAAAGUUUUGGAAAGAUAACUAAUCUUAAGUAAUUCUAAAAUUAGAUCUAUUUGCAAACUUUUCUGACGUUUUGGGUCAUAAUAUAAUUAUAGAAAGUUUUAGGUCAAAGUGUAGUUUCAGUGAACAGUAUUACUGUAGCAAAAUUCAAAAAUAACGGUGAUAUUACUGUUCCUGAGCGGCUAGCCGGAUAAUCAAGCGGCUAACCGCUUGAGCACGGGAUUUUGCCUAUAACGACUAGUUUUUGGGCUUUCACUAUAAAAACUCAACUCAAACUUCUUUCUAAGGACUAAUGCACGCAAAUAUAAGAUUAUACAACAUAUAUUGAGCUUCCAAAACGCAAAUCAUAAUUGAUUGAAUCAUUGUUGAGAUAUUAGUUGCAUAUCCACUCUUAAAGAGAGUUUUUGUUGUAAUUUUCAUUUCUUAUCAAAUUGUGACUGUGUAAGUGUGGAAAACACUUAGGGUGAAGAGAUUAUGGAGAUAAUGUCUUGGUUGUAAAGGUUCAUUGACACCUUGAAAGUCAAUUGUAAAAACUUGAAGCCUUGGGAGGCUUGGAUAGUGAAAUUCUCGAGCUCGAUUGGCUUGGAGGCGUGGACGUAGGCAGGGAUUGUCGAACCACGUAAAAAUCCGCGUGUUUGUUUUUCUGGUCCCUAACUCUUUUAUUUUUACGCUUGCUUGAAUUUAUUGUUCUCCAUUUCAUUAAGGCGUUAGAUUGAUUUUAUUGUGCGAAUUGUAUUGCAUUAAUUUUAAAAACCCAAUUCAUCCCCCUCUUGGGUUGCGUUACUUGUAUUUCAAAAAGUGCGUGUGAAGUGUAAAAUUAGGGUUGGUCUUUUGGCUUUAUGUGUUAUGCUUAAAAUUACAAUAUUAGUUUUCAUAUUUUAAAAAGUUUCCAAAUUAAUUUAAGGAUAAAAAAGUAAUUUAAUUAAACAAAUUUUAAAUGAAUCGACCUAUAUUUGAUUCGUUUAUAACUCGUUUAUUAAAUGAAUUUUAAACAAAUAAAUGAAUCAAAAUCUUCUAACCUGCAAUUUGUUUAAUUAGCGAAUCGAAUCGAAUCGAAUUCAUCCAUUUAUUAAAUUAAUUAAUUUUUUCAAACUUAAAUUUAUUUAAUUCACAUCUAAUCGAAUUAAAUAAAUAAAUCCUUACCCAUAUUAGUACCCGUAAACGGAUCAUUAAUGUUACCGGUCUUUCCUAUAUUUUAUUGCAAAUUGAUGCUAACAAGAAAAAGCUAGAUCAUAUUCCACAAAAGCAAAAGUGAUAAAACAACCAGCUGGAUUCUUUUAUUAAACUACAAAUUAAAAUGGACUUUUUUUUAAUAAACUAUAUAUGAAACUGGAAUCUUUUGAAUAUACGUGGGGUAGGUUCCCUUUCAAAAAAAAAAGCGGGGUAGGCUCUUUUAUUAAAGACAAGUCACAAGACGAUUAGGGUCUUUUAUUAAACUACAAAUUGUAUAAUAUUUUUCAAAUUGUACAGACAUUUAUAAAUUGGUGGUCCCUUGGAAAUUUAAUGCCAAUCAGAGAAAAGUCAUCAUGCACAAUCUUCAAUAAUUGUUUCGAUAUUUAUAAAUUGGUAGCCCUGCGUCUUUAAUAAAUGAAAUCAUGUUACGAUUGCAUAUAGUCGUUAGAUGCACUUAAAUUAGUGAGAUUUAUUAAUAUCUAAUAAUUAGAUAUAAUUAUAACCCAAUACAAUAGUUACACCAAAGUUUCCCCCAAUAAUUAUUCGGAUACUUAUAAAUUGGUGACCCCUUAGUAAUUUUACAGCAGCUUGCAAGUGCCAACUAGUGAAAAGUCAUCAUUCACAAUCUUCCAAGUGAAACAGGGGAUAUACAAAGAUUAAGACAUGUCAUUUUUUUUUUCAUUCCGUUUCAUGUAACUUACACCCAAAUAUAUAAAUAAUAUAAAAUGAAUGGAGAGAUGCCGGAGCAGAUCGGCAGGGUUUGAAUAUGACCUUUGGCGCUUGCUUUUUUUUGUGAUUUUUUUUUUCAUUUUUUCCUUCCUGUCAUUUUAUCAUUUCUUUGGCUUUGUCUCUGUUGCGGGUGUUACUGCAUGCUAACUGUUGCUUGACAAAGUUUGCUAGCUUUUCCUUUUGUUUAUUAAUUUUUUUAUGGUCACAAAGUAUUACUCGUUCUAUUUGACAGUGAUGUGAAUCAAUUUUUCAAUUUUAUAUUUUGUGGUCAAUGUGAAUUCAAUUUCAGUUGUCUCCUGCAAUUAUGAAAAAAUUGCAGUCAUAAUAUGGAAAAGUACGCGGGCAAAAAUUUUGUAAAAGCUUCGGAGUGAUACGGGGAAUUCACUUACUACUAAGGACAAUUGGUGGCAAGCUAUUCCAUUCAUUUUAUGUCCAUCCAUCUAUUUAGUUAUUGAAGACUAGUGGUCUAUUUAUAAAUUUCAGAUUGUUUCUCUCUCUCUCUCGAAAUAACAAUAUUUAAAAUAGAGUAAUGAUACAGCUACAAACUCUUGUACAAACUUAUUUUGUACAAACUGACGUGACAUUAAUUCAUUGGUUGAAUGAAAAUAUAAAUUAAUAAAAACAAAUCAUGUGGGACAAGUGAUAUUUAAUUCAACCAAUCUUAUCAUGUCAUAUCAGUUUGUACAAAAUAAGUUUGUAUAAGAGUUUGUGGCAGUAUCAUUACUCUUUAAAAUAUCUCUUAAAUUAUUAUAAAUUUUAAUUUACUCUCGAUUUAAAAUGGAGCAUGUCAAUAAAUUUUUUUUCUUCUUAAUAAAAUUGACGUAAGUUGUGUUUACAGUAGUUUGAAGUUUGAAAUAUUUUAAAGAUUAUUAUUCUAUAAGGGAGUAAUAUGAAAUGAAAUUUACUUUUCAUGUGUGAAAUGAAAAAGGACGAAGCAAGUGUCCCUGCUUUUAUUUUAUUUCAAGGAGGAGUCAUCUCACAGACUUUAGCUCUUAACAUUACAUUUUUUCUGGUUACAUUUUUAUUUUUUAUUUAUUUUUACACAUGCGUGUGGGUUGCUUUUCUGUAAGCUCCUUAAUAUAUAUUUAAGACAAAUUAUGGAAGAGAUGGGAUUAUAUCAAGAUGAUCAAACCAUGUAAAAAAAGAAAAAAGAAAAAAAAUUAAGAAGUAAGACACUGAAAAUGGAGAAGAGAUGGAAUCAAAAGAUAUUCCAAAACAAAGCAAUCUGUCCCCUUUCCAGGGCAGACUUAUCAGGUUUAAAAAAGUACAUGCUUUGGAUUGGUAGUUGCAAUCAAUUGAAAAUAAAUAGGAUCCAAUGAAAUUUAAAUUUCGGAGAAAUAAAAUAAUCAUGCAGAUUUUUAAGAUUUUAAUAAGAGAUACUAAUAUCUUAUUUUGAUUAAUAAUAUUCUUUCACUGUGUUAACUCAAAAAAAUAUAUUUUAAAGUUUUACAGUAAAUAAAAAUAUAAUAUUAAAAUAAAUGUGACAAAUAUAUAUAUAUAUAUAUAUAUAUAUAUAUAUAUAUUAAAUAAUUUCAAUAAAAAAACAUUUUAAUGUUUUACAAUCUACUACACAUAUUUUAUUAAGUUAAUAUAAUUUUUCAAAUAAAUAGGGACAUAAUAUUAAAAUAAAUUUAUAAAAAUUUAAAUUAUUUUGAAUUUAAAAUAAUUUUAAUAUUAUUAAUAUUUUAUAUAUGUUUUAUUAAUUAUAAGAAUUAUUUAACCCAAAGUUUUUUUAUAAAUAUUUUCAGUGGAUAUAAAUAUAUUAUUUAUACUUUGAUUAUUUAACCAUUAUUAGUCUACAAUUAUUUAUAAUUAUAUUUUCAUUUAUUAGAAUACAGUUAAAGUCAAAUCUUUUGCACUUUUACCUAGCUAGAAUUAUUGCACACAGAGAAAUAAACAUAUAUUCUUUAUAACUUUAGAAAUCGGUUUUUUUUAUAGCUGGGAACAGAGAUGAUGAUUAUUAUAAGGAUGGAGAAAAGGAUAAAAAAUAUCAAUGAUUAACAAAGUCUCUGUGCAAAUUGAUUUUAGCAGUAAAAUAGUGAGCUGAAUGAUGUACGCGAUUAGUGGUAAUAGAAAUCUUCUCAUAAAUCUCCUUUUUGAGUUAUAGUUAUUUUAUUUCCGAAAUAUCCUUUUUCUUCUUUAAUACACUUCUAAUUUUUCAUUUAAUUUUUUUAUUGUUAAACUCAAAAUAUUAUUGUGAUAUUUUUCGUGUCUUUUGCAAUCUUAUUAUUACUCUACACACGAAUUAAAAAAAUUUUUUAGGUGAUGAACUUUUGAAUGUUAAUCUUGGCUUAAAUUUCACAUAUUUUACAUUAUAAUAUAAAAUUAAUUACAAAAAUAUUUAAUCAAUAAAAAUUAUAAAAAAUAAAUUAUUUUAAAUUUAUACAAUUUAUUUUAAUUAGAUAAGCAGUAACAACUACAAAAAGGAUUUGGUUAUGAAAUUUGUUGCAGCUUAAUAUUCCACAAAAGCAAAUCGUAAUAUUCCACAAAGGAGUACGAUCCACAAAAGCAAACAACCAGCUGGAUUUUUUUAUUAAGCUACAAAUUAAAGUGGAAUCGUUUAUUAAACAACAAAUUAAAGUUUGAAUAUUUAAGUAGUAGUGCGUUAGAUGNNNNNNNNNNNNNNNNNNNNNNNNNNNNNNNNNNNNNNNNNNNNNNNNNNNNNNNNNNNNNNNNNNNNNNNNNNNNNNNNNNNNNNNNNNNNNNNNNNNNCUUGUAGCUAAUUUGUCAAUAAUAUUAAACUACAAGUGCUGACAACAAGUGCGAUGCUCUUUUUCUAAAGAGAAUUAAAGUUGGUCCCGAAUAGGACGUGCCUAAAUCUGUUUAAAUUUUUUCCAGUAAAACUAACAGAGGUCAUUACUAGAAUUAUUUAUAUUGUUUUAUAUUUAUUAACAAAUUUUAAAGUCAAUCUUUUUAAUUAUUAUUCAAAAGAUAUUAUAAUUAAAAAAUAGUGUCUACUAUUAAAAAUUUAGAAAUUUACAUUACCGUUCUCUUAAAUCUCUAAAUAUUUAAGAUGUAAUUGUUAUUUUCCUUUUAUAUAUAUUAGGAAAUAGAACCGCGCUUCGCGCGGUUUGAGAAAAAAAAAUUAGUAUUAUUAUUUUUUCUCACUUUGCAUUUGAUGAAAUUGAUAAAAAAUUAUGAAUUAUUUUUUUUAAGAUGAGACAGCCUCAUAAAACUAAUGUCAUUUAUGAAAUAAUUAUUUUUUUUGUUAACUUUUAAAAUAUAUAUUAAUAUGUAUAGUGUAAGUGUACAUACCUUAUACCUUUUGUAGUUGUUGAUAAGUUCCAAGUUAUACUCAACUUGCUAAUCUGUUAGAACUUUUAUAUAUCUUUUUUUUUCUAACUAGUUCCAACGAUCUCAAUAUCACCCACACUACAUAAACUUCUGACAACGUCUGUAAUAUUAUGAAAAAAUAAUAUAAAUAUGUUAAAACAUAAGGAUCAAUAAUUUCUAAUAUACACUUAAAGAUUAACGAACAUUAAUAAUUUAAAAAUAAUAUCUGAGAGGAUUGUAUUAUCAUUCACACGUAUAUCAAUCAAAUUCAGAGAUAUGAAUUGAAAUCUAUUAAUCGAAAUCUUAACAGUUCCUUCUUCUAAACUCUUAAGUGAAGUUAUAAGCAAGAAAAUUAAUUUUAUACUGAUUUGAAAGUAGUCUGUACUCGCCUGUAGUUGAAACAACUUUCAAAUUCUUGACACUAUACAAAGAACCAUCACUCAACAUGUGCCUAAACCUUGUCACUAAAUUUUUCUUAGUUGUUGCAUGCAUUAGAAUGUCCUAUAAAAAAGAAAAACAUGCUACAUUAAGCGUAAAACAAUUGGGAAAAAAAAGAGAAAAUAAGGGGAGAAUGAAUUUUUUAUACAACCUUUUCAUCAAUAAAAAUUAUGUUCACACUAAUCAAUUAUCCAUUCUUUUUAGUAUUAACAGACUCCCACAUCCUAAAAAACAUAAUCCUUAUCAUCUAACUAUCUUUAUCAUUGUUCAACUCAUGAAGAAAAUAGUACUUCAUGAAGCACACAAUACAAAAACUUUAAAAAGUCAAAAAUAAAAUCAUGAGGAUAUUUUUAAAGAGGAUAUUGGUUAAAUAUUUAAAAAAAACUCAAACAUAACAAAUAUUAAAUACUUAAUGUUUAAAGAGUUUUAAGAAGUCAAAAGACACAAAACAAAAUGUUGAAUAAUUAAAUAUGAGAUUAUUGCAUUAAAAUUAUACUCUAAUGCCAUUGGUGAGAGAAGAUGAAGGAACCUUCCUUCAUUUAAUAAUUAGUUUAUGUAUUUUAAGCCACUAAAGUUUAGUUGUUGGCUUAAUAAAAUAAAUGAAUGUUUCAAGACUUAUAAUUAAUUAUUAUUAAUGGUUACAUAUUGUUGAAUUUAAUAGAAAGAUGAAGAGACAUGUAAUCUUUUGCAAUCUAAUAAUUAUUUUCUAUUUUUAAUACUUUGUAAUGUAAUUAUUUUUUAAUUGCAACCAAUUUAUUAAAUAAUAGAGAAUAUAAGAAGAUGAGAAAUGGUGAUGCCACAUCACCUCCUGUAGUCCCAGCUUUAUAUAUAUACUAGGAAAUAGAACCGCGCUUCGCGCGACUUAAAAAAAAUUAAUAUAAUUUUUUUCUUACUUUGCACUUGAUGAAACUGAUAAAAAUUAUGAAUUAAUUUUUUUAAAGAUGACACAACUUUAUAAAACUAAUAUUAUUUAUGAAAGUUCAUUUUUUUGUUAACUUUAAAAAUAUAUAUUAAUGUGUACACAAUAUUUUCAUCAAUAAAAAUUAUGUUCACAAUAAUCAAUUCUCCAUUCUUCUUGAUAUUAACAGACUCCCAUAUCCUAAAAUCUAACCUUUAUCAUCCAAUUAUCUUUAUCAUUGUUCAACCCAAGAAAAUAGUACUCUAUGAAGCACACAAUACUAAAAUUUUAAAAAGUCAAAAAAUAAAAACACAAGAACAUUUCUAAAGAGGAUGUUAGUUAAAUAAUAAAAAAAACUCAAACAUAAUAAAUCUUAAAUACUUAAUGUUUAUAGAGUUUAAAGAAGCCAAAAGACACUAAACAAAAGGUUGCAUAAUUAAAUAUGAGAUUAUGACAUUACAAUUAGGCCCUAAUGACAUUGUUGAGGGAAAAUGAAGGAACUUUCCUUUCUAUAUUAAUUAAUUGAUGUAUUUAAAACACUAAAGUUUAAUUAUUGGCAUAAUAAAAUAAAUGAAUGUUUCAAGACUUAUAAUUAAUUAUUAUUAAUGGUUACAUAUUAUUGAAUUUAAAUAAACAGAGGAAAGGACAUGUAAUCUUUUGUAAUCUAAUAAUUAUUUUUUAUUUUUAAAAUUUUGUAAUGUAAUUAUUUUUUUAAUCUCAACCAAUUUAUUAGAUAAUAGAGAAUACAAGAAGAUGAAAAAUAGUAAUGUCACAUCACCUCUUCUAGUUAAUUAAUUGAUGCAUUUAAGCUACUAAAGUUUAGUUGUUGGCUUAGUAAAAUAAAUGUAUGUUUCAAAACUUAUAAUUAAUUAUCAUUAAUGGUCACAUAUUGUUGAAUUUAAAUAGAAAGAGGAAGAGACAUGUAAUCUUUUGUAAUCUAAUAAUUAUUUUCUAUUUAUUUUUUAUUUUUAAUAUUUUGUAAUGUAAUUAUUUUUUAAUCUCAACCAAUAUAUUAGAUAAUAAAGAAUAUAAAAAUAUGAGAAAUAAUGAUGCCACAAAUCUUAAUUACUUAAUAUUUAUAGAGUUUGAAGAAGGCAAAAGACACUAAACAAAAUGUUGCAUAAUUAAAUAUGAGAUUAUGAUAUUAAAAUUAGGCCCUAAUGGUAUUGUUGAGGGAAGAUGAAGGAACCUUCCUUCCUAUAUUAAUUAAUUGAUUUAUUUAAGCCACUAAAGUUUAAUUGUUGGCAUAAUAAAAUAAAUGAAUGUUUCAAGACUUAUAAUUAACUAUUAUUAAUUGUUACAUAUUAUUGAAUUUAAAUAGAAAGAGGAAGAGAUAUGUAAUCUUUUGUAAUCUAAUAAUUAUUUUUAUUUUUAAAAUUUUGCAAUAUAAUUAUUUUUUUAAUAUCAACCAAUUUAUUAGAUAAUAGAGAAUGCAAGAAGAUGAAAAAUAGUGAUAUCAUAUCAUCUCAUCUAGUCCUAACUUUAUUAUCUAUGUAAGAAAAUAAAAAAAUAGUAAUGGCACAGCACCUCCCCUAGUCUCAUCUUUAUAUAUAUAUAUAUAUAGAUAUAUAAAAACCACGGUGGUGAAACUUUAUUUAAUAUUAUUGAUUUAAAUAACAAUAUCUCAAUUAAAAAUGAACAGAGAAGAAAUUUCGGUGGGUAUAUUAGUCUUUUACAAUUAUCAUGAUUAGCCCUUCCUCUUGUAACGUUGGUCAGAAAAGUUUUCUUUUACUUUUAACGUUAGCGGCCUUCCUUAUAUUUUAUUACAAAUUAAUCCUAACAAGAAAAAGCGAGAUCAUAUUCCACAAAAGCAUAAGUGACAAAACAACCAGUUGGAUUCUUUUAUUAAACUACAAUUUAAAAUGGUUUUAAAGUGGAUUCUUUUGAAUACAGGUGGGGUAGACGAUUAGGCUUUUUCAAAUUCUUGUUUUAUUAUUUUUCAAAAACUAGUUUUUGGUAAUUACAAUCGGGUCAUUAAUCAUUAUUCAGUGUUAGUUUUAUCUUCGGGGGCAGUGGGUAAAAGGCUAAAUGAUAAUUACUACCUGUUUUUCCUUCAAAAGUUAGUGGCUCGUGUUUUGCAAGUGUGAACGUGCGAUGCUCUUUGUCUAAGGGCAAUUACAGUGGGUCCCGAAUCGGACGUGCCUAAAUCUUUUAAAAAAUUUUCCGGUAUAACGGACAUAGGCCAUUACUAAAAUUUCUCUUCCACAGGCAAUUACAGCAGCUCGAGUUUAUCAAACUCAACCAAUUUUCUUUCUUAACAAAAUCCAAAGAUGUGUAGCAUUUUUCAGAUCACAUGCGAUGGUGCUUUUUUCAAUCGUUGCUUGGAUUGCUUUCUUGGAAAAGCAGCGUACAUAAGCAACCUCCAAGAUAAUCUUGUAGCCUUGGAGACUAAAAUGGGAAAUCUGAUCGCAGCAAAGAACGAAGUGAUUAUGAGGGUUGUCGCUACUGAACGGCAACAAUUGAGAAGGCUGGACCGAGUGCAAGUGUGGGUUUCCAGGGUGGAAGCUGUUAAAAUUGAAGCUGAUGAACUUAUCAGAGACGGCUCUCAAGAAAUUGACAAAUUAUGUGUUGGAGGCUACUGUUCUACGAACUGCACGUCAAGCUACAAGUUCGGGAAACAAGUGGCUAAAAAGCUACGAGAUGUGGAGACUUUAAUCGCCGAAGGAGUUUUUGAGGUGGUGGCUGACAGAGCUCCAGAGUCUGUAGCAGAUGAAAGACCUACUGAGCGAACACUAGUAGGCUUGCAAUCACAACUUGAACAAGUCUGGAGAUGUCUUAUAGAAGAAUCAGCGGGAAUCAUUGGCCUAUAUGGUAUGGGCGGUGUUGGUAAAACUACACUAUUGAUCCAUAUCAACAAUAAAUUUCUCGAGAGUCGAACCAACUUUGAUUUUGUGAUUUGGGUAGUAGUUUCAAAAGACCCGCGACUCGAAAAAAUUCAAGAAGAUAUUGGGAAAAGGAUAGGUUUGGUUGAUGAUUCAUGGAAGAGUAAAAGUGUAGAGGAGAAAGCUCUCGACAUCUUCCGGAGUUUAAGAGAGAAGAGAAUUGUAUUGUUGUUAGAUGAUAUAUGGGAGCGGCUUGAUUUAACAAAAGUGGGCGUUCCACUUCCCGGACCAAAAAAUACUACCUCAAAAGUCGUAUUCACAACCCGUUUCUUCGAUGUUUGUGGUAGCAUGGAAGCUCACAGGACGUUCGAAGUGGCAUGCUUAUCAGAAAAGGAUGCUUGGGAACUGUUUCAAGAAAAAGUAGGAGAAGAAACUCUUAAGAGUGAUCAUGAUAUCGCUGAGCUAGCCCAAACCGUGGCCAAGAAGUGUGGUGGUUUGCCGCUCGCACUUGUUACUAUUGGUCGAGCUAUGGCCAGCAAAAAGACAGCCGAGGAGUGGAGACAUGCAAUUGAAGAGUUAGGAAGAUCAGCUUCAGAGUUUCCAGGUUUGGGAAAAGAGGUGUAUCCUGUUUUAAAAUUCAGUUAUGAUAGUUUGCCGAAUGAGACGAUUAGAUCUUGUUUCUUAUAUUGUUGUUUAUAUCCUGAAGAUUAUGGCAUUCUUAAAUGGGACUUGAUUGAUUGUUGGAUUGGUGAGGGAUUCUUAGAGGAAUCUAACAGGUUUGGUGCAGAAAACCGAGGAUACUACAUUGUGGGCACUCUUGUUCAUACGUGUUUACUAGAAGAGAUAGAAGAUGAUAAAGUAAAAAUGCAUGACGUUGUUCGUGAUAUGGCUCUAUGGAUAGCUUGUGAAACUGAGAAGGAGAAGAUAAACUUUUUGGUUUGUGCAGGUGCUGGAUUAAAGGAGGCACCGGAUGUUAAAGGAUGGGAAAAUGUGAGAAGAUUGUCAUUGAUGCAAAACCAAAUUAAAGUUCUGUCAGAGGUUCCUACAUGCCCUCAUCUCCUCACUUUAUUUCUUGACUUUAAUAGAGAGUUAAUGAUGAUCGCGGGUGGCUACUUCCAAUUUAUGCCUUCUCUCAAAGUUUUGAAGAUAUCAAACAUUGGGUAUUUCAACGUUUUGAAAUUACCUUUGGGGAUGUCAAAGUUGGGUUCACUAGAACUUCUCGAUAUUUCACAUAGCAGCAUAGAGGAGUUACCAGAAGAGUUAAAGUUGUUGGUAAAUCUGAAAUGUCUGAAUUUGAGGUGGACAGAUGUGUUAAAUAAAAUUCCACGGCAACUAAUAUCAAAUCUUUCAAGGGUACGUGUGUUGAGAAUGUUCGCUACUGGCUAUGAUCGUUUUCAUGAAGCAUCAGAAGACAGCGUUUUAUUUGGUGGGGGUGAAGUUUUGAUACAGGAAUUGCUCGGUUUGAAAUAUUUAGAGGUAUUGGAGUUGACCUUGGGAAGUUAUCAUGCUCUCCAAAUUCUUUUGAGCUCAAAUAAGUUAAAAAGUUGUAUUCGAUCUCUUCUCCUCUUCGGGUUCAGAGGUACAAAGUAUUUUAUUGAUGCUACGGCUUUCGCAGAUCUAAAGCACCUCAAUGAAUUACAGAUUCAUGAUUGUAGGGGGUUGGAAGAGUUGAAGAUUGAUUACACAGAGAUAGCACAAAAAAGGCGGGAACCUUUUGUUUUCCGCAGCCUUCGUCGUGUUACUAUGGUUUCGUGCCAUAAAUUGAAAGAUUUGACAUUCCUCGUUUUUGCUCCAAACCUCAAGUCUAUUUCGCUAGGCGAUUGCGAUGCUUUGGAAGAAAUAAUCAGCGUUGGAAAAUUUGCUGAGGUUCCUGAGAUGAUGGGACAUCUAAGCCCUUUCGAAAAUCUCCAAAAUCUUGACCUAUCGUAUUUGCUGGCUUUGAAGAGCAUCUACUGGAAGCCAUUGCCUUUCACUUAUCUGAAAGAAAUGGUGGUAAAUGGGUGUGAUCAACUUAAAAAGCUUCCACUCGAUUCCAGCUGUGCAGAAGAGCGUAAAUUUGUUAUUCGCGGAGAAGCACACUGGUGGAACUGCCUUGAAUGGGAGGAUGAAGCCACUCAAAUUGCUUUUCGUUCCUGUUUCCAGCCUUAUUCCUGAGUGGUGGUUGCAAAAUUUGAUUUCUGGUGUGGUCUUUUAUUCUCUGUUUUUAUUUAAGUUUCUUUUCCUUUCCUUUUCCUUUUUUUUUUUAAUUUCUCCUGCAAAUCACAAUUAAACAUUGAAUUAUAUGGAAUUAAUGCUUUAUAAAUUUGCCGGCACUGCCUUUUUUUUUUUUUGUCGGAGUGAUACUCUAGCUUUUGACUUUUGGUUGUCAAAUUCUGCUCUGCCUUUUUAAAUUGAUGCUUUAUUUAUAUUUUCUUAGUGAUUUAGUUUCCUGUCAAAAGACGAACGAGAAGAACAUUUGAAUUAAAUAAAUGCUCGCAAAUUUGCGGUAAAAAGAUGUAAUUAGCCGAGAAAAUAUUAAAUAUAGUAGCCCUCUUUACAGAAAAUCAAGUGGAAGUUAAUUCAGCAAGUUAUAUUCUUGAUUAAUUCCUUUUCUGAAGUUUUUAUUUUCUAUGGUCAAUUAUACCUUCAUACUAAAAAUUGCUGCUAUUGGGUGUUGAGUGUUAUGCUAAAAUUUUGCCCUAUUUUGGGCCAAUAUUUUAGAAGUGAAACAUACUUCAGAGUUGAAGUAAACUUUGAAAAUAGAGAUAAUGAUUAAUUUAGAAGAGAUGCAAGUAAAAGAUAUUCUAAAAAAAAAAAAGCAAUAUGUCCCUUUGGAGGGCAAACUUGUCAGUUUGAAAAAGUUACAUGCUUUGGAUUGAUAGUUGCAGGAUAUUUGUUUUGUCACUGUGUAUUAGGUGCGUUUGGAAUUGAAGUGUUGUAGUUUUUAAGUUAUAAUUGUUGUAAAAAAAAAUUGUAACUAUAAAACAAAAGUUAAUAAUAUAUAAUAAAUUUAAAUUUAAAUAAUAAUUUUAAUAAAAUUAUUAAAGAUAUAAUAGAUUAUUUAUUAUACAAGUGAAAAUUAUAUCAACAUAUCUUUCAAGUUACAAUAGUUAUUGAUUACUAAACACUUUACUGUUGUAACUUUUAAGUUAUAGCUAUUUAACCUCAAUUCCAAACGCAUCGGAGAAGUCACGCCUAGUGAAGAAUGUUAUGAAAGAGCAAAGGAUAUUCCUAAUCGAGCUCUAUUUGAUUAUGUAUCCAGUGAAUGGAUGUGUUGUUGGAAGAUAUUUGAGUGCAUUAGUUCAUUUGUGUCGGUCAAUGUGCUUUUAAUGAUUUUUCCACUUGUUUGUUGUAAAAGAUUAUUGUAAAUUGAAAUGAAUUGGAUGUUGUAAUAUUUUCUCUUUAGUGGAAUUUCACCUUGUAUGUAUUCAGUUGUGUUGUCUAAAAUUUUACAUUCGAAUAAGUUUUCACCUAAAAUAUUAGCAUGAGUUGUGGCCCUUGAAACUUUGGUCAAAAUUAUUGUUAUUAUUUCUUACUAGAUGUAAACUUUUUAUUAAACCUCGUUAACAUAAUUCUUAAUUAAAAGUAUAGGUUAGUGUCGGUGCAGAAUUUGCAACACCAAAUCCUGCCUAGGCAAGUGUCAAAAGUGCAAAAUAAAUGAAGAGAAAGCACGAAUACAUGAUUUAGAUUAGGAUAGAAGGAAACUUAAAUCCUAGAGAAAAGGAUAGCUAUAUCCCAAGAUUUAAAAAAAUAGUCAUGUAGAUUUUUAAGAUUUCAAUAAGCGACUAAGAUUUUCUUUUGACAAAUAAUUUCCUUUAGCUCUAUUAACAAAAAAAAUAAAGACUCAAAUAUUUUAUAAUAAAUAAAAUAUAAUAUUAAAAUAUAUGUGAUAAUAUAGAAAUUUUAAAUAAUUUCAAUCCAAAUAAAUAGUUAUGUUUUACAAGCUAUUAAACAUAUUUUAUUAAAUUAAUAUAAAUGUUUUAUAAAAUAGGAACAUAAUAUUAAAAUAAAUUUACAAAAUUUUUAAGAAUUUUGAAUGUAAAAUAAUUUUAAUAUAUUAAUACGUGAGAUUUUUUUAUUAUUAUAAAAAUUAUUUAACUUUAAGAUUUUUUAAAAUCCUUACAAUAAGUAUAAAUAUAUUAUUUACAUUUAAAAAUAUUUAAAUAUUAUUAACCUACAAUUAUAUUUGCAUUUAUUAGAAAAUUUUAAAGUCAAAUAUUUUGCACUUCUACAUUAUUAGAAUUAUUGAACACAAAGAAAGAAACAUAUAUGCUUUAUAGCUUUAGAAAUUGUUUUCUUUUACAUCUGGAAACAAAGAUGAUGAUUAUUAUAAGGAUAAAAAAUGGAUAAAGAAUAUUAAUGAUUAACGAAAUCUCUGUGCAAAUUGAUUUUAGUAGAAAAAGAGUGAGAUGAAUGAUUUCUUUUACAACUAGAAACAAAGAUGAUGAUUAUUAUAAGGAUGAAAAAAAGAUAAAGAAUAUUAAUUAUUAAUGGAAUCUCUAUGCAAAUUGAUUUUAGUAGAAAAAACGAGCUAAAUGAUUUAGACAUUCAUUCUGUGUUUAUUUUUGUGAUUAGCAUUAAAAAUUGUUUAAUUAUCAAACGAUAAUAAUGUUAUUUUGUACUUAUGUUAUAAUUUAUAUUUGUGUUUAUGUAAUAUAUUAGAAAUUAUUAAUUAUGUUUUAAAUAUAUCUAAUUUUGAGUAUAUUUGUGUGUUUAUUAGGAAAAAUAUUAAUUUUAGAUAAAUUGAGGCUCCAAACAAUUAAACGGAGGUCAAAUUUGGAUUCCGGAGGUUUGAAAACCUUAAGAUCAGUCAAGAUCGGCUUAAAAUUAGGUUUGUGUAAAAAGAGUUGACUUUUUCUGCUGACCGAGCACUGAUUGGAUGAUGAAAUGAGCUUACAAUAGAUAUGAGUGCAUGGGAUAACUGGCAAUUUUGACUAAAUCUCAACCGUUCAUGAUUCAAUGGCCAUGAUUGUGCCAUGUGGUAGUGGUUGAUGAAGCAAGUUGUAGGAUCUGAAUCUUUGUAUACGGGUCGACCUGAUCCGCCCAUUAACUCGCCAAAUCACAACCGUUCUUUGGCCAAAUCGGACGAGUCAAACGAUGCCACAUGUGAAGUUGACUUUUGAAGUUUGACCAGCCAUUGGAUCUUGAUCUAAAGGUUGUGAGAGCAUGAAGCUUAUGGAGCUUAUGAUGGACCGCAAAACACUGGAUUAUAAAUUUAUUUUUCUAUAAAUAGAGCCUCAUUUUUAUGUUUUUAAUUAUCUCUACAUCUCUCUUCUUCUCAAAUUCUCUCCAUCUCCCUGUAAUAUUUUGUAUAAUUAUUUUAUUAAAUAAAUUUAGUUUUAUUUUCAAUUUUAGUUGUUUUUAUUACUUUUAAUUAUAAGUAAUUAAAUUUUAAUAUUUCUUUUUAUUUCAAUUAUGCUUAACUAAAUAAUAUUAGUUGGGGUAAGGUGAAACUCUUAGGAAAUAAAUAUGAUUUAAUCAAAUUUUAUUUUUAAUUUUAUAAAUUAAAUUAUUUUCUAUUUAAUUUUAUACAUAUUUUAUAUUUUAAAAUUUUGAUUUAUUGUAGACAAACAAAUAAAUUUGGCACAAUAAAUUCUUAAGAUCUUAAUAUAAGGUAUGGUAAAAUGGUAUUUUGACUUAUUGUAGACAAAUUAAAUUUUGACACAAUAAAUACUUAAUCCAUCAUAAAAUUAGAGGGAAAAUAAUAAUAAUUUAUAUAAUUAAUCUUUUGGGCAAUAAAUUUAAAAAAAUAGCAAAAAGAAUUUAUUGAGUUUUAUUUACUACUAAGAGUGGAUCCACAAUCCUAACUAGAUCAAUUUCAUAAUUUCAUUUAAAUUAAGUUGUUUUUAUUCAAGUUUUUAUUUCAAUUUUUAGAUAAAAUAAAUUAAAUUAAUUAAAUCUUUUCUCUGUAGAUCGACCUCAGACUCACCGAGGACUGACCAAGGUAUAAUACAACAAGACACUCUUAUAAUUAAGAGUUUAAAAUUACUUUUAAGUUGUGUCAUUUUGGAUUGGUGAAUUAGAAUUAUUGACAACGCUAACUUCAUCUUCACAAUUUGCAAUCCAAUAGCAGCAAUUGUCACCGAUAAUGAUAUCUCCAAUGAUAAUGACGAUUUUAUUAUUAUUAUUGAUAAAAAGUAUUAUAAUUAAUUAAUAUAUUAAUGUUAAUAUUAUUAUUAUUAAGAUUAACAAUAAUUAUUAAUAAUAACAAUUUUUUGAAUAAAAAUAAUUACAAUAAUUUAAAUAUAAAUUAAUAAUUAUGACAAUAAUUAAUUAAUGUCUUUUUAAUAAUUUACUGAUUAUCACAGUUCAAGUAAACAAAUUAUUAUGAUUCCUAUUCUCCAUUUCCAUUUCAGCUCACUCCGAUUCCAAUCCAUUUCGACUUCUGCCUAAAAAACUCACCAUUAGUGCUAUAGUAAUAUUUCAUAUAGAGAAAAGUAAAAUCUACACCUAAGAUUAAGGUAAAGGACUUCAAAACUCUCUUUUGAUUAUAAUACCUUUUGUCCUAAUUAACUUAAAGAUUUUGAAUCUAAUAUUUUAUAAUAAAUAAAAAUAUAUUCCUAAAAUAAAUAUAAUAUCAAUAUUUAAAGUAUGUUUUAAUAUUUUACAAUCUAUCAGACACAUUUUAUUAUAUUAAAGUAAAUUUUAUAAUAAAUACAAACAUACUAUUAAAAUGAAUAUACAAAAAAGUUUAGAGUAUUUUGAAUAUUAUAUAAAAUAAUUUUAAUAUAAUGCGUGAGAUAUAUUUUAUUAAUUUAAAAUGCUAUUUUACCUAAAAAUUUAUUUAUGAUAAAUUAAUAAUUAUAUUUUUAAAAUUAUUUUAAAUAUUAUAAAAAAUUUAAUAUUAUUAGUGUUUUAGAUAGAUUAAAUUAUUUUAAAAUGCCUUAAUUGUUUUUACUUUUAACGUUACCGGCCUUUCUUAUAUUUUAUUGCAGCUAACAAGAAAAAGCCAGAUCAUAUUCCACAAAAGCAAAAGUGACAAAACAACCAGCUGGAUUCUUUUAUUAAACUACAAAUUAAAGGAUCCCAUUAUCUUACAACUAAUGUAAGAUACAUCCCUCACAUAAAUAGUAUAUAAACUCCACAUAUAUACUGUUCAUGUGAGGAAAUGUACCUUACAUUAAGAUAGUGUUUGCCCAAAUUAAAAUAGAUUUUUUCGAUGAACUACAAAUUAAAGUGGAUUCUUUUGAAUAUAGCUGGGGUUAGGGUAGGCUCUUUUAUUUAAGGCAAGUCUAGAGUAGUCAAAGACGAUUAGGCUCUUUUAUUAAACUACAAAUUGUAUAGUCUUUUUCAAAUUGUUCAGAUGCUUAUAAAUUAGUGGCCCCUUGUAAAUUUAACUGGAAGUGCCAAUCAGAGAAAAGUUCAAUUCUAAAUAAUUGUUCCGAUAUUUAUAAAUUGGUGGCCCCUACAAUCCUCAAUAAUUGUUCCGAUAUGUAUAAAUUGAUGGCCCCUACAAUCCUCAAUAAUUGUUCCUAUAUUUGUAAAUUGGUGGCCCCUUAGAAAUUUAACCGCAAGUCUGCAAGUGACAAUCGGAGAAAAGUCAUAAUUUACAAUCUUCCAAGGGAAGUAGGGAACCAGGGGAUAUACAAAGAUUAAGACAUGUCAUUCAUUUUUUUGGCUGCAUUCCCUUUCGUGUUCUUAAUAAUUGAAGACAGGUUGUUCAUUACAUGCUUACUUUUCAAAUGUGGAGCCGCAGCUAAUGUCGCUACUUUAAUUUGGGAUUAAAUUAGGGAAACAUUAUAUUGUAGUAUGCACUAACUUGAUGUUUAUCUAAACUCCUUAAAUUUAAGACAGAUUAUGGCAUAAAUAAGAAUAUAACGAUAACAAAAGAGUAUAUAAAAUAUUUAGAGUAUUUUGAAUAUUAUAUAAAAUAAUUUUAACAUAAUGCAUGAGAUAUAUUUUAUUAAUUUUAAAUGCUAUUUAACCUAAAGAUGUAUUUAUGAUAAAUUAAUGAUUAUAUUUUUGAAAUUAUUUCAAAUAUUAAAAAAUUAAUAUUAUAGACUAAAUUAUUUAUAUUAUUUUUUAUUUAUUAAAAAAUUUUUAAGUCAAUCUUUUUAAUUACUAUUCAAAGAAUAUAAUGAUUAAAAAAAUCUUUAUGCCUUCAUUAAAAAUUUAAAAAUUUACAUAACGAUUUCUAUAAAUAUUUAGGGUAUAUAUGAAGCACGGUGGAGAAGCUUUAUUUAAUAUUAUUGAUUUAAAUAAUAUCUCAAUUAAAAAUGUACAGAGAAGAAAUUUCGGUGGGUAUUUUAGUCUUUUCAGCAAUUAUCAUGACCAGAUCUGCCUUUGGCCUUGAAACGUCGGUCAGAAAAGUUUUAAAGUGCUUUAAUUGUUUUUAAGGCCGCUAAUAACUCUGCUCGUGCAAGUUGAGGAUAAAUGUUAAAUUAAUUACAAAAGCAAAAGGCUAAUUUAUUGAAGACAAGUAAAGCAGUCACGAAUGGUACAUGCCUAAUCUUUUCUAUAUUUACAGAAACACAAUUUUUUUUCAAUCCGCCGCAGCUUCUGUUAAAAUUAUCUUGGUUUCUCGUAGUUGAUUUCUAUUAUCCCAAAAAAAAAAAAAAGGUAACUGUUGAUGCCGAAAAAUGAUUUCAACAGCUGAAUUUAUUUUUUUUGGAGAAUUACAGUGUGAAUCCAAGCUCAAACGCAAGUCUGAUCGCAACUUUCUAUAUCUGCUAAUCAGAAAACACAGUUAGGAUACGCCGGUGGGGUUUCGGCUAGACCUUCCGAUACUUAAGUCAGAAAUUAUGUAUAAAAGGAGAAAAAUGAGAAUGAAGAAUUAUGAAUGAGUUAAAGUCAAGUAAUUUUCCGGUAGAGGGGUUGAAAAUCUUGUAGAAGCUUUGGUUGAUUUUGCUAACCCCUUCACCUGAUGCGCUCUUCAGUUUAAAUAGACUCUUGGUCGUGUACGGUUACCUCCUUAACUUCAGAAGUUGCAAGUGGUUGUCAGUUGGAGGUGGUUUAAAUAGAUCGUGGCACACAACUUCCUUAUAAAUUAGGCCACGUUCUCUUAACUAGCAAUUUUCCAUGUCAAGCUAAUUCUCAGGUCGGACAAGAGAAUUUCAAGGUCGGAUUACUUCACUUUCAGAUUAGACAGAUGAAUUUCUCAGUCGCUCAUAUAACGUUAAGGUUGUAUUCUUAAACUAAGUCAUUCACAUAGAUCUUAGGUCGUACUUAUAAACCAGGUCGCCAACAUAGGCUCCAGGUUGUACUUAUGAGGUUAGCUCAACAACAAUAAGUUUUGAGUAGAUUAGGAUCGACUAUAUUUUGAGACACUACCAGAAAAAUCCAACCCAAACACCAGUCCCCUAAUUUUCAAUACUGGAAAGUCAUUGCCAGUGUUGGAAACUAAUGGAAAACAUUUCUCAAAACCCAAUACCAGUCCCCUAGUUUUCAAUACUGAGAAGAUAUGAACGGUAUUGGAAACUAAAAUAAUUAAGAAAGAGCAAUAUAGCCACAAGCAAAAGAAAGACGGUGUAGAGCGGAACAAUGAGCAAAGAGAAGAGUAAAAAGAAAACUUCAGGUGUGGACCAAGAAAAUAACCAUGACCAAAUGCCUCGAGGUGAUAGAGUCGGGGUUGAGGGUGAGGUCUUCCUAACUAGUAGGGUUGUUGAAGACCAAGAGAGAACUUCCUAAAUUUAAUUAUUACAAUGCUUGCCCUUUUUUGCAAUAUGAACUUGUGUAGACCGUAUGCUACUGAACUUUAUUUUGCCUUUGUAAUCGGAUAAUUAUUAUGCUGACCUUGCCUUUUUUACUCUUUAUUUACUAGGGUUGGUUAUGAAUUGCAUUCCGUAGACUGAGCCCAUUUAAGACUCUGUUGAGGUCAAACAAAUAGAUAUGGUCAACUUUGGUAGCAAUAACACCAAGCAAUGACCUUGAAUUCACCAAGAUUCUAUCAUUUCGAUAUCAAUCUUGAUAAGGAAAAUGUUGACCUCACGAAAAUAUCAACUUCAACAAGAUAAAUUGUUGACCUCAACAAGAUAAAUUGUUGACCUCAACAAGAUAAAUUGUUGACCUCAACAAGGUUAAGUGUAGAGCUAAAAUGCCAACCUCACGACAAGGAAAAUGUUGACCUCACGAUAAGGAAAAUGUUGACCUCACGAAAAUGUCAACCUUAACAAAAUAGAUUGUCGACCUCAACAAGGUUAAGUGUAGAGCUAAAAUGCUGAACUCACGAUCUCACGACAAGGAAAAUGUCAACCUCACGAAAAUGUCAACCUCAACAAGAUAGAGUGUUGAACGCAAUAAGGUUAAAAUGUAAAGCUAAAAUGCCGACCUAAAAAAAAAUUGAAAAUUGGAGAACUUAAAUGUUAAGCUUAUGAUCAACCUCAACAAGGCAAUGACUGACCUCAAUAAAAUUGAAAAUUGGGCAACGACCUCAACAAGGCAAUGGCCGACCUCAACAAGGCAAUGGCCGACCUUAAAAAAAAUUAAAAAUUGUAGAACUUAAAUGUUAAGCUUAUGGCCGACCUCAACAAAAUUGAACAUUGUAGAACGUAAAUGUUAAGGCUAUGGCCAAACUCCACGAGGCAAUGACCAACCGCAAUAAAUAGAAAAUUGUAGAUUUUAACUUAUGGCCGACCUCAAUAAGGUAAUGGUCGACCUCAACAAAAUUAAACAUUGUAGAACGUAAAUGUUAAGGCUAUGGGCAAACUCCAUGAGGCAAUGACAAACCUCAAUAAAUAGAAAAUUGUAGAAUUUAGCUUAUGGCUGACCUCAAUCAGGCAAUAGCCGACCUCAACAAAAUUGAACAUUGUAGAACGUAAAUGUUAAGGCUAUGGCCAAACUCCACGAGGCAAUGAGCAACUUCAAUAAAUAGAAAAUUGUAGAACUUAGUUUAUGGCUUACCUCAAUAAGAAAAUGGUCGACCUAAAUAAAGUAAAGGCGAAUUUCGAUAAAAUUGAAAAAUGUAGAUCUCAACAAGAUAAAAGUUAAGGCUAUCUAACCACAAGGUAAUAGCUGUCUUCAAUCUCAAAAAGGCCGAAUUACAAUUAGACCUCAACAAGGUCAAAAUGACAAUCUCGAUCUCAAUAAGAUUUGAUAAAUUUUUCAGGUAGGACCUCAACAAGGCAGCAAUGUCGAUCUCAAUCUCAAUAAGAUUGGAUGAAUUUUUCAGGUAGAAUCUCCACAAAGCCGAAAUGCCGAUCUCAAUCUCAAUAAGAUUGGAUAAAAUUUUCAGGUAGGACUUAAAUAAGGCCGCAAUGUCGAUCUCAAUCUCAAUAAGAUUGAAUGAAUUUUUUUCAUGUCAGACCUCAGUAAAGUCGUCAUGUCGAUCUCAAUCUCAAUAAGAUUAGAUAAAUCUUUUCACGUUGGACCUCAAUACGGUCCAAAAAUGCCGAUCUCAAUCUCAAUAAGAUUGGAUAAAAUUUUCAGGUAGGACCUCAACAAAGCUGCAAUGUCGAUCUCAAUCUCAAUAAGAUUGGAUGAAUUUUUUCACGUUGGACCUCAGCAAGGCCGCCAUGUCGAUCUCAAUCUCAAUAAUAUUGGAUAAAUCUUUUCAUGUUGGACCUCAAUACGGUCCAAAAAUGCCGAUCUCAAUCUCAAUAAGAUUGGGUAACUUUUUCAUGUUGGACCUCAAUAAGGUCACAAAGUUGAUAUCAAUCUCAAUAAGAUUGAAUAAAUAUUUUCACGUUGGACCUCAAUACGGUCCAAAAAUGCUGAUCUCGAUCUCAAUCUCAAUAAGAUUGGGUAAUUUUUUCACGUUGGACCUCAACAAGGUUGCAAUAUCGAUAUCAAUCUCAAUAAGAUUGGAUAAAUUUUUUCACGUUGGACCUCAAUAAGGUCCAAAAAUGCCAAUCUCAAUCUCAAUCAGUCUGGAUAAAUUUAUUUCAUAUUGGACCUCAAUCAAGUCCAAGUGUCGAUCUCGAUCUCAAAUAAGACCGGUCACAAGUAGAUAAGAAAUAAAGUUGCACUUUUAAAUAACCUCAUUGAUACUAAUAUAACAGAAGUUAUAGAAUUGAACGCAUAACAAAUUGAAAUAACAAAGAAACAAACUUUCUUAGCAUAUUUAAAGAAAAUAAACAAACAAUAUUUAAAGAAAAUAAACAAACAAGGACAUCAUAAAUAAGAUAUAUCUUAACUGAUAGUAUUUUCGCAGGUGCUCUGCAUUCCAUGCCUUGCCAACGACCCUGCCAUCCUGAUAACUUAAUUUAUAUGCCCCAUUAUCAAAUUAGGGUAGCACUUUAUAUGGUCCUUCCCAGCUCGGCCCUAGAACUCCAUCAAUAAAUCUGAAGCUCAUUGGAGAUGUCAUCCAUCAUUUUUGUUCCCACUCUUACCACCCUGCUCGGAUCAACCUCACUUAUCGGCAUGUUUCAUUUCUUCAUUAGGUCACUGUUGGCACAAUCUAUUCUCAGCUCGUGGGUCGAUACUCGUGAUCUGCAUGGAUUCUCUUGCAGCUGUAGCGUAACAACUUCGAGCUAUUUGUUGCUGGCCCCUCAUCACUCCAACCCCAUAUUGAACUCUAAACUUCACACGUUGCAUGUGGGUUGAGCUCACGGCUCUUACUAUCCUAUUGAAAGGUCUACCCAAAAUAAAUUGAUAAGGGUUGGGCUCAUCAACUACCACCCAUGUCACCAUCACUGUCUUUUGUAGUGGGUUGGACUUUAUUAUCAGUGGCAAGUCAAUCAUCCCAAGGGGAAUCAACUCAGCUCCGCCAAACCCUUUUAGUGAUGUUCUGACGGGAUCAAGCCUAAGGUCCCCUAUUUGUAGAUCUUCCAGGGUUUGCUUAAACAAAAUGUCGACUGAGCUUCCUCCAUAUAUAAGAGCUCGGUUCAAAUCCUGCCCUACCAAGGUAACCUUCACUAUGAGCGCAUCCUCAUGUGGAUGUGCGACCGCUUCCUCGUCCUCGUCUGUGAACAUGAUCGGCACCCUUUGAACCCGUUGCUUCUUUGGUAUUGAAACAUUAAAAUUCAACUUAUAACUUUCUAAUGACUAUCUACUAUAAUUUCUCCUUGAACGAUUUGAGUCUCCUACUAGGGUCGGCCCUCCCAUAAUCAUCAUCGCUACAUUAUCUCUGAUGUCUCCUCUUCUCCCACCUAUUCCUUGGUCAUUCACAUACUCCUUUAGAUAUUGAUUUUGCACUAGCCACAAAAUCUGUUCUUUCAAGUCUAUGUAAUCUGCAGUUCCAUGUCCGAACACAAUGUGAAACUCGCAAUACUUGUGGUGAGCACUUCUGCCCAGACUUCUUACAAUUGGCUUUGGCGGUUUAAGUAGCCCCUUCUUUUCUACUACAACAUAUAUUUCCGCUCUGCUUUUGUUCGAUGGUGUGUAUCUUCCACUCUACUCUAAUAAGUUCACCCCAUGGUCAGAUCUCGAUACUCUCUGUUCUAUAGGCAGUGGCAACCUAUUGUAGUCUCUUGCUCGGUUCUCCCUUUAGUUCAUCUCAUAAUUAUUUCCUCUAUCUCGGCCCCAUCCCAUUAAUGAGAUUUAUCUCAUUUCACGAUUUCUUUCCCAAUCUCGACCCGACCUUUCUGGUCAUCUGUAAUUGAACAACUCUCCGCCGUAAUGACGUCUAUCAUCCGAGUUCCUCCUCGAGCUAUACUCGAGGUUAUCACUUGACCCUCUCUCUGCUCUUCCAUUCUCCUAUUUUCUUCCUCUGCAUCUUCAGUUUUCAUAUCUAAUUUUGUCUAGUCGUACGCCUCAGCGUAUGUUGUUAUCCCCUUGUUAUAUAAGCUAUUCCAUAAUCGAUUGAUUCUCAACUCCUUCUUUAAUCCCUCUAGAACAUCUGGAAGAUCAAAGGCCCCUAGAUCGGUAACCUCUCUAUGAUACCUGGUCACAAAACUCGUCAAACUUUCAAAUUCUCCUUGGACCAAUUUUGUCAAGCUGCUCAUAUCCUGCUCUGAUAUGCAUGAACCUCUAAAAUGCAUAGCGGAAAGCACACAUAACUCCUUGAAAUUUCCUAUGCUUCUAUUCUUUAAUCUCCGGUACCAUUCCCAUGCUUGUCCAUCUAGAGUUAAGGGAAAAAUACGGCACCUUUGAAAAUCAUUCAAACCUUGAAUUACAGUCAUCUCAUUAAACUUCUCCACAUGAUGAUUUGGGUCAGUUUUUCCUUCAUACACCAAGACUUGAACCACAUACUUGGGUGGCAAAGUUACUGCCAUCACUUCAGGUACCAAGGGGGACUCGUCAUCGAGUAACAGCCUUCCUACCACUUUCUUGCCCUCUGUUUUCGCCUCUAAUACCUCUAAGGUUUUUUGAAAUUGCAGCAUUCGUUGCUCAAGCUCAUUUGCCCGUUGGGGUCUCUCAGCUCUUCCCUCUCUCUUUCUUGAUUCAAGUCAUUGAUUCUCCCCCUCAACUCAUUCACUUGUUCUCCUGCACUUCUAUUCUUUUGUCGUACCCCAACUUGUGGUAGUCCCAUUCCGCUCUGCUGUUCACCAUCAAGCUCUUCCCUCUCUCGCGCUCCACUACAUUUUGGAUCACUAGCUCGAACGUGAGCCUCUCUGACUUGGGCAUCAACCAGCCCCCGAUCAUCUUCUCAAAUCUCGCCAUUUGCCUCUCAAUCCCUUCUCUCCAUCUCUUAUCUGCCGUGGCAUUCAUUUCCUCAGCCAAUUGGCGCAAGGUCUACGUAUCUUCAUCCUUAUCAUCUAUCACUAUUUUGUAAUCCGAUAGCUUCUCCUUCUAAAUCUUCAAACGUAUGGCUUUUCGCACUGAUCCCCACAGAUAGCGUCAAGAUGUUGAUGCUGAAAAACGACAUGAACAGCUGAAUUUGUUUCUUUUGGGGAAUUACAAUGUGAAUUUAAGCUCAAACGCAAGUCUGAACGCAACUUUCUAUAUCUACCAACCAGAAAACACAGUUAGGAUAUGCCGGUGGGGUUCCGGCGCAGACCCUCCGAUGCUUAAGUCAAAUUAUGUAUAAAAGGAGAAAAAUAAGAAUGAAGAAUUAUGAAUGAGUUAAAGUCAAGUAAUUUUCCAGUAGAGGGGCUAAAAAUCUUGUAGAAGCUUCAGUGAAUUUUGCUAACCCCUUCACCUGAUGCGCUCUUCAAUUUAAAUAGACUCUUGGUCAUGUACGGUUACCUCCUUAACUUCAGCCCGCUUUCUUCAGUAGUUGCAAGUGGUUGUCAGUUGGAGGUGGUUUAAAUAGAUCGUGGCACACAACUUCCUUAUAAAUUAGGCCACGUUCUCUUAACUAGCAAUUUUUCAUGUCAAGCUAAUUCAUUGGUCGGACAAGAGAAUUUCAAGGUCGGAUUACUUCACUUUCAUAUCAGACAGAUGAAUUUGUUAGUCGCUCAUAUAGCGUUGGGGUUGUAUUAUUAAACUAAGUCAUUCACAUAGAUCUUAGGUCGUACUUGUAAACCAAGUCGCCAACAUAGGCUUCAGGUUGUACUUAUGAGGUCAACUCAACAACAAUAAGUUUUGAGUAAAUUAGUAUCGACUAUAUUUUGAGACACUACAAAAAAAAUCCAACCCAAACAGUAACAUUUUGCAAAUCUCAAUCGACGGUGCUAUUUUCAAUCGUUGCCUGGAUUGCUUUCUUGGAAAAGCAGCAUCUAUAAGAAACCUGCAAAAAAAUGUUGUAGCCUUGGAGACUGAAUUGGGAAAACUAAUCGAAGCAAAGAACGAUGUGGUGGCGAGGGUCGUCAACGCUGAAAGGCAACAAACGAUGACAAGGCUGAACAAAGUUCAAGGCUGGCUUUCGAGGGUGGACGCUGUUAAAGCUGAAGCUGAUGAAUUGAUAAGACAUGGCCCUCAAGAAAUUGAGAAACUAUAACUUAGAGGCUACUGUUCCAAGAACUGCAAGUCAAGCUAAAAGUUUGGCAAAAAAGUGGCUAAAAAGCUAAGAGACGCCGGGACUUUAAUGGCCAAUGGAGCAUUUGAAGUGGUAGCUGAGAGAGCUCCAGAAUCAGUAGCGGAUGAAAGGCCUAUCGAGCCCACAGUAGUAGGCCUGCAAUUGCAACUCGAGCAUGUUUGGAGAUGUCUUGAAGGAGAAUCAGUCGGAAUUGUUGGCCUAUACGGCAUGGGCGGUGUCGGUAAAACUACACUAUUGACCCAUAUCAACAACAAAUUUCUUGAGAGUCCAACUAAUUUUAAUUAUGUGAUAUGGGUCGUAAUGUCAAAAGACUCGCGACUUGAAAACAUUCAAGAAACUAUCGGGGAGUAGAUUGGUUUGUAAAAAUUUGCCAAUUUACACAGCAAACAAUUUCCACCCAAUUAAUGUUUUUUAGAAAAUUGUAAAAAUUUGGAGUUAUGAAAAUAGAAACUAUAUAAUAAGAAGAAAUAAUUUAAGAUUUUAAGAUUUAUAUAUAUUUUAUAAAUAAAACAUUAAAAGAGAUGCUUGUUAUUACGAUGAAAUUUUAUGAGUAAGAUGAUUAACUUUAAUAUAUGAGUUUGUAUUUUAUAAAUUAAUCAGAGGUAUUUUAGAAAAUAAAUUCAAAAUGGGAGUUAUAAGAGUUUUAGAGUGGUGUUAAAAGCUCAACUCUUUUGAAUUUUACUGCCCAAUUAUAUAGUACAUUAGCGUGAUUGUUAUGUAUUCAUUUUUUUCAGAUACAACAAACGAGCUGCGUAGUGCUCAAAUAACAAAAAUUAAUAAUUUCACACACCCAUAUACAUAUAUGUAUACAUAUAGAUACAUAUUAUAUUUAAUUAAGCAAAAGAAAGAACCCCCUGUACGACGCCAGUGAGAAGAGAGAGAGAGAGAGAGAGAGGAAGAGAGCUUUUUGUGUUAUAUUUCAUAAUUUUUAUUUAAUUAAAAAUAUUUGUAGUUUGGAUUUGGGCGCCCCAAAGAAUUUCUAAAUCAAAACCUUAAUUUUUAUUAGGUCUUGAGCCUAUUCUCGAAAUAGAUCCUAUUAUAUUCUUAGGUGGUGUUUGGUUUUAAGAAAAUGGAAGAGAGGAGAGGUGAAAAAAGAAGAUGAACGGAGAGGUGAUGAGAGGAAAAGAGUGUAAAAAUUAAUUGUUAUUGUUUGGUUUCACAUUAAAUUUGAAAGGAAAAGAAAUUACAUAUUUUUUAUUUGGACGAAUAUACCCACUAUUUUAAUGCUAAUAUUGUUAAUAAAUUAAAAAAUAAUAAAACUAUGAAUUAAUUUAAUCUAGAAAUUACCUAAUUAAAUUAAAAAAUUAUUUUUUAAAAAAAUACAGCAUUUGGCCAUGGACAGCCUCCACGUUGACCACCGUUGACUGGCGAAUUUGACUGUCGUUGACCGUCAUUUUUCAUCGCGUUAAAUGCAUAAUAAUAAUAAGAAAUGAAUGAUUUAUUCAUUGGAAGUGUUAAUUUUGCAGAAAAUACACUAUAUAGUAGGAAAUAUGAGAGUUAAAAUUUUCCCAAGCAUUUAAACAAGACUUGAGGUAAAUAACAAUGUAUAUUAGCAUUUUUAAUCUCAUAGCAUUGUAGAUGGACUCAUGAGGAUUCCAUUGAUACCGGUUUUGAUGAAAAAGUGCGUCUCCGGCGAAACUCCGACGAGUCACUUUACUGUUUUUUCUUUUUUCAAAUAAGUUUAUCCUAUUAAUUUAAGAAAAUAAAUAUAAAUUAUUUGUACUUUAAUUUAUUUAACAUUGAUUUUGUUUAGAGGAUAAUAUUGGAAUUUUUGUGUUUAAAUAGAUAAGAAAUUUAAAAUCUUUAGUCAUUGAUAAGAAAUACAAAUUCUUCAAAUUGAUGGAAAUUCAAUUCCAUUAAACUUGGUCCAAGUAGAAAAGAAAUCAAUUUUUUUUGGCUCUCCCCACUUCCCUACCCCUAAGCAAACAUGGCCUUAUGGUUUUUGAGAACUCAUACCAAAUUCAAAUUAAUCAGGAGCCCACGGGUCCCGGGGCUCGCGGGAAAGUUGCCAUCCCUACCUUCAUCUGACGGAAAGUCCCUACAAACAAAUGUUUCUUUAUUUAUUUAUUUUUAUAAAAGAAAUUUCAGUUUGAAUGUCUUUUGGACGUUUCCAAUUGUCAUGAUUAGCCCUUGAACCUUUGGUCAAAAAAGUAUUAUCACGCGUUGAUUGUUUGUAUCGCAAAUGCUAGUGGCAUUUGAAAGUUGAUAUAAUUAAUUACAAUCUACAAAUGUUUAACAAAAAAGUGGGAUGGAUAUGGCACAAAAGUAAAGCAAGCAGGAUUCGUUGAAAAAGCUAUUUUGACACCUACUUCGGUUAUAAAAUUUUCAAAAAAAAAAAAAAAUUUUGAUUAAAAGUAAAUUGUAUAGGUUCAACUACCGUGCACUUGGUGCAUGGGACAUGUAUUUUGUCUAUAUAUAAGUUACCCGUCAGAUAUAACAUAGAACUUGCUUCAACGGCAUAGAUGUAUUCUCUUUAGUUUUUAACAUUGACAUCUAUGUUGUUUUUCAAAAAAGAAAAAUAGUGAAAGGUUUGACACAUAAUUUUAGAUUAUUUUUAAAUUUUAUAUUUUAAUCAAUUGAUUUAAUUUACUGUUAAAAUUAAUGACAGUAUAAGCGUAAUAACUUGAAAAAACUUUUUAAUACAUAAUUUUUUUUAUUUUUUGAAAAUAAUAUAAUAUCAAUUUAAUCUAUAAUAAAUAAUUUUAACAUAUAAUUAAAUUUUAAUUUAUCAAUAAUAAUAUGACCAAAUGACAAUGUUAAAGAAUUUCAUUAUAAUCAACUAUGAUUUAGUAUUCAAAUAUAAAUAAUAGAAAUAUACUCUAAGUGUAAAUAAUAGAAAUAUAUCAAACUUAUAUGUUAAAAUUUCAAAACUUUUAAUUUUUUCACUUUUCAGCAAACAAGAGGGAGUAAUUUACCAAAAACAAGGGGUAUCGUACACCUGGGGCACCAUAGCUUCCUCCAAAUUGUAUAAAAAAUAGAAAUAUUUUUAGUCUCCAAAUUGUAUAAAAAAGUAAAAAUAUUUUGACUAAAAGUAAAUUGUGCGUAACUACUUUAAUAUUUUAUUUCUUUCAUAACUUUAUCAAAAUCUUGUCAUCAAAUAUUUUAUCAAUGUAACGCUGUAAACAGCAAAUUAAAGUUUAAUUAUUUAAUUACAACUGGCAAAAGAGACGUUUAAUUAUUUAAUUACAAGCGGGAUAGUCUCUUUUGUUGAAGGAAAUUAAAGUUUAGUUAUUUAAAUCGAGCACGCGUAAUCUUUUCAAGCACAAACAAAAGAGAUCAUAAUUCAAAGUUGAUGUUCUCUUCACAGCAGCUUCUAUUCAUCGAACUCCAUCGUUAAAAUUUCCUUGGUUUUUCCUGGUUGAAUUCUCAUCCAAAAUAUGGGUAACAUUUUCCAAAUCACAUGCGACGGCGCUCUCUUUAACCGUUGCCUGGAUUGCUUUCUUGGAAAAGCAGCAUAUAUAAAAAACCUCAAACAAAAUCUUGCAGACUUGGAGACUGAAUUGGGAAAACUAAUCGACGCAAAGGAAGAUGUGAUGAGGGAGGUCAACGCUGCUGAAAGGCACCCAAUGAUGAAAAGGCUGACCAAAGUUGAAGGCUGGCUUUCGAGGGUCGAAGCUGCUAAAUCCGACGGUGACAAAUUGAUAGCAUUUGGCUCUCAAGAAAUUAAGAAACUAUGUCUUGGAGGCUACUGUUCCAAGAACUGCAAGUCAAGCUACGAGUUUGGCAAACAAGUGGCUAGAAAGCUAGGAGAUGUCAAGACUUUAAUGGCUGAAGAAGCUUUUGAAAAGGUAGCUGAGGAAGUACAACCACCUUUGGUAGAUGAGAGACCCACCGAGCCAACCGUAGUAGGCUUCCAAUCACAAUUUGAACAAGUCUGCAAAUGUCUUGAAGAAGAAUCAGUCAGAAUUGUUGGCCUAUACGGCAUGGGCGGUGUCGGUAAAACCACACUAUUGACUCAUAUCCACAAUAACUUUCUUCAGAGUCCAACUUUUAAUUGUGUGAUAUGGGUCCUAGUGUCAAAAGAUCUGCGACUUGAAAACAUUCAAGAAACUAUCGGGGAUCUGCGACUUGAAAACAUUCAAGAAACUAUCGGGGAGCAGAUUGGUUUGUUAAACGAUACAUGGAAAAAUAAACGAAUUGAACAGAAAGCUCAAGACAUCUUCAGGAUUUUGAAGGAGAAGAAGUUUUUGCUGUUGCUAGAUGACUUAUGGCAGCGGGUUGAUUUAACAAAAGUGGGCGUCCCUCUUCCUGGCCCGCAAAAUAAUGCAUCCAAAGUGGUAUUCACAACCCGUUCCGAAGAAGUUUGUGGUUUGAUGGGAGCUCACACGAGGUUUAAAGUGGCGUGCCUGUCAAAUAUCGAUGCUUGGGAAUUGUUUCGGCAGAACGUUGGAGAAGAAACUCUGAACAGUGAUCCCGAUAUUCUUCAACUCGCCCAAGCAGCAGCCAGAGAGUGUGAUGGUUUGCCACUAGCACUUAUUACCAUUGGCCGAGCUAUGGCUUGCAAGAAGACACCUGACGAAUGGAUUUACGAUAUUGAGGUGCUAAGAACAUCAAGUUCUCAGUUCCCAGGUUUGGGAAAUGAGGUUUAUCCUCUUUUAAAAUUCAGUUACGAUAGAUUGCCGAGUGACACAAUUAAAUCAUGUCUCUUAUAUUGUAGUUUAUAUCCAGAAGAUUAUUGCAUUUCUAAAGAGAAAUUGAUAGACUGUUGGAUCGGCGAGGGAUUUUUGACAGAAAGGGACAGGAUUGGAGAACAAAAAGAAGGAUACCAUAUUCUGGGCAUUCUUCUUCAUGCCUGCUUACUGGAAGAGGGAGGAGACGGUGAAGUAAAAAUGCACGACGUGAUUCGAGAUAUGGCAAUAUGGAUAGCAUGCGACAUUGAAAAGGAGAAGGAGAAUUUUUUUGUUAAUGCUGGCGUUGGAUUAGUUGAAGCACCCGAUGUCACAGGAUGGGAAAAGGCGAGGAGAUUGUCACUGAUGCACAAUCAAAUUACGAAUCUAUCAGAGAUUCCUACAUGUCCUCAUCUCCUUACUUUUUUCCUUAACAAAAAUAGGUUUCAGAUGAUCCCCAAUGACUUCUUCCAAUUUAUGCCCUCCCUCAAAGUUUUAAAUCUGUCAUACAGCAAACUAACCAGCUUACCAUUGGGGAUUUCAAAGUUGGUUUCACUGCAACAUCUUGACCUGUCAGAAUCCGACAUAGAAGAGUUGCCAGGAGAGUUAAAGGCAUUGGUAAAUCUUAAAUGUUUGGAUUUGGAAUAUACAGGGAAUUUAAUUACAAUUCCACGUCAACUAAUAUCUAAUCUUUCAAGGUUACAUGUGUUGAGAAUGUUUGGUGCUGGUCAUAAUGCCUUUGAUGAAGCAUCAAAAGACAGCAGUUUAUUUGGUGGGGGUGAAUUCAUAGUAGAGGAACUGCUUGGUUUGAAAUCUUUAGAGGUGAUUAGCUUCACCUUGAGAAGUUCUCAUGGUCUCCAAAUGAUUUUGAGCUCGGAUCAGUUACGAAGUUGCACUCGAGCACUCUCAUUCCAAUGCUUCAACGAUUCGACAUCGCUUGAAGUUUCAGCUUUGGCAGAUCUGAAGCAACUUAAAAUGUUGCGGAUUGCAAGGAGUGAAAUAUUGGAGGAAUUAAAGAUGGAUUGUGCAGGGGAAGUUCGACAGUUUGUUUUCCAUAGUCUCAAUAAGGUUGAAAUAUACGGUUGCAGUAAAUUGAAGGACUUGACAUUCCUUGUUUUCGCUCCAAACCUCAAGUCUAUUAAAGUAACAGGUUCCCAUGCUAUGGAAGCAAUCAUAAGUGUGGGUAAAUUUGCAGAAGUUCCAGAGGUAAUGGCAAAUUUAAACCCAUUUGCAAAACUCCAAAAUCUUGAAGUAAUUGGUGCGAUAAAUUUGAAGAGCAUUUACUGGAAGCCCCUGCGCUUCCCACAUCUGAAAACAAUGAGUUUCUUUCAUUGCAACAAGCUUAAAAUGCUUCCACUUGAUUCCAAUAGUGCAAGAGAGCAUAGCAUUGUUAUUCGUGGAGACAGAAUGUGGUGGGCACAGCUUCAAUGGGAGGAUGAAGCCACUCGAAAUGCUUUUCUUCCCUGUUUCAAAUCUUGAGCAGAGAUCACAUUUGAAUAAUUUCUGGUGCGUGCUUUUUCUUACAUUAUUCUUCUUGUUAAUUUCCUUCAUGCAGACAUCUGCACCUAAUAACUCGUUACUUCAAAUAUUCUCUAAAUUAUUUGAGGGUACUCGCCCCUGCACAUAAUGUAUAUUUAUAUCUAAUUAAAUUUUUUAAAAAGUCAAUAUUAUAUUUUUUAUGUCAUUAAAUAAAGUCUUGUUAUUUUAUCGAAUUAUAUUCAACUUGAAAAUAGUUCUAGCUUUUAGAUAUAAGUUAUGUAAGUACAAGUUCAAAGUGUAUCAGCAUUAAAUUACUCAUAUUCAAUCAUUUAUAAUCUGAUGUUGAAAAAAAAAUGUCAUUCAAUCAUAUGCAUUUAACUAAAUUCAAAUAUAAUCUAAAUUCAGAUACGUUAAAAUUAUUUGGGAAAAAAAAGCGCCACAACUCUAUAUUGUUUAUUGAGUAAACCAGAUAUUAACUCUAUCAUGAACGUAAUAGCCUCCAGCAUUUUUUAUUAUCUGUUCAAACCAUAUUUUAUUAUUUUAAUUUAUUUAUAUUCAUUGCAUUUCAAUUAGGUCAUGUUUUCUUUUGUUUUCUGUUUUAUAUUCUUUGAUCAUUUUGGCAACAUGGAGUACUAUGAUUAAUCAUUUUGUACUGGUCUCAAAUUUCAGUCGGAUUAUCUGCGGAAAAUAUCUCUGAAGAUGCUUUCAAUGGAGUCCAGUACUCAGAAUGCGAUGCCUAAUCCUUUGCAAUCCAACAAUGCUAGCAGGAGCAACGAACCCCCUCAUCCAGGUAGUGACGUGGAAUAGUAAAUGCAGCUUCACUUUCAAUUUGUCUCUGAAACCGCUCCCUAUAAUCAAUCCUAGCAUUCUUAUGUGUUCUUAACUUCUGCAGCCUGAAUAUUUCUUCCUCGACAAUCAAAGUCAUAACAGUAUGAUUGGCUGGAGUAGCUUUCCUCCAGACCCCUCAUUAUAGUUAUAAAUAAUUCCGAUAUUUGAUAUCAUGAUCGGGGAUUUCAGAGCUUAGAAAAUAUGAUUUGUACCCAUAUGUGUCUGAUCAUGAGAAGUUUGAAAAUAUACAUCAAAAACUGUAUGGAUUGGAAAAAUAUAAUCUUAUUAUGGUGUGUUAAAUCGUCAUUUGAUGAACGGAUUUGGGAUACAUUAUAAUAUGAUGUCAUUAUUAAUUAGGGUGUGUUUUUGGAAGUGCUUAAUUAUAUUCGUUUAAUGUGUAUUUCUUUUAUCACUUUUGAAAAGAAUUCUUAAAUAUUUAAAUAUUUCAAUGUUUAUAUCUUAACUUCAAAUAUAAUAAAAUAAAAUAAAAUAACUGUUCUCCAAUAUGAGGGUCCGAACUAAGGGUCUACGUCAAUAACAUGAAAUAUAAUAAUUUUUGUAAAUUUUUCUUAAAUUCAAAAUAAAUUUUGUUACUGAUUCAAAUGUUUAACAAAAUGUGGCAGCUUAUCUGUAAUUGCCACAUCAAUUGAGAUUCAAAUUACUACUCAAAUCCUGAAAUUCCUAAAGGUCCCUAACAUUAAUAUUUUAUUAAGUCAAUAUUGAAGUUGAACUAUGGGGUUCGUCGGCUAUUUCACACUAACAGAGGAAUCAUUUUAUCUUCUACAAAGGGUUCAGUUUUCUUGCACUGUAUGAUAUGAAGUAAUAUUGUCAUAUGUUGUUCUGAAUUAAUUUUUUUCUUCUCUCGUGCGAAUCAGAAAGAAAUGUUGUAUUUAAGAUGUGGAAAGUAUAAGAUCUUAGGAGUUUUACAGUGUAUAUAUAUAUAAAUUUUUUUUUGACAAACAGAGAAAUUCAGUCUAGAAUAUGAGAACAAACUAAAAGCUACGAAAUACAUUGGCAUUUUUGAGAAGUAGGAUAAAUAUUAUUUUUUUUUUUGAAAAAAAAAGGACUUGGCACCUCAAUGCUUUAAUAACCUAAUGUUAUACUUUUGGUUUGAUUUUUCUAUGUACUCUCUUCCAAUGGUCAAUUUAGGCUAUGUUUGGUAUUGAGAUAUUAUAACUAAAAAAUUUUAGGAUUUAUCACUUAAAAGAUAGAGUAGCCGUGGGAAAAAAGAGAGAGAGAGCUGAAAUUAUGAAAUAAAAUUAUUAAUGUAUUGUAAAUAAGAUGUUCAAAUAAAAAAAUUGACAAAAAUAGUAAAAAUACAAUACCAAACAAGAAUUUAUUUAGGAUACCGAUUCCAGGUCUCUAAAGAUUUGUUUUUAUGCUUUGCAGUUAUUUUCUUCUAGCUGACUGAUGAAUUAUUGUGAAAUUGCUAUGAAAAUUACUAGGGAAAUUAUCAGUCAUACACUCUUAAAUGACACCCGUAUCAAAUAUGCUACAACAUUUUUCAAGUAUAUCACUCGUAUACUCUAAGUUGACAAAACACUUCUACCGUCCACCAAUAUGUUAACUUCUAUUAGAAAGUUAAUAGAAUUGUGGCAAAUUGACUAUUUCGUCCUUGAAACUCAAAAUGAGAUUAAAAAAAAUUUACCCAAAAAAUUAAAGUAAAUUUUCAAUACAUAAUUUUUUUUAAUUUCGUUAUUAACAAUACAUUUUUUUAUUAAAAAAUAUGAAUUAUUAAUGGUACAUAUUAUUAACAAUUAUCCAUAAAAAUAUCCAUAUUAUACCAUAAAAAAUUAUUAACAACAUAUUAUUUACAAUUAUACAUAUUAUACCAUAAAAAACUCCAAUUGGAGCUUGGAGGAGUAGAUCUUAAAAAAUUUAGGUUAAAUUUUGGAUGAGUAGAUUCGGUUGUAAAGUAGUUGUUUUUUUAUAUGUAAUUAUUAACAAUUAUCCAAUAAAUGGGAUGACAUGUCAUUUUAUCAAUAUAUAUCAUAUGACAUGUCAUUGCUUAAUAGGAAAAUGGGAUGACAUGUCGUUUUUAAAAAAGACUAUAUUUACCCUUAUGAUGUCAGCACUUGCAAACGGCAGUUAACGGAUUGGUGAACGGUAGAAAUGUUUUGUCAACUUAAAGUAUACGAGUGAUAUACUUGAAAAGUGUUGUAUCACGUUUGAUAUUAGUGUCAUUUAACGAUAUAUGACUGAUAAUUUUCCAAAUUACUACUAUAACUUAUGGCAAAUUGGCAAUUAAAAAUCAUAAAAGUCUUUCCUCUUGAAUGAGAAAGUGGGUUAUUUUCGUUUACUAUAUAUAUAGUGUCACAAUCAAGAUUAGCAAAGGUUUGUUCACAAACCACCAUCUAUGAAACUAUGAUGACAAAUAUUAUUUGCUAUUAUCAUGUCACUGCAUUACUCUAAUGCCAUUAUUUGCCUAAUUAAAUAUUCAUGUCGGUUUUAAGAUGAAUUUCAAGACAUUUAACUAACCAUAUCUAUUGUAUUUUAUUAUGGUGCUCUAGCUAGCUGGUUGCCAGCUUUGCCUUUCAAUGGGGUUUGAUUAAUUACUCUGCAUAUAGACCAUUAUAUACUAGGACGGCCAAUGGUUAAUGUAAUAUAAACACAAUAAAUUUUAAUCAAAUAUGAAUUUUCUGAAUAAUUGUUUCUUUAUUUUAUGAAUUUUAUUUAAACGAUAUCCCAAUUUAAAAAAAAAAAAGAAAGAAAGAAAAUCAGCGCGUUUGUCUCCUCCCCAUUGUCAUGAUCAACCUUGUUGGAAACGUUGGUGAGAAAAGUAAUACUAUACGUUAAUUGCUUUUAAUAUUUUAAUCGUUGGUGGCACAACCGCACAAGAAAGUAAAAGUUGUUAUAUAUAUAUAUAUUUUAAAUAAAAGUUUAGCUUUCAAUAAUUCAACUUUGAAAAAGGUACAAAAGAUGUGUAGGACAUUCGUUGAACCACAUUAUUGGUUGUACACUUUCUAAAGCUACUUUGGCUAUGGAAUAGGCCAUGAUUAUGAAGCCGAGAAGUAUGUUGCAGUGUGGGGUUGUGUAGUUCCUUUUAGCUUCUUCUUACAAAUUAAUGCUGACAGAAAAAGCAAGAUCAUAUUCCACAAAAGUAAAAGUAACAAAACAACCAGCUGGAAUCUUUUAUUAAACUACGAUAAACUACAAAUUAAAGUGGAUUCUUUUGAAUACAAGUGGGAUAGACGAUUGGCUCUUUUAUUAAAGGCCAGUAGUCAAGAAUCGAAUAUCUCGAUUGCAUAGUCUUUUUCAAAUUCUUGUUUUAUUAUUUUUCAAAACUAAUUUUUUAUUAGUCUACAAUUAUUUAUAAUUAUAUUUUCAUUUAGAAUACAGUUCAAGUCAAAUCUUUUGCACUUCUACCUAACUCGGGCUAAUACUAGUCCACUCAUUAUUCAUGUGAGAGAGUUGUAAGGUACAUGCAUGUAACUUCUCUAACUCGAAUUAUUCCACACAGAGAAAUAAACAUAGAUGCUUUAUAACUUUAGAAAUCCGAUCUCUUACAGUUGGAAACAGAGAUGAUGAUUACUAUAAGAAUGAAGAAAAAGAUAAAAAAUUGUCAAUGAUUAACGAAGUCUCUAUGCAAAUUUCUCUAUGCAAAUUGAUUUUAGCAGAAAAAUAGUGAGUUGAAUGAUGUAGGCGAUUAGUGGUAAUAUUUCAUAGAGUUAGAGUAUUGGCAACCCUUCAAUCUUCUCAUGAAUCCCCUUUUUGAGUUAUAGUUAUUUUAUUUCGAAAUAUCCUUUUUCUUCUUUAAUACACUUCUAAUUUUUCAUUUAAUUUUUUUAUUGUUAAACUCAAAGUAUUAUUGUGAUAUUUUUCGUUUCUUUUGUAAUCUUAUUAUAAUUAAAAAAACCAAAAAAAAAGAUUGGCUAUGAAAUUUGUUGGAAAAAAUCUAUGUGCGUUUAAUUUUUGUUUGUCUUUGACUGUAAUUUAUUUGAAGUGGGGUUUUAUAAGCAUAAUGAAGGGAUCAAAGGAUGCCCAUAACUUCACUCUAUUUUAUAUGGAGAAAAGUAAAAGGUACACCUAAAGUUAAUGGAAAGUACUUCGCAGCUUUCUUUUGAUUAUAAUAUCCUUUAAUUUAAUUAACUUAAAAAUUUUGACUUUAAUAAUUUAUAAUAAAUUAAAUUAUAAUCUUAAAAUAAAUAUAAUAAUAUAUUUUAAAAUAAUCUCUAUAUUUAAAAUUUAUUUAUUUUCACAUUUUAUAUAAAUUUUAUAAUAAAGACAAACAUACUAUUAAAAUAAUAUAUAAAAAAUUUAAAAGUAUUUUGAAUAUUAUAUAAAAUAACUAUAACAUUUUUUAAUACAUGAGAUAUAUUUUGUUAAUUUAAAAUUCUAUUUAAUCCAAAGAUUUAUUUAAGAUAAAUUAAUAAUAAUAUUUUUGAAAUUAUUUGAAAUACUAAAAAAUAUUUUAAUAUUACUAGUCUAUUAAAUAAAUUAAAUAUAUUUAAUAGACUAGUAAUAUUCUGAAAAAUAAUAAAAGAAGAAUUAAAAAAAGACUAGACAAUAGAGAUAUUCGAUUCUUUUAAAGCAAAUCGUAAUAUUCCACAAAGGAGUAAGAUCCACAAAAGCAAACAACCAGUUGGAUUCUUUUAAAGUGGAAUCGUUUAUUAAACAACAAAUUAAUGUUCAAAUAUUUAAAUAGCAGUGCAUUAGACGAUUAGACUGUCUUAUUAAAGGCGAGUAUAAAGUAGUCAAGAAUCGAAUAUCUCUAUUGUCUAGUCUUUUUUUAAUUCUUCUUUUAUUAUUUUUCAGAAUAGGUUUUGGUGAUUACAAUGGGUUAUUAUUCAGAGUUAUUGUUAUCUUCCGGGUCAAUUUCUGUUCAUCGAAGUCGUUAAUUCAAAUUUUAGAACUUUUAUCAAAAGAAUGUUUUUCGUUAUCUUUUUUAUGGUCUAAUUCCAAUUGUAAGAAGUAGUCAUUUUAAAAUUUGGGUCUUGAAUCGAAUUUCAGUGCAUGAAUUAAUAUUAAAAAAAAAUCACUACACACAGUUUAGGCUGCAGACUACUUUUUGCAAAUUUGACUCUGAAAAUUGGAGAAAUUAAGUAAUUUAGAAUGUUUGCAAAGAAAAAGACUAACAUACUUCCUAUUACACUAAAUCUCUAUUAUCAUAAUGUUGAGACUAAACUAACUUAAAUACGUUUUAUUUGAAAAGCUAUAUUAAAUGCAGCCUAAUUUUAUUAACCUGAAGAGCUAAUAGAAGUGUAGUUAUAAAAAUUAUAUUCUGACUUAAUUAGUACAAGUGAUAUAAAGGUUAAGUGUGCACUAUAUUUAAUAAUUAAUUAAUGGAGCAUGUUAAAUAAAAUGAUAAUUUAUAUUUAUAUAAUGUUAGGAAUAUGUAAAGUCUAAGUCCACAAGUUGCAUUAUCUUUAAUAUUUUCUCUCAAUUAAAUUCUAAAAAUACUUUACAAUUAUUUAGUAACAACUGUAAAUUAAGAAUAAAUUAUUGUCCCAAACAACAUUAAAAAAUAUUUUAUUCCAUUUGAAUCCUUUAAUUUUUUUUACAGUAUAUAGAUAAUUAUUACUAUGUGAAUGUAAGUUUCUUAAGAUGGGACCUAUAACAAUUUAGAACUUAUUACAACGGGGAGUUUAUUAGGACCAAAAUUUUUUAUGAGUACAUAAAGUUAUCUUGUAUAGAAUAUUAGUAUAUAGAUGUUUUACUGUAAUUAGUCUAGAACAUUUAAAAAAAAAAAACAUAUACCGUCCCUUGGAUGUAGCUCUUGGGUGACCAUGAAUGUUCUUUGUUCCACAUACGNNNNNNNNNNNNNNNNNNNNNNNNNNNNNNNNNNNNNNNNNNNNNNNNNNNNNNNNNNNNNNNNNNNNNNNNNNNNNNNNNNNNNNNNNNNNNNNNNNNNACCCUCUAUGGGAAUAAUCUAUUUAGUUAUAAAAAAUUAUGAUCCCAAUUUAGACUAGUUAUAAAUAACAACAAAUUCCACUUUGUAAUAAAUUAUAUUUUUUCUAUAUCUUAUCUUAAGAAACUUAUCUCUACAUAGUAAUAAUUAUUUGUAUAGGUAAGAAUGGAUCAAGAUCCUCUCCUGAUCUGAGCACUCCUGAUCUUUUACAGAUCUUAUACCACCUGUGUUUUACUGUUAGUGGAUGAUUAUGAUUUGACUAUUUUUUCUUUUUAAUUUAUUAAUCACCAAUUAUAUUAAUAAAAUUUGCUCAGAUGAAGAUCAGAUCAAGAAAGGAUCCUGAUCCAAUAAGAAUACAUGUUAUAUUAGACUAAAGGAACUUGUCUGCACAUAACGAUUAGACAACGAGCGAAAAUUAUUAAAGCGAAUGCAAAUAAUUAGAAUUUUUUAAGAUGACUUUGUAUAUUCACAAUAAUAAUUGAUAGAUACAUGUACCAACGUUUUAAUAUAUUUGACAUCCUCCAUUAAUAAAUCAUUGAUGUAAUAUAGACUUUAUCUCUAUAUCCUCACACUACGGACAACUAAGUCAUAAUAAUAAUUUUUGUAACUACAUCUCUAUUACUUCCUCAUAAUAAUAAGUUAAUUUGAUCUCUACAUUAUGACUAUGGAGAUUUUAUUGUAUAGGGACACCCAAUAUAAAUAGUAUCCCAACUAAAAUUGUCCCAAAAAAAAAAUCGCUAAAGGAUAAUUAUAAUUUUUUUUCACUUCUCAAACGUUGGUGGCAGUUGUAAGCUAAGUUGUCAAAUAUAUUAAACUACAAGUGCUGCCACCAAGUGCGAUGCUCUUUUCUAAAGAGAAGUACAGUGGGUCCCGAAUAGGACGUGCUUAAAUCUGUUUAAAUUUUUCCAGUAUAACUAACAGAGGUCAUUACUAGAAUUAUAUUACUAGCCUAUUAGAUAGAAAAAAUUAGUUAUAUUAUUUUAUAUUUAUUAAAAAAGUUUAAAGUUAAUCUUUUUAAUUACUAUUUAAAAGAUAUUAUAAUAAAAAAAUAGUGUCUUUACUAAAAAUUUAGAAAUUUAUUUGACCGUUCUCUAAACUUUAUUUAAUAUUAUUGAUUUAAAUAAUAUCUAAAUUAAAAAUGUACAGAGAAGAAAUUUCGGUGGGUAUAUUAGUCUUUUACUUUUAACGUUAGUGGCCUUCUUAUAUUUUAUUACAAAUUAAUCCUAACAAGAAAAAGCUAGAUCAUAUUCCACAAAAGCAAGAGUGACAAAACAUGAAAACAACCAACUGGAUUCUUUUAUUAAACUACAAAUUAAAAUUGUUUUUUUUAAUAAACUAUAAAUUAAAGCGGAUUCUUUUGAAUACAGGUGGGACAGACUUAAGCUCUUUUAUUAAAGGCAAGUAUAAAGUAGUCAAGAAUCGAAUAGUCUUUUUCAAAUUCUUGUUUUAUUAUUUUUCAAAACUAAUUUUUGGUAAUUACACUCGGGUCAUUAAUCAUUAUUCAGAGUCAUUGUUAUCUUCGGAGACAGUGGGUAAAAGAUAAUUACUGGCUGUUUUUCCUUCAAAAGUUAGUGGCUCAUGUUUGCAAGUGUGAAUGUGCGAUGCUCUUUUUCCAAAUGCAAUUACAGUGGGUCCCGAAUCGGAGGAUAAAAAUCCUUUUAGUUUUUGUAUUUUAAGAUUAGUAUAUAUUUAGUCUUUAUAUUUUUAAAAAUACCUCGAAACAUUCAUGCCGUUAAAGUAUUGAUACCACUACCAUUACUUUUCAUUUCUUUUAACUUAAUUUUACAAUAUUACCCUUUUAUAAUAAUUUUUUUAGACAUUAAUAAAAAAUAAUUAAAUCACUAAUUUAACUCUAAAAAAUAAAAAAAUUAUAUUAAUUUUUUUGCAAGCACCGUUUGCACACUUGGUAGGUUGCAUACAAUUUUUGAUAAUUAAAAAUUAAUAUAAAUUUUUAUUUUUAUUUUUAGGGUUAAAUUGAUAAUUUAAUUAUUUUAUUUUUAUUAAUGUACAAACAAAAAAAUUAUUAUUAAAGGGUAAUAUUGUAAAAAUAAGCCAAAAGAAAUGAAAAAUAACGGUAGAAGUAUCAAUACUUUAACGACAAGGAUGUUUCUAGAUAUUUUUAAAAAUAUAGAGAUUAAAUGAAUACUAAUCUUCAAAUACAGGAUUAAAUAGAAUUUUACCCCGAAUCGAACGUGCCUAAAUCUUUUUAAAAUUUUUGCCGUACAACGGACAGAGGUCAUUACUAAAAUUUCUCUUCCACAGCCCACAUCAGCUUCAGGAAUCAGUUUAUCAAACUCAAUCAAUUUUCUUUCUUAACAAAAUUCCAAAGAUGUGUAGCAUUUUUCAGAUCACAUGCGAUGGUGCUUUUUUCAAUCGUUGCUUGGAUUGCUUUCUUGGAAAAGCAGCAUACACACGUAACCUCCAAGAUAAUCUUGUGGCCUUGCAGACUGAAUUAAUGAAACUAAACGCAGCAAAGGACGAUCUGAUGAGGAGGGUCGUCAAUGCUGAACGUCAACAAAUGAGAAGGCUGGACGGAGUGCAAGUGUGGGUUUCGAGGGUGGAUGCUGUUACAACUGAAGCUAAUGAACUUAUCAGAGACGGCUCUCAAGAAAUUGAAAAAUUAUGUCUUGGAGGGUUCUGUUCCAGGAACUGCACGUCAAGCUACAAGUUUGGGAAACAAGUGGCUAAAAAGCUACGAGAUGUGGAGGCUUUAUUUGCCGAAGGGGUUUUUGAGGCGGUGGCUACCAAGGUGGUGCCUGAGAGAGCUCCAGAGCCUGUAGCAGAUGAAAGACCUGCCGAGCGAACAGUAGUAGGCUUGCAAUCACAACUUGAACAAGUCUGGAGAUGUCUUGCAGAAGAAUCAGCGGGAAUCAUUGGCCUAUAUGGUAUGGGCGGUGUUGGUAAAACUACACUAUUGACCCAUAUCAACAAUAAAUUUCUCGAGAGUCCAACCAACUUUGAUUGUGUGAUUUGGGUAGUAGUUUCAAAAGACCUGCGACUCGAAAAAAUUCAAGAAGAUAUUGGGAAAAAGAUAUGUUUGGUUGAUGAUGAUUUGUGGAAGAGUAAAAUUUUUGAAGAGAAAGCUGUAGCCAUCUUGCGGAGAUUAGGAGAGAAGAGAUUUGUAUUGUUGUUAGAUGAUUUAUGGGAGCGGGUUGAUUUAACAAAAGUGGGCGUUCCACUUCCCAGACCAAAAAAUACUACCUCAUAAGUCGUAUUCACAAGCCGUUUCAUCGAUGUUUGUGGUAGCAUGGAAGCUGGCAGGAAGUUCCAAGUAGCAUGCUUAUCAGAAAAGGAUGCUUGGGAACUGUUUCAAGAAAAAGUUGGGGAAGAAACUCUUGAGAGUGAUCAUGAUAUCGUUGAGCUAGCCCAAACCGUGGCCAAGAAGUGUGGUGGUUUGCCACUCGCACUUAUUACUAUUGGUCGAGCUAUGGCCAUCAAAAAGACAGCCGAGGAGUGGAGACAUGCAAUUGAAGUGUUAAGACGAUCAGCUUCAGAGUUUCCAGGUUUGGGAAAAGAGGUGUAUCCUCUUUUAAACUUUAGCUAUGAUAGUUUGCUGAAUGAGACGAUUAGAUCUUGUUUCUUAUAUUGUUGUUUAUAUCCUGAAGAUUAUGGCAUUCUUAAAUGGGACUUGAUUGAUUGUUGGAUUUCUGAGGGAUUCUUAGAGGAAUCUAAUAGGUUUGGUUGUUAGAGUGCAAUUUAUGCACUAGUUUUGCAUUAUUUACUUCCCUUAAUAUCAAUGUUUUGCACUUAAUAAUAGUGAUUUACUUGUGUUUUACUUUUGUAGGUGCAAUUCUAUUGAUUGAUGAUAAAAUUGAGCUAUAAGAUGAUGUUUAAGGAUGAUUGUUCUCUUGAAGAAAUUAUGAGCGUCAGAAGAACUUUGUUGAUAAGGCGUGGGCGCGUGCUGUCAACUGCGGACCUGCAGUUUUAGUUUAACGUGUUUUGUAUUUUUGGUUAUUUUUGUAAUUACGAAUUUAAUAUUUCAGAUAUUAGGAUUUUAUUUUAAAUAGAAUUCUAAAAGAGAAGAGAGAGAAAGUAUUUAAGGGAGGAAUCUAUUGUGAAAGGGGGAUUUUGGAUUGGAGAAAAAGAAACCCUAGAUCUAAUUUUUCUCUUCUCUCUAUGAGGAACUAAACCCAUUUUUCUGGUUGAAGGUUAAUGAAGCUUUGAUUCAUCACUACUGUGAGAUCUUUCUUGUGCUUUAAUUGUUUUAUUACUUUUUGGGUAUUUGUUUAUUCUCUGAAUUAUUUUCAUGAUUAUGUUUGUUAAUUAGGUAAUUGGCCACUAUUUAAUUAUCAACUUAAUCUAUUGUCAAUUAAAGGAUUCAUCGUAUGAAGAAUUUAAUGUUUGUGACAAAUAACAUAGCAGAGAGUUGUGUUGUGAGAAUAAACAAUCUAAUUUAAAUGAAUCAUCAUAUGUGUUGAUUAGGAUUUGGGUCUCUCUGGUUUUUCAGGCUGUCAAUUGAUUAAAUUCUAUGAUCGUAUCUAGGGUUGUCUAUUGAUUAGGGAAAUAACCAACGGUCGUACCUUGGUUAUCGACUAGUUAAGGAGAGAUUGGCUAUUAGAGGGUCUCAGUAGCUAUAACCGGUCUAUUCAUGAGUAAUAAUAAUCUAUAUUUGAAUCAAUGAUCAGUAGUCGAAUCAAGCUGAGUUAAUUCCUUCAACCAGAGCUUUCUCCAAUUUGAAUUACAACUUUAAUUUGCAUUCUUGUUAUUUUAAUUUGAUUUUUAUUAUUGUCAACAAUUCCCCUAUUUUACGUUUUACGUUUCAAAAGGAUUUAAUUAAUUACCGAUCUCUGUGGACACGACCCUGCUCAAUCACUAUACACAAUUUAUUUAGAGUAGGAAUUUACUUUUGUUGGCUUCGACACCCAUCAUUGGUGCAGAAAACCGAGGAUACUACAUUGUGGGCACUCUUGUUCAUGUGUGUUUACUAGAAGAGAUAGAAGAUGAUAAAGUAAAAAUGCUUGACGUUGUUCGUGAUAUGGCUCUAUGGAUAGCUUGUGAAACUGAGAAGGAGAAGAUAAACUUUUUGGUUUGUGCAGGUGCUGGAUUAGAAGAGGCACCGGAUGUUAAAGAAUGGGAAAAUGUGAGAAGAUUGUCAUUGAUGCAAAACCAAAUUGAAACUCUGUCAGAGGUUCCCACAUGCCCUCAUUUCGUCACUUUAUUUCUUGACUUUAAUGGGGAGUUGAAGAUGAUCGCGGAUGGCUUCUUCCAACUUAUGCCUUCUCUCAAAGUUUUGAAGAUGUCAAACUGCUGGAAUUUGAAAUUUCUUGUUGGGAUGUCAAAGUUGGGUUCGCUACAGCUUCUUGAUAUUUCACAGAACGCCAUAGAAGAGUUACCAGAAGAGUUGAAGUUGUUGAUAAAUCUGACAUGUUUGAAUUUGAGGGGGACAGGCCAAUUAAAUAAAAUUCCACGGCAACUAAUAUCAAAUUUUUCAAGGUUACGUGGGUUAAGGAAGUUCAUAACGUGUGCAAGCAGUCAACUCAAGGUUAGCACGUGGGAGAAUUUGCUGAGCUAAAGUUAGUUAAAUAAGCAAUGCCAGCUCAACAAAUUCAGUCAAGGUUUACUGAGAUUUUAUUCCUAUUGUUUUCUUUUCUGUUAACAAUGUAUAAAGGUGUUCUUUGUACUCAUUUGAUCAUUAAGAAAAAAAGAAAUAAAAUCUAGAAUAUUCUCUGAAGUUUUCUCAGUAAAACAGAGUAAAUUUUCUCAGUAACUAAACAGUAUAUAUCAGUGGAAUUUACGUUUUAUAACAUGGUAUCAGAGCCAAACAGUAACCAGCAAACAAUGAUGAGAAAUCUAGCAAUCAAUAAUACACAUCAACACACUCAAAUCAAUUUCUCUUUCACGAAUCCAAUUAAACUAGAUCGAUCAAACUACCUGCUCUGGCGUUCACAAGUUCUGGCUUCGAUUAGAGGUAAUCGACUAGAAGACUUCAUAACUAGAAUCAAAUCAACAUCUGAAGAAAAUAUUUUGUUAGCUGGAGUUGAUGGAUCUACACAACAAAUUGAGAAUCCUGAGUAUCAGAUCUGGAGAUCACAAGAUCAAAUUCUUCUUGGUUGGCUACUGUCAACCUUAAGUGAAGGUAUCCUUAGUCUUGUUAUUAACUGUAAAAGCUCAUUUUCUUCAGCUCAGAUAUGAACUGAACACUCUUAAAAAGGAGUCUCUUAGUAUUGAAGAUUAUUGUGUUAAAAUGAAAGCAAUAGCUGAUAAGCUUGCUAGUGCUGGUAGCUCGAUAACAGAAAAGGAUCUAAUGCUAACCAUACUCAAUGGAUUAGGAUCAGGAUAUAGUGAUAUUGCUACUUUCAUAACUGGUUCACGAAUGGAAUUUGAUGAUACUUAUGCAUUAUUGCUCACUCAUGAAACUAGGUUGGAACAAGAUCAUGAUGAUAAGAGUAUGUUCAAUGCUAACUAUGCAUAUACUAAUGCAUUUCAUCCUAAGGUUUAUUAUGCACAGCCUAGAGGAAAUUUUAAGAGAGGAGGUUAUUAUGGUGGUAGGAAUGUUUUCUCUGGUAGAGGGAAUAUGAAUUUUUCUCCAAGAAUGUUUAAUGGAGGUUUUAGAAGUGGUUUUGGUAGAGGAUAUUAUGUUGGUAAUCCUUUUAAUGGUAAUAAUUCUUUAGCACCAAAGAAUUCAUCAUCUGUUAUCAAGAAUGGAUCACAGAGAACUUUUAAUAACAAUCCAGGGGACUCAGUAUGUCAGAUUUGUCUCAAACUUGGUCAUACUGCUGAUAUUUGUUGGCAUAGAUUUGUUGAAGAUUAUGUGCCAAUGCCAAGGGGUUUUUAGAAAAGGAAAAGCACCCAGAGCAGCAUCACUACUAGAAAAAUAGCUUUUACUGAUACUUGUCUUGUGAUACUUUUCUAAAAAGUAUCAGCAAUUACAUAUAUUUGGGCCAUUUUCCGUGUUUAACAAACAAGUGUCACAAAUUACUGAUUCUAUGAUGUUUGUAUAUUAAACAUCAGAGAUCGUCGACACUAAGGUAUCAGAAACAACAAAAAAAAAUAAAAAAUCUAUUUUUGUUUUAGUUGCGACUCGAACCUAGGACCUCAAAACUAAAGUGCUUUAUGUUCAACCAACAAACCACCAUGCCAAAUUCAUAAAUUAGUUUGUGUUGAACAUGUUGAAAUUAUCAAAUUAAAUUAAUAUAGAAAACAAAAAUAUAAAAGCAAAAGAAAAAAACCCUAAAUCAACAUAAACAUAAAAUUCCCUAACUCCUAAAUCCAUGGCCAGCCGCCUCAUCUCUCUGGCGAUAUCCUUCUUCUUCUUCAUACCUCUAAAACUUCGAGCCCUAAAAUUCAAGGGUCCAUGUCAUAAGAAAUCCUACCACCACUGCUCAAAUUCUAACACCCAUACCAUACGAAACCCUAAUGAUCUACAUUAUGCAAAACAUCCACCAUGCCGCUAUGCCACAAGCUCACAAGACCCGCUUUAGAUCUCCACAUUUUGCUCACCCUACUCGAGUGCACACCGCCCCUCUCGCUUCGACUUCUCGGGAUUUCUUGUUAGCUGAAGUUUUGUUUUCUUCCGCUAAUUCGAUCUUCGAAAGGUCUCGGAGCUCCAAGUAACUAAGUAAGCUCGGUUUUCUUCUAUUCUCUCAGAUACUUGCUUACACAUUCCUUUUUUUUUCGUGUUAAAUUUUGUUGUUUCGUUGUGUUAUAUGGAUCGAUGAGAGUCACAGACUUUGACGAGACAAUGACGAUAUUGUUUUGGAGUUUCGUUUCGUAGAUCUGUGAUAGAGUCUCCUUUUUCAGAUAUUUCCUUUCAUUUACCAUAUUUGCACAAUUUGUUUUGUCAUUAAAUUAUUUGCGUUUGAAUGUACAAUUUUUGUUUUCGUUUUAUAUUUUCAAAUACUGUUUCUUGGAGCGAAUUAGUGGAGGAAUUUUUGGUUGAAGCAGAGGAUGGAUAACUUUUGUAUUUUGAACUUUGUAUGUUAUUUAUUAUUUGAACUUGAAGCUAAAAGGUGACCAAAUUUUCCAAAGGUUAGGGUUUGGUUGGCUUAUGUGAAAAUGCCGAACGAAUGUGUAUUAUUCAUACUCCAAUAUUGUAGGUGCGUCAAUGCACCUCCUUGCGAUGGUUGCAGCAACGAAACUGUAGGUCAAGGUUUGGGUACCCCAUUUCCUUCAAAGAUCCAAUAUGGAGCAACUCGAGUCGAGCUUUUUCGGUCAAUUUAAACAAAACCUUUACUCCUAAUUUAUUGUCUUUUGCUUUCUGUUUGUACCUGUAGGAGUUCAUAUUUUGUAAUGUUCCGUAAGUGUCCAAUAACUGGUUAAAUUAUGACUUAUGCUAGGUGAAGAUUUUGUGUUACAAUCCCCUUCAAUAGGCAAUCACUCUUUUUGUAAAUGUUCAUGGGUAAUUGCUUUGCCUUUGCUUCUGUUGUACUUUUGUUUUUGUGGGGUUUUAGUUAAUGGAUGUUGAGUUAUAUUUCAAUCAGUUUGAUUUCUCUGCAUAUUUUUCAUAUUUUAGUAUUAGAAGAGGUAUUUAAUCAAAUGAAGACAAAAACAAUUGUCGGCCAACCAACAAACUCACUUUAGUUUGUUGUGAAAUGAUUUUCUCUCUCUCUCUCGAUUUUCACUGGUUCUGUGGUUUUUUCCCUUCCACAAUGUGAUUUAGUUCUGUUCUAUUUAUGGAUGUUACCAACAUUUUAGCUUUUAAGAAACAGACAAAAAGAUUCUGAAGUUUGUUUCUUGUUUCUUACUCUGAAUUUCCAAGGCAUCUUAUUUGGAGAAAUGCAUUCUGAAUGGAGAAAUUUCUCCAAAUUUAUGAGAUGUGGUUCUGUCUUGCUGAAUGAACAUUGUAUUUCCUUCAAUGGUUUGCGAGCCAUUAAGUUAUUUGAGCAAACAAAAUUAGCAAUAUGGAAUCCUGUUUCUACAGGAUUAUAGUUGUAGGACUCUAGAAUUUAGUCUAGGUAAUGUUUUUACCAUUGUAAAAAGUAUCUGACAUUGGUGAUGUUUAAGCAUAUGUGUCAUUUCUUUUGGGCUUCACUUUGGAUCCUUUUUUUCUUUUUUUACAAACAAUGGAUGGUUAAAACCUAAGAGACUGAUUGAUUUUUGUUUUAAAUCCAGUGGUUAUGCCUUGUAAACUUUUGAGUUGUAUCAAUUUCUUUUCCUGGCCUAACUUGGCUAAAUUUAUGCUAUAUAAUUGAAUUCUACAAAUUUUGGCUAUGUAUGAUGUAAAGGUCAUAAGUCUUGUAUCUUCAUUUGUUCACCACAGGCUUGAUACUUCACAACUACCAUAAGUUAUGUCAUGCCAUGUCUUCUUUAGCAAUAUUGUGUGGCUUUGAGUAGUAUUAAUGUUUUUGUUUGUUAAUUCACGACUUAAUGGAACCAUUUUCCUUAUAAUCGAGAACCUUCGUGCGAGUGUUGUGGAGAAAUCUUAUGAUUCAUGUGUAGGUGUGUUUGCUUAAUGUGAUGACUUUUAUUAUGUGUUGUAGUUCUUGUGUCUAUAAGAGGAACCUUUGCUCCUAUGUCUAUUUAUCUCCGACUUUCAGUUUAGGCGUAAAUAGGUUACUCUUCUUUCUUUCUCAUUUUUUAAUUUCUAUGUUCUCCUAUGUCUAUUUACAUGGACUGCUUUGCUGCUUCUCUGCAGUGAAAACAACCCUGGUAAUUUACAGGAGCUUUUUUCACUUCAGAACAAUAGCAAGACAUCCCCUGCAGAUUUUUUAUUGAUUUUGCAUAGAUUGGUUUGUUGCUUUGGGUUGGAAUGCUACUGGAUAUAUGUCAGAAUUAUAGCGCUAUUGGAAGAUGGUGGGUUGUUGCAUAUGAGUUGGAGUGUUCCUGGGUAUGUAGCUAGAAUUAGAGUGCUGUUGGAAGAUGGUAUUGCUACUGGAAGUUUUGCUCAAAAACUUGUCGUUGGAAUACUUGCAUUAAUUUUUGGAAAUUUUAUUGGGUAACUUGGCUAGGUGGCUGAAAUUUUAAUUGCUUUUGUGUAUUGAAGCAUUUGGAUUGUGUAAUAUAUAUUGAUAAUAUUUAAAUGUUAUGAAAGGUUUUGAUAAAUAAAUUGAUUUUUGUUCUUAUUUCUCACAGCCUUUUAAUUCUAUCAACAAAUCAAUGGGUAAUGUCAUUUUGUAUAAUUAUUUUUUUAAAUAAUACAUAAAGUAGUGAUACUAUAGUAACAGUAUCACAAAUACUAAUAUAGUAUUGUAAUAUUUUGAUACCAUGGUGUUAUGAUUUUAAUGAUACUAUAGUAAUAGUAAUUACUGACACCACUUACAAGUGUCACUAUUUUUCUGACUGCCAGAUUACUGACACAAUUAGCAAGUGUCACUAAAAGUAAUUACUGACACUAUUCUAAUGUCAGUAAAGACCAUUUUUCUAGUAGUGCAUAUCUGUCAAAUUUUGAUGGUUCUGUUUCAAAUCCAAACUUUGAAGAUUAUGAGAACUUCAACUAUAUGCCUUCAGCUUAUAAUCCUAUGUCUGGCAAUAGCUAUUAUUCUGGUUUUGAUGCUUGUACUCCUGGAGUAGCAUUUAUGGCUAACUUUGAAGGAGUUGCUAAUGAUGAAUGGUACUUGGAUAGUGGGGCAACUCACCAUCUGGACAACAACAUGGAGAGCUUGCAGAUCAGUGAGGAGUUUAAGGGUACUGAUUAGCUCAUAAUUGGUAAUGGUCAAGGUUUGUUUAUCACUAAUGUUGAUUUUGCAUUUCUGUCACAAAGAGCAUCAAAUUACUUAUCUGCACAUUCCAGAAUAGCACUUAAGGAUAUAUUACUUGUUCCAUCAAUUACCAAAAAUCUACUAAGCAUUUCCAAAUUGACAUCUGAUAACCCUAUAACUGUUGAAUUUUGUGGGAAUGUUUGUUUUGUGAAGGACAUGAAUAGACAAGUUCUGCUGCAGGGACUUGCCGAAAAAGGUCUAUACAAGCUGCUGCUGAGUUCUAAUUCCUCUUCUUCAUUUCCUUCAUCUCAUCUUUGUCAUACUCAACUAAAUAAUUAUGUCUCAAUGUUGUCUAGCUUUCAAAGCUUUGAUAAUCCUUCUAAAGUUUGUUAUCAUUCUGUUUUCAAUAAAUGCAAAACCAAAUAUGAUGUAAUGACAUUGUUACAUAGAAAAUUUGGUCAUCCAAGUUCAAUGAUUCUGAUGCAUUUAGCUAAGUCUUGCAAGCAAUUAAAAAUCUCUCAAAAAGAUAUUCUAUCUUGUACAAAUUCUUUGUGUGAGGCAUGUCAGUUAGGCAAAGUUCACAGGCAAAGUUUUCCAGCAACUGAAACAAAAACAAAAGGAGUAUUAGAACUGAUUCAUACUGAUAUCUAGGGACCUUCACCCACUGUAUCUAGAAAUGGAUACAAGUAUUACAUUAGUUUUGUGGAUGAUUACACUAGAUACACCUGGAUCUAUCCACUUAAGCUUAAAUCACAAGCAUUUGAAGUUUUCAAACUGUUCAAGGCACAAGUUGAAAAUUAGUUUAAUACCAAGAUUAAGGAAUUACAAUCUGAUCUGGGGGAGAGAGUUUAGAGUAUUCAGUAAUUUCCUAAGUCAAAAUGGAAUCAAGUUUAGACAUUCAUGCCCUUAUACUCAUCACCAGAAUGGUCUUGUUGAGAAGAAACAAAGACACAUAAUUGAAUUAGCAUUAACACUCUUAGCUCAAGCUAAUCUCCCUUUUCAGUUUUGGUGGAAAGCUGUUCACACAGCAACAUAUCAUAUUAAUAGGUUACCAACACCUGUUCUUAAGCUUUUAUCUCCUUAUGAAAAGCUCUUUAAACACAAACCAGAUUAUUCAUUUCAUAAGUGCUUUGGUUGCCUAUGUUAUCCAUAUAUGAGAGAUUUAAAUAAACACAAAUUUGAUUUUCACACCACCAAAUGCAUCUUCAUUGGCUAUAGUCAUUCUUACAAGGGUUAUAAGUGUUUAACAAGCUCAGGAAAAAUUCAUAUCCUAAGGCAUGUUAUCUUUGAUGAAAAUACAUUCCCUUACUUAACAAACAAAGUCUUUCAUUUAUCCGAGAACAGUUCAAAUUCUGAAAUAUCAGUGUCAAACUUUUCCCAGUAACAAAUUUAUCAUCUCUCCACAUUAUCCUUAACUGACAGCAGCUUGGAAGAUCUUCAAUCAGCAAGUUCAGAAAGCAAUGAACAAGUACCUUCUGUUUCUGCACACACAAAUAAUCUGCAUCAACAAGAGCAUUCUCAAGAGCAUUCCUCAUCAACUAUACCAUUAUCACCAACACAACAACAAACUGAAUCACAACCACAAAAUGAACCACAUCUAUCUACUUCCUAGCACAUAAAUCAAACUCAAACUAGAAACCUUCCUUCACAACCAUCACAUUCAAUGGUAACCAGAUCGAAAAUAUGGAAUCUUCAAGCCAAAAGUUUACAUAACCACCUUAACCAACAAAGAACCCAGUACUGUUCAAGAAGCUCUAAGUGAUCAGAAUUGGCAUCAAGCUCUGAAAGAUGAAUAUGAAGCUUUGCUUAGGAAUGAAACAUGGUCACUAGUACCAUUUUCAGAGGUAUACAAGGUUGUUGACAGUAAAGGGGUUUUCAGAAUUAAACAAAACACAGAUGAGAGUGUAGCUAAAUACAAAGCCAGGUUAGUUGCAAAGGGUUUCCAGCAAACUAAUGGUGUUGACUACUUUGAGACCUUUAGUCUUGUGGUAAAGGCCUGCACAGUAAGAAUUAUUUUUAGUUUGGCUGUGAUGAACAAGUGGAAAAUAAGGCAAGUGGAUGUCAAUAAUGCAUUCUUAAAUGGAGAAUUGACUGAAGAUGUUUACAUGUAUAAGCCAGAAGGUUUCAUUGAUGAGAAAAAGUCCAGUUAUGUAUGCAAGUUGAAGAAAGCCCUGUAUGGCUUAAAACAAGCUCCUAGAGCUUGGUAUGAUAAGUUGAAAAACCGUCUGAUAAGUUGAAAAACUGUUUGAUAAGUAAUUGGGGUUUUCAAAAUUCCAGAGCUGAUACUUCUCUCUUCUUCAAAGAGAUUCAAGGCUCAAUAAUACUUGUGCUUAUAUAUGUGAAUGAUAUACUUAUUACAGGGCCUGACAUUGGAGAAUUAGAGAAGUUUAUCUUAGAAUUCAGUAAGACAUUUGCUUUAAAGGAUCUAGGAAUACUAUCAUACUUUCUUGGGAUAGAAGUCUCUUAUGCUGAUGGUUGUAUGUACUUAUCUCAGAGAAAGUAUAUUAAUGAUCUCUUGUCUAAAGCUGAUAUGUUGAACUGUAAAGGGUGUGAUACUCCCAUAGCGAUUGGACUGAAACUUCAAAAGGAGGUUAAAGGUUGUUUAGGUCAGUAUGUUGAGGAUGCAACCAGUUACAGAAGUUUGGUUGGAGGCUUGCAAUAUCUGGUGUUAACCAGACCAGAGAUAGCCUUUGCUGUGCACAAACUCAGUCAAUAUGUGACAGCUCCAACAUUGCAGCACAUAAUGGCCUGUAAACGAGUUCUAAGAUACCUAAAGGAAACCAUGGAUUAUGGUCUAAAGUUUUCAGCUGGUGGAGAAAUGGAAAUCACAGGUUUUAUAAAUGCAGAUUGGGCAUGCGAUAUUGAUGACAGAAAAUCUAUAGGUGCAUACUGUAUCUAUUUUGGAAAUAAUCUGGUGUCAUGGUCAUCUAAGAAGUAGUCUGUGGUGAUAAGGUCUAGUGCAGAAAGCGAAUACAGAGCUUUGGCUUCUGCAAGUGUAGAAAUAGCAUGGAUUCAAUCUUUGUUCAGUGAGCUAAAUAUAAGAUGUGUCUCAGUACUUAUCAUCUGGUGUGACAACAUGAGUGCAACAAAGUUAAGAUAAAAAUCUAGUCUACCAUUCACGUACCAAACACAUUGAACUGGAUAUGCAUUUUGUUAGAGAUAAGGUUUUAGCAGAGGAGCUGAAAAUUAACUUCAUUCAAAGUGAAGAACAGAUAGCCGAUGUCCUAACAAAACCUCUCACAUUCAUUCAUUUUAAUUAUUUCAUAAACAAACUCAAUGUGCAGCCAUGCCCCUUGAGUUUGAGGAGGGCUGUUAAGGAAGCUCAUAACGUGUACAAGCAGUCAGCUCAAGGUUAGCACGUGGGAGAAUUUGCUGAGCUAAAGUUAGUUAAGUAAGCGAUGUCAGCUCAGCAAAUUCAGUCAAGGUUUACUGAGAUUUUAUUCAUAUUGUUUUCUUUUCUAUUAACAAUGUAUAAAGGCAUGCUUUGUACUCAUUUGAUCAAUAAGAAAAGAAGAAAUAAAAUCCAGAAUAUUCUCUGAAGUUUUCUCAGUAAAACAGAGUAAAUUUUCUUAGUAACCAAACAGUACAGAUCAGUGGAAUUUACGUUUUAUAACAACGUGUGUUGAGAAUGUUGGGUAUUGGCCAAUUCAAUUUUCAUGAAGCACCAGAAGACAACGCUUUAUUUGGUGGGGGUGAAGUUUUGAUACAGGUAUUGCUCGGUUUGAAAUAUUUAGAGGUAUUGGAGUUGACCUUGGGAAGUUAUCAUGCUCUCCAAAUUCUUUUGAGCUCAAAUCAGUCAAAAAGUUGUAUUCGAUCUCUUCUCCUCCACAAGUUUAGAGGUACAACGCCGAUUAUUGAUGCUACGGCUUUCGCAGAGCUAAACCACCUCAACGAAUUAUUUAUUAAUAAUAGUAUUGAGUUGAUAGAAUUGAAGAUUGAUUAUACAGAGAUAGUACAAAAAAGGCAGGAACCUUUUGUUUUCCGCAGCCUUCACCGUGUUACCAUAUUUAGGGCCCGUUUGGGAGUGAGGUGCUGUAGCUUUUAAGCUGCAGUUGCUGUGGAGUAAAAGCUAUAGAUGUGGAAUGGAAGUUGAUGGUGUUUGGUAAAAGUGUUGUAGCUUUUAAGCUGCAACUACUGAUGGUGUUUGGUAGAGUGGAUGAAUAUUUGUAAUAAUUAAUUUUAAAUAACAUUAUUUUUAAUUGUUAACAAAUCAAUUAUUUUUCAUUCUUCAAAUUAUUAUAUUGACAUACAAUUACGAUUUAUUCCGUUACAAAUUAAAUUAAUAUUUAAUAAAUCAAAUUUAUUUUUUUGCACAAGUUGUAAUAAAUAAUUUAUAAAACACAUCAUGGGGUCAAUUAUAAAUAAUUUUAAAUAACUAUUAUUGACAAUGCCAACCGGGCAGUGUACAUGAUAUGCUUCUCCAAAUUGCUUCGGUUUGUACCUGAUAUGAUUAAUCGAGUAUUAUUUACAAUACCAAAUAUAUCUAAUAAAAAUCAUACAACAAAACAAAAUAAAAUUAAAAUGUAAUUAAUUACAAAAUUUGUAUAAAUAUUUCUAUUGUUGUGCCUCCAUUAAACUUGCAGCAAUGCCAUCUUUCAAGAUUAUUAUAUCUUGAGUUGUGCUAUCAAUUGUUUCAUAACUUUCUUCAUGAGAUGCAAUAUGUUCGCUAAUACUAUGACUUGGUUCAUCCGUCAUUUCAUCAAAAUGAUCAUUAUUUUGUGAAUAUCUUCUGAUAUAAUUAUGCAAGGCCAUGGUAGCAAUAACUAUUUUCACCUGCUUCUUGAAUGGAUAGCUUGGCAUACUUCGUAAAAUCUUCCAUGUAUUCUUCCAAACCCCAAAAGUACGCUCAAUAACACUUCUCAAGGAAGAGUGCUUGUAGUUGAACAAUUCUUUAUAACCCAUUGGUUGGCUACCUCUACGAAAUUCAGGAAGGUGAUAUCUUUCACCCUUAUAUGGUCCUAAGUACCCACAUAACUCCGGAUAUCCUGCAUCUACUAAAUAAUAUUUUCCUAAAAAUAAAAAGAAAAAUACAAAAUAAAUAAAACAAUCUAAUCAAUUGAAUAUGUAUAUAUAAAAGAAAAAUUAGAAACACAAACCUGGAGGAGGGUUUGGAAAAUUGAAUGCAGGAUUCGUAAUAGUUGUUUGAAAUACCCUUGCAUCAUGGGCACUGCCUUCCCAACCAGCCACUGCAAAUAUGAAUUGCAUAUCAAAGCUACAUACAGCCAUUACAAAUUCUUUUCCCACCAUUCCUCACUUGCAUCAACUGUCCUCAACCUAUGAUUCCACCCUAAACCAGUUUCUUUGCCAAUCAAAUUCUUCCACAAUUUCCAAUCAGUUCUAAGAGAAUCCCAUUUAUUUUUCAUUUGAGUUCUGUUGUAAUCUAAUCCAGUUUCUUUAGUGAACUCCUUAAUCAAAUUUUCAUAUCCUUGGGAAGUCAAAUGAGUCCCUGGACGAUGUCCGGCAUCCACCUCUUUAACGCAUAAGUCACAAAAUACAUCUAAAGUCUGGGGGUUCCAAGUAGCCUUACUAGUUGAGCUAUUAGACACAAUUUCAUACACUUAAACCUAGGAAAAAAAAUAUUUCUUUAUCAAACAACAAUACAGAAAAAAUAAGAAUAUAGAAGUUAAGAAAAUUACUAGAAUCUUGUUAUGGAUGGUGGAAGGAAAAAUAAUUCGAUAUUAAAAAAUUAAAAAAAAAGACAAACCAGAACAAGUUACCUUAGUUGUUACUUUACUUGAAAUACUUUUCCAGCAAACAAUAAUGAUCAUAGCCCACGAAUAGAAACAAUUACAAGCAAGUCAAUAAAGCAACAAAAGACAAACCAGACUAGGAAACAAAGAAAUUCAACUAAACAAUCAUUAGGUACAAACUGCAAUUGCAUUUAGCCUCACAAUCUCAAAUUUGCUACGUGCUUUGAUAUUUCCUGUACUAUUCUUUUGGCCCAUCCUAAGACAUAUACAAUUGCAAUUGCAACACUUUCUCCCUUCUUUUUUCUGUAAUUCGUAUGGCGACUUACGUAUAUAUAACCUAAUUAAUUGAAUUAAAUUGAUGAUGGGUUAGAAAAUCAUUAGGCUUAUUAAUUAUACGCGUCAAAAGAAUGGUCGGCCAAUAAUUAGGUGUCCUGCUUAUACUCCUGUAAUUUAGUCAUUCUCUAGUAAAUAUUAUUAAAUAAAAAGAAACACAAACAAUUAAGCUUAUUGGUAACUGAACUGGUGCCCAAAAAUAACAAGAGCAGGAGAAAGCAAACACACCCAAGAAUUUGACAAACUUCAACUUGAAAUCCAGAAUUUGACAAACUUCCUUUUGUUUACUGAAGCAUAGUAUUUCAUAACGAAGGCAUGCAUUUUAUUAUUUAAUGUCUUGUAGAACUGGAAACUCAAAUCAAACAGGGGUUGUGCAUGUUUAUAAAAAGCAACUACAAAAAUAAAAACUACAAUAAAAACAAUGGUUACAAGCAAAUAAAUCACGCAUGACCCAUCACCCAUCAAUUUAUUCUAACAAAAGCCCCAACAUUUUAUGAAUGAAAAGGAAGAAAAUGAAAAAUUGCUUGAAAUAGAGUAAAGGAGUACUCAAAAAUGAACAACAGAUAGAGGAAAAGGCACCACUGACAGAGGCGUAUGAGAGUGGCCGGUGUCGGAAUCGCGCCGAUGAGAAUUUCGGUGUCAGAAUCGCAUCAAUUGGAACUCCCACAGUCGGAAUCGUGCUGAUGAGAAUGGGUGUUUAGGGUUUGUUUAAAAAAAUCGAUUUGAAAUAGAACUCCCACUGACAUGACUGUUUGAUAAAAUGAAAAUGGAAUAAUAUAUAAAGUUAAUUUAGUAAUUAAACUUGCAGCUGGGAAAAAAAAUCUGUCAAGUUGUCAAAACACAACUAUAAGUGGUACCAAACACUUUGGUGGCUGGGCUGCUCACCACACUCCCAAACGGGACCUUAGUUGCGGUAAAUUGAAAGAUGUGACAUUCCUCGUUUUUGCUCCAAACCUCAAGUCUCUUUGGCUAUUCGAUUGCGGUGCUAUGGAAGAAAUAAUCAGCGUCGGAAAAUUUGCUGAGACUCCUGAGAUGAUGGGACAUAUAAUCCCUUUUGAAAAUCUCCAAAUGCUUAAUUUAAUGGAAUUGCCGGAGUUGAAGAGAAUUUUCUGGAAGCCAUUGCCUUUCACUCAUCUGAAAGAAAUAUCUGUGGGUUAUUGCCGUAAUCUUAAAAAGCUUCCACUCGAUUCCAACAGUGCAAAAGAGCGUAAAUUUGUAAUUCGUGGAGAAGAAGACUGGUGGAACCGACUUCAAUGGGAGGAUGAAGCCACUCAAAUUGCUUUUCGUUCCUGUUUCCAACCUCGUUCCUGAGCGGUGGUCGCAAAAUUUGAUUUCUGGUGAGUGCGUUUUUGUUAACGCUUAUGUUUUUAUUCCAGUGUGUUUUUCUUCUGUCUUCUGCAAAUCACGAUUAAAUGUUGAAUAAUAUGGAAUCAAUGCUUUAUAAAUUUUCCGGCGUGGCCAUUUCCUUUUCCCUUUUUUUUUUUGGGGGGGGGGGGGGGGCGUGGUUCGAUUGAUGCUCUGGCUUUUUACUUUUUGUCUUCGAAUUUUGCUCUGUUUUUCAAAUUGAUGCUUGAAUAGUUGAAUUCAAUUAAUGCUCACAUAAAUUUGUUUAGUUGCCGUAAAACGGUAAAAGGAUAUAAUUAGAUUGAAAUUCGCACUUCUAGAAUGAAUAGAAUUACAAUAGAGAAAAUAUUAAGUAUACAAGCCCUCUUUACAGAAAAUCAAAUGAAAAUAAAAUUUUUUGGAUAUUUGAUUUUCUAUGGUCUACUGUAUACGCUUUAUAAAUUCCUCUGCUUUAACGAUAACCAAAUCCUUUUUUCAAGGAUUUUUAUUUGGGGUAUUGAUAAUAGUCCACCAACAUAGUGAACGCUUGGAUGCUGCUUAAGGAUCUCUAAUCAGUAGCUGGAAGCAAAUGAGAAGGCGGUCGCUACUUUGUACAAAGCCAUGCAGCAAUUGCUAUUCAUUUUCAAACAAAGUUGAGAUGUUAUUUUCAGAUUUGGUUCCAGAUUUUGUAUGAAUAUCGUUGUUCCAUUGAGUUGUAUAUGAAUUCAAAUGUAAAAUAUUCUUUGGUUUUCAAUUUUGAAUUCAAUUUCUUUUUCUUAAGCAUGUUGUGCAGAAAUGAUUUCUACUAAAUCAUUUUUGAUAAACUAUUUAAAUUAAACAACUGGAAUAAGAACUGUAAGGAUUUAUCGUAAGCAGACUAAUAUGAUAAUUCUGAAACUAUCAUUUUUUUUUUUUCAAUUUGUUGCAGGGAAAGCCAAAUUUUGCGUUUUUCAGUUUUAUCUGAUAUGGGCUUUAUUUCCUCUACACUAGCUACCUAAAGAUUUAUCAAAUUGCUUCUCUUCCCUGCUUCAAAUAUCUUCAUGGCAUCAUAGGAAAAGAGAGUUUGGGUUGUAUUUAUUAUAGUUUUUAUUUUUUUUUUUGUUAUAAGCAAAUUUAUUUUAAAUACUUUAGUAGUAACAGUUUUUAUUGAAUAAUAAUGAGGGAUGAUUAUUAUAGGUUCAAAUAGUUGUUAGAACAUUAUAAAAAGUCUAUUUACUAUCAAAUGUUUUAAAUUGAUGCAACGUGAUAAUUGUCUCAUAUAAUUUUUUUAUAAUAUAUAUGUCCCAUAAUCUUAACAUGAAUAAAUGAAUUUCAACGGUUAAAUUUGACACGAUUAUUAAAUAGAUCAUAUCUAUAUUAAUUCGAUUUAAAAUCUGGUCACAUUUGGAUUUAGAGUUUCUAACAUGAUAACUUGUUUUAUGACAUGAUUUACUAAUCAAUUAAUAGUAAAUCAAAUGUCAGUCAAUUAAAUAUGUGGUACAUUUGUCAUAUUUUAAAAAUUAUUUAUUUAUAUUUGAAAUGAAUUUGGUGCNNNNNNNNNNNNNNNNNNNNNNNNNNNNNNNNNNNNNNNNNNNNNNNNNNNNNNNNNNNNNNNNNNNNNNNNNNNNNNNNNNNNNNNNNNNNNNNNNNNNAUAAGACGACGCGACACAAAUACAACCAACAAGUCAACCCAAAUUGCCACCUUUUACUAUCUUCUUUGUGUUAUUUCUCUAAAAAUUUGUGCCUUCUCUUACACUUUUAAAUCUGAAGUGUUUGAACUGGAGUACACAAAUUAUCUCUCUACAAUUCCAAAACAACCAAUUUGUUACUUGGUAAAUCUUAAUCAAUGGCAGGAAGCAAUUGAGAAGGCGGUCGCUACUGUGUACAAAGCCAUGCAGUAUUUGCUAUUCAUCUUAAUAAUUGUUAAGCUUUGGUAAAAUUUUCAAACAUAGUUGACAUCAUGUUGUUUUGAGAUUUGGUUCAUGAUUUUGUAUGAAUAUCGUUGUUCCGUUUGAGUUGGAUGUGAAUUGAAACCUAAAUAUUCUUUAUUUUUCAAUUUUGAAUUCAAUUUCUUUUUCUCAAGCAUGUUAUGCAGAAAUGAUUUUUACGAAAUCAUUUUUGAUGAAUUAUUUAAAUUAAACAAUUGGAAUAAGAAUUGUAACGAUUUAUCAUAAGCAUGCUAAUAUGAUAAGUUGUUUUACGAACGAUUAAUUAAUCAAUUAAUAUUAGAUUAUAUAUUAGUCAAUUAGAUAUGUGUUACAUUUGUCAUAUUCUAAAAACUAUUUAUUUAUAUUUCAAAUAAAUUUGACCAGAGGUUACGUAGGUAAUACUACAUAAUUUCUAAAGGAAUGUAAAAAUUUAAAGUUUUAUUAAAUAGGUGACUCAAUAAUAAAUGGAUUUCUGCAAGAAUUGAGAUUCUUGAGAUAAUUAUUACAUAGGGAAUUUUGGUUAGUUCAAUUUUGACAUGGUAAGAAGACGACACGGCGCAGAAAACCCAAAUUGCCACUUCUACUAGUAAUAAAAGAUACCUGUUUGAAAAGUAAUUAUAAACUAUCUUCUUUGUGUUAUUUCUCAAAACUUUUGUGGCACAAUGUUAUUUCCCUGGAGAAAAGUACGAAAUACCCCCUUUCACGUCGGCAGAAGCAAAGCAAAGCUAUGAGCUAUCUCUGUAUACUUGAAACGCCAUUGCUAAACGAUUCUCGAUGAUGGGUGCCACUGGGUCAGUGUUGUCUCUGAUUUACAUGAUUUAUUAGUUGUCCAGAUGCCAGAGAAACCAUGGUGGCAUUGAAGUUGCCCAGAUGGUUAGUUUUCUGAUCAUUUUUUUAUUCAAUUAUUUAUUUUUUUAGAAAAAUGUGAGAAAUAUGUAGAAAUGUUGACAGCUAUGAUUUUGAAACUUUGCCUAAAAUUGUUAUCAUCACUUAUUUAAAGAGAAAUCCUAGAAACAUGAAAUGAUUAGUAGCCUAAUUCAAAAUUAGACGUGAUUACAACAAGAGAAAAGUGGAGAGAACUUGAUAAUCGAGUGCAUUUAGAAUUUAAUUUUUCUUUUAGCUGCCGAUCAUUAAAUUUUCGAUUUCAGAAAAUUAUACCUAGAAUAUUUCAAGGAUAUACUAUGAAGAUUAUGAAGGUUUGAUUACAUGUCACUAUCAAUUGCCCCAAUCAUUUGUAGUAAAUUAAUUGAUCAUUUUGAUGCAAAUGAUUCCCUACUAAAAAAUUUAAGUCAAGGCUGAAUUGCAUAGUAGUUAGUCGCGCUUGCACUUCAAAUUAAGUAUUGUAUUUUCUGCCUGGUUUGGUUGAUUAAAGUGUGUGCAUUUGCUUUUGAACGUUGUAGUAUAGAAAUCGAAACAUUUGUUUUUCGCUAAGCCCAGAAGCAAAGUUCUUUGUACUGUACUCAUCACUUCUCUUCAUUCUCUUUGUUGAAAUUUUUUCCAAACAGCGGUUUCUUCGAAUUUGUGCCUUCUCUUCCACUUUUAAAUCUAUCAAAGAACCGUUACCUGAGAAGAUUGCCAUCAGGAAUUUCUAAAUUGAUUUCACUAUAAUACCUUAAUCUUUCAGAUACUCCCGUCACUGGGUUGCCAAAAGUGCUAAAAGCCUUCGUAAAUCCUACGUGUUUGAACUGGAGUACAAAUGUUAUCUCUCCACAAUUCCAAAACAACUGAUUUGUUACUUUUCAAUGCUACACGUUCUGCGAAUGUUCAGUUGUGGUUAUCUUGCUGAAAUACCAGAAAAUAGGGUUCUAGUUGGCGGUAGUGGAUUCUUGGUUGGGGAAUUGCUUAGUUUAAAACAUUUAGAUGUAUUAAGCAUCACCUUAAAAGGUUUUUCUUCUGUCCAAAAACUUAUGAGCUCCCAACAGUUUCAAAGCUGUACAAAAUGUUUGGAGCUUAUAGACUGUGAUGAUUCAAAGUCGUUUGCCUUGGCAGAGUUGAAGCAUCUUGAAAAACUAGGUUUUUCAAAUUGUGGAAAUUUGGAAGAUAAAUUACAUUUAUAAACUGUGGAUCGCCCUUUAUAAGUAUUAGGCUUAUCCCAUACUCGAGCAAUGUGGAAUACCUUUAUAAGCAUUAAGCCUCUCCCAUACAAUUUCUGUACAUGACUUUAAAAGUGGUUGAUGACCCGUUUUGUAAUAUCAUAGAGGGAUCAUGAAUUCCUUUUCUUUUCUGUGGCUAGGCAACACUUUUGGGCCAAAGUAAGGAAAUCUAUUUUAGGUAAUGUAAAAACCAGUUGUGGGAUGUAAUAGUUUAUUAUGCACUGACAACAACUUUUUGUAUAAUUGUCAGUUUAAUGAAUACGAGAGGAACUCUGUUGGCAAAUUCAUCCAUGAUAGAUGCUAAAAUUAUACCAGUUGCCUUAACUAAUUUUUCUCAACACUGGUAUUGAACAGGAAAAUGAAUAUGCAAUUUGUAUUUGUGCCAUUGUGGAGAAUUUGGAUAUUCUUAGUUUUAGUAACAAGGAGAGUAUUUGCCUCAUCUUUAAACAAUGAAUCUUUGAGAAAUGAGGACUGGGUGAUUGGCAGUGUCAGAGUGUCUUCAUGUAAAUGUUCAUUUAUUUGUAUUUUGAACUAUUAUUAGAAUCUUUAUAUGCCAAAUUAGUAAUACAAAUGUUCAGAUGAUUUUUCCUGGUGAUCAUUUCAUUCUUGAGAGCCAUGUACAAUACUAGGAUACCAGAGAAACCAAGGUAGCAUUGAAGUUGCCCCAGUGGCUAGUUUUCCGAUCAUUUUUUAUUCAAAUUUUUAUGUUUCAGAAAAAUGUAAGAAAUUUAUAGAAAUGUUGAUAGCUAUGAUUUUGAAACUUUGCCUAAAAUUGUUAUCAUCACUUAUUGUUUCUUAUUUAAAGAGAAAUCCUAGAAACGUGACAUGAUUAUUCCAUACUUGUUUUAAUAUUAUUUAUUAGCAGCCUAAUUCAAAAUUAGACGUGAUUAUUUGUUACUUUUAAUGCUACAUGUUCUGGGAAUAUUCAGUUGUGGUUAUCUUGUUGAAAUACCAGAAAAUAGCGUUCUAUUUGGUGGUAGUGGAUUCUUGGUUGGUUUGAAUGUAUUAAGCAUCACCUUAAAAGGUUUUUCUGCUGUCCAAAAACUUACGAGCCCCCAAAAGUUUCAAAGCUGUGCACAACCUUUGGAGCUUAUAGACUGUAGUGAUUCAAAGUUGUUUGCCUUCGCAGAGUUGAAGCAUCUUGAAAAACUAGGUUUUUCAAAUUGUGGAAAUUGGAAGAGUUUAAGUUCUGCUGUGUUGAGGAUGGAAAGGCUCGAGAAUGUUUUCGUGUGAACAGCUUCAACGAGUUAAGAUAAAGGCUUGUCAUAAAUUGAGGGAAGUGACAUGGCUUGUAUUUGCUCCGUAUCUUGAGGUUAUUCAAAUAGCCAAAUGUAUGGGGAUAGAAGUAAUAAUCAGUGCAAGGAAAUUGGGUGAAGUUCCAGAGAUGAUGGCAGAUCUAAACCCUUUUGCAAAACUCCAAUAUCUUGGCCCACGAGUUCUACCAAAAUUAAAAAGCAUCUAUUGGAAUCAGUUGCCCUCUCUACAUGUCAGGCGAAUUUUGUGUCUGAAUGCCCAAUUCUCAAGAAGCUUCCACUUGGUUUUAACAAUGCAAAGGAAUCUAAAACUAUCAUUAGGGGAGAAGAACACUGGUUGAAUGAGCUGCAAUGGGAGGACAAAGUGACCCUUAAUGUUCUUCUUCCUUGUUUCGGAUCCAUUUGAAGGCAUCAACAUGGAUUGAUACUUUGCAGUGGAGAAAUUUGAAUAAAACCUAUGGUAAGCGCUUUUCCAUUUAUUGCAUAUUUAUAUCUAACUUUUGUUUUCCUUUGUGGUUAAAUUUUGCUCUAUAUACGUUGUUGUACGGUGACAUUCUCAUAUCAAUUAUUAGCUUUUUAAUUCUCUUCUCACAUUAACUGCCCUUUUGAUCAUGUAGGAUAUGCUGAUGUCAAAGAGUCGUAAUUUGGGAUGCAAAUGUAAGAAUUAGACAGAUGACCAGUUGUUUUGAAGCGCUCGAAGAAGGAUUAAUUACGUCAUUGAAAGGCUCCAAUUUUGUGACUUUUUUUUUUAAUUUGUUGUUUUUUCUAUUUUUAGAUAGCUUGAUUGUCAGUUGUCGUGAUGUAAUGCUUUAGUGUAGAAAAAUGAUAUUCGGCCAAGACAACAUUAGCAGGGCACCUUGUGCAUGCAUACUAGUGGAUAAUUUCGGCAUGCUAAAUCCAAUUAGGGUGGAUGACCCUUUAUAAGCAUUAGGCUUCUCUCAUACCCGAAAACAAUGUAGAAUACGCUUAUAAGCUGCGGAUCACCCAUUAUAAGUUUUAGGCUUCUCCUUUACUCGAGCGAUGUGGAAUACCUUUAUAAGCAUUAAGCUUCUCCCAGUAUCUUUAUGUUAAAAAUAAUAAUAAUAAAAGAAAUCCAUUUUAAAAUAGACUCUUUUUUCUUUUUCUAUAUAAACAAAUGCAUUCUUCAAAUCAAUUGUGGGCAGAAGAAGUUAGUAGAAAAGAACUAGUCCCCUUUCAUUCCCCCUUAAAGCUCACCAAAGCCUCUUUUGUAAGCUUUUCGGAUUUUCUUUCUAUAUUGCUUAUGAUCUCAUUUUUGAUUGAAUCACUUCUUUUGCAUGCUGCAUAUUUUGUUUGUUGUAUUUGGAUAUUAUCGUAUCUGGAAUGCUGUUAUGAUUGAUGGAACAAGUAAUCGAUAUUUGGUCUGAUGGAAGUUGACUUAUUUAUUUAUUGUUAUUUUAAUUUGAAACUAUGUACAAUUGCAUUUCAUUCAUUUCUCUCUCUCCCCCCCCCCCCCCCCCACACACACACACAUAUAUUUGUUAUGUAUAAUUGCGUUUCAUUUGAUAUUGAUCAUGCUGUAGAUAACCAUGUGAUUGUAGAUGGGGAUUUCAAGUUUGUUGAAUAUUCAAGUAAGUGAAGUAACUGUCAAAAUACUAGUGAAAUUGGGAGCUUUAUUCAUGAGCUUGUGGUUUUGAAAAGUACCACAGUUCAACCGAUGAAGGUUCCUUUUUGGGGUUCUUCUUUUUCUAGGCUGCAAUUAGGAUAUGUACAUGUUAGACAAUCUUUUGCGGGUUUAGCAUAUCUUCUCUGAUUUUGUCUUUUAUUCCCCAAUCUUAUAAUUGCACACCAUGAAUGUUGAGUGAUUGUAUAGAAAAUUUGUGUUAUAACCAAAGCGUUGUGAAGGAGUUAAGUUAGUGGCUUCUGUUUUAUUGGCAUUGAUUGGGUAGAUUAUGUGUUACAGUGAUUCAAUUUGUGCUCCAAAGUUUGCUUUAAUUUCUUUUUUCCCUAAUUAUUUAUGUCAAAUUUAAAUCCAGAAGCAUGUACUGAUUUUUUCUUUUUGUAUUAAUCUGUGAAGGUUAUUUGGAAUGGAAGUAUCUGGGUUGGGUCUAACGGAUUAAAUUAUGACAUUGGGGGGAAGGCAGUAAAGGGUUUGCUCGACACAUUUGGUUCUGUGUUUACUUUGCAAGAAAUAGCUUUUGGUUAUCACAAUGCCGGUGGAAUCCCGAUUUGGCUCGUGAAUUUCUUUGUGACAAAUAGGCAAACACAUCAACCUCUUCUAUCCAUCCUUCUACUGGUAAGGCAAGGGGUAAAGAGUCUUCAAAAUCAUCAAAUAGUAACAUCUCUGAGAAUUCAUUUUAUGCAAAUGGAAAAUCUAGACCUUCUAAGACAAAAUGGCGUCCUGUAUCAGGAGGUACCGUUUCAAGUUUUCUUGGUAAAAAUUAUGUUAAACCUGCACAGCCAGCUAAUGGCACAUUUCUAGCAUCAAAGCCAUUGAAGUUGGAUCCAAAGGGGUUUCCCAUGUCUCCACUUUUGCGGAGAAGAUACUAAACUGAAACAAUCAAAGGAUGACCAUUUGCAGAAGGAUAUGGAAGAUUUUCUGUUUAAAUUGCUAGGAGAAGUGUUCCUAUUGUCCUUUUCAAUGUUCUUUCUUUCUUUCUCUUCUUUUCUUCUUCUUCUUCUUUUUUCUUUUUGUGUGCGUGUGAUCACUAAUUUGGUAUUGUAGUUUAGUUGCAGAUAGUUGUGGAUAUGAUAUGCAAAAGGUAAGGACUAUAUCUUCCUGAUGGAGGCCUCUGCUUUUUCCUUUAUGUGUAAUUUAAUAAAUUGCAUCUUCCUUUGUGAUUGUUAUAUCAUAUCAAAGACAAGUCUUAAAUACUGCUGUCAUAUGUUAAGGUUCAACUUGCAGUUUGAUUAACAUUCAUGGCUCAAAGGCCUGAAAAAACUUGCCAGUAAUUGUAAAAUGACAUUCUUUGCUUUUAAUGCAAUAGAGGGAACAGGGAAGUAUAGCUUUGGAAGCCUGGAUUGGUAACUAUAGAGAGACUUAGUAUUUAAUUGAUAAAAAUUCCCAUAACCCAAGGUCAAGAAAAUUUUAGAUCGUUAAAGACUUCAUUUUGUUUCGGCCAGAAAUGUUUGUUUCGAUCGAAGACUUGAACCAUUUCGAUUGAACCUGAUUAUGAUGCUUUACGUUAUGCAUGUUCCUCUUAAUCAAGAAAAGUUGAGGUGAUGAUUUUAUAUUUCUAUAUUGUAAGUUGAAAUAAUAAUUGGUCUGCUUGUUUCUGUAGCUUGAUAACAUGAAUUUUCCUUCUCAAGUUAAUUUAAUCAAUAAAGUAAUUCUUCAAAGAAAAUAUGCCCAUUCUAUAAUCAUUUUCUUAAUUAACAUGUUUUUUUCUUCACACUUCAGAGCAUGUUGAAACUAAUUGAUCGCUCGGCAGAGACUUUGGGUGAGAAGACAAAAUUUCUCGGUAAAUCCUCUGAAAAGGUAUGCAUAAUUCCGCAGUAUUAAAUAACCAAUGGUCAUAAUUUUUGUACAGGACUCUUUUCUUGUGGAGAUAAUUAAAAGUGGCUGAUGAUCCAGUUUGUAUAUCAUAGAGGGAGCAUCAAUUCCUUUUGUUUUCAGUGGCUAGGCAACACUUUCAGGGCAAAGUAAGGAAAUCUAUUUUAGGCAAGUAAAGCCAUGUAGAUGUAAUAGUUAACAUGCACUGACAAUAACUUUGUAUAAUGUCAGUGAACGAUACAAGAGGAAUCUGUUGACAAUCAUCCAAGAUAGAUGCUAAAAUUAUUAUGCAUGCCAGUUGCUUAAUAAUUUUCUUACACUGGUAUUGAAGAGGAAAAUGAAUAUGCAAUUUGUAUAUGUGCCAUGUGAGAAUUUGGAUAUCUAUCUAAGUAACAAGGAGAGUAUUGCCUCAUCUUUAGACAAUGAAUCUUGAGAAUUUGGAUAUUCAUGUAAAUGUUCAUUUGUUUGUAUUUUGAACUAUUAUGAGAAUCUUUUAUAUGCCAAAUUAGUAAUGCAAAUGUUCAGAUUAUUUUUUCUGUUGAUCGUGCAUUUGUGUCUGCACACAACCAUUGUAUAUCACUUCAUUCUGAUGCGCAAGUGUCUGUAGUUUAGAAGAAAAGAAAUAAUAAUGAUAUAUUAUUGCUUGAUUCAUGAUUAUUAAAUGAUUAUGGCUUUAAAAAACCUACAAAUUCCUUUUGUUGAUAUAUGAAUGUACCAAGUUUGCUAUAUCUUAGAUUACCAUUUCCAAGAUAACAAGUUCAAAUUUUUUCUUUAUCCUUUUCCUUCACAGUUGCAUUUUAAGUGUAAGAUUUGUUAUUAAUACCUGGUUUCCCGUCAUUAUGAUUUCAUAAACAGUGUAUGGGUAUGUGCUCUACUUUUGGAGGGCCUCCACGUGAAAGAAAAUUGUAACAAUUGAAUUCUUCCGGAUGGUAUGGUAUUUAAUUUAUUUUCUCAACCUCUUGUAAGACUAAUAUAUUUUCCUUUAGUAGACACGGCAUGGUGGGAAGGGUUUUUUAUUGAAAGAAUUCUGAUAUUUCUUAGACUUUGUUUUGGAAGGGGGUGCAGGGGUUUCUCAUCCAUAUAUGGUUACUUGAUUAGCUUUUGACUGUAUUGCCUCAAUCGUGCAAAGGAAGAUCCAAAUACAAACGAAAGAGAAUUGUUUAGACACCCAGAAGAUGGAAAUGAACUACAGAAGGAAGUUUUUGCUGCUUUAUUUAGUGCUCCUGAGAAAUCUGAUGAAUUUCCUGAAAUUACGGUGAAGACCAAGUGUGAGGUCCAAAGCAUUAGGAAAGGUGGUGAGUGAACUGCCGGAGCAAUUGGUACAGAAUACAAGGCUAAUGUGGUGGACUUGCAGCAAGAUAACCGGAACAGUACGUGCUCUUAUAUUAACUAUAUUGACUGGAUUUGCUAGUGUGUGCAUUUUCGUGUGUAUACUUUUGUAUUUAUGCAUAUUAAUGUGUGUAGGAUUCUUGAUUUCUGCCACUUAUUGGAGAACUAAUGGAAAGCUUUAUACUGGUAUAUCUGCAAUAACUAAUGGAAACUAUGAUAUUAAUAUUUUCUCUCGCUUGGAGAAUGCGUAACAGAUAUACUUUGUGGCUCUGGAAUACUAAAGAUUCUGCAAUAACUAAUGGAAACUAUGAUAUGAAUAUUUUCUCUCACCUGGAGAACUUUGUAACAGUUACACUUUGGGGCUUGGAAUGUCUAAAGAAUUUUGUCUGCUUCAGUUAGAUCAAAUAUCUUUUAGUUACAUACAUUAUAGAAAAGAUAAAGUUCUCUGAAUCUGAAAGACUUAAAAUUUUGCAUAUUUCUUGAUAGGGAAAUAUCUGUAGAUACUAGUUCAUGCAUUGUGGUAGCAUCAGUGUUAAAGAAAAACAGCAGUAAGUUAUUAUAUAGAAUUAGGUUCACUUGCUUUAAAUCCUGGUCUGGUCAACCAUAUGAACCUGUAAGUGGUUCUGUAGAAAUAUAUAUAUACGGGGAGAAAGUAGCUAAAUUUUCCUUUCAUUUAUGGGUUUGGUCAUUUUUUCCCCUUAUUUAUGUUUUCUCACACAUUUUUUAAAUGCCCCAGACAUGCAAUUUUGUAUGUGUCAAUUGCCUUUUAAGUUUUAAAAACCAUAAAGUAAGAAUACAGUUUCUUGUCAGGCUAUUGAUGCAUUUGCUCGGGGGGAUCAUGCUCGAGCAGGAAAACUUCUAGAACAGGUAAGGUUUCCAUCUACAGCCAUUUAUUGACAACAUAUAUAUUUUCAUUCAGCAAGCACUGUUAGCAUUCAAGAUGCUGGCAGAUUCACUUGAUUCUUAUUAGUUUGUUUAGUAGCAAAGCAUAUAACCUGUAUUUUAAAGCUAAGUUGUGCUAUUGAUUAUGUUAACUUUAUUGUUCACAUAAAGUGAUAUUGAGGAAAUAAUCAAUGUAGGAAAAUUAGGUGAAGAGAUGAUGUCAAAUCUUGAACCUCUUACAAAACUCCAAGUUCUUUACUUGAAGAAGCUACCAAAUUCGAACAGCAUCUACUGGAAGGCCUUGCCAUUCCCUGAUGUAUGCAGAAUUUUUGUAUUUAAAUGCCCAGAGCUUAAGAAGCUGCCACUGGAUCUUGAGAGGGCAGGCCAAGGUAAAAUUCUUAUCAAGGGAAAGAAAGAUGGGUGGAAACAACUUCAAUGGGAGGAUCAAGUAACUCAGAAUGCAUUGCUUUCAUUUUAAAAAUCAACCAACAAGUGAUUGAAGGGGGCAUCAUCAACGUAAUCAACAUGGAUGGAGAGAUUCUGGAGCAGAUCAGCGGGGUUUAGUACGACCUGUGGUGGUUUCUUUUUUGUGACUUUUUUGCCUUUCAUUUUUUCACUUCCUGUCAUAUUAUCAUUUCUUUGUCUGUGUUUCUAUUGCUAGUGUUGCUGCAUGCUUGCUGUCCUUGACAAAGUUAGCUAGUUUUUUUUGUUUAUUAAAUUUUGUAUGUUCGGUCGGGACAGUCACAAAGUACUACUUGUUCUAUAUGGGGGUGAUGUGAAUCAACUUUUCAAUUAUAUAUUCUGUGGUAAUUGUGAAUUCAAUUUCAUUUAUCUCCUGCAAAUUAUGAAGAAAGUGCAGAGUUACAAUAUGGAAAAGUUCACUGGCAAAUACUUUGUAAAAGCUUCGGAGUGAAACAGGAAAUGCACUUGCAACUAAGGACAAAUUGGUGGCCGGCUAAUGCAUUCAUUUUAGGGAAAAGGACACAGACCCUCAACGUUUUAAUAAGGGACAUAAAACUCCCUAAUAUUUUAAAAAAAAUACUCAAACCCCCAUUUGUUAAUAGUAAAUUCUAAGUUUAAAGUGUAAUUACCAUUAUACCUUUAUAGCAUAUUAAAAAAUAAUUAUUCAUUAUUCAAUUUAUUCUUAUAUUAUUAAUAAAAUUACGAAUAUAAUUUCAUUAUCUAAUUUUUUCAUUUAAUUUUUGUUAAAUUUUCUCUUCAAACUAAAUAAAUUUAAUCCAUUGCUUAAGAAUAAAAAUAAAUUAAAUUGAUUACUAAUAUAAUAAAAAUAACAUAUAUUUAAUAUAAAAAUAACAUAUAUUAAAUUAAAAUAAAUUUAAUUUAUAUAUAGAGAAUUGUUAUUUUUAAGAAAUUAUCAAUUUAAUUUAUAUAUAAGAAAUUAUAAGAAAUAACAUAUGGAGAAUUGUUAUUUUUAUUAUAUUAAUAAUCAAUUUAAUUUAUUUUUAUUUUUGAGCAAUGGAUUAAAUUUAUUUAGUUUGAAGAGAAAAUUUGAUAAAAAUUAAAUGGAAAAAUUGGGUAAUGAAGUUAUAUUCAUAAUUUUAUUAAUAAUAUAGGAAUAAAUUAGAUAAUGAACAAUUAUUUUUUAAUAUGCUAUAAGGGUAUAAUGGUAAUUGUACUUUAAAAUUAGAAUUUACUGUUAACAAAUAGGGGUCUGAGUGUCUUUUUUGAAACAUUAGGAAAUUUUGUGUCUCUUAUUCAAACGUUGGGGGUUUCUGUGUUAUUUUCCCUUCAUUUUAUGUACAUUCAUCUUUUUAAUUAUUGAAGAUAAGUGGUUCGUUGCUUUUGUUGUAGAUAAAAUUCAGACGACCUCAAUUGUGACAUGACAAUAUUUAAAACAUCUCUUAAAUUAUUAUAAAUUUAAUUUAUCUUAACUUUAUUGAAAAGAUAAAAGAAAAAUGUGGUGUAUGGAUAAAUUUUUUUUUAUCUUCUUAAUCAAAUGGAAUAAAUUAAAAUUUACAAUAAUUUAAAAUAUUUUAAAAAUUAUUAUUUCAUAAGAGAUUAAUAUGAAAUUAAUCGUUUUUACUUUUUUAAUGUGAAAGGACAAGAAAAGAGAAAGCAUGUGUCCCUGCUUUUUAGUUUUUAUUUUAUUUGAAAUCGGAGUUAUCCCAUAUACUUUACUAAUUUAGCUCUAACAUUACAAUGUUUUUAGGCUACACUUUUAUUUUUCUUUUUCCCCCUUUUUUUAUACAUGCAUGUGGAUUACUUUUCUCUAAGCUCCUUAAUAUUUAAGACAAAUCAUAAAAGCAAUUGAAGUAUAACAAGAUGAUCAAAACAUUUAACCAAAAAAAAAGAAAGAAAAAAGAAAGAAAACAUUGAAAAUGGAGAUGUUGAUUAAUUUAGAAGAGAUGCAAGCAAAAGAUAUUCCCAAAAAAAAGAAAAAAAGAAAAAAACAACGUUAGUUCAUCCAUGUCUGUCAAUGCGUUUUUUAUGGUUUUUUUUUUCCAGUUGUUUGUUGUAAUAGAUUGAUUGUAAAUUGAUAUGAAUUUGAUGUUGUAAUAUGUUCGCUUUUGUGGAAUUAAAUUUGAAUAUUCAAGAUUAUUCAAGUCUUAUCUAGUAUGUGUUCAAUUGUGUUGUCGAUAAUUUUGCAUUCGAAUAAUUUUUCACCUAAAAUAUUAGCAUGAGUAGUAGUCCUUGAAAUUUUGGUCAAAAUUAUUGUUAUUGUUUGUUUUAGAGGAAAUUUUUUUAUUAAAGCCUCGUUAACACUAUACCUUAUUAAGAUUAUAAGUUAGUGUCAGUGCAGGAUUUACAGCAACAAAUCUUGUCUAGCCACGUGUCAAAAGUACAAAUAAAUCAAGAGUAAGCACAUGACAUGGAUUAGGAUCCAAUAAGAUUUAAAUCCCAAGGAAAAGGACAAUUGUAUCCUAAAGUUUCAAUAAGAGAUACUGAGAUAUCUUUUGACUAAUGUUAUUUUUUUAGCUUUAUUAAUAAAAAGAUCAAAUAGUUUAUAACAAAUAAAAAUAUAGUAUGAAGCUAAAUGUGAUAAUAUAUACAUUUUACAUAAUUUCAAUAAAAAAAAUUUCAAUAAAAAACAUUUUAAUGUUUUACGAUCUAUUAGACAUAUUUUAUUAAAUUAAUAGGAAUUUUCUGAUAAAUAGCAACAUAAUAUUAAAAUAAAUUUAUAAAGAUUUAAAUGUAAAAUAAUUUUAGUAUAAUUAAUACGUGGGAUAUAUUUUGUAAAUUAUAAAAUUACUUAACCCAAUGAUUUUUAAAAAUCUUUAAAAUAAAUAAAAAUAAAUUAUUCACAUUUUGAUGUAAAUAUUUAAAACAUUUUUAUACAUUAGUCCACAAUUAUUUAUGUUAUAUUUGUAUUUAUUAGAAAUUUUGAAAGUCAAAUGUUUUUCACCUCUAUCUUAUUAGAAUUAUUGCACACAGAGAAAGAGCCAUAUAUGCUUUAUAGCUUUAAAAUCGAUUUGUUUUAUAGCUGGGAACAGAGAUGAUCAUUAUUAUAAGGAUUAAAAAAAAGAUAAAGAAUAUUAAUGAUUAGCGAAAUCUCUAUGGAAAUUGAAUUUAGUAAGAAAAAAUUGAGCUGAUUUUAGCGGUAUAGUAAUAUUUUAUAUAGAGAAAAGUAAAAGCUGCACCCAAGGUUAAGGGAAAUGGUCAAAACUCUUUUUUAAUCAUAAUACUCUUUUUCCUACAUAAUUUAAAAAUUUGACAUUAAUAUUUUAUAAUAAAUAAAAACAUAUAAUCCUAAAAUAAAUAAAAUAAUAUAUAUUUUAAAAUAAUCUCAAUAUUUAAAAUAUAUUUUAACAUUUUAUAGUCUAUCAGAUAUAUUUUAUUUUUUUUAAAGUAAAUUUUAUAAUAAAUACAAAACAUACUAUUAAAAUAGAUAUAAAAAUUUUAAAGUAUUUUGAAUAUUAUAUAAAAUAACUUUAAUAUUGUUAAUGCGUGAGAUGCAUUUUAUUAAUUAAAAAUUCUAUUUAACCCAAAGAUUUAUUUAUAAUAAAUUAAUAAUCAUAUUUUUGAAAUUAUUUUAAAUAUUAAAAAAUAUUUUAAUAUUACUAACUAUUAGAUAGACUAAACUAUUUAUAUUAUUUUCUAUUUAUUAUAAAAUUUCAAAGUUAAUCUUUUUAACUACUAUUCAAAAGAUAUUAUGAUAAAAACAGAAUUUUUCUGUUUUAUUAAAAAUUUAGAGUUUACACCUAUUUUUUCAAAUAUUCGGGGUGUAACUGUUUUAUUUAAAUAAAAUCUCAGUUAAAAAUGUACAGAGAAGAAAUUUCUGUUGGUAUUUUAGUCUUUUACCAAUUAUCACGAUUAGGCCUUGGCCUUGAAACAUUAAUUGUUUCACUUUUAGCGCUAGUGGCGUUGAAAGUUGUCAAGAAAAAGCAAGACCAUAUUCCACAAAAGCAGCUCUUUUAUUAAAGGCAAAGUAUAAAGUAGUCAAGAAUCGAAUAUCCUGUCGUCUACUCUUUUUUAAAUUCUUCUUUUAUUAUCUUUUAGAAUAGUUUUUGGUAAUUACAAUCAUUAUUCAGAGUUAUUGUUAUCUUCUGGGGCAGUCUCUGUUCAUCGAAGUCGUUACCUUUUUUUCAUGGAUCAGUUCCAGUGCCAAGCAGUAAUUUUCUUAGAACUCGGAUCUUUAAUUCGAGUUUCUUUGUGAAUUAAUAAUAAAAAAUUUUCAUUACACGCAAUUUAAGCUACGAAUUACUUUUUGCAAAGUUGAAUAUGAAAUUGGAGAAAUUAAAUAAUUUAGAAUGUUGGUAAAAAUUGACUAACAUAUCCCCAAUUACAGUAAAACCUCUCUACAGUCAUAACAUUAUAACAAAAUUAAUUUUAUUACUAUGUUGAGGUAAUAUAGGUUUAGUUACAAAAUUAUUGUUUUAAUAUGGUUAGUGUCAAGUGAUAUAAAGGUUAAGUAUGCAGUACAUUGAUAAUUAAAUAAUGAAGCGUGUCAAAUCUAACGUAUAUAUAUUAAUGAUAUAGAUAGACAUAGUUUUAAAAAACUAAUUAAUGUAUAUUUAUGUACUGUUAUGAAUAUGGAAAGUCAAGCCUACACUUUACAUUAUCCUUAAUUUUUUCUCUCAGUUAAAUUCUACAAAUAUUGUACAAUGAUUGGGUAAGAACUCUAAAUUAAGAAUAAAUUAUUGUCACAAAUAAUUUUAAAAAAUAUUUUAUUUCAUCUUAAACCUUUAAUGUAAGUAAAUAUAUAUAUAUGUGUGUGUGUGUGUGCAUAUUUUGCAAGGUAUAGAUAAUUGUUAGUAUAUGGAGACAAGUCUUUUAAGGUAGGACCUAGGAAAAUUUAUAACUUACUACAUUGGGGAGUUUUUAUUCCUUUUUAUAAUUGGCUCAUAUUGAUACAUUCUUACACAAAAUAUUACCAUUGACAUAUUUUACUACAAUUGGUUUAGAACAUUUGUUAGGAAAAAAAAAAGAAAAGAAAACAUUCAUUGGAUGUAGCUCUCCCUCGUAUGCUUUUUUCUCCAAAUAUUCCUGCGUCCACAGAAACAAGUCAGAGCACGCCGGUUGUUUUCCCGGCGUAAACCCUCUGACGCUCAAGUCAGAUAUGAAGGCUCUGGGAAUGCUUGCCACAGAUCUUAUGGUUUUUCUGUAGUUUCUAUUCUUUAGAGUUUCAUUUAUCUCUGAAUAUAAUCUCAAAAAUGCUAACCCUUUUACCUUCCUUGGCUACCUUUUUAUAGGCUUCCUCUGAAUCCCGGUCUUCCGUAGUCCACGCCCGUUAUUCUCCCCACCCUCGGAUGUGGAUGCCCCAUUAUCGCCAUUGUGGGCGAAUGGAGAUGGACUUCGUGCCUUGAUUCUCGGAUAGGAAUGCACGUCUUGCCAACUGUCGUUGACUGGGUCUCCUCGCCUCUCGACCUCUAGCCGGAAUGGCCUUAUGCCUCUAACAAGAGUUCGACCUCGUGAAUGGCAUACUCGCGGACGAGCCGAAUAUUUCUGCUCAUGUUCCCCUGCUACCUGGCUCUUACAGGACAUACCUGUUCGCAGAACUCCGCCAUCAAAUAUCUGCUCAUCACGUCUGGUCUCGUUGAAGUAUUUCCCUCAAACAACAUAUUUUACUACAAUUAGUUUAGAACAUUUGUUAGGAAAAAAAAAGAAAAGAAAACAUUCCUUGGAUGUAGCUCUCCUGACUAUUUAAAUCUUUUAAGGAAAAAAAGAAAAAAGAAAAACUGACACAUUCAAAUCUUGAAGCAAUUACAUUAAAACCUCUCCAUAAUGAUAGGAAUAAUCUCCAUUUAGUAAUAAAAAAUUUUGUUCGCAAUCUAGGCAGAGUUAUAAAUAAGAAUAAAAUCCUCAUUGUAAUAAGUUGUAUUUAUUAUGGAUCCCAUCCUAAGGAACUUGUCUCUAUAUAGUAAUAAUUAUUUGCAUAUUAUAAAUAUAUAUGUUGCAUUAGAUUAAAUGAACUUGUCUCCACAUACUACUUAGACAAUGAGAGAAAGUUAUUAAAGAGAACACAAAUAUUUAGAGAUUUUUAAGAUUACUUUGCAUGUUUAUAACAAUAAUACAUUGAUAUAUGUAUUAGUUUUUUGAUAUAUUAGAUUUGACAUGCUCUAUUAAUAAAUUAUUAAUACGAUGCAAACUUCAUCUCUCUAUCCUUGCAAUAAAAGUAACUAAGUUAUAACAAUAAUUAUUAAUAAAUUAUUAAUACGAUGCGUACUUCAUCUCUAUAUCCUUGCAAUAAAAGUAACUAAGUUAUAACGAUAAUUUUUGUAACUACAUGCUUAUUAGGUUUUAACUACUUCAUAAUAAUAAAUUAAUUUCGUCCUAAUAUUAUAAUUAUGUAGAGUUGUAGUGUAUAGACACACCCAAUUUAAAUAGUAAAUCAAAUAAAAUUGUCCCCACAAAAAAGAAAAAAGGGGUAAAGGAUUGUUAUUUCUUCAAACAUUAGGAGCACGUUUGUUCAAGUGCGAUGCCUUUCUUUUGAAGGCAACGUCAGUGGGUACCCAAUAGGACGUGUGUAAAUCUUUCCAAAAUUUCUCCGGUAUAACGGACAGAGAUCAUUACUUUUCUCUUCCAUAGACCACAGCAGCUUCAGUUAAUCAGACUCAAUCAAUUUUCUUGGUUUCUUCGCUUAUCAAAAUUCCAAAAUAUGGGUAGCAUAUUUCAAAUCACAUGCGAUGGUGCUUUUUUCAAUCGUUGCUUGGAUUGCUUUCUUGGAAAAGUAGCAAACACAAGUAAGCUCCAAGAUAACCUUGUUGCCUUGGAGACUGAAUUGGGAAAACUAAUCGUAGCAAAGAACGAUGUGAUGAUGAGGAUUGUCAAUGCUGAACGGCAACAACUGAGAACGCUGGACCAAGUGCAAGUGUGGCUUUCGAGGGUGGAAGCUGUUAAAACUGAAGCUGAUGAAUUGAUAAGACACGGCUCUCAAGAAAUUGACAAAUUAUGUGUUGGAGGCUACUGUUCCAAGCACUGCGCGUCAAGCUACAAGUUCGGGAAACAAGUGGCUAAAAAGCUACGGGAUGUGCAGACUUUAAUCGGCGAAGGAGUUUUUGCGGCGGUGGCUACUGAGGUGGUGCCUGAGAGAGCUCCAGAACCUGUAGCAGAUGAAAGACCCACUGUGCCAACAAUAGUAGGCUUGCAAUCACAACUUGAACAAGUUUGGAGAUGUCUUGUAGAAGAAUCAGUGGGAAUCAUUGGCCUAUAUGGUAUGGGCGGUGUUGGUAAAACUACACUAUUGACCCAUAUCAACAAUAAAUUUCUUGAGAGUCGAACCAGUUUUGAUUGUGUGAUUUGGGCCGUAGUUUCAAAGGACUUGCAACUCGAAAAAAUUCAAGAAGAUAUUGGGAAAAAGAUCGGUUUGGUUGAUGAUUCAUGGAAGAGUAAAAGUGUAGAGGAGAAAGCUCUCGACAUCUUCCGGAGUUUAAGAGAGAAGAGAAUUGUAUUGUUGUUAGAUGAUAUAUGGGAGCGGGUUGAUUUAACAAAAGUGGGCAUUCCACUUUCGGGACCAAAGAAUACUACCUCAAAAGUCGUAUUCACAACCCGUUUCAUCGAUGUUUGUGGUAGCAUGGAAGCUGACAAGAAGUUCCAAGUGGCAUGCUUAUCAGAAGAGCAUGCUUGGGAACUGUUUCGAAAAAAAGUUGGGGAAGAAACUCUUGAGAGUGAUCAUGAUAUCGUUGAGCUAGCCCAAACUGUGGCCAAAGAGUGUGGUGGUUUGCCACUCGCACUUAUUACUAUUGGUCGAGCUAUGGCCUGCAAAAGGACAGCCGAGGAGUGGAGACACGCAGUUGAAGUGCUAAGAAGAUCAGCUUCUGAGUUUGCAGGUUUGGGAAAAGAGGUGUAUCCUCUUUUAAAGUUUAGCUAUGAUAGUUUGCAGAAUGAGACGAUUAAAUCUUGUUUCUUAUAUUGUUGUUUAUAUCCCGAGGAUUAUGGCAUUCUUAAAUGGGACUUGAUUGAUUGUUGGAUUGGUGAGGGAUUCUUAGAGGAAUCUGACAGGUUUGGUGCAGAAAACCAAGGAUACUACAUUGUGGGCACUCUUGUUCAUGCGUGUUUACUAGAAGAGAUAGAAGAUGAUAAAGUAAAAAUGCAUGACGUUGUUCGUGAUAUGGCUUUAUGGAUAGCUUGUGAAAUUGAGAAGGAGAAGAGAAACUUUUUGGUUUGUGCAGGUGCUGGAGUAGGAGCGGUACCAGAUGUUGAAGGAUGGGAAAAUGUGAGAAGAUUGUCAUUGAUGCAAAACCAAAUUGAAAUUCUGUCAGAGGUUCCCACAUGCCCUCAUCUCCUCACUUUAUUUCUUGACUUUAAUUAUAAAUUGGAGAUGAUCACUGAUGGCUUCUUCCAAUGUAUGCCUUCUCUCAAAGUUUUGAAGAUGUCAAACUGUGGGCAUGUCAAAGUUUUGAAAUUACCUUUUGGGAUGUCAAAGUUGGGUUCACUACAACUUCUUGAUAUUUCACAUACCGGCAUAAGAGAGUUACCAGAAGAGUUAAAGUUGUUGGUAAAUCUGAAAUGUUUGAAUUUGAGGUGGACACAUAUGUUAAAUAAAAUUCCACGGCAGCUAAUAUCAAAUUCUUCAUGGUUACGUGUGUUGAGAAUGUUCGCUAUUGGCUUUGAAAAUUCUAAAGAACCAUCAGAAGACAGCGUUUUAAUUGGUGGGGGUGAAGUUUUAGUACAGGAAUUGCUCGGUUUGAAAUAUUUAGAGGUAUUGGAGUUGACCUUGCGAAGUUAUCAUGCUCUCCAUUCUUUUUUGAGCUCAAAUAAGUUAAAAAGUUGUAUUCGAUCUCUUUUCCUCAAUAAGCUGGGAGAUACAAAGUCGAUUGAUGCUACGGCUUUGGCAGAUCUAAAGCAUCUCAAUGAAUUAUAUAUUCUUUUUUUUNNNNNNNNNNNNNNNNNNNNNNNNNNNNNNNNNNNNNNNNNNNNNNNNNNNNNNNNNNNNNNNNNNNNNNNNNNNNNNNNNNNNNNNNNNNNNNNNNNNNNNNNNNNNNNNNNNNNNNNNNNNNNNNNNNNNNNNNNNNNNNNNNNNUCUUUCGCUAUACGGUUGUAAUGCUGUGGAAGAAAUAAUCAGCGUUGGGAAAUUUGCUGAGGUUCCUGAGAUGAUGGGACAUAUAAGCCCUUUUCAGAAUCUCCAAAAGCUUGAUUUAUCACAUUUGCCAGCUUUGAAGAGCAUCUACUGGAAGCCAUUGCCUUUCGCUCAUCUGAAAGAAAUGGUGGUGCAUUGGUGUGAUCGGCUUAAAAAGCUUCCGCUCGAUUCCAACAGUGCAAAAGAGCGUAAAUUUGUUAUUCGUGGAAGAGCAGACUGGUGGAACCGUCUUCAAUGGGAGGAUGAAGCCACUCAAAUUGCUUUCCAUUCCUGUUUCCACCUAAUGAAAUAUAAAUUCCUUAGCGGUGGUUGCAAAAUUUGAUUUCUAGUGAGUGCUUUUUUCUUAAACUCUUACAUUUAUUUCAGAUUCGUUUUUUGUCUCCUGCAAAUCACAAUUAAAUGCUGAAUUAUAUGGAGUCAAUGCUUUAGAAAAUUUUCAAGGCACUGCCAUUUCCUUUUUUCCAUUUUUUUUUGGGUCGAAUUGAUGCUCUGGCUUUUUACUUUUUGUUGUCAAAUUUUGCUCUGUUUUUUCAAGUUGAUGCUUGAAUAGUUGAAUUCAAUUAAUGCUCACAUAAAUUUGUUUAGUUGCCGUAAAAGGAUAUAAUUAGACUGAAGUACACACUUCUAGAAUGAAUACAAAAUGUUAAGUAUACUAGCCCUCUUUACAGAAAAUCAAAUGAAAAUCAAUUUUUUGGGGCUUUGAUUUUCUAUGGUCUAUUAUAUACUCUUUUUAAUAUCUUCUGUUCUAACUAUAACCAAAUCCUUUGUUCAAGGAUUUUUAUUUGGGGUAUUGAUAACUAUCCACCAAAAGAGUGAACACUUGGAUGCUGCUCAAGGAUCUCUAAUCAAUAGCUGGAAGCAACUGAGAAGGCGGUCGCUGCUGUUUACAAAGUGAUGCAGUAUUUGCCAUUCAUCUUAAUAAUUAUGAAGCUUUGGUAAAAUUUUCAAACAAAAUUGAACAUGUUGUUUGAGAUUUGGUUCAUGAUUUUGGAUGAAUAUCGUUGUUCCGUUUGAGUUGGAUGUGAAUUCAAAAUCUAUAUAUUCUUUGGUUUUCAAGUCUGAACUCAAUUUCUUUUUCUCAAGCAUGUUAUGCAGAAAUGAUUUUUACUAAAUCAUUUUUGAUGAAUUGUUUAAAUUAAACACUUGGAAUAAGAAUUGUAAACGUUUAUCAUAAGCAUGCUAAUAUGAUAAAUUGUUUUAUGAACGACUAAUUAAUUAAUCAAUUAAUAUUAAAUUAUAUAUUAAUCAAUUAGAUAUGCGUUACAUGUCAUGUUUAAAAACUAUUUAUUUAUAUUUCAAACAAAUUUGACUGGAUGUUGUGUAGGUAAUACUACAUAAUUUCAAAACAAAAAAAAGUAAUAAAAACACGUUAAAUUUUGUUUUUAUGAAGAAAAAUUUAAAAUUUUAUUAAAUAGGUGAAAAUAAUAAAUGGAUUCGUGUAUGGUUUGAGAUUCUUGACAUAAUUAUGAAAUAAGCCGGAUUCGACUUAGUUCAAUUUUGACGCGAUAAGAAGACGACACCACACAAACACACGACAAGAACCGUUACCUGAGAAGAUUGCCAUCAGGAAUUUUGAAAUUGAUUUCACUACAAUAUCUUAAUCUUUCAGAUACUCCCAUCACUGAGCUGCCAUAAGAGCUAAAAGCCUUGGUAAAUCUUAAGUGUUUGAACUGUACACAAAUUAUCUCUCUACAAUUCAAAAACAACUGAUUUGUUACUUUUCAAUGCUACAUGUUCUGCGAAUAUUGAGUUGUGGUUAUCUUGUUGAAAUAUCAGAAAAUAGAGUUCUAUUUGGUGGUAGUGAAUUGUUGGUUGGGGAGUUACCUAGUUUAAAACGUUUAAAUGUAUUAAGCAUCACCUUACAAGGUUUUUCUGCUGUCCAAAAACUUAUGAGCUCUCAAAAGUUUCAAAGCUGUACAAAAUGUUUGGAGCUUAUAGACUGUGAUGAUUCAAAGUCUUUUGCCUUGGCAGAGUUGAAGCAUCUCGAGAAACUAGUUUUUCGAAUUGUGGAAGAGUUUAAGUUCUGCUGUGUUGAAGUUGGAAAAGCUCAAGAAUGUUUUCGUUUGAACAGCUUUCCCCGAGGUAAUAUAAAGGCUUGUCAUAAAUUGAGGGACGUGACAUGGCUUGUAUUUGCUCCAAAUCUUACGGUUAUUCAAUAGAAAAAUAUAUGCAGAUGGAAGUAAUAAUCAGUGCAAGGAAAUUGGGUGAAGUUCCAGGGAUGAUGGCAGAUCUAAACCCUUUUGCAAAACUCCAGUAUCUUCGUCUGCGAGUUCUACCAAAAUUAAAAAGCGUCUAUUGGAAUGAGUCACCCUUUCCACAUGUCAGGGAAAUUAUUGUAUCUGAAUGCCCAAUUCUCAAGAAGCUUUCACUCGGUUUUAACAAUGCAAAGGAAUCUAAAAUUGUCAUUUAUUACAUGUUUAUAUCUAACUUUUGUUUUCCUUUAUGGUUAAAUUUUACUUUAUAUAUGUUGUUAUACGGUGACAUUCUCGCAUCAAUUGUUAGCUUUUUAAUUCUCUUCUCCCAUUAAUUGCCCUUCUGAUCAUGUAAGAUAUGCCGAUGUCAAAGAGUAGUAAGUUGGGAUACAAAUGUAAGAAUUAACCAGAUGACAUGUUGUUUUGAAGCUCUCGGAGAAGGACUAAUUAUGUCAUUCAAAGCAUCCAAUUUCGCUACUUUUUUUUUCAUUUGUUGCUUUUUCUAUUUUUAGAGAGCUUGAUUGUCAGUUGUCGUAAUGUAAUGUUUUAGUGUAGAAAAAUGAUAUUCGGCCAAGACAUCAAUAGGAGGGCACAUUGUGCAUGCACACUAGUGGAUGAUUUCGGCAUGCCGAAUCCAAUUAGUGUGGAUAACCCUUUAUAAGCAAUUGGCUUCUCUCAUACCAGAGCAAUGUAGAAUAUAUUUAUAAACUGUGGAUUACUCUUUAUUAGGCUUCUUCUAUACUCGAGCAAUGUGGAAUACCUUUAUAAGCAAUAAGCUUCUCCCCUACACUUUAUGUUAAUAAUAAUAAUAAUAAAAUAAAUCCAUUUUAAAAUAGACUUUUUUUUUCUUUUUCUAUAUAAACAAAAUGCAUUCUUCAAAUCAAUAGUGGGUGGAAGAAGUGAGUAGAGAAGAACUAGUCCCCUUUCAUUCCCCUAAAACCUCACCGAAACCUCUCUUGUGAACUUCUCAGAUUCUCUCUCAAUAUUUCUUAUGAUCUCGUUUUUGAUAGAAUCACUUCUUUUGCAUGUUGCAUUUGGUGUGUCUUUUUUGGGUAAUAUCUUAUCUGGAAUGCUGUCAUGAUCAAUAGAACAAGUAAUCAAUUUUUGGCUUGACGGAAGUCGAUUUAUUUAUUUACUAUUAUUUUUAUUUGAAAUUUUGUACAAUUGUGUUUCAUUCAUUUCUUUCCUUUUUUUUUAAUAUUUAUUAUGUAUAAUUGUGUUUCAUUUGAUAUUGAUCAUACUCUAGAUAACUAUGUGAUUGUAGCUGGGGAUUUUAAGUUUUGUGAAUUCAAGAAACUGUCAAAAUGCUAGUGAAAUUGGGACCUUUAUUCAUAAGCUUGUGGUUUUGAAAAGUAGCCCGGUUCAACUGAUGAAGUUCCUUUUUGGGAUUCUUUUUUUUCCUAGGCUGCAAUUCGGAUAUGUACCUGAUAGACAAUCUUUUGUGGGUUUAGCAUAUCUUCUCGGAUUUUGUCUUUUAUUCCUCGAUUUUAUAAUUACACACCAUGAAUGUUGAGUGAUUGUAUAGAAAAUUUGUGUUAUAACCAAAGCAUUGUGAAGGAGUUAAGUUAGUGGCUUCUGUUUUAUUGGCAUUGAUUGGGUAGAUUACGUGUUACAGUGAUUCAAUUUGUGAUCCAAACUUUGUUUAAAUUUCUGUUUUCCCAAAUUAUUUAUGUCAAAUUCAAAACCAGAAGCAUGUGCUGAUUUUUUCUUUUUGUAUUAAUCUGUGAAGUUUAUUUGGAAAGGAAGUAUCUGGGUCUAAUGGAUUAAAUUAUGUAAGUGGCAGAAAUUCCUACACACAUAAAUAUGCAUAAAUACAAAAGUAUACACAAAAAAAUGCACACACUCAUACAUCCAGUCAAUAUAGUUAAUGUAAGAGCACAUACCGGUUUGGUUAUCUUGCUGCAAGUGCACCGCAUUAGCCUUGCAUUCUGGUGCCAACUCCUCCGGCGGUUCACUCACUACCUUUCCCAAUGCUUUGGACCUCCAUUCGGUCUCCAUCAGAUUUCUCAGGAGCACUAAAUAAAGCAGCUAAAACUUGCUUCUGUAGUUCAUUUCUGUCUUUCGGGUGUCUAGGCAAUUUUCCUUCGUCGGUAUUUCGAUCUUCCUUUACAUGACUGAGGAAAUACAGUCAAAAGCUAAUCAAGUAACCAUAUAUGGAUGAGAAAUCCCUCCACCCCCCUUCCAAAACAAAUUCUAAGAAAUAUCAGAAUUCUUUCAAUAAAAACCCUUCCCCCCAUGCUGUGCCUGCUGAAUGAAAUAUAUUAAUCUUACGAGAAGUUGAGAAAAUAAAUUAAAGAACAUACCCUCCGGAAGAAUUCAAUUGUUGCAAUUUUCUUUCACGUGGAGGUCCUCCAAAGUUAGAGCACAUAUCCGUACACUGUUUAUGAAAUCAUAAUAACAGGGGACCAGAUAUUAAUAACAAAUCUUGACACCUAAAAGUCAACUGUGAUGAAAAACAUUAAAAAGAAUAUGAACUUGUUAUCUUGGAAGAAGAUAAUUUAAGAUAUAGCAAACUUGGCACAUUCAUAUAUGAACAGAAGGAAUUUGUAGACGUUUUAAAGCCAUAAUCGUUUAAUAAUCAUGAACCAAGCAAUAAUAGAUGAUUAUUAUGUUGGGUGCAAGCGGAAGUGCAGAAAAAUUUUUAUUUAAGAUCAGAGUAUUUUGCUGGAAAUUUCUGAAACUUUAUUGCUUAAUUCAUUUUUUCGUUUCUCUCUUACUUUUCAUACAACCAGAGUUCUAUAUUUAUAUGCAUUAUAGACAACUCUAGAGAUUACAUUAAUCAUGCUUUACAUUUCCAAAGCCACAUUGCAAACAUCAAUUCUACCCUUUACUUCACGUUGAAAAACAAACCAAAUAAUCCUUCAAACUUCUUGCUCAAUUUACUAGAUUACUAAUUAUAUCUCAACACCCCCUCUUAAUUAGUAAUCUUCAAUUGCUUCUUGAAUUUUUCAAACUUCUCAAUAAUGAUUGCUUUGGUCAGAAAAUCUGCUGGCUGCUCAUUAGUGCUGAUAAACUCCAUAUUAACUUCUCCUUUGCUUACUAAGUCACGGAUGUAGUGAUAACGCAGCUCAAUGUGCUUAGAUUUAGCAUGAAAUACGAGGUUCUUUGUUAGAGCAAUGGCUGACAUGUUGUCACAAUAAAUUGUUGUUGCAGCAUCUUGAUUGAACUGCAAAUCCUUGAGAAUUCUUCUAAGCCAAACGGCUUCACAAGCUGAUUCAGUUGCUGCAAUGUACUCUGCCUCGGCUGAGGAUAAAGCUACUGACUUCUGCUUCCUUGAGCUCCAUGAAAUCACAUUUGUACCAAGACAAAAUAAAUAACCUGAUGUGCUUUUUCUGUCAUCAAGGGAACCAGCCCAGUCACUGUCAGUAAAACCAACAAGCUUGCAAUUGUCUUCUUUUUCAUACAUGAUCCCCUGCUUUUUUGUUCCUUGAAGAUACCUUAAGAUUCUCUUUGCUGCAAUAUAAUGGGACUUCCUUGGAUCAUUCAUAAAUCUAGAAAGAACACUAACUGAGUGCAAAAUGUCAGGUCUUGAGUUGGUUAGAUAAAUCAACGAACCAACCAAGCUUCUAUAGAUUCUUGCGUCAGCCUUUUCUUCUUUUUCAUCAUGUUUCAAUUUUUCAUUCAAACCCAUAGGAGUAGGUGCUGGUUUGCAUUUGAACAUGUGGAAUUUCUUCAACAAAUCUUCUACGUAUUUUUCUUGACAAAAGAAGAUUUUUCCUCUGGCUUGCUUCACUUGAAUGCCAAGAAAAUACUUCAUUAAGCCCAAGUCAGUCAUCUCAAAUUCAUCUAGCAUGCUUUUUUUAAACUCUUCCACCAUUUUCAGAUUAGUGCCACAAUAAAUUAGAUCAUCAACAUAAAGGCAAACAAUAAGGAAAUCAGUACCUUCCUUUUUGACAUAAAGAGAAGGUUCACUUGAGCUUCUGUCAAAUCCAUUUUUAACGAAAUAUCUAUCAAUUCUGCUAUUCCACGCUCGAGGGGCUUGCUUCAAGCCAUACAAGGCUUUUCGGAGUUGAUAAACUUUGUUUUCUUCACCUUUCACUUCAUAUCCUUUAGGUUGCUCAACAUAAACCUCUUCUUCAAUUUCACCAUUUAGAAAUGCCGAUUUUACAUCUAGUUGAAACACAUGUAAUUCCAUUUGGGCUGCCAAGGCAAGAACAGUUCGAAUAGUCUCCAUUCGAGCUACGGGAGCAAACGUUUCUGUAAAAUCAACUCCAGGCAGCUGAGAGUAUCCUUUGGCAACGAGCCGCGCCUUAUAUUUUUUAACUGAACCAUCUUCAUUGUACUUGAUUUUGAAGAUCCAUUUCAGCCCAAUUGUUUCUUUUCCAUUUGGCAAAUUAACCAUCUCCCAAGUUUUAUUUUUCACAAUGGUGGCCAUUUCCUCGUUCAUUGCUUGGAUCCAAUUUUCAUUUCUUGAGGCCUCCUCAAAGUCUUGAGGCUCACAAGAAAAUAAAGCAAGUUCACAUGACUCAUAAAUUUCUCUCAUUGACUUUAUCUUCCUUGGAGGGCUUUCAUCAUCCGAAGAACUUUCUGCUGCUGAAUUUGGAGAAUUUGGUUCCAAAUUAUUUUGCUGUGAAGAAUUUGGUGGAGAUACAGGAGCUUCGAAAAAGCUAGAUGCUUGAGAUUGAUCUUUUUCCCACUGCCAAGCUGAUGCCUCAUCAAAUACAACAUCUCUUGAGAUAACAAGCUUAUUUGUUGUAGGAUUCAACAACCGAUACCCUUUAGACUCAUCACUAUAGCCAAUAAACAAAUAUUUUUCACCUUUUUCAUCAAACUUCUCUCUGUUUUGAGCUAGAAUAAGAGCAUAAGCAAUACUCCCAAAAAUCUUCAAGUGAUCAACAGUUGGCUUUCGGUUGUGCCAAGCUUCAAAUGGAGUUUUGUCUCUAACAGCUUUUGUAGGAGACCUGUUGAGGAUGUACACAGCUGUAUGACAUGCUUCUGCCCAUAAGUUGUUAGGAAUGCCUUUGCCUUUUAACAUGCUUCUUGCCAUCUCUACAAUGGUACGGUUCUUCCGUUCUGCAACUCCGUUUUGUUGUGGACUUCGGCUGACAGUAAGUUGUCUUUGAAUUCCAUUAUCCCUGCAAUAAUUCAUGAAUGGAGUGUAGAUAAAUUCACCACCACGAUCAGUUCUCAAGGUCUUCAUUUUGCAUCCACUUUGCCUUUCUGCAAGAGCUUUAAACUGAAGAAAAGUUGAGAAAGCUUCUGAUUUUUCAUUCAAAAAAUAAAUCCACAUCAUCCUUGUAUAGUCAUCAACAAAAAGAAUGAAAUAUCUCCUGUUAUUGAGAGAGAGAGUCCUUGUAGGACCACAAAUAUCAGCAUGCACCAACUCCAACGGAGCUUUGGCUCUCCAUGAAUUUUUAGGAAAUGGAAGUCUAUGCAUUUUUCCAUAUAUACAGCCCUCGCAAACUUUUUCAUAUCUUCCAACAUCAGGUAAGCCAAUCACCAUGUUCUUUUGCUUGAGCAAAUUCAGCCCUUUAUAGUUUAAAUGACCAUAUCUGAGAUGCCAUAAAUUUGACAAAUCUGAAUUUUCAGUUUUGAGAGCAACAUUCUCAUCAAGUGGCAUAACAAGAGGAAAAACUUUGUUCUUUGACAUUUCAACAACGGCCACUGUAUGAUUAUUAGUUUUAUCAAUGAUUUUGCAUUUUUCAUCAUCAAAAUAAAUUGAAAAACCCUUUUGAAUUAGCUGCCCCACACUCAAGAGGUUUUGAGUUAAAUUUGGAACAUAAAGAACGUCAUAAAUGAGCUUUUUGUUACCUCCCUUUGUAUGGACAGCAAUAGUGCCUUUUCCCACAGCUUUCUGCAUCUUUCCAUCUCCAAGCUUCACUUGCGAAUUAAAACUUUGGUCAAGGUUGAUGAAAAUGUCACGUUCUCCAGUCAUGUGGUUGCUACAACCGCUAUCCAAGUACCACAAAUUAUAUGAUUCACGUUCAGCACCUUUACUUGAAUAAAACAAGUAAUCUCCAUCACAUUCUUUUGUAAAAUUUGCCUCAUUUUUGCCUUUCUUAUUUUGAUACCAGCAAUCCCUUUGAGAAUGGUUAGGAAUGCGACACCUUGUGCAUUUAUAACGACAAUCUUUUGAUUCAUGAUUAGACCGAUUACAAAUGAUGCACUGAGAAUCUGAAUUUUGCUGUGAAUUCCCUCUGUCAUUUUUCCACUUGUUGCGGUUGUCGUUCUGUUCUCUUUGCCCUAUGCCACGCUGCUCGUUUCUUUGAGACGAGCCUCCGUUCUUCUGGUCUUUCUUGCUGCUUUUAUUCUGAUCUGAAUUAUUAAUCUUUGACUGAAAAGCUUGCUCUGUAGGCUGACUUGAAGGUCGAUUGAUUCUUUGCUCAUGAGACCGUAAUGAUCCUGACAAAUCUGAAAAAGUCAUCUUGGACAAAUCCUUUGAUUCUUCAAUGGCUGCUGCUACAUGAUCAAACUUUGGAGGAAGACAUCUCAGCACCUUUUCAUUCACCUUCUUGUCUUCAAUGGAGUCCCCACAACCUUUAAUCUGGUUCACAAUCUCAGUAACUCUACUGCAAAAAUCCUGAAUUCCUUCUCUGUCUUUCAUUGAUAAAUUAUCGAACUCUUUCCACAAAGUCUGUAACUUGAUGGUGACUGCCUUUUCAGAACCUUGAAAUUCUUGUUUUAGGAUUUUCCAAGCAUUUUUGGCCUUUUUGACACCAAAUAUUCUGGGGAAAAUUGACUUACUAACACCUUGCUGGAUAUAUCGAAGUGUCGUGGCAUUUCUCUGUAUGUUUUCUUUGUACUGCUGUUGAUGUGCUGGAGUCCAAUCUGAAGAACUUGCAGAUUCUGGUGGUUCAGCAUAUCCAUCUUCAACAACAUCCCAUAAAUUUUGAGAGAGGAAAAAGGUUUCCAUUUGAUUACUCCAAUAUUCAUAAUGUACCCCUUCAAAUAUUGGAACUUGACUGGGAGCAUAUGAGAAUAAUGUGGGUAGGGUAUUUGAUGUCAUUUUGAGGGUGUUUUGGAAAAGCUCUGAUACCAAAUUUGUUGGGUGCAAGCGGAAGUGCAGAAAAAUUUUUAUUUAAGAACAGAGUAUUUUGCUGGAAAUUUCUGAAACUUUAUUGCUUAAUUCAUUUUUUCGUUUCUCUCUUACUUUUCAUACAACCAGAGUUCUAUAUUUAUAUGCAUUAUAGACAACUCUAGAGAUUACAUUAAUCAUGCUUUACAUUUCCAAAGCCACAUUGCAAACAUCAAUUCUACCCUUUACUUUACGUUGAAAAACAAACCAAAUAACCCUUCAAACUUCUUGCUCAAUUUACUAGAUUACUAAUUAUAUCUCAACAUAUUAUUCCGUUUCUUCUAAGCUACGCAUACUUGCACAUCAGAAUAAAGUGAUAUACAAUGGUUGUGUGCAGACACAAACGCAUGAUCAACAGGAAAAAUCAUCUGAACAUUUGUAUUACUGAUUUGGCAUAUAAGAUUCUCAUAAUAGUUCAAAAUACAAAUAAAUGAAUAUAUAUAUAUUCCCCACCGGAAUCACCCCCUGGAUCCUCACUCAAGGUGUCUUCCGAGCCAGAAGAUCCCUCCUCACCACUAUUUCCGCUCGUGGAGGUUGUUUGGGGGGACAUCCUCCUAGCGCUAGUCCCAACACUAGACCUAAUGGGUUCUAAGGGGAUCCCGGGGUCAAAAGCAGGAUCGGUGAGCAGACUAGACAAGAAACCUAAUUCGUCGUCAUCAAUCUCAACGAUUUUCUCUUUACCCUUCGACAUUCCCUAAACUAUAAUCAGAACACCACCACCAACUACAACCCCAAGCAAAGCACAGAGAAAAGAAAUUAUCUACAACUAACCAAGACCGAGAAAAUAGAAGAAAUACCUGAAGCAGGGAUUCGAUCAGAGAGAGAUAGGGAUGAAAGCUUUAAUGCCGAGGUUCAUUCGCCGGAGAGACAAGAAGGGAGAAAAUGACGAGUUCGUGUUUGAGGAUUUUGGGUUUUCUUACUGAGAAGCAAACUCUUGGGCUGCCAGCAUUUAAUGACACAUAUUCCGAGAAUCUUGCAACCGUAGGUUUGAAAUUCAAAUGGAGGGGUGGAUUUCUGCCACAUCACUUCAUCUGCAAUUAAAUGCGACACGACUCUUGGCAGUCUUUUCCAGUCCCACGCGAGCAAGAACCGAUUGAGUUUCUACUGCUGGUCCAUUACAUUACCCAACACCAGAAACUGGGGGACUGGUGUUUGAGGGAAAUACUUCGACGAGACCAGACGUGAUGAGCAGAUAUUUGAUGGCAGAGUUCUGCAAACAGGUGUGUCUUGUAAGAGCCAGGUAGCAGGGGAACAGGAGUAGGAAUAUUCUGCUCGUCCACGAAUAUGCCAUUCACGAGGUCAAACUCCUGUUAGAGGCAUAAGGCCAUUCCUGCUAGAGGUCGAGAAGCGAGGAGACCCGGUCAACGACAGUUGGCAAGACGUGCAUUCCUAUCCGAGAAUCAAGGCACAAAGUCCAUCUCCAUUCGCCCACAAUGGCGAUAAUGGGGCAUCCAUAUCCCGGGGGGGGGAGAAUAAGGGGCGUGGACUACGGAAGAUCGGGAUUCAGAGGAAGCUUAUAAAAAGGUAGCCAACGAAGGUAAAAGGGUUAGAAUUUUUGAGAUUGCAACUAAGAAAAGAGAGCUCUAAGAACUGAAACUAAAGAGAAGCCAUAAGAUUCGUGGCAAACAUUCCCAGAACCUUCAUAUCUGACUUGAGCGUCGGAGGAUUUACGCCGGGAAAACGACCGGCGCACCCUGACCUGCUUUUGUGUUCGCAUGAAUUUUUGGGGAAGAAACCUUACGAGGAGAGAUCCUGGUCAUGGUAGAGUUGGUCGAGCAGAGGUCCUGGUCUUGGUAGAGAAGGCAACCAGAAUCUCGCAUCAACAAUUAUUUUACUUGAAAUUAUGUACAAUUGCAUUUCAUUCAUUUCUCUCUCUCUUUUUCUUUUUUCCCCCCAUAUAUUUUUUAUGUAUAAUUGCGUUUCAUUUAAUAUUGAUCAUACUGUAGGUAACCAUGUGAUUGUAGAUGGGGAUUUCAAGUUUGUUGAAUAUUCAUGUAAGUGAAGUAACCGUCACAAUACUAGUGAAAUUGGGAGCUUUAUUCAUGAGUUUGUGGUUUUGAAAAGUACCACAGUUCAGCUGAUGAAGGCUUCUUUUUGGGAUUCUUCUUUUCCUAGGCUGCAAUUAGGAUAUGUACAUGAUAGACAAUCUUUUGUUGGUUUGGCAUAUCUUCGCUGAUUUUGUCUUUUAUUCCCCAAUUUUAUAAUUACACACCAUGAAUGUUGGGUGAUUGCAUAGAAAAUUUGUGUUAUAACAAAAACAUUGUGAAGGAGUUUCUGUGCUAAUAGUUAGUGGCUUCUGUUUUAUUGGCAUUGAUUGGGUAGAUUACGUGUUACAGUGAUUCAAUUUGUGUUCCAAACUUUGCUUUAAUUUUCUGUUUUCCCCAACUAUUUAUGUCAAAUUUAAAUCCAGAAGCAUGUACUGAUUUUUUCUUUUUGUAUUAAUUUGUGAAGUUUAUUUGGAAUGGAAGUAACUGGGUCGGGUCUAAUGGAUUAAAUUAUGACAUUGAGGGGAAGGCACUAAAAGGGUUUGCUUGACACAUUUGGUUCUGUGUCUGCAAGAAAUAGCUUUUGCUUAUUGCAAUGCAGGGGGAAAUCCCGAUUUGGCUGGUGAAUUUCUCUGCAACAAACGGGCAAACACCUUGACUUCUUCUGUCCAUACUUCUGCUGGGGAGGCAAGGGGUAAAGAGUCUUCAAAAUCAUCAAAUAGUAACAUCUCUGAGAAUUCAUUUUAUGGAAAUGGAAAAUCUAGAGCUUCUAAUACAAAAUGGUAUCUGGUAUCAGGACGUACCGUUUCAAGUUUUCUUGGUAAAGAUUAUGUUAAACCUGCACAGCCAGCUAAUGGCACUUUUCUGGCAUCAAAGCCAUUGAAGUUGGAUCCAAGGGAGUUUCGCAUUUCUGCACUUUCAGAGAAGAAACUAAACCGAAACAAUCAAAGGAUGACCAUUUGCAGAAGGAUAUGGAAGAUUUUCUGUUUAAAUUGCUAGGAGAAGGGUUCCAGCUGUACAGGGAUGUGAUUCAGAUGGUUCAUGGUAACGUCUUAAAUAUAUUGAUGCCAAUUUAAUACAUAUUGUCCUUUUCAAUGUUCUUUCUUUCUUUCUCCUCUUUUUAUUCUUCUUCUUCUUCUUUUUUCUUUUCAUGUGCAUCUGAUCACUAAUUUGGUAUUAUUCUUAACUUGCAGAUAGUUGUGGAUAUGAUAUGCAAAAAGGUAAGGACUAUAUCUUCUUGAUGGAGGCCUCUGAUUUUUUAAAUCGCAUUUUCCUUUGUGAUUGAUAUAUCAUACCAAAGUCAAGUCUUAAAUACUGCUGUCAUAUGUUAAGGUUCAACUUCCAUUUUGAUUAACGUCGAUUUGCUACUGCUUCCAAAAGUGAGAAUGAGAUACUUUGGUUAAUUUCAGUAGUUGAACCCAAUAGAGUACUUUAUUUAGAUCUUCAUGGUUCAAAGGCCUGAAAAAACUUGCCGGUGUUUGCAAAAUGACAUUCUGUGCUUUUAUUUAGACUUAUUAUUAAAGACAACAUUUUGUUUCAGCCAAAAAUGUUUGUUUCGAUUAAAGACUGAUUUUAUAUUUCUAUUUUGUAACUUGAAAUAAUUGGUCUGCCUGUUUCUGUUGCUUGAUAACAUGAAUUUUUCCUUCUGAAGUUAAUUUGAUCAAUAAAGUAAUUCUUCGGAGAGGAUAUGCCCAUUCUAUAGUCAUUUUCUUAGCUAACAUGUUUUUUCUUCACUCUUCAGAGCAUGUCUAAACUAAUUGAUCGCUCAGCGGAGACUUUGGGUGAGAAGACAAAAUUUCUUGGUAAAUCCUCUGAAAAGGUAUGCAUAAUUCCCGAGUAUUAAAUAAUCAUUGGUCAUAAUUUUUGUACACGACUCUUUUUUUGGAGAUCGUUAAAAGUGGUUGAUGAUCUAUUUUGUAAUAUCAUAGAGGGAUCAUGAAUUCCUUUUCUUUUCUGUGGCUAGGCAACACUUUCGAGCCAAGCUAAGGAAAUCUAUUUUAGGUAAUGUGAAAACCAGUUGUAGGAUGUAAUAGUUUAUUAUGCCCUGCCAAUAACUUUUUGUAUAAUUGUCAGUUUAAUGAAUACAAGAGGAACUCUGUUGGCAAGUUCAUCCAUGAUAGAUGCUAAAAUUAUUUAUGCAUACCAGUUGCCUUAACUAAUUUUUCUCAACACUGGUAUUGAACAGGAAAAUGAAUAUGCAAUUUGUAUAUUGUGCCAUUGUGGAGAAUUUGGAUAUUCUUAUUUAAGUAACAAGGAGAGUAUUUGCCUCAUCUUUAAACAAUGAAUCUUUGAGAAAUGAGGAGUGGGUGAUUGGCAGUGUCUUCAUGUAAAUGUUCAUUUAUUUGUAUUUUGAACUAUUAUGAGAAUCUUUGUAUGCCAAAUUAGUAAUACAAAUGUUCAGAUGAUUUUUCCUGUUGAUCAUGCGUGUGUAUCUGCACACAACCAUUGUGUACCACUUUAUUCUGAUGCGCAAAUAUCUGUAGUUUAGAAGAAAAGAAAUAAUAAUCAUAUAUUAUUGCUUGGUUCAUGAUUAUUAAACGAUUAUGGCUUUAGAAAAUCCACAAAUCCUUUGUGUUCAUAUAUGAAUGUGCGAAGUUCGCUAUAUCUUAGAUUACCUUCUUCCAAGAUAACAAGUUCAUAUAUUUUUUAAUCCUUUUUCAUCACAGUUGAAUUUCAAGUGUAAGUUUUGUUAUUAAUAGCUGGUUUCCUGUUAUUAUGAUUUCAUAAACAGUAAGAGGAUAUGUGCUCUACUUUUGGAGGGCCUCCACAUGAAAGAAAAUUGCAACAAUUGAAUUCUUCCGGAGGGUAUGGUAUUUAAUUUAUUUUCUCAGCUUGUUGUAAGACUAAUAUAUUUCCUUCAGUACGCACGGCAUGGUGGGAAGGGUUUUUAUUGAAACAGUUAUGAUAUUUCUUAGACUUUGUUUUGGAAGGGGGUGGAGGGAUUUCUCAUCCAUAUAUGGUUACUUGAUUAGCUUUUGACUGUAUUGUCUCCGUCGUGCAAAGGAAAAUCCAAAUACUAACGAAGGGGAAUUGCUUAGGCACCCAAAGGACAGAAAUGAAUUACGGAAGGAAGUUUUUGCUGCUUUAUUUAGUGCUGCUGAGAAAUCUGAUGGAUUUCCUGAAAUUACGGUGAAGACGGAGUGGAGGUCCAACGCAUUAGGAAAGGUGGUGAGUGAACCGCCGGAGGAAUUAGUACCAGAACACAAGGCUAAUGUGGUGCACUGGCAGCAAGAUGACCAGACCUGUAUGUGCUCUUAUAUUAACUAUAUUGGCUGGAUUUGUGAGUGUGUACAUUUUUGUGUGUAUACUCACUUUUGGAUUUAUGCAUAUUAACGUGUGUAGGAUUCUCGAUUUCUGCCACUUACUGGAGAACUAGUGGAAAGCUUUAUACUGAUAUAUGUGCUAUAUAACUAAUGGAAACUACAAUAUGAAUAUUUUCUCUCACCUGGAGAACAGUGUAACUGAUAUAAUUUGUGGCUCUGGAAUACUGAAGAUUCUGCAAUAACUAAUGGAAAAUAUGAUAUGAAUAUUUUUUCUCACCUGGAGAACUUUGUAACAGAUACAUUUUGUGCUGGAAUGUCUAAAGAAUGCUUCAGUUUAGAUCAAAUAUCUUUUAGUUAGAAAAGAUAAAAUUCUCUGAAUCUGAAAGACUGAAACAUUUUGCAUAUUUCGUGAAAGGCAAGUAUCUGUAGAUACUAGCUCAUGCAUUGAGGUAAUAUCAAUGUUAAAGAAAAACAGCAAUAAUUUAUUAUACAGAAUUAGGUUCACUUGCUUUAAAUGCUGGUCUGAUCAACCAUAUCAACCUGUAAUGGUCCUGCAGAAAUAUAUAUACGGGGAGAAACUAGCUAAUUUUCCUUUCACUUAUGGGUUUGGUCUUUUUUUUCCCCUAUUUUUCAGCUUUCCUUCUCCUGAAGUAUGUUAACAAUUGCAGAUAAUGACGAAGAGGACCGCUUCCAGGCUCUUUGUAGAGCUGUGAUGGAAUAUAGGGGCACAAUGAAAGAAUAUUGUAAGGCUGUAUGUACUUUCUCUCAUGUCAUUUAUGUUUUCUCACACAUUUUGUAUAUGCCCUGAACAUGCAGCUUUGUAUGUGUCAAUUGCCUUUUACGUUUUAAAAGCCAUAAAGUAAGAAUACAGUUCCUUGUCAGGCUAUUGAUGCGUUCGCUCAGAAGGGUCAUGUUCAAGCAGGAAAACUUCUAGAACAGGUAAGGUUUCCAUCUACAGCCAUCCAUUGACAGCAGAUAUAUUUUCAUUAAGCAGACACUGUUAGCAUUCAAGAUGCUGGCAGAUUCACUUGAUUCUUAUUAGUUUGUUUAGUGGCAAACCAUAUAACCUGUAUUUCAAAGCCAAGUUGUGCUAUUGAUUAUGUUAACUUUAUUGUUAACAUAAAGUGAUAUGGAGGACAUAAUCAAUGUAGGAAAAUUAGGUGAAGAGAUGAUGUCAAAUCUUGAACCUCUUACAAAGCUCCAAGUUCUUUACUUGAAGAAGCUGCCAAAUUUGAAGAGCGUCUACUGGAAGGCAUUUCCAUUCCCAGAUGUAUGCAGAAUUUUUGUAUUAAUGCCCAGUUCUUAAGAAGCUGCCACUGGAUUUUCAAGGGGCGGGCCAAGGUAAAAUUCUUAUCAAGGGAAAGGAAGAUUGGUGGAAAGAACUUCAAUGGGAGGAUCAAGCAACUCAGAAUGCAUUGCUUCCAUUUUUCAAAUCAACUGACAAGUGAUUGAAGGGGGCAUCAUCAACAUCAUCAACUGGGAUGGAGAGAUUAUGGAGCAGAUCAGCAGGGUUUGUAUAUGAUCUUUGGUGGUUGCUUUCUUUUGUGAUUUUUUUUUUCUCAUUUUUUUCCCUUCCUGUCAUUUUAUCAUUUCUUUGUCUCGUUUUCUAUUGCUGAUGUUAGUGUAUGCUUACUGUUGCUUGACAAAGUUUGCUUGCUUCUUGUUUAUUAAUUUUUUUAUGGUCACAAAAUAUUACUUGUUCUAUUUGAGAGUGAUGUGAAUCAAUUUUCAAUUAUAUAUUUUAUGGUCAAUGUGAAUUCAAUUUCAUUUGUCUCCUGCAAUUAUUUAAAAAAUGCAGAGUCAUAAUAUGGAAAAGUCGACCGGCAAAAACUUUGUGAAAGCUUCGGAGUGAAACAGGGAAUUCACUUACUAACAGGGAAUUCACUUACUACUAAGGACAAUUGGUGGCGAGCUAUUCCAUUCAUUUUAUGUCCAUACAUCUAUUUAAUUAUUAAAGAUAAGUGGUCCAUUUGUAAAUUUCAGAUUGUGUCUCUCUGAAAAUAACAAUAUUUAAAAUGUCUCUUAAAUUAUUAUAAAUUUUAAUUCACUCUCGAUUUAAAAUGGAACAUGCUGAUGAAAUUUUUUUUCUUCUUAAUAAAAUUGAAAUAAAUUGUGUUUGCAGUAGUUUGAAAUAUUUUAAAGAUUAUUAUUUUAUAAGGGAGUAAUAUGAAAUGAAAUUUACUUUUCAUGCGUGAAAUGUUGAAAAAGGACACAGCAAGUGUCCCUGCUUUUAUUUUAUUUCAAAGUGGAGUCAUCUCACAUACUUUAACUCUAUCGUUACAAUUUUUCAGGUUACAUUUUUAUUUAUUUAUUUAUUUUCUUUUUUACACAUGCAUGUGGGUUACUUUUCCGUAAGCUCCUUAAUAUAUAUAUUUAACACAAAUCAUGGAAGAGAUGGGAGUAUAUCAAGAUGAUCAAAGCAUGAAACAAAAAUAUUUAAGAAGUAAAACACUGAAAAUAGAGAAGAGAUGCAAGCAAAAGAUAUUCCAAAGAAAAGCAAUCUAUCUCCUUUCGAAGAAUGUUAUGGAAGAGUUGAACCCAGCGAAGAAUGUUAUGGAAGAGCAAAUUAAUGAUAUUUUUGAUAGAGUCUAUUUGAUUAUGUAGCCUGAAUAGAUGUCUUGUUGAAAGAUAUCUCAGUGCAUUAGUUCAUCCUUGACUGUCAAUGUGUUUUUAAUGGUUUUUCCAAAUUUUUAUUAUUAUAGAUUGAUUGUAAAUUUGAUAUGAAUUUAAUGUUGAAAUGUUUUCUCUUUAGUGGAAUGAAUUUAAAAGUGCAAAAGCUUAUUGCACACAGAGAAAUAAACAUAUAUGCUUUAUAACUUUAGCAAUCGAUUCUUUUACAGCUGGAAACAGAGAUGAUGAUUAUCAUAGGGGUGAAGAAAAGGACAAAAAAUGUUAAUGGUUAACGAAAUUUCUAUGCAAAUUGAUUUUAGCAGGAAAAAAGUGAGCUAAAUGAUCUUAAUGUUCCACAAGAAAAAGCAAGAUCUUAAUGUUCCACAAAAGCGUUAUUUAUUUUUUUUUGGUGAGCCACGUGGAGCUCAAUUAUCAUUGUCUUUACUUUAAAAACGUUAUUUUAUUUUCUUUUAUUACAAAUUAAUGCUAACAAGAAAAAGCAAGAUAUAAUAUUCCACAAAAGCAAAUCGUAAUAUUCCACAGAGGAGUAAGAUCCACAAAAGCAAACAACUAGCUGGAUUCUUUUAUUGAACUACAAAUUAAAACAACAAAUUAAAGUUCAAAUAUUUAAAUAGUAGUGCGUUAGACGAUUAGGCUCUUUUAUUAAAGGGAAGUAUAAAGUAGUCCAGAAUCGAACAUCUCUAUUGUCUAGUCUUUUUUUUUUUUUUUAAUUCUUCUUUUAUUAUUUUUCAGAAUAGGUUUUGGUGAUUACUAUUGGGUUAUUAUUGAGAGUUAUUGUUAUCUUCCGGGGCAGUUUCUGUUAAUCGAAAUCGUUAAUUAAAAUUUUAGAACUCUUAUUGGAAGAAUGUUUUUCCGUUAUUUUUUUAUAUUCUAAUUUCAAUUGUAAGAAGUAGUCAUUUUAGAAUUUGGGUCUUGAAUCGAAUUUCAAUGCAUGAAUUAAUAUUUAAAAAAAAAAUUACUACACGCAGUUUAGGUUACAAACUAUUUUUUGCAAAGUUGAUUAUGAAAUUGGAAAAAUUAAGUAAUUUAUAAUGUUUGCAAAGGAAGAGACUAACAUACUUCCAAUUACACUAUAUCUCUAUUAUCAUAAUGUUAAGAUUAAACUAACUUAAAAUAAAUUUUAUUUGAAAAGUUAUAUCAAACGCAGUCUAAUUUUAUUAACUUGAAGAGAUAAUAGUUAUAGAAAUUAUUGUUCUAACUUAAUUAGUACAAGUGGUAUAAAGGUUAAGUGUGCACUAAAUUUGUUUAAAUUUUUUCCAGAAUAACUAACAGAGGUCAUUACUAGAAUUAUAAUUACUAGUCUAUUAGAUAGAAAAAAUUAUUUAUAUUGUUUUAUAUUUAUUAAAAAAUUUUAAAGUCAAUCUUUUUAAUUAUUAUUUAAAGGAUAUUAUAAUUAAAAAAAAUUUAAUGUCUUUAUUAAAAAUUUAAAAAUUUAAAAAUUUAAAAAUUUACAUGACCGCUCUAUAAAUAUUGAAAGUGUAACUGUCAUUUUCUCAUAUAUAUAUAUAUAUAUAUAUAUAUAUAUAUAUAUAAACCACGGUGGUGAAGCUUUAUUUAAUAUUAAUGAUUUAAAUAACAAUAUCUCAAUUAAAAAUGUAGAGAGAAGAAAUUUCGGUGGGUAUAUUAGUCUUUUACAAUUAUCAUGAUUAACCCUUCCUCUUGUAACGUUGGUCAGAAAAGUUUUAAAAUGCCUUGAUUUCUUUUACUUUUAACGUUAGCGGCCUUCCUUAUAUUUUAUUACAAAUUAGUCCUAACAAGAAAAAGCGAGAUCAUAUUCCAAAAAAGCAAAAGUGACAAAAAAACCAGCUGUAUUCUUUUAUUAAACUACAAUUUAAAAUGAUUUUAAAGUGGAUUCUUUUGAAUACAGGUGGGGUAGUCGAAUAGUCUUUUUCAAAUUCUUGUUUUAUUAUUUUUCAAAACUAGUUUUUGGUAAUUACAAUCGGGUCAUUCAUUAGUCAUUAUUCAGAGUUAUUGUUAUCUUCGGGGGCAGUGGGUAAAAGGCUAAAUGAUAAUUACUAAGUGUUUUUCCUUCAAAAGUUAGUGGCUCGUGUUUUGCAAGUGUGUACGUGCGAUGCUCUUUGUCUAAAGGCAAUUACAGUGGGUCCCGAAUCGGACGUGCCUAAUAAAUCUUUUAAAAAUUUUUCUAAUAAAUAUUCCUAAAAUUUCUCUUCCACAGGCAAUUACAGCAGCUUCAGUUAAUCAAACUCAAUCAAUUUUCUUUCUUAACAAAAUUCCAAAGAUGUGUGGCUGUUUUCAGAUCACAUGCGAUGGUACUUUUUUCAAUCGUUGCUUAGAUUGCUUUCUUGGAAAAGCAGCAUACAUACGUAACCUCCAAGAUAACCUCGUUGCCUUGGAGACUGAACUAAGGAAACUAAUCGCAGCAAAGAACGAUGUGAUGACGGCGGUUGUCAAUGCUGAACGGCAACAAAUGAGAAGGCUGGAACGAGUGCAAGUGUGGGUUUCGAGUGUGGAUUCUGUUAAAACUGGAGCCGAUGAACUUAUCACAGACGGCUCUGAAGAAAUUGGCAAAUUAUGUGUUGGAGGCUACUGUUCCAAGAACUGCAGGUCAAGCUACAAGUUCGGAAAACAAGUGGCUGAAAAGCUACAACAUGUGAAGAAUUUAAUCGCCGAGGGAGUUUUUGAGGCGGUGGCCACUGAGGUGGUGCCCGAGAGAGCUCCGGAACCUGUAGCAGAUAAAAGACCCAUUGAGCCAACAAUAGUAGGCUUGCAAUCACAGCUUGAAGAAGUUUGGAGAUGUCUUGCAGAAGAAUCAGUGGGAAUCAUUGGCCUAUAUGGUAUGGGCGGUGUUGGUAAAACCACACUAUUGACCCAUAUCAACAAUAAAUUUCUUGAGAGUCCCACAAACUUUGAUUGUGUGAUUUGGGUCGUAGUUUCAAAAGACCUGCGACUUGAAAAAAUUCAAGAAGAUAUUGGGAAGAAGAUAGGUCUAUCUGAUGAUUCAUGGAAGAAUAAAAGUUUUGAAGAGAAAGCUGUGGACAUCUUGCGGAGAUUAGGAGAGAAGAGAUUUGUAUUGUUGUUAGAUGAUAUAUGGGACCGGGUUGAUUUAACAAAGGUGGGCGUUCCACUUCCCGGACCACAAAAUACUACCUCAAAAGUCGUAUUCACAACCCGUUCCAUCGAUGUUUGUGGCAGCAUGAGAGCUAGGCCGGUUAAAGUGGCAUGCCUAUCAGAAAAGCAAGCUUGGGAACUGUUCCACGAAAAUGUUGGGGAAGAAACUCUUGAGAGUGAUCAUGAGAUCGUUGAGCUAGCCCAAACAGUGGCCAAAGAGUGUGGUGGUUUGCCACUCGCACUUAUUACUAUUGGUCGAGCUAUGGCCUACAGAAAGAAAGCGGAGCAGUGGAGACGUGCAAUUGAAGAGUUAAGAAGAUCAGUUUCAGAGUUUGCAGGUUUGGGAAAAGAGGUGUAUCCUUUUUUAAAGUUCAGCUAUGAUAGUUUGCAGUAUGAUACGGUUAGAUCUUGUUUCUUGUAUUGUUGUUUAUAUCCUGAAGAUUAUGGCAUUCUUAAAUGGGACUUGAUUGAUUGUUGGUUUGGCGAGGGAUUUUUUGGGGAAUCUGACAGGUCUGGUGCAGAAAACCGAGGAUAUGGCAUUUUGGACACUCUUGUUCGUGCAUGUUUAUUAGAAGAGGUGGAAGAUGAUAAAGUAAAAAUGCAUGACGUUAUUCGUGAUAUGGCUAUAUGGAUAGCUUGUGAAAUUGAGAAGGAGAAGAGAAACUUUUUGGUUUGUGCAGGUGCUGGAUUAAAAGAGGCACCGGAUGUUAAAGGAUGGGAAAAUGUGAGAAGAUUGUCAUUGAUGCAAAACCAAAUUAAAACUCUGUCAGAGGUUCCUACAUGCCCUCAUCUCCAUACUCUAUUUCUUGACUUUAAUAAGGAGUUGGAGACGAUCGCGGAUGGCUUCUUCCAAUUUAUGCCUUCUCUCAAAGUUUUGAAGAUGUCAAACUGUGGGCAUGUCAAAGUUUUGAAAUUACCUAUUGGGAUGUCAGAGUUGGGUUCAUCACUAGAACUUCUUGAUAUUUCAAAUACCAACAUAACAGAGUUACCAGAAGAGUUGAAGUUGUUGGUAAAUCUGAAAUGUUUGAAUUUGAGGUGGACAAUUUGUUUAAAUAAAAUUCCAUGGCAACUAAUAUCAAAAUUUCAAGGUUACGUGUGUUGAGAAUGUUCGCUACUGGCUUUGCACGUUUUGAUGCAGCAUCAGAAGACAGCGUUUUAUUUGGUGGGGGUGAAGUUUUAGUACAGGAAUUGGUCGGUCUGAAAUAUUUAGAGGUAUUGGAGUUGACCUUGGGAUGUCAUCAUGCUCUCCAAAUUUUUUUGAGCUCAAAUAAGUUAAAAAGUUGUAUUCGAUCUCUUCUCCUCCAAUUGGCCGGAGAUACAAAGUCGAUUAUUGAUGCUACGGCUUUCGCAGAUCUAAACCACCUCAAUGAAUUAUGGAUUGAUAGGGCUAAGGAGUUGGAAGAAUUGAAGAUUGAUUGUAAAGAAAUAGUACAAAAAAGGCGGGAACCUUUUGUUUUCCGCAGCCUUCACCGUGUUACUAUACAUAGCUGCCAGAAGUUGAAAGAUUUGACAUUCCUCGUUUUUGCUCCAGACCUCAAGUCUCUCGAUCUAGACCGUUGCGAUGCUAUGGAAGAAAUAAUCAGCGUCGGAAAAUUUGCUGAGACUCCUGAGAUGAUGGGACAUAUAAGCCCUUUCGAAAAUCUCCAAACUCUUCAUUUAAGAGCGUUUAACAUCUUUUCUCGACGACCUGCACGAUUGCCUUUCACUCAUCUGAAGGAAAUGGAGGUAAGUGGGUGCGAUCAGCUUAAAAAGCUUCCACUCGAUUCCAACAGUGCAAAAGAGCGUAAAUUUGUUAUUCGUGGAAAAGAAGACUGGUGGAACCGACUUCAAUGGGAGGAUGAAGCCACUCAAAUUGCUUUUCGUUCCUGUUUCCAACCUGAGCGGUUAGUCGCAAAAUUUGAUUUCUGGUGAUUGCGUUUGUCUUUUAACUCUUAUAUAUAUUCUUGUCGUUUGUUUUCUUCUCUGUUUUUAACUCUUAUAUUGCGUUUGUCUUUUGAAAAUCUCCAAUUAAAUGUUGAAUUAAUGGAAUUAAUGCUUCAUAAAUUUGCCGGCACUGCCAUCACUUUUUUUUUUUUUAAUACAAAUUGAUACUUUAUUUAUAUCUUCUUAGCGAUAUAAUUUCCUGUCAAUUGACGAACGAGAAGAACAUACGACUUAAACCAAUUCACGCAUAAACUUGCUGUAAAAAGAUAUAAUCUCACUGAAAUGCACACGUCUAGAAUGAAUAGAAUUAAAACAGGGAAAAUAUUUAAGUAUAUUAGCCCUCUUUACCGAAAAUGAAAUGACAAUAAAUUUUUUGAAAGUUUUGAUUUUCUAUGGUCAAUUCCACCUUUUGCAAUUUCUUCUGUUCUAACAAAAACCAAUUUCUUUGUUCAAGUAUUUUCGUUUGGGUAUUAAUAAUUCUCCACCGAAAGAGUGAACUCUUGCUCAAGGGAUCUCUAAUCAAUAGCCGGAAGGGCGCCGAGACCUGAUCGGACCUAGGCCCAAGUUUGGUCUUAAAGCCUGGGCUUGAGCCUGGCAAUUAAAUUAAAACAUUAAUUGAUUUCUUGAUUGAAUUGUCGUGUAAUUGAUUUAUGGGGGAUGACACAUCAACAUGCUUGAAAACACACUAAUCUCAGCAUCAUCGGUUAAUAACUUUUAGAAUUAUGGGUAAUCAAUAGUUAAGAUUAGUUGUCAUUAAUACUAAAUAUUUUUUUACUAUUUUCGUCUCUUCUAGAGGAUCUUCUAGAAAAAUGCAUCCACAACAAAAUUUAAUACUUUACAUAAUAAACAAAGCAUAAAUGUUAAAUUUAAGAAACUGCAUUGUAUUUCAGCUGAAGUUGACUUUAAUAUUUAGGGUAGAAAAAUAAUAAAUCCUUAAUGUGUUUAAUUUCUAUCACUUGUGUCAUUAAAAUUUUCUAGUCACCCUAACCAAUUACAUCUCAACCCACUUUUUUUUGGAUGAUUUUAUUUUUACACUAUUAUUUUCAUCAUUUUUUUUCCUUUUAACACCAACAUUAGUGUAUGUUACGUAACAUAAUUCAUAUUUGGAUAAUUUGAAAUUUGUUUGUGUUUUAUCUCAAAAUAGAGCUUCAAUCAAUUUGUACCUCAUAAAUUCACAAUAUCUAUGAGGGCUAAUAAGACCAAACUCUGGCAUAUUGUCAAAUGUGCUUAUCCUUUUGCUUGACAUGUCAUUUUAAAAUUGUCAUUCAAUGCCAAAAAAUCACAUCAACUGAUGGCCGACUACUUUAAUUUGAAAGCAUGCAUGCGAUCGCCAAUAAUUAUAACUUAAUUGUUAUUUUGAAAUUUUUUUCUUUAUAAUUUUUAAGUUUAAUACUACUACAUGUGCAGCACAUAAGUUGGAAAAUAUAACAUAAAAUUUGAAAAAUGUGUAGCUUUCGUUCCUUUUUUUUCUUAAAAAUGAGGAAAAAGAAUGUAAUUUUGUUUAAAUUACUGUUGUGAUAACAAUUAUUAUUUUAUUGAUUAAUUGGCAGAGAAUGGUUAUGGUUUCGCAUGGUUGUUAAAACAUUGGAAAAUCCACUACAUCAUCCGUUAAUAACUUUCAGAUUUAUGGUUAAUCAAUAGUUGAGAUUUGUUAUCAUUAAUGUUAAAUAUUUUUUUAAUAUUUUUUCUCUCUCCUAGAGGAUCAUCACAGCAAAAAUUUAAUAUUAUAAAUAGUAAACAAAAUAUAAACAGUUAAAUCUAAGAAACUGCAUUGCAUUUCAGCUGAAGCUAACUUUAAUAUUUAAUGGAGAAAAAUAAUUAAGUCCUUAAUGUACUUUAUUUACCCAUACUGAUACGCUCUUAAUUCGUGAAACUGAGCAACAUCAAAAUUAUCACUACUUCGAGCGAGUGUUUGCUCCAGAAGAAAGAACUGGAAGUUGAGAAAUGAGAAAGAAGAAAAGAAGAAGAGUCACAGCGAGGAAUAAAAGUGGUCCAUUCAUUUCAUGCCUUCCCAAAAUGACAAAAUCCCGCAAUAUAUAACAGACAAUCGAAAAUAACCAAUUUGACAACGCAACAGAAAAUGACAAAAAAGAAUCCAAAACAAACGUAGCCAAUCACAAUGCUUUUACAGAUCAUCCUAAACGACGUAGUCUCGUAGCCAAUCUAGAAGUUUCUUGUUUCGUUUGGGCCGUUGAUUCUCUUGCACUGGCUCAUGGUGAAUGUCCUCUUUGGGUUGACUGACUGUGGGUUCUCGGUUGAGCUCUUCCACUUGCGCCCCCUCUAAUGGCUCUAAUUUGAUAUAUAAAUUCGUAUCAUUCCCUCCUGCUUGAAAACACACAUUGUCCUCAAGGUGAAAUGCUGGAUAGAGCUUACAAAAGGCGUCAAAGUUUUCCCAAGACGAAUUCUUCGGUGAACUGACGGUCCAUUGAACUAACACUUGAAGCGUUGGCUUCCCCUGUUGCAAAACUAUUCGGGUUGCACAAAUGGCAGCCGGUAGCAAAAGAGGAUGGUUAUCCACACUCAACUCUGGUAAAGGAUGUGAAAUAGCAGGGUCGUUGCCAUGAUAAUGCUUAAGGACAGAGAUGUGAAAAACCGAGUGGAUUUUGGAAGUAUUGGGUAACUCCAAUUUGUAAGCUACAUACCCCACUCUAGCAAGUACCGUAAAUGGCCCGUAGUAUCACUUGGCCAACUUCUGACAGGCGCGAGAAGCUAUAGUGGUCUGUCGAUAUGGCUGUAAUUUAACCAGCACUUUAUCCCCUACUUCAAAGUGAGCUUCACGGCGAUGGGCAUUAGCUUUCUGAGCCAUUCGAUGUUGUGCUUGCCUCAAAUUAGCUUUUAAAGAUUGGAGAAGAGUAUUACGUUCAAGGAGAAUGUCCUCCAAAGUUUGGAUUGAAGUAGAGCCCUUAGCAUAAUGAGGAAUAGUUGGAGGCAAUCGGCCAAAUAAAGCUUGAUAGGGAGACAUCUUCAAGCCACUGUGGAAAUGAGAAUUAUAACUAAAUUCUGCCCAACUCAGUAAGGAAACCCACUUCCGUGGUUUGUCUUGAGUGAAAGCUCGUAAAUAUUGCUCCAAUCCUCAAUUUACCACUUCCGUUUGACCAUCCGUUUGAGGGUGGUAUGCCGUGCUAUGACGAAGAGUUGUGCCACUUAAGAGGAAUAAUUGUUUUCAAAAAUUGCUCAAGAACACUGGGUCUCGAUCGGAGAUAAUUGAACUUGGAAAACCAUGUAUUUUAAUGACCAUGUCCACAAAGAGUUCAGCUGUCUUGAGGGCAGUAAAUUGACAGGGUAACGGACCAAAAUGGGCAAAUUUUGUAAGACGAUUGACAACAACCAAUAUGACCGAGAAACCUUGUGCUAACGAAAGACCUAUAACGAAAUCCAUUGUGACCUCAUCCCAAACCAUAUUAGGUAUCGGCAAUGGUUGAAGAAGACCAGCAGGGGCUUGAGUGGAAUACUUAGUUUGCUGGCAUAUUAAACACUCUCGGAUAAACGUUUCCACAUCAUGACGCAUCUUGGGCCAAUAGAAUGUUGAAGAUAAUCUGAUUAAGGUUCUAGUGACACCCACAUGACCUGCCAGUGGUGUAGAGUGAAAUUCUUGCAAUAGUACGACUUUUAAAGAGGAGGUAGGACUGAUGUAAUAACGCUGACGGUGGAGAAGAAAUCCGUUUUGAACAGAGAAGUCAACUGACAGUUUGCCUUGUAAAAGUUGCUGGUGAAGUGAUAUUAAAUCAGGUAAUGUGGUAUUCUCAUUAAGUAAUGACUGCAGCAAUUCAAAUGAAGGAUGGCUGUUGAAAGAAAGGCAAGUGGGGGAGAUGUUGAUGUUAUCCUCAGGAGCUGUUUCAUGGACACGGGAUAGAGCAUCAGCGGCGCUAUUGGUACAACAUGGUCUGUACUCAAUUCUGAAUUGGAAACCCAAUAAUUUGCGGAGAUAAACUUGCUGAUCUAGUGUUUGUAUCACUUGUUGAAGGAGUUCUUUGAUACUCUUAUGAUCCGUGCGGAUAACAAAGAAUCGGCCCAACAAAUACUGCCGCCACUUAUACACAGCUUCUACAAUUGCAUGCAACUCCUUGAUGUAAGUGGAAGAAGCCCGCAAUUUGGGACCCAACUUCUUGCUGAAAUAAGCAAUUAAAUGCCCAUGUUGUGUAAGUACAGCUCCUAUGCCUACAUUAGAAGCAUCGGUCUCAAUGACGAAUUCGAAAGUAAAAUUCGGCAACUUAAGGACUGGAGCUUGCACCAUUGCUUGUUUAAGAGCUUCAAAGGCCUCCAUGGCUGUCAAAUUCCAUUGAAAGGCAUCAUUUCGCAGCAAAUCAGUGAGUGGGGCUGCCAAGGAAGCAUAACCACGGAUGAAGCGCCUAUAAUAUCCAGUGAGACCAAGAAAACCCCUCAACUGUUUGAUAGAACGUGGAAUUGGCCAAUUAAGCAUGGCAUCAAUCUUUUGGGGGUCGGCUUGUACUCCCGAGGCUGAAACAAUACGGCUUAGAUACUCAAUAGCGGCUUGGCAAAACAAACAUUUGGAUAAUUUAAUAAAAAAUUGAUGAAGAUGUAAACAAGCUAAUACUUUCUCAAGAUGAAGCAAAUGCUCGGCCAUGGAGGAGCUAUAAACCAAGAUAUCAUAAAAAAAAACGAUCACAAAUUUCCGGAGAUGAGCUGCAAAAAUCUGAUUCAUUGUGGCUUGAAAAGUGGAUGGGGCAUUUGUCAACCCAAACGGCAUGACAAGAAACUCAUAAUGGCCCUCAUGUGUUCAAAAUGUCGUUUUGUAUAUGUCGCGGUUGUGGACACGAAUUUGAUGGUAUCCCGCGCGCAAAUCCAAUUUGCUAAAAAUGGUGGCGCCCCCAAGUUCAUCAAACAACUCAUCGAUUGUCGGUAUAGGAAAUUUGUCUUUGAUGGUUACGGCAUUUAAUGCACGAUAGUCAACACAAAACCGAUAGGUGCCAUCUUUUUUCUUGACCAAGAGAACCGGGGAGGAAAAAGGGCUUUAGUUCGGUCGGAUUAUGCCCUACUCUGACAUUUCCCUGAUCAGUUUUUCCAUUUCAGAUUUCUGGAAGUGUGGGUAGCGGUAUGGACGAACAUUGACGGGGGCUGUGUUGGGUAAUAAAUGGAUUUUGUGGUCAAUAGUUCUGUGCGGUGGUAGGCUAGAAGGUUGGAGAAAUAGGUGUUUGUAUUGCUGUAAAAGGUUGAGAAAUUGAGCAGGAAGGGAAAAAGGAAAUUCAAGUGAGGAAGUGUCUGUGAUGGAAAAUGAAGGCAAAGCAUCGAUAGCGGGCACUGGUUGUAAGGCACAAAGGCUGGUCACGGUAUCACUUUGAACCAAUACCUGCAAUUGAUUAUAAGUGAUCAAAUUAUUAGAAGACAAAUCACCAUGAAGCAUCACUGGUUGCUCAUUUAAAGAAAACUCCAUAGGACACUUUGCCCAAUUUCUGUAGCCAUUGAAUGCCAAGGACCACAUAUGUGCCCUCAAUUGGCAAAAUGAAGAGGUCUACCAUAAAAGCCGUGCCUUGCAUUGUUAAGUUCACUUGAGGACAGAACUGUUUACACACCAGGAAGUCACCGUUGCCAAUAUACACUCGGAAAUUGGUAGUUGGAUGAAUGGCUAACCCCAAUCGUUCCGCUAACGCCGGUUUUAUGAAAUUGUGAGUGUUGCCACUAUCAAUCAGCACUUGAAAGGUGUGCGAAUCAAUUUCUCCAAUUAAACGAAGAGAGCGAGGAUUGGCCUGCCCUGCUAGAGCAUUUAAGCUAGAGAUGUCACCAGUAAUACCAGCAUCUACCAAUUCUGAUGGUUCCUCGUUAUUUUUGGGUUCCAAUUCUUCAUCAUCCGUGCCCAUGAGAAGUAGAAAUUUACUGCGACAGAGAUGAUUGUUGCUGUAUUUUUUGUCACAAUUGUAACAUAAACCCUUCUCGCGUUUGUCGCAAAGUUCAGCCGAAGACAAACGGCGAAUUGGUAAUGUUGGUGUCGAUAAUAAUGCAGGUAAAGUGUUUGAUUUAUUGGUAUUGUGGGUUUGUGAGGGAAGAGUUGAAGAUGAUACGGGGGUGAUGGCUGUGGUAACAGUUGCAAGUGAUGAGGAUGGAUAAAUGGGUUUGGGUUGUGUUUGGAAACCAUGUGAAAGGGGAUAUGGUUGCUGCCAUUUAGGCCAUGAGCGUGAGCUCUGUUUCACUUCGUCAUAUUUGGCCUCAAAAGCACGAGCUAAAGUUUCCAUUAGUGAAGACGGUCUAGAGAAAAGCAAUUCCCGUCGAAUGUUGGGUUUCAGACCAGUGAUGAAAAAACUAAUCAAAAGAAGUUCAGAAAUUCCAGUGACCUUGUUCAUUAAAUCUUCAAAAGCUGACUGGAAAUCUGCAACCGUGGUAGUUUGACUCAAUUUGGACAAAUCACCUUGGGGAUCUUCACACAAAGAAGCACCAAAACGAUAGCGCAAGUUAGCUAAAAAUUCUUGCCAAGUAGUGAGCAAGUGAUUGUUCUUUAUCCAUUGAUACCACGCUGCAGCGCGACCCUCCAUAUGAAAAGAGACAAUCCGUAGUCGGAGGAUCUCAGGUGUGUCAUGAAAGUCAAAAAAUUCUUCUAUUCGAAAAAUCCAUCCAUUUGGGUCAGACCCAUCGAAUUUGGGCACAUCCAUUUUCAUGGAACAAAGUACUGGAGAAACUUUAGAACCAGUAAGAACGCCAUCAUAUUUAGAAGAUGAAGGGUGUGAAGGGUUGGAGGAACCAACUGGUUUGUUGGAAGACCCAUGAAUUUAUGUACGUAACUCCUCAAAACGAGAGUCAACUGAUGUCAUGAAUUGUUGGAUUGUUUGAUGGAUGGACAGUUGCUACCCAUCAAGUUUGGCGUCAAAAGUUGCUUGAAGGGUCUGUAAAGCAUAAAGAAUUUCAGAAUUUGCCAUGAUCAAUGAAAGCACCAGUGAUACGCUCUUAAUUCGUGAAACUGAGCAAUAUCAAAAUUAUCACUACUUCGAGCGAGUGUUUGCUCCAGAGGAAAGAACUGGAAGUUGAGAAAUGAAAAAGAAGAAAAGAAGAAGAGUCACAGAGAGGAAGAAAAGUGGUCCAUUCAUUUCUUGCCUUCCCAAAAUGACAAAAUCCCGCAAUAUAUAACAGACAAUAAAAAAUAACCAAUUUGACAACGCAACAGAAAAUGACAAAAAAGAAUCCAAAACAAACGCAGCCAAUCACAAUGCUUUUACAGAUCAUCCUAAACGACGUAGUCUCGUAGCCAGUCUGGAAGUUUCUUGUUUCGUUUGGGCCGUUGAUUCUCUUGCACUGGCUCAUGGUGAAUGUCCUCCUUGGGUUGACUGACUGUGGGUUCUUGGUUGAGCUCUUCCACUUGCGCCCCCUCUGAUGGCUCUAAUUUGAUAUAUAAAUUCGUAUCACAUACAUGCGGUUAAUUUUUUAAGAUAAAGGGGAAGGAUGAUGCUCAAAAAUAUAAAUUAUAGAAUUAAUUGAACUCUCAAAUAAGUUUAAAGUUCAUUAUUUUUAAUUACAUGUUUAUAAUUUAUUUUUAUUUCGUAUUAAUCUAUAGAUCUAAAUCCACUUUGGAUUCAUAUACACAUAUAGACAUAAUGUGUAUGUUAAUCUAUAGGUCUAAAUUCACUUUAGGUCUAUAUAGGUAUUUUGACAAAUGUACUCCAAUCAUGCAUAUUGGCAAGUUCAAAUUCAAUUUGGAAUAUGGUCAUGGUACGUUCUUGUUCUUCCCUCUUUACGAGUGCAUUCCCCCCAACCUCAAGCUCCCUCUCUCGUCUUCAAUGUCACUGCUUAUAUCCUUAUGUUGUUCUAGUUUGAAACAGUGGCUUCCACUAUUUCAGGGCCCCCAAAAAUCCAGAAACAUACUAUUCAUCACGAUGACAAAAUUUUGGGCAGGCAGGUGCUUCCUGACUUUCACACGGUAAUUCUCAAAUUCUGAUUUCACCAUAUUUUAAUUACUGAUUAUGCUCUCCAUUAUAAUAGAAGUCGCCGCCACACUAGUGAUUCCAAACUUUAUCUUUUUUCCUUUUUUAAAUUAAUGCAAGUAGCCGCUGUCCUUUUUAUUAAUUAAUUAAUUCGGCCGCCCACAUUUCUUUUUCUAAUGUCUUCUACUGUCGAGUUUAUUUUAUUUUCCCUUUAUUCUUAAAAUAUACUUAUAAUAAUAAAAUAUAAAAAUAAAAAUAAAAAUUAACAUAUCAAAAUAUAAUUUAACAGAAAAUUAAGAUGAAAAAUAAAAAAAAAUAAAUUCUGAACAUAUCAAUCAAUAAAUGAAAAAUAAUAAUUUUUAUUUUUAUUAAAUAUAUUUUUUUCAGUAUUAAUCAAUUAUCUGAAUAACUAAAAUCAUUUAAAAAUAAAUAAACAAAUUAUUCUUUAUAAAAAAAAAAAACUUUUUAUAACACUCACUAUGCUGGUUGUAGGGUAGACGCUUUGGGGACUGAAGUUGGUAACUUCUACAAGUAGUCUUAAGUUGAUAACUUCUACAAGUAGUCUUAAGUUGACUGGCAAAUGUUCUCAGUAUUAUAUUGGUGUGUCGAUAUUAUCUCUAACUGCCUUAUAGAUAAAAAAAUAAUCUAAAUUUAAAAUUUAACAUAAAAUAAAAUAAUUGGUAGAAAAACAAUUAUGGUUCAUUUACUUAUCAGUAAUCAGAAUAGACUGAAAUCGAAAUGAGUUGUAUUACCGUUGAUGUGUUUAUGUUGUCCUCGAAUCGGAAUGAAUUAUUUUAAGUUACUAAAAUAUCCUUGGUUUGUUAUUCUAAUUAUUAUUAUUUAAUAUUUAUUAUAAUAUUUGUCAUAUCAUUAAAAAGAAAUAAUAAUGAUGAUAAUAUUAUCAUUAUUGUUUGUUACAUUAUUAUUAUUCAAAAAAAUUAUUGUUAAUAACAAUAAUUACUUUAUUUCAAUACUAAUAAUGAUAAAAUUAAUAAUAACAAACAACAAUAAUUAUUUAUUAUGCCAAAAAUAACAAUAAUAAUAAUCAUCAUCAUUUUUUUUCCCAAAGAAGCAUUAUCAUCAUUUCAAAAAAAAUAUCAUCAUUAUCAUCAUCAUUUUUGUAGUGGCUGCCUAUCGGCUGUUGCUUUCAUGUGAGAUUGACUUGCGACGCUUCAACGGCUAUUAUUUCUGGCAAUGUCAGGUGUUACUGUUUCAAUUUAGGAAGAAGCUGUUUCGUUGUGCUAACGAUGGGAGAUGUUGUGGCUGCGAUUCGGGGAGCUACUAGUUUAUUGCACUAAUGACGGCAGGUGCUGCUGCUUGAUGCGAGGUCCAUGGCCAGUUGUCAGCAGUUCGACUUUGGUAUGGGUGCUGCUGGUUCGAUUUUAGGUGUUGUCCAAUUUCAUUUUCAGGAUUUUAAUUUUAUUUUUCUUUUAUAUUUUCAUUAAUUAAUCAGGACAAAGUUGGAUUUUAGAAUUUGGAAUGAAGGUAAUUUUGUUAAUCAUGGAAAUGAGAUUCUGAUUGUCGAGAAUGAGCUUACACAAACAACUACAAAUUAAGUGAAAACAAAACGCUUUUUCUCUUUGUGUGAUUAAAACAUGAUAUGUACCAUAAAUAAAUAGGUAAAAAAUAAAUUAAUACAAUCCAAAACAGUAAACUAAUUACAAGAGGCACAAAUUUUUAUGUGAAAUACCAAAAAUAGAAAAAACCACAGCAUCUUAGUAUGAGAUAAUCUUCUACUAUAUUAAUGAGAUUAUAGCACAAAUUCUUCCUUAUAUAACACUAGAGGUUAACAACAUCAAGAAUUUCAAUAAUCUUGACUUACAAUACAGCCUAAUAUUUGUCUCUCUAAUAAGUAGAUAUCUAAAAUAACAGUCUCUAAUAAAUAAGUAUCUCAAAUAACAGUCUCUAAUAAGUAUCUCAAAUAAUAAUUUCUAAUAAGUAUGUAUCUCAAAUAAUAGUUAACAAGAGGAUAAAACAAAAAUUAAGAUUAGUAGGAUUGUAUAAGGCGAUGCUAUCAACUUAUCUUCUAAAUUUGAGAAAAAUAGUUAAAUUCACUUUUUCGAUUGUGACCAAAGAUGGAAACCUUUGCCCCAAAACCAAAGGAAUCACCAUUUCUCUCUCUCUCUCUCUCUCUCUCUCUCUCUCUCUCUCUCUCUCUAUCUCUCUCUCUCUCUCUCUCUUCUUCUACUUUUCUUAAUGUUAGCCGCCACUCGCUUUUAUUCUUUAUAGCAUUUAAAAAGCUACUUUUAAUGGUAAAUUUCAUUUAAGUCCAAAACUUAGUGAUAAUUGUACACCAAACAAUUCUUUUUGGACUAUGAGCUUUUGGGCCUCCAAAUGAGAUGAAUACAACAAAUCUCCCCCUUUAGAUCAUGUGGGGGGCACCACAAGCCUGCUCUCUGCAUAUAGUUUUUCAACUUCUCCUUGAAUAAUGACUUUGUCAUCAUACAUAACCCAUUCUCUGUUGUGUAAAUUUUCUCAAGCUGUAGCUGUUGCUUCUCAAGCACGUCUCGUAUCUAAUGAUAUCUCACAUCAAUAUGCUUAGAUUUCGAAUGGUUUAUCAAAUUCUUUGAACGGCACUCUGACUGUCGCAGUACAUAACAUAGCUGUCUCGUUUUACACCCAGCUCUUAUAGGAAAUUCAUUAUCCAUAAUAUUUUUUUGCAACCUUCAAUAAUUGUUAUAUCAUUUGCUUUAGUGGUAGAAAACGUAACUUAUUACUAAAGUUUAGAUUGCAAUGAGACUUCUCCCCCUGCAAAAGUGAGCAAACAUCCUAGAAGGAAUUUUUCGGAAUCAACAUCUUCUGCCAUAUCUACACACUUGUAACACAGGUUUGUCACCACUAAAAUAUAAACAUGCUCUGGAAAUGCCUCUAAGAUAUCUGAGAAUUUUUCAUUGUUGUCCAAUGCUCUUUUAUAAUAAAUACAAACAUAAUGAAUUUAUAAAACAUUUAGAGUAUUUUGAAUAUUAUAUAAAAUAAUUUUAAUAUAAUGCAUGAGAUAUAUUUUAUUAAUUUAAAAUGCUAUUUAAUCUAAAGAUUUAUUUAAGAUAAAUUAAUAAUUAAAUUUUUUUAAUUAUUUCAAAUAUUAAAAAUUUGUAAUAUUAUUAGUCUAUUAGAUAGAUUAAAUUAUUUAUUUUAUUUUGUAUUUAUUAAAAAAUUUUAAAGUCAAUAUUUUUAAUUACUAUUCGAAGGAUAUAAUGAUUAAAAAAAUCUUAAUAUUUUUUAUUAAAAAUUUAAAAAUUUACAUGACCAUUUCUAUAAAUAUUUAGGGUAUAUAUGAGCCACGGUGGAGAAGAUUUAUUUAAUAUUAUUGAUUUAAAUAAUAUCUAAUUAAAAAUAUACUGAGAAAAAAUUUCGGUGGGUAUUUUAGUCUUUUCAGCAAUCACAUGAUUAGCCUUUGGGCUUUGGCCUUGAAACGUCGGUCAGAAAAGUUUUAAACUGCUUAAUUGUUUUUCACUUUUAACGUUAGUGGCUGCUUAUAUUUUAGGAAAAUGAGAUUCUCACCACAGUGAGAACCACACUGAGCACAGAACGGUGCGUUUUGUGCUCAGUAUAAAUUCUAACUGUAGCGGAAAUAUCGCAACACAAACGCGCCAUUCCAAACCCACGCGCGUUCUCCCUCACGCCAGCAAAUCUCACCACGCUUCCUCCUCACUGUAAGCGCCCCCCCUCCCCGGGGGCGGUCGGCUGCGUCACGCUCCCUCACGGCGCCUCACUCUCUCGGCUCUCUUAGAAAAUUGAAUUGCGGCUUCCGCCGUGGGGUUCUCUCCUCAACUGCCGUUGUCUCGUCUCUGACAGCUGCCUUAAUCAAAUUCUGAAGGUAGUUUGCUUCAAUUCAUUACAUUAAUUUCAAAUUUGGUUUGUGUGGGAUUAUGAGUUUGUGAAGAUUUAGUUCUGUUUCAUGGUAAACUAUUUUUUGCUCAGUGUGUUGAGAAUAUCAGCACGGUUUAAAAUUCUUUUUAGAUUCUGUCGUAAAGUUUUCUUUGUAUUGGGCAAGUCAGUUACUUUAGUUUUGUGUCUGAAAACAAAAACACUUAGCUUAGUGAGUUUUAAGAGAUUUUGCUAUUUUGUUCAACGAAGCUUAAAAAGGGGAAGCUUUUAUGGCGUCUGUGAGCCGAGGCAAUUUGGAUCGGGUGCUUUUUCAGUUCAUUUGUUUGUUUCUUAUUUGGGUUCUUUAUUGUUAGAUGUUCUUUUGAGAUUCUGGCAUCUGGCAUCUGGCUACUUGCUUUUGUGGAGUUUUUUUAUUAUUUGAAUUCUGUGAAUUCUUUGUUUUCUUUCCCAAAUGAUUCCACUCUAUAAAAUAUAUAUUGUGCUUGGCUAGAAUUUUCUUUUAGAUAAUUGCAUCCUGUACAUUGGCUUAACCUGUCAAGAAUGAGAAUGAUGGAAGAUGCCUAUCUUGGAAAGAAUAUAUUGAGUUACAUAGUACCGGUUCCAAAUGAAUAAAUUGGAACUUGCCUAAAACAGGCACCAAUCCACCAUGACACCAAGCCUUUUUAAAAUUUUUUUUUUUUUAAGUUUAAAGAAACUUAUGUUGCUUCUUUAGAUCUGUUUUAGCUUAUGAUGAAUUUUGCUAAUGGUAAAAUCCCUCCCCUUCAAAGUUGGGGGAGGGGAAGCAUCUAUAUGCAUAUGUGUACAUUAUGGAGCUCGAACUACAUGUCGCAGUAAUACAUUAUUCUCUUUGCUUUGCAGGUUUUGAUCAACAUGAGUGAUUGGGAUGUAGGUCUGUGCUUGAGAGGCCGGAGUGAUGACCAGAAUUCUGUCAACCAGACCAAAGACAAUCAACUGAUGAAGUGUUGUUGUUCUCUAUAUUGAUUGUUGGAAAUUAUGUGUUAUUUCCAGAUUUUUAGAAAAUUAUGAUUGCUGGAAAUAAUUAUAUAUGUACAAUCAUUAUGUCCUCCAGCACAAGUGAAUUUCCAAACCCACAACUGAAAGCUUGCGAAAAAUUUGUAGAAAAUUUGUACAUCAAAUCCACAAGCUAAGUGUUGUAUCAGAAUAUGAAUGACAAUAAAACAAAAAUCUGUGUUCUUCAUUCUUAAAAUACUAAUACAAUACAAGUACAUUCUUAUUCUGAGAAAUAACUACCUAUUAACUCCAUAUUCAUUAUCUUGUUGAAAGAGUAGCUGCUGAAAAUGUCCAUGUCGCUGAGCUUGUAUGUGCUAUUAAAAAAAAAUUAAACAUCUUGUUGUCAUCCGAAAAAAUAAAGAAGGCAAGAUGAACAAAUAAAAAACUUAUCACUACUUACGGUGCAAGAAUUUUAUGUAGAUAUUGAAUAAACAUUAUCCUCAAUUAUUUGUCACAAUAAUUUAUAUUCAAUUCAUGGUGUGUUGCAGCAAGCUUCCAUUGUUUAACUAAAUGACAGCUGAAUCUUUACAACUAAUUAUCUUUACAAUCAAAUUUGGAAUUAAUUAAGCAAAUUACCGCUAGAAAUCGACGAGUGAAGCUAAGAGAGUGAGGCUGCAAGUCGAAUUUUUGAGACAGCCGAGAGAGUGAGGCGCUGUGAGAGAUGCAAUGGACGGGCGAGAGAGAGACGAAGCCGAUGGUGAUUGCUGCAUUGGUAGGAUUGAGGGAGAGAGCGAAAGAGCCAGAGCGUGCGUGCUUGUUCUGCCAGAGAGCGCGUAUGUUUUUUCUCAAUGCGCGUGUUGCGUAAUUAUCCAUCUACAGUGACCAUUUUAUAGUUAUCUUGAAACGCACCGUUCGGUGCUAUAUGUGGGGCUGAAUGUUGUGAGCAUAUCGGUGCUGUAUAUUUUAUUAAAAAUUAAUGCUAACAAGAAAAAACCCCUCAAUGAAUGAGGGUGAGAUUGCUAAAAAUUACGACAGGUGAUAUUUUAUUAUUAUUAUUAUUAUUGGGGGAGAAAUCCUCACCAAAGUGAGGAGAUUUUAUCAAAAUCAAAAUAAAAAUAUAACAAGAACUGAAAGUUGGGCAGCCUAAAAGCUAGAUAAACUAAAAUUCAGGCGCCUAAAAACAACCUUAUGCAAAAGAGAAGCAACAUGAGACCGAUCAAGUAAAAGAAUCCACCGCAACACCUAAAUUGGCCAAAUUAUCUGUUGGUAUUACAAGUUUCUUGUUAUAAAAGUGUAGAAUGAAGAAGGUGACGUAGUUUUAAGUUACAGCUGCAUGCCCGAUCGCAAUAUCAAAUAAUGAUUAAAUAUCAAAUAAUACUUAAAAUAGUUGCCUAGACCCGCCACAAUUUAUAUUAACUCUUAAAUUUAUAAAUAAUUAAAUUUUUAAAAGUUCGGAUUUAUAUUAAAAAAUCUUCAUAUAAAUAAAUAAUAUAUGCACUUUUACAACACAGUCUUUAAAUUUAAAUUUUUCUAGAAAAAUCUUCUGUAUAUCUUUUCUAUUAAAAAAUUUCCAUAUAAAUAAAUAAUAUACCUAAUUUAAUUGGACCCAGCGCAACGCAUAUGCAUAGAACACAUUCCGAAAAGCCAUGAUAUUCGGAAAUUGACGAAUGAAAAGUGAGGAGGCAGCAGUCAAUGCUAUUUCGGCUUGGCCCAAAAUUGAUUUAUCAGUUUGACGUGUGCCAGGAAUGAAGAACUGGAAUAUCACCAUCAAGCAAGCAACCUGCGGAGCAAUACCAUAGAAUGCACAAUCCGGCUUUGCAAGGUGACACUGGAGGCUUUUUGAAAAGUGCUUCACGCUCACUUGACAGAUUGAGCAUCCCCUCUGGAUAUUGCCCUCUCUGAUCGAAUCUGAGCACUCAAAUUUCGGUCCUCAGAUGGAGCUACAGCUUUCUCUCCAAUAACCAACAAUUUUCUAAACUCAGCACCUAGUGUGAUCAGAGUUGUUGAUAUUUGUAAAUGGAGAUCCCCGUAUUUGCAAAUGGAGACAUUUACCAAAUCACCAACAUGCUUCAUCCAGUCUACGAAAUUCUGCAGCUGAUUCAAAUCCGGAACCUGAACAAGAGUCGGAGGUAAAUCUUGAGCCAUAUCUAAAGCAGUCUGAAGUUCAAGUACUUGAGCCCUUGACAAUGGUUUUGAAAUUGGAACAUCUUGGAUUACUGCAGACUUGUGCCCCUUGGUUUCAAAGGUAAGGAAAGGCAUUGCUUGAGUACAAUUUGGAGGCAGCUUCUUCACCAAUUUUAUUUGGAGGCGAUUGGCAGCGGAUCCAGCUGCACCAAUUUCAGAGCAAAUACUGACACUACUUCGAACAGCACACUGAAGAAGUGAUAUGUCUACGGCAAAGGCAAUGCAGUCCUCAUUUUGGCUUGAGAUGCAGUAAUCAUCGAAGAGAGUUUCCUUGUGAAACUGGGCAACACAUUGAAUCCCUUCGCCACUGAGAAGGUUGCGGAGGAAGUAAGCUUUCUCUCUAGUGAGGAAGAGGUGGCAUACCUUCCCCAUGUCUAGGGCAGGUAGGAAUCUUUUUUCUAAGAGAUUUACUUCAUUCUCUGUGAGAAAUGCUUUGAACUUCAUCCCUCUGUCUCUAUCCUCACUUAUCAGUAAAAUAGUUGAAAGUGCUACAAGGAGAGAAAAGAAGAGUAUUAAGAUAUAUAUAGACAAGAAAAACAUUAGAUGUCGAUCUUACAAGCUAAUACUUCAAACAGUAUCCUAGAAAGCUAAAAACUGCAAAAUGGCUUGACAUUUGAAAAGAACACAUGCUUUUCCUCCUUAACUUGAGAAAAUGUUUAAUAUAGUGCACCUUACAGAAACAUUUAAGCAAUUAGAACUUUGCACAAAAAUAUUCAAGAAGACUAAACAAAUCAGAUGCAGUGUAUUUCUCCAAGCACAAAUGGCAUUGCAUUUUUUCCUCAACUGUAAUAUUUAUUGAUGAAAAUCAGUACAGGUCCCUCAUUUGUUAUGGAAAGCUUUCUUGUAGUCUGACUGGUUAAUUCACGGAUCUAUAAUUAUCUUGCAAAGUUACAGGCAUUUCUUUCGAUUUAAAGUCUUUGCAUCACCACCUCAUCACACACCUAGCCAAUAUUCCGUCUACUUCUACAACAAAAAGUUUUAAGUAAACGAUCCUAAUGCAUGCAGCCAAAUAAAAUGCAGUAAGAAUAUUCAACUUAAAACUCUGAAAGCCAUCUUGGUGAAUUGCCUCCUUAGGGGAAGUUCCAUGAUUUACUAUACUUGACAGGACUGAGCAAAAGCUUACAUACAACAGAUUUUGAAAAUGAUGAUGCCAAUAGAUACUCAUACAAUCCAUUGAAACUCCUAAGGUCCAUUGUUCACAGAGGUUUACAGAGUUUUGGUUAUCAAAUAGCUCAGACCUUAAUCCCAAACAAAAAACGAGUGAAAAUUAGAUCACCAGCAGCAAAUUGUAAAUUCUAACUUAACUCUUCAUCUCCUUUGUAAACAGGAGACAAAAUGGAGACACGCAAAAUGAAUAAGGAGAACAUUUGAACUCAAAUGAAAUGAGGGCACGAAAGCAAACAAAUGGCAUGCGCAAACAAACCAAGCCUCAAUCAAAAACUAAUUAACCAUUAAAAAACAAAACUGGUCAGCUUCUGGUGUUCUCAAAUUGUAUAACAAGAGAUCGACACAUCGAAUCAGAAGAACUCAAUUCAAAUUUGUCUCAAAAAUCAAAAUUAGAAGAUUUCACAUUUCGAGAGGAACAAGCGACAGGUCAGAUGCAAAAUUUUCAGCCAUAACAUGCCACAAUUAACGGUUUAUUUCCAUGGAUUUAGAGAGCUGACUGACCUUUUGGCUUUUGGAAUUGAGAAGAUCGCGCGCCAAAAUGGAAGAGGGAAAGCGAAAGUGCGGGUUUUAAUAGGGUAUUGGAUUAGCAAAUUUUAUUAGUUUGCGAGGGUAAAAUAGGAAAGUGAUAUCACUAUUAACCUUUUUUUUAAUAAGAAAAAAGAAUAAUAAAGAAUAUUUUAUUGUCAUUUGCAGCAUUUAUUUUUUUUAAAUGCUAUUAGAAAAAUACGACAACAAAGAAAUGCUCUUUUUUUUUUUUUUUUUUUUCUCGAAGGUAAAAUCAAUUAUUUAGCUCCUUAUAUGUAAUCAAACUACAUUUCUUACUUUAAGUCAUAUCCAACGGACCAACAAAGUAAUUAUUUUUUUUUUCAUUCAUUUUUGCAGAAAAUUAAUAACUUAAAAAUAUUGAAAGCUAUUGUAAAAUUUUUUAUUAUCAACCUCAUAGUUUUAUUUUUUGGGAAGAAUUGAAUUUUUUUUUUUAAUUUCCAAGAAUUUCAUUCUCUAGUUUUUCCAUUAAUAUUACUUAUCUUGAUACCCAUCUUAAUUAAAAUCUGUAGUUUUAUUCAAGAGUCAUGCUAUUCAUUCACUCACAGACCAAAGGCUUUCCGCAGCAAUAUUAUUAUUUAAAUUACAACAAAGGGGAAAUCAAAUACGUCAUACAGAAGCUUAAAGCUGAAUCUACAAAAUCUAGAGCUCUCAACUACAUAAAUUACACUUGAUGAUCCUCUACAAGAUGAAGCUUGUUCAAUAUCUCAUCCAAAGCUUGUAAAGUAACAUUAUAACGAUCUUGAGAUUGCCUGCCUUCCUCGACGACCUGCACGAUGCGUUUGUACAAAUCAUCAUACCUGUGCACCGGAUUUUUAAUAUCAAUGCCACUGCAGCUGUGAUCAAGAACAUAAGAGCGUUUAACAUCUUUUCUCCAUCAAGAAAGAAUGUAGUGAGAUGGGAUCUCCUGCAUGCCACUCUGGUUUAGAACACAAAGAAUGUGUCUGCAUAAAUAUCCUCUGAAAUUGAACAACCCACAAACACAAAGCACCUCCAAGUCGGAGGCAUUGUACAAAACAUCGAAAAUAGUUAUGUUUUACAAUCUAUUAGACAUAUUUUAUUAAAUUAAUAUAAAUUUUCUAUAAAAUAAGAAUAUAAUAUUAAAAUAAAUUCACAAAAAAUUAAAGAAUUUUGAAUGUAAAAUAAUUUUAAUAGAUUAAUACGUGAGUUUUUUUAUUAAUAUAAAAAUUAUUUAACUUUAAGAUUUUUUAAAAUCUUUACAAUAAGUAUGACUAUAUUAUUUACAUUUAAAAAUAUUUAAAUAUUAUUAACCUACAAUUAUAUUUGCAUUUGUUAGAAUUUUUUAAGUCAAAUAUUUUGCACUUCUAUAUUAUUAGAAUUAUUGCACACAAAGAAAGAAACAUAUACCUUUAGAAAUUGUUUUCUUUUAAAAUAGAGAUGAUGAUUAGUAUAAGGAUGAAAAAAAUGAUAAAGAAUAUUAAUGAUUAACGAAAUCUCUAUACAAAUUGAUUUUAGUAGGAAAAGAGUGAGAUGAAUGAUUUCUUUUACGGUUAGAAACAUAGAUGAUGAUUAUUAUAACGAAGAAAAAAAGAUAAAGAAUAUUAAUUAUUAAUGGAAUCUCUAUGCAAAUUGAUUUUAGUAGGAAAAAAAAUGAGUUAAAUGAUUUAGAGUGCGUUUGGAAUUGAGAUUGGGCAGCCAUAGAUUUUAAGUUACAAUACUGAAGUGUUUGAUAAAUACUAGCUGCUGCAGAUUGAAAGUUAUAUUGAUAUGAUUUUUCACAUGUAUCAUAGAAAAUAUAUUACAUCUUUAAUAAUUUUUUUAAAAUUUAUAUUUGCUAUAUAUUAUUAAUUUUUUUUUAUAGUUAUAACUUUUUUUCCACAGCAGUUGUAGCUUAAAAGUCACAGCAUCUCAAUCUCAAACAAAUCCUUAGACAUUCAUAGUGUGUUUAUUUUUUGGAUUGGUGAAUCAAAAUUAUUGACAACGCUAACUUCAUCUUCAUUGUUCGCAAUCCAACAGCAGCAGCAAUUGUCACCAAUAAUGAUAUCUCCAAUGAUGAUGACAAUUAUUAUUAUUAUUAUUAUUAUUAUUAAUUUAUUAAUUAAUAUAUUAAUGUUAAUAAUAUUAUUAUUAAGAUUAACAAUAAUUAGUAGUAAUACAAUUUUUUGAAUAAAAAUAAUCACAAUAAUUAAAAUACAAAUUAAUAAUUAUGACAAUAGUUAAUUAAUGUCUUUUUAGUAAUUUGUAAUAAUCUAACUCAUUUUGAUUCUGAUUAUUACAGCUUAAGUAAACAAAUUAUUAUGAUUCCUAUUUUCCUUUCCUAUUUUAACUCACUUCGAUUCCAAUCUAUUCCAAUUUCUAUCUAAUAAAUGCACCAUUAGUGCUAAAGUAAUAUUUCAUACAUAGAAAAAUAAAAACUACACCUAAGGUUAAGGGAAAGGACUUCAAAACUCUCUUUUGAUCAUAAUACAUUUUGUCCUAAUUAACUUAAAGAUUUUGAAUCUAAUAUUUUAUAAUAAAUAAAAAUAUAUUCCUAAAAUAAAUAUAAUAUCAAUAUUUAAAAUAUGUUUUAAUAUUUUACAAUCUAUCAUACACAUUUUAUUAUAUUAAAGUAGAUUUUAUAAUAAAUACAAACGUACUAUUAAAAUUAAUAUAUAAAAAAUUUAGAAAAUUUAGAAUAUUAUAUAAAAUAAUUUUAAUAUAAUGCGUGAGAUAUAUUUUAUUAAUUUAAAAUUUUAUUUUACCUAAAAAUAUGAUAAAUUAAUAAUUACAUAUUUAAAGUUAUUUCAAAUAUUAAAAAAAUUUAAUAUUAUUAGUUUUUUAGAUAGAUUAAAUUAUUUUUAUAAGAGAUAGAUUAAAUUAUUUUAAAAUACCUUAAUUGUUUUUACUUUUAACGUUACCGGCCUUUCUUUUAUUUUAUUGUAAAUUAAUGCUAACAAGAAAAAGCUAGAUCAUAUUCCACAAAAGCAAAAGUGACAAACACAAUCAGCUGGAAUCUUUUAUAAAACUACAAAUUAAAAUGGUUUUUUUUUUUUUUUGAUAAAUUACAUAUAAAAGUGGAUUCUUUUGAAUAUAAGUGGGGUAGGCUCUUUUAUUUUUUUUUAAUACUGUAUAACAAGAUUGUAGACUCCUUGAUUAAGCACAAGUAUAAAGUAGUCGAGACGAUACUUUAUGCUAGGUGUCCAUUGAAUAUUAGAUCUUCAUUUCUUUGGCCAUUUAAUUUUUUCGAGAAAUUUUUCUUACGAUCCCGGCUAAGCUUGAAGAAAAGACAACUCAACGGUUUUUUUAAAACAAGUUUCCGUUUUGGUUGGUGAAAUGAAAACGAAAUAAAGCACUUCCAUCCAAAAAUCAUUCUUCUGGAGAAAGGGAUGACAGAUUAAAGAAAAGGGGUGUACUGAAAGGAGAAAAAAGGUUCUUGCAUGAGAGCUGGACACGUUAAAAGAAGUUGAACAAAUGUCUCAAAAAGAAGCUAUUUCGCUUUCAUACUAAAGCCUAUUUGUAAUAGCAUCAGCAAUGCUCCACUAUCCACAUUCUUGUGCGGAUAUCAUUGCAAUCUACUAAUGGUAUAUAAACAUGCAUGUUGUCCCAUGAUGAUUAAGUUAACACACACUUGGAGGUACUUAAAUUAUGCCAUAAAGAGAUAUAGUUAUUACGCAUACAAAUGUUAUUCAAUGGUUAAAAUGUAUGAUAAAGAAAUCGCUUGAAUUUUUUAUUUGCCGUUACGUAAUUUUUUUAUUGAUUCCGAGUUUGAAUCUUAAAAGAAAUAAAGGGUUAGAAAAUUAAUUUGAACUUUGUCCACUCUUUAACUUAAUGAGUAUAAAAACAGAAAAUGCAGGUAAUUUAAUUUUGACAUCUAACAUUUAAGAGAUAGAGCUUGAAAGAGUCCAAUAUUAAAUUAUAAAAUAAUUGAAAUAAAGUUUGCCCCAUAAGAAAAAUUGAACAAAAAAUCUUAAGUAUGAUAUGAUGCUAGAGAAAUUAUUUAUCUCAAAACUUUUAUUAGGUAAUUAAGUCCUAAGAAUAUGUAAUUACACAUGUAACAAAAAUUAGAGAUGAGGGUCUUUUAUUAAACUACAAAUUGUAUAGUCUUUUUAAAAUUGUUAUAAAUUGGUGGCCCCUACAAUCCUCAAUAAUUGUGCCGAUAUUCACAAGUUGGUGGCCCCUACAAUUAUCAACUGUGCAAGUGCUCAUUCACAAUCUUCCAGGUCAUGCUCUUAAUAAUUGUUUUUUUUUUCUGCAUUCCCUUUCAUGCUCUUAAUAAUUGAAGAGCAUACUUUUCAAAUAUGGAGCCGCAGCUAAUGUCGCUAAUUUAAUUUGGGAUUAAAUUAGGGGACCAUUAUGUUGCAGUGUGCACUAAUUUUUGUGUUUAUCUAAACUCCUUAAAUUUAAGACAUAUUACGGCAUAAAUAAGAAUAUAACAAUAACAAAAGAGUUAAAAAGUGUAGAGAAGAUCUUGCAGAAAUAUAAAUAAUAUCUAUUUUAAAAUAAUAUCAAUAUUUAAAAUAAUUUUUAAUAUUUUAUGAUCCAUUAGAUAUAUUUUAUUAUAUUAAAGUAAAUUUUAUAAUAAAUAAAACAUACUAAAUUUAGAGUAUUUUAAGUAUUAUAUAAAAUAAUUUUAAUAAAAUAUGUGAGAUAUUCAUAUUUUAUUAAUUUAAAAUACCAUUUAACCUAAAGAUUUAUUUAUGAUAAAUUAAUAAUUAUAUUUUUGAAAUUACUUCAAAUAUUAAAAAAAUUAAUAUUACUAAUCUAUUAGAUAGAUUAAAUUAUAUAUAUUAUUUUCUAUUUAUUAAAAAAUUUUAAAAUUAUUUUUAAUUACUAUUCAAAAAAUAUAAUGAUAAAAAAAAAUCUUAACAUCUUUAUUAAAAAUUUAAAAAUUUUCAUGAUCAAUUCUCUAAAUAUUUAGGGUAUAUGUGAACCACGGUGGAGAAGCUUUAUUUAAUAUUAUUGAUUUAAAUAAUAUGUGACAAAACAACUAGGUGGACUACAAAUUAAAGUGGAUUCUUUUGAAUACAAGUGGGACAGACGAUUAGGCUCUUUUUAAUUUUUAUUAAAGGCAAGUAAAAAGUAGUCGAAUAGUCUUUUUCAAAUUCUUGUUUUAUUGUUUUUCAAAACUAACAAGAAAAAGCGAGAUCAUAUUCCACCCCAAAAGCAAAAGUGACAAAACAACCAGCUGUAUUCUUUUAUUAAACUACAAAUUAAAAUGGAUUCUUUUGAAUACAAGUAGGACAGACGAUUAGGCUCUUUUUAUUAAACGCAAGUAAAAAGUAGUCGAAUAGUCUUUUUCAAAUUCUUGUUUUAUUAUUUUUCAAAAUUAGUUUUUGGUAAUUACUGUUUUUCCUUCAAAAGUUAGCGGUUCAUGUUUGCAAGUGUGAAUGUGCGAUGCUCUUUUCUUAAAGGCAAUUACAGUGGGGCCCGAAUGCCUAAAUCUUUUUAAAAUUUUUGCCGUAUAACGAACAGAGGUCAUUACUAAAAUUUCUCUUCCACAGCCUACAGCAGCUUCAGUUUAUCAAACUCAAUCAAUUUUCUUUCUUAACAAAAUUCCAAAGAUGUGUAGCAUUUUUCAGAUCGCAUGCGAUGGUGCUCUUUUCAAUCGUUGCUUGGAUUGCUUUCUUGGAAAAGCAGCAUACCUUCGUAACCUCCCAGAUAAUCUUGUAGACUUGGAGACUGAACUGGGAAGACUAAUCGCAGCAAAGAACGAUGUGAUGAUGAGGGUUGUCAAUGCUGAACGGCAACAAAUGAGAAGGCUGGGCCAAGUGGAAUGGUGGGUUUCGAGGGUGGAUGCUGUUAAAACUGGAGCCGAUGAACUUAUCACAGACGGCUCUGAAGAAAUUGGCGAAUUAUGUGUUGGAGGCUACUGUUCCAAGAACUGCAGGUCAAGCUACAAGUUCGGAAAACAAGUGGCUAAAAAGCUACAAGAUGUGAAGGCUUUAAUCGCCGAGGGAGUUUUUGAGGCGGUGGCUACUGAGGUGGUGCCCGAGAGAGCUCCGGAACCUGUAGCAGAUGAAAGACCCAUUGAGCGAACAGUAGUAGGCUUGCAAUCACAACUUGAACAAGUCUGGAGAUGUCUUGUAGAAGAAUCAGUGGGAAUCAUUGGCCUAUAUGGUAUGGGCGGUGUUGGUAAAACCACACUGUUGACCCAUAUCAACAAUAAAUUUCUUGAGAGUCCCACCAACUUUGAUUGUGUGAUUUGGGUCGUAGUUUCAAAAGACCUGCGACUUGAAAAAAUUCAAGACGAUAUUGGGAAGAAGAUAGGUCUGUCUGAUGAUUCAUGGAAGAAUAAAAGUUUUGAGGAGAAAGCUGUAGACAUCCUGCGGAGUUUAGGAGAGAAGAGAUUUGUAUUGUUGUUAGAUGAUUUAUGGGAGCGGGUUGAUUUAACAAAAGUGGGCGUUCCACUUCCCGGACCACAAAAUACUACCUCAAAAGUCGUAUUCGCAACCCGUUUCAUCGAUGUUUGUGGUAGCAUGGAAGCUGACAGGAAGUUCCUAGUGGCGUGCUUAUCAGAAAAGGAUGCUUGGGAACUGUUUCGAGAAAAAGUUGGGGAAGAAACUCUUCAGAGUCAUCAUGAUAUCGUUGAGCUAGCCCAAAUUGUGGCCAAAGAGUGUGGUGGUUUGCCACUCGCACUUAUUACUAUUGGUCGAGCUAUGGCCUGCAAAAGGACAGCCGAGGAGUGGAUACACGCAGUUGAAGUGCUAAGAAGAUCAGCUUUUGAGUUUGCAGGUUUGGGAAAAGAGGUGUAUCCUCUUUUAAAGUUUAGCUAUGAUAGUUUGCAGAAUGAGACGAUUAGAUCUUGUUUCUUAUAUUGUUGUUUAUAUCCCGAAGAUUAUGGAAUUCUUAAAUGGGACUUGAUUGAUUGUUGGAUUGGUGAGGGAUUCUUAGAGGAAUCUGACAGGUUUAGUGCAGAAAACCAAGGUUACUACAUUGUGGGCACUCUUAUUCAUGCGUGUUUACUAGAAGGGAUAGAAGAUGAUAGAGUAAAAAUGCAUGACGUUGUUCGUGAUAUGGCUCUAUGGAUAGCUUGUGAAAUUGAGGAGAGGAGACACUUUUUGGUUUGUGCAGGCGCUGGAUUAGAACAGGCACCGGCUGUUAGAGAAUCGGAAAAUGUGACAAGAUUGUCAUUGAUGCAAAACCAAAUUAAAAUUCUGUCGGAGGUUCCCACAUGCCCUGAUCUCCUCACUUUAUUUCUUGACUUUAAUGAGGAGUUGGAGAUGAUCGCGGAUGGCUUCUUCCAAUUUAUGCCUUCUCUCAAAGUUUUGAAGAUUUCAAACUGCGGGAAUUUUACUUUUCAAUUACCUUUGGGGAUGUCAAAGUUGGGUUCACUAGAACUUUUUGAUAUUUCACGCACCGAAAUACAAGAGUUACCAGAAGAGUUAAAGUUGUUGGUAAAUCUGAAAUGUUUGAAUUUGAGGUGGACAAGCAAGUUAAUUAGAAUUCCACGGCAACUAAUAUCAAAUUCUUCAGGGUUACGUGUGUUGAGAAUGUUCGCUACUGGCUAUGAAUGUUUUCAUGAAGCACCAGAAGACAGCGUUUUAUUUGGUGGGGGUGAAGUUUUAGUACAGGAAUUGCUCGGUUUGAAAUAUUUAGAGGUAUUGGAGUUGACCUUGGGAAGUUAUCAGGCUCUCCAAAUCUUUUUGAGCUCAAAUAAGUUAAAAAGUUGUAUUCGAUCUCUUUUCCUCCAGUUGGCCGGAGAUACAAAGUCGAUUAUUGAUGCUGCGGCUUUCGCAGAUCUAAACCACCUCAAUGAAUUAUAUAUUUAUGAAGGUAUUGAGUUGGAAGAAUUGAAGAUUGAUUAUACAGAGAUAGUACGAAAAAGGCGGGAACCUUUUGUUUUCCGCAGCCUUCACCGUGUUACCAUAUUUAGUUGCGGUAAAUUGAAAGAUGUGACAUUCCUCGUUUUUGCUCCAAACCUCAAGUCUCUUGAGCUAUUGCAAUGCGAUGCUAUGGAAGAAAUAAUCAGCGUCGGAGAAAUUGCUGAGACUCCUGAGAUGAUGGGACACAUAAGCCCUUUUGAAAAUCUCCAAAGUCUUCAUUUAUCGUAUUUACCAAUUUUGAGGAGCAUCUACUGGAAGCCAUUGCCUUUCACUCAUCUCAAAAAAAUGGAGGUACGUAGAUGCGAUCAGCUUAGAAGGCUUCCGCUCGAUUCCAACAGUGCAACAGAGCGUAAUGUUGUUAUUCGUGGAUACACACUCUGGUGGAACCGACUUCAAUGGGAGGAUGAAGCCACUCAAAUUGCUUUUCGUUCCUGUUUCCAACCUCGUUCCUGAGCAGUGGUCGCAAAAUUUGAUUUCUGGUGAGUGCGUUUGUCUUUUAAAAAGAAGAAUUUAAAAGAAAUUUAUUCUUGUCGUUUUCUUCACUGUUUUUAUUUGAUUUCUGGUUAGUUUCUUUCUCUCUCUCUCUCUCUUUGUCUUCUGCAAAUCACAAUUAAAUGUUGAAUUAAUGGAAUUGAUGCUCUGGUUUUUUACUUUUUGUUGUCAAAUUUUGCCCUGUUCUAUCUUCUUAGCGAUUUAAUUUCCUGUCAAAAGACGAGCGAGAAGAACAUAUAUAUGACUUAAACCAAUUGAUACUUUAUUUAUGUGCAUUGUAUGUAAUAAAUAUUAAGUAUACUUUAUUUUUGCCCUGUUCUCUGUUUUUAUUUCAGUCUCUCUCUCUCUUUCCUGUCUUCUGCAAAAUAUAAUCAAUUAUUUUCAAAAUAUCAUUGAUGAUUUUUCUGCUCUAAUGCUAUGUAAAUAGUAUGUUAAGUAAAACAUAAUCAAUUAUUUGUGUUUUAUCUCUAAUUAGAACAUCAAUCAGUUCAGUACCUCACAAAUAAUUCGCAAUAUCUACAAAAUACUAUAAUGGCUACAAAACAAAUCCUGCUUGCAAAUUGUCAAGGAUACCUAUCCGUUCGCUUGACAAGUCAUUUGAAUAAAUAUUGUUCACAUUCCUUACUCUAUCAAUUAUCCAAAGCACCAUCAAUGGUCCUCAACUUUAGUUUGAAUAGUAUACAUGCCAUCACCAUUACCAAGAAUCAAGCAUGGAAGAGUCAUUCUAUAGAGUUAAUCGAAGCAAGGAAUGAUGUAUCAGAAAAUAUUUGGUGGAGAAUUCAGCACAAACAUAUUUUGGAUGAUCAGAAUCAAUAAAACCUGGUGGUUGCGCCAUAUAAACAUCUUCGGAAAGCUGACCUUGAAGAAAGGCGUUAUUGAUAUCCAAUUGACGAAGAGGCCAGCCAUGACUAACAUCAAUACUAAGAACAAGCCGUACUGUGGUGGACUUAACAACUGGACUGAAAGUGUCAUAAUAGUCCACACCAGGCCAUUGAUUGAACCCUUUGGCAACAAGAUGAGCUUUAAACCUGUCAACAGAACCGUUGGAAUGUCUUUUAAUACAAAAAUCCAUUUGCAGCCAACAAUAUUGGAAGGGAUGGGAGGUGGAACAAGCUUCCAUGUCCCGUUACGAACAAGAGCAUCAUACUCUUCUGACAUAGCUGGACGCCAGUGAAGAUUUUUGAUAGCUUGCGUCACAGUUGUAGGUUCACAAUCAGAAGAAGGGCUAAAAUGAGCACGGAGGUUAAGUUUUUGUAACGGCUUGUGAAUCUUAUUUUUAGCUCGGGUAGUCAUAUCAUGAUGACUUGUGGGGCAAUGAUCUAGUGGAGUUUAGGAAGAUGAUUGAACAGGAAGUGAAGAAGUGCUUUGUGUAGAGGUAGAAGUAGGUUGGGAGGAUUGCUGCGGAGAUGUUACCGGUAGAGAAGAAGGAGCAGUACACGGUGGCAACUCCAGAGGGCCCACAAUAGAUGGAGUAGGUGCCGACAAUGGAGUACUAGGAAAUGAAACAGGAAGAAUUGGUGGAACACUUGCGUAAUUAGGAGUGGUAGAUGAGCUUGUAAUGAUUUGUAUGGAAAAACAAACUCUACAAAUUUAACGUGACGUGAAAUAAAAAUUCAACCCGAUUGCAUAUUUAAGAACAUCUCAAAUGAAUUGCUUACUGCUAUCAUCAUCAUUAUUGUCUAUAUAAUAAUGGAUCUUUAUUAUAUAUAUGUUUCCACUAAAAUAUAUUUAAUUAUUCUUUAUUUUUCUAUUGUUGCGUGUAAGAUUUAUUUGAGUUCUAAGUUAUAUCAAUACAAAUGUUAUCUUAUCCAUAAAAAGUUAGAUCCAACAAUUAUGAAAAUUACUAUAGAGUUGCUUUCAAUUAUUUUUUUAAAAUACCAGGAGUAAAUAAUAAUUAGUUCAAAUGGUGGAGACUAAAAUGCGUUCACCUUUAUUUUUUAUCUGUUAUUUACUUUUGUCAUUACAUUAAUGCACAUGCUAUACAUUUGAGACAUUCCAUUAAUUGCCAAUUAUGUAUGUGAGAUAGUAAUUUAAAUUAAAAAAUAAAAGUGAAAGUUAAUCCUAUGCAAUGUGAAUAAAUUUCUUUCCUUUUUCCUUUACUCUUUUUAUUUGACAAUAAAGUUUCCAUCUAUCAUCUAUCAUCUAUGUACACAAAAUUUCUGCAACAAGUACAAAACAUAAAAAUAUAUGAAUAUUAAGGGAAACACGCAGAAGUUCAUCAUUUCAAUGUUCAGUAUUACCAAUUUUGGCAUUAAGCUUGUACGAAUAUAUUCUACUUCGAAAGCAAAAUAUUAGACUCGUGAUUUUAAUUCAUUCAUUAUCUCUCAUUUUAAUCCCAAAAUAUUCAAGAGUAUCCAAGUUACCAUAAGACUUCAGAGGCUCGAGCCUUAGCCAGAGAUGGUUAAUUGAUAGACUAUGUGCCUGGGUCGAGCACUGGAAGCCUGCAAUGCAGACUGAUUGAUUUAUCAGUUUAACGUGUGCCAGGAAUGAAGAACUGGAAUAUCACCGUCAAGCAAGCACCCUGUGGAGCAAUACCAAAGAAUGCACAAUCUGGCUUUGCUAGGUGACCCUGGAGGCUUUUUGAAAAGUGCUUCAUGCUCACUUGCACAGAUUGAGCAUCCCCUCUGGAUAUUGCCCUCUCUGAUCGAGUCUGAGCACUCAAAUUUCGGUCCUCAGAUGGAGCUACAGCUUUCUCUCCAAUAACCAACAAUUUUCUAAACUCAGCACCUAGUGUGAUCAGAGUUGUUGAUAUUUGCAAAUGGAGAUCCCCAUAUUUGCAAAUGGAGACAUUUAACAAAUCACCAACAUGCUUCAUCCGGUCCACGAAAUUCUGCAACUGAUUCAAAUCUGGAACCUGAACCAGAGUCGGAGGUAUAUCUUGAGCCAUAUCUAAAGCAGUUUGAAGUUCAAGACCUUGAGCCCUUGACAAUGGUUUUGAAAUUGGAACAUCUUGGAUUACUGCAGACUUGUACCCCUUGGUUUCAAAGGUAAGGAAAGGCAUUGCUUGAGUACAAUUUGGAGGCAGCUUCUUCACCAAUUUUAUUUGGAGGCAAUUGGCAGCGGAUCCAGCUGCACCAAUUUCAGAGCAACUACUGACACUACUUCGAACAGCACACUGACGAAGUGAUAUGUCUACGGCAAAGGCAAUGCAGUCCUCAUUUUGGCUUGAGAUGCAGUAAUCAUCGAAGAGAGUUUCCUUGUGAAACUGGGCAACACAUUGAAUCCCUUCGCCACUGAGAAGGUUGUGGAGGAAGUAAGCUGUCUCUCUAGUGAGGAAGAGGUGGCAUACCUUCCCCAUUUUGUCUAGGGCAGGUAGGAAUCUUUUUUCUAAGAGAUUUACUUCAUUCUCUGUGAGAAAUGCUUUGAACUUCAUCCCUCUGUCUCUAUCCUCACUUAUCAGGAAAUAAGUUGAAAGCACUAUGAAGAGAGAGAGAGAGAGAGAGAGAAUUAAGAUAUAUAGACAAGAAAAUAAUUAGACGUUGAUCUUACAAACUAAUACUUCAAGCAGUAUCCUAGAAAGCUAAAAACUGCAAGAUGGCUUGAAAUUUGAAAAGAGCACAUGGUUUUCCUCCUUAACUUGAGAAAAUGUUUAAUAUAGUGCACCUUACAGAAGCAUUUAAGCAAUUAGAACUUUGCACAAAAACAUCAAGAAGACUAAACAAAUCAGAUGCAGUGUAUUUGUCCAAGCACAAAUUGCAUUUUGUCCUCAACUUUAAUAUUUAUUGAUGAGAAUCAAUACAGGUCCCUCAUUUGUUAUAGAAAGCUUUCUUGUAGUCUCACCAGUUAAUUCACAGGUCUAUAAUCAUCUUGCAAAGUUAAGGGCAUUUCUUUCGAUCUAAAGUCUUUGCAUCACCACCUCAUCACACGCCAAGCCAAUAUUCCAUUUACCUCUACAACAAAAAGUUUUUAAGUAAAUAAUCCUAAUGCACGCAGCCGAAUAAAAUGCAGUAAGAAUAUUCAACUUAAAAAUCUGAAAGCCAACUUGGUGAAUUGCCUCCUUAGGUGAAGUUCCAUGCUUUACUAUAGUUGACAGAACUCAGCAAAAGCUUCCAUACAACAGAUUUUGAAAAUGAUGAUGCCAAUAGAUACUCAUUCAAUCCAUUGAAACUCCAAAGGUUCAUUGUUCAUAGAAGUUUACAGAGUUUUGGUCAUCAAAUAGCUCAGACCUAAUCCCAAACAAAAAACGAGUGAAAAUUAGAUCACGAGCAGCUAAUUGUAAAUUCUAACUUAACUCUUCAUCUCCUUUGUAAACAAGAAACAAAAUGGAGACACGCAAAAUGAAUAUGGAGAAAAUUUGAACUCAAAUGAAAUGAGGGCACGAAAGCAAACAAAUGGCAUGCACAAAAAAACCAAGCCUCGAUAAAAAACUAAUUAACCAUUAAGAAAAAAAUUGGUCAGAGAAUGAACUCCAAAUUCAGGAGUCAAGCAAGAAGCUUUCAUUAUUUCAGAAGCUCCUGUACAAAUUAAUAAGUUAUGCUCUUUGGAAGCAAACCUAAAUUCCAAGAGAAACAGAACCCAAAAAAUUUGCAAUUAUACGCAAAGGAAGUGAAGCACAGGAUUCUAUCACACAUAGGAAUUGUAUAACAAGAGAUCGAUAUAUCGAAUUAGAAAACUCAAUUCGAAUUUGUGUCAAAAAUCAAAAUUAGAAGAUUUCACAUUUCGAGAGGAACAAGCAACAGAUGAAGUUCAAAAUUUCAGCCAUAACAUGCUAAAAAUGCUACACUUAACGGUUCAUUUUCAUGGAUUUUCUCGGGAAACAAACAGAAAAUUACGGUUUAGAGAGUUGACUGACCUUUUGGCUUUUGAAAUUGACCAGAUCGCGCGCCAAAUUGGAAGAGGGAAAGUGAAAGCGCGAGUUUUAAUAUGGGUAUUAGAUAAGGAAAUUUUAUUAGGUUGCGAGGGUAAAAAAGGAAAGAGAUAUCAUUAUUUUAUUAUCGAUAAUUAUUAAAUUUUUUUCCAAAAAAAAGAACAAGCAAGGAUUUUUUAUUGUCAUCACUAAGUUAAAAAAAAUUGUUUCAAAAUUACUUGAGUCAUAUCCAAUGGACCAACAAAGUAAUCGUUUUUAUUUUUAUUGAUUUUUGCAGGAAAUUAAUAACUUAAAAAUACUGAAAGCUACUGUAAAAAUUUUUAUUAUCAACCUCAUAAUUUUUUUUUUUUGGGGAAGAGAAUUCAAACUUUUUUUUUAUGAAUAUCGCUGUUUCGUUUGAGUUGGAUGUGAAUUCAAAUCCAAAUAUUCUUUGUUUUUCAAUUUUGAACUCAAUUUCUUUUUCUCAAGAAUGUUAUGCAGAAAUAAUUUUUACUAAAUCUUUUUUGAUGAAUUGUUUAAAUUAAACAAUUGGAAUAAGAAUUGUAACGAUUUAUCAUAAGCGUGCUAAUAUGAUAACUUGUUUUACGAAGGAUUAAUUAAUCAAUUAAUAUUAAAUUAUAUAUUAGUCAAUUAGAUAUGUGUUACAUUUAUCAUGUUUUGUAGGUGAUAGUACAUCAUUUCUAAAAGAAUAUAGUACGUUAAAAUAUUAUUUUAAUGAAGAAAAUUUUAUUAUUUUAUUAUUAGGUGACACAAUAAUAAAUGGAUUUCUGUAAGAAUUGAGAUUCUUGAUAUAAUUAUUACAUAAGGAGAAGUUUAGUUGGUUCAAUUUUGACGUGAUAAGAAGACAACACAGCACAGAAAACCCAAAUUGCCACUUCCACUAAUAAAAGAUACCUGUUUGAAAAGUAAUUAUAAACUAUCUUCUUUGUGUUAUUUCUCAAAACUUUUGUGGCACAAAUGUUAUUUCCAUUGACAACAGUACGAAAUACCACCCCUUUCACUUGAGCAGGAGCAAAGCAAAGGUAUGAUGAGCUAUCUCUGUAUAAUUGAAACGCCAUUACUAAACGAUUCUUGAUGAUGGGAGCCACCGUGCCAGCUUUGUCGCUGAUUUGCAUGAUUUAUUAGUUGUCCAGAUGGCGGAUUUUGUACUGUUACCUUCGUUUCAUUCUUCAGAGCCAUGUACUGUUCUAGGAUACCAGAGAAACCAAGGUGGCAUUGAAGUUGCCCUGGUGGUUAGUUUUCCGAUCAUUUUUUUAUUCAAUUAUUUAUGUUUUUAGAAAAAUGUAGGAAAUAUGUAGAAAUGUUGACAGCUAUGAUUUUGAAACUUUUGCCUAAAAUUGUUAUCAUUACUUGUUGUUUCUUAUUUAAAGAGAAAUUCUAGAAACAUGAAAUGAUUAUUCUACGCUUGUUUUAAUAUUGUGCUAUGAAGAUUACGAAGGUUUGAUUAUAUGUCACUAUCAAUUGCCUUAAUCGUUUGUCGUAAAUCAAUUAAGCAUUUUGAUGCGAAUGAUUCCCUAUUAAAAAAUUCAAGUCAGAGCUGAAUUGCAAAGUAGUUAGUCGUGCUUGCAAUUCAAAUUAAGUAUUGUAUUUUCUCCCUGAUUUGGUUGAUUCAACUAUGUGCAUUUGCUUAUGAACGUUGCAGUAUAGAAAUCGAAAUAUCUUGUCUUUUGCUAAGCCCAGAAGCAAAUUCUUUGUAUUCUACUCAUCAGUUUUCUUCAUUCUCUUUGUUGAAAUUUUAUCUAAACAGCGGUUUCUUCGAAUUUAUGCCUUCGCUUACUCUUUUAAAUUUUAUCCAAACAACGGUUUUGAAAUUGUUUUCACUACAAUACCUUAGUCUUUCAGAUGCUCCCGUCACUGAGUUGCCAGAAGAGCUAAAAGCCUUGGUAAAUCUUAAGUGUUUGAACCGGAGUACACAAAUUAUCUCUCUACAUUUCCAAAGCAAUUGAUUUGUUACUUUUCGAUGCUACAUGUUCCGCGAAUAUUCAGUUGUGGUUAUCUUGUUCAGAUACCAGAAAAUAGCGUUAUAUUUAGUGGUAAUGAAUUCUUGGUUUGGGAGUUGCUUAGUUUAAAACGUUUAAAUGUAUUAAGCAUCAUCUUGAAAAGUUUUUCUGCUGUCCAAAAACUUAUGAGCUUCCAAAAGUUUCAAAGCUGUACACAAUGCAUGGAGCUUGUAGACUGUGAUGAUCCAAAGUCAUUUGCCGUGGCAGAGUUGAAGCAUCUUGAAAAACUAGGUUUUUCAAGUUGUGGAAAUUUGGAAGAGUUAAAGUUCUGCUGUGUCGAAGUUGCAAAGGCUCGAGAAUGUUUUCGUUUGAACAGCCCUCACUGAGUUAAGAUGAAGGCUUGUCAUAAAUUGUGGGAAGCGACAGGUUAUUCAAAUAGAAAAAUUUAUGGAGAUGGAUGUUAAUCUUAAGGUUAUUCAAUUAGAAAAAUUUGAAUAAAAUUUAUGGUAAGUGCUUUUCCAUUUAUUGCAUAUUUAUAUCUAAUUUUUAUUUUCCUUUAUUGUUAAAUUUUGGUCUCUAUUUGUUGUUGUAUGGUGGCAUUCUUGUACAAUUAUUAGCUUUUCAUUUCUCUUCUCACAUUAACUGCCCUUCUGAUCAUGUAGGAUUUGCUGAUGCAAAGAGUCAUAAUUUGGGAUACAAAUGUAAGAAUUAGACAGAUGACAUGUUGUUUUGAAGCUCUCAAAGAAGGACUAAUUAUGUCAUUGAAAGCCUCCAAUUUUGUGAUUGGUUUCUUUUUAUUUUAUUUGUUGUUUUCUCUAUUUUCAGAUCACUUAAUUGUUAGUUGUUGUAAUGUAAUGUUUUAGUAUAGCAAAUUAUAUUCGGCCAAGACAGUGAUAGGAGGGCACAUUGUGCAUGCACACUAGUGGAUUUGGCAUGCCAAAUCCAAUUAGGAUGGAUAACACUUUAUAAGCAUUAGGCUUCUCUCAUACCUGAGUAAUAUAGAAUAUGUUUAUAAGUUGUGAAUCACCCUUUACAAGUGUUAGGCUUCUGCUAUACUCAGUGAUGUGAAAUAUAUUUAUAAGCACUAAACUUCUCCCAUACACUUUAUGUUAAUAAUAAUAAUAAUAAUAAUAAUAAUAAUAAUAAAAUAAUAAUAAAUAAACCCAUUUUAACAGACUCUUUUUUCUUUUUCUAUAUGAACAAAUGCAUUCUUCAAAGCAACUGUGGGGAGAAGAAGUGAGUAGAGAAGAACUGAGCCCCUGUCAUUCCCCUAAAACCUCACCAAAACCUCUCUUGUAAGCUUCUCGGAUUUUCUUUCUAUAUUUCUUAGGAACUCAUUUUUUAUUGAAUCACUUAUUUUGCAUGCUGCAUUUUUUGGUUGUCGUAUUUGUGUAUUAUCUUAUCUGGAAUGCUGUUAUGAUUGAUGGAACAAGUAAUCGAUUUUUGGUCUAAUGGAAGUUGAUUUAUUUAUUUAUUGUUGUUUUUAUUUGAAAUUAUGUACAAUUGUAUUUCAUUCAUUUCUCUCUCUUUUGCUUUUUUCCCCCCAUAUAUUUGUUAUGUAUAAUUGCGUUUCAUUUAAUAUUGAUCAUACUGUAGGUAACCAUGUGAUUGUAGAUGGGGAUUUCGAGUUUGUUGAAUAUUCAUGUAAGUGAAGUAACCGUCACAAUACUAGUGAAAUUGGGAGCUUUAUUCAUGAGUUUGUGGUUUUGAAAAGUACCACAGUUCAACUGGUGAAGGCUCCGUUUUGGGAUUCUUCUUUUUCUAGGCUGCAAUUAGGAUAUGUACAUGAUAGACAAUCUUUUGUUGGUUUAGCAUAUCUUCGCUGAUUUUGUCUUUUAUUCCCCAAUUUUAUAAUUACACACCAUGAAUGUUGGGUGAUUGUAUAGAAAAUUUGUGUUAUAACAAAAACAUUGUGAAGGAGUUUCCGUGCUAAUAGUUAGUGGCUUCUGUUUUAUUGGCAUUGAUUGGGUAGAUUACGUGUUACAGUGAUUCAAUUUGUGUUCCAAACUUUGCUUUAAUUUUCUGUUUUCCCCAACUAUUUAUGUCAAAUUUAAAUCCAGAAGCAUGUGCUGAUUUUUUCUUUUUGUAUUAAUCUGUGAAGUUUAUUUGGAAUGGAAGUAACUGGGUCGGGUCUAAUGGAUUAAAUUAUGACAUUGAGGGGAAGGCACUAAAAGGGUUUGCUUGACACAUUUGGUUCUGUGUUUACUCUGCAAGAAAUAACUUUUGCUUAUUGCAAUGCAGGGGGAAAUCCCGAUUUGGCUGGUGAAUUUCUCUGCAACAAACAGGCAAACACCUCAACAUCUUCUGUCCAUACUUCUGCUGGGGAGGCAAGGGGUAAAGAGUCUUCAAAAUCAUCAAAUAGUUACAUCUCUGAGAAUUCAUUUUAUGGAAAUGGAAAAUCUAGAGUUUCUAAUACAAAAUGGCAUCUGGUAUCAGGACGUACCGUUUCAAGUUUUCUUGGUAAAGAUUAUGUUAAACCUGCACAGCCAGCUAAUGGCACUUUUCUGGCAUCAAAGCCAUUGAAGUUGGAUCCAAGGGAGUUUCGCAUUUCUGCACUUUCAGAGAAGAAACUAAACCGACAAUCAAAGGAUGACCAUUUGCAGAAGGAUAUGGAAGAUUUUCUUUUUAAAUUGCUAGGAGAAGGGUUCCAGCUGUACAGGGAUGUGAUUCAGGAGGUUCAUGGUAACGUCUUAAAUAUAUUGAUGCCAAUUUAAUACAUAUUGUCCUUUUCAAUGUUCUUUCUUUCUUUCUCCUCUUUUUAUUAUUCUUCUUCUUCUUUUUUCUUUUCAUGUGCAUGUGAUCACUAAUUUGGUAUUAUUCUUGACUUGCAGAUAGUUGUGGAUAUGAAAUGCAAAAGGUAAGGGCUAUAUCUUCUUGAUGGAGGCCUCUGAUUUUUUAAAUCGCAUUUUCCUUUGUGAUUGAUAUAUCAUACCAAAGUCAAGUCUUAAAUACUGCUGUCAUAUGUUAAGGUUCAACUUCCAUUUUGAUUAACGUCGAUUUGCUACUGCUUCCAAAAGUGAGAAUGAGAUACUUUGGUUAAUUUCAGUAGUUGAACUCAAUGGAGUACUUUAUUUAGAUCUUCAUGGUUCAAAGGCCUGAAAAAACUUGCCGGUAUUUGCAAAAUGACAUCUGUGCUUUUAUUUAGACUUAUUAUUAAAGACAACAUUUUAUUUCAGCCAAAAAUGUUUGUUUCAAUUAAAGACUUGAACCAUUUUCAUUUAACCUGAUUGUGAUGCUUUACAUUAUGCAUGUUCCUCUCAAUCAAUAAAAGUUGAGGUCAUGAUUUUAUAUUUCUAUUUUGUAACUUGAAAUAAUUGGUCUGCCUGUUUCUGUUGCUUGAUAACAUGAAUUUUUCCUUCUGAAGUUAAUUUGAUCAAUAAAGUAAUUCUUCGGAGAGGAUAUGCCCAUUCUAUAGUCAUUUUCUUAGCUAACAUGUUUUUUCUUCACUCUUCAAAGCAUGUCUAAACUAAUUGAUCGCUCAGCGGAGACUUUGGGUGAGAAGACAAAAUUUCUUGGUAAAUCCUCUGAAAAGGUAUGCAUAAUUCCCGAGUAUUAAAUAAUCAUUGGUCAUAAUUUUUGUACACGACUCUUGUUUUGGAGAUCGUUAAAAGUGGUUGAUGAUCUAUUUUGUAAUAUCAUAGAGGGAUCAUGAAUUCCUUUUCUUUUCUGUGGCUAGGCAACACUUUCGAGCCAAGCUAAGGAAAUCUAUUUUAGGUAAUGUGAAAACUAGUUGUAGGAUGUAAUAGUUUAUUAUGCCCUGACAAUAACUUUUUGUAUAAUUGUCAGUUUAAUGAAUACAAGAGGAACUCUGUUGGCAAGUUCAUCCAUGAUAGAUGCUAAAAUUAUUUAUGCAUACCAGUUGCCUUAACUAAUUUUUCUCAACACUGGUAUUGAACAGGAAAAUGAAUAUGCAAUUUGUAUAUUGUGCCAUUGUGGAGAAUUUGGAUAUUCUUAUUUAAGUAACAAGGAGAGUAUUUGCCUCAUCUUUAAACAAUGAAUCUUUGAGAAAUGAGGAGUGGGUGAUUGACAGUGUCUUCAUGUAAAUGUUCAUUUAUUUGUAUUUUGAACUAUUAUGAGAAUCUUUGUAUGCCAAAUUAGUAAUACAAAUGUUCAGAUGAUUUUUCCUGUUGAUCAUGCGUGUGUAUCUGCACACAACCAUUGUGUACCACUUUAUUCUGAUGCACAAAUAUCUGUAGUUUAGAAGAAAAGAAAUAAUAAUCAUAUAUUAUUGCUUGGUUCAUGAUUAUUAAAUGAUUAUGGCUUUAGAAAAUCCACAAAUCCUUUGUGUUCAUAUAUGAAUGUGCGAAGUUCGCUAUAUCUUAGAUUACCUUCUUCCAAGAUAACAAGUUCAUAUAUUUUUUUUAAUCCUUUUUCAUCACAGUUGAAUUUCAAGUGUAAGUUUUGUUAUUAAUAGCUGGUUUCCUGUUAUUAUGAUUUCAUAAACAAUGAGAGGAUAUGUGCUCUACUUUUGGAUGGCCUCCACAUAAAAGAAAAUUGCAACAAUUGAAUUCUUCUGGAGGGUAUGGUAUUUAAUUUAUUUUCUCAGCUUGUUGUAAGACUAAUAUAUUUCCUUCAGUACGCACGGCAUGGUGGGAAGGGUUUUUAUUGAAAGAAUUAUGAUAUUUCUUAGACUUUGUUUUGGAAGGGGGUGGAGGGAUUUCUCAUCCAUGUAUGGUUACUUGAUUAGCUUUUGACUGUACUGUCUCCGUCGUGCAAAGGAAAAUCCAAAUACUAACGAAGGGGAAUUGCUUAGGCACCCAAAGGACAGAAAUGAAUUACGGAAGGAGGUUUUUGCUGCUUUAUUUAGUGCUGCUGAGAAAUCUGAUGAAUUUCCUGAAAUUACGGUGAAGACGGAGUGGAGGUCCAACGCAUUAGGAAAGGUGGUGAGUGAACCGCCAGAGGAAUUAGUACCAGAAUACAAGGCUAAUGUGGUGCACUGGCAGCAAGAUGACCAGACCUGUAUGUGCUCUUAUAUUAACUAUAUUGGCUGGAUUUGUGAGUGUGUUCAUUUUUGUGUGUAUACUCACUUUUGUAUUUAUGCAUAUUCACGUGUGUAGGAUUCUCGAUUUCUGCCACUUACUGGAGAACUAGUGGAAAGCUUUAUACUGAUAUAUGUGCUAUAUAACUAAUGGAAACUACAAUAUGAAUAUUUUCUCUCACCUGGAGAGCAGUGUAACUAAUAUAAUUUGUGGCUCUGGAAUACUGAAGAUUCUGCAAUAACUAAUGGAAAAUAUGAUAUGAAUAUUUUUUCUCACCUGGAGAACUUUGUAACAGAUACAUUUUGUGCUGGAAUGUCUAAAGAAUGCUUCAGUUUAUAUCAAAUAUCUUUUAGUUAGAAAAGAUAAAAUUCUCUGAAUCUGAAAGACUGAAACAUUUUGCAUAUUUCGUGAAAGGCAAGUAUCUGUAGAUACUAGCUCAUGCAUUGAGGUAAUAUCAAUGUUAAAGAAAAACAGCAAUAAUUUAUUAUACAGAAUUAGGUUCACUUGCUUUAAAUGCUGGUCUGAUCAACCAUAUCAACCUGUAAUGGUCCUGCAGAAAUAUAUAUACGGGGAGAAACUAGCUAAUUUUCCUUUCACUUAUGGGUUUGGUCUUUUUUUCCCCAAUUUUUCAGCUUUCCUUCUCCUGAAGUAUGUUAAUAAUUGCAGAUAAUGGCGAAGAGGACUGCUUCCAGGCUACCGGCAAAAACUUUGUGAAAGCUUUGGAGUUAAACAGGGAAUUCACUUACUGCUAAGGACAAUUGGUGGCGAGCUAUUUCAUUCAUUUUAUGUCCAUACAUCUAUUUAAUUAUUAAAGAUAAUGUACGCAUUUGUAAAUUUCAGAUUGUGUGUCUCUGAAAAUAACAAUAUUUAAAAUGUCUCUUAAAUUAUUAUAAAUUUUAAUUUACUCUCGAUUUAAAAUGGAACAUGUUGGUGAAAUAUUUUUUCUUCUUAAUAAAAUUGAAAUAAAUUAUGUUAGCAGUAGUUUGAAAUAUUUUAAAGAUGAUUAUUUUAUAAGGGAGUAAUAUGAAAUGAAAUUUACUUUUCAUGCGUGAAAUGUUGAAAAAGGACAAAGCAAGUGUCCCUGCUUUUAUUUUAUUUCAAAGUGGAGUCAUCUCACAUACUUUAGCUCUAUCAUUAGGAGCCGGCUAAGUUACGUUAAACGUAAUUUACGCCAGGCACAGCAAUAAUGACAAGUCCCAUGACUAGUAUUGUUGCUGUGUCUGACGUAAGUUACGUUUAACGUAACUUAGCCAAAGCCCUAUCAUUAAUAUAUAUUUAAAUUUAACACAUGCAUGUGGGUUACUUUUCCGUAAGUUCCUUAAUAUAUAUUUAACACAAAUCAUGGAAGAGAUGGGAGUAUAUCAAGAUGAUCAAAGCAUGAAACAAAAAUAUUUAAGAAGUAAAACACUGAAAAUGGAGAAGAGAUGCAAGCAAAAGAUAUUCUAAAGAAAAGCAAUCUAUCCCCUUUCGAGGGCAAACUUAUCAGGUUUAAGAAAAGUACAUGCUUUGGAUUGGUAGUUGCAGCCUUGCAGGAUAAUUGUUUUUGCCACUAUAUUAGUUGGAGGAGUUGAACCCAGUGAAGAAUGUUAUGGAAGAGCAAAUGAUAUUUCUGAUAGACUCUAUUUGAUUAUGUAGCCUGAAUAGAUGUCUUGUUGAAAGAUAUAUCAGUGCAUUAGUUCAUCCUUGUCUGUCAAUGUGUUUUUAAUGGUUUUUCCAAUUGUUUUUUUUUUUUUUGAAACUGAUUAAGCAUCAGGUUACUGCAUUACACAGAUAUAUAUACAACUGCUAUGACAGCAGGUCAUUACACUGAUAUUUACAAUCAGAUAUAUAUACAUGGGACUUAUAUUAUUACAUUUUUAUUCUAUGAAGUACAUGCCCAUCCCAAAUACCCCUCACGGAGGAGGGAUGUCUCUACUCCACUCGCAUUUCGCAAGGGAGAAAGACGUUUAUAGAAAUCUCCACACAAUUAUGUUUAAUUGGAGGAGGUUGAGUCCGUGGGGACUCGAACCAUUGCCCUCAAAGUCAUGCUUAACUUUGAGGGCAAUGGUCCACCACUGGGCUACAAGCCCAAGUGGCGGUUUUUCCAAUUGUUUAUUGCUAUAGAUUGAUUGUAAAUUGAUGUGAACUUAAUGUUGAAAUAUUUUCUCUUUAGUGGAAUGAAAGUUAAACAUUCAAGAUUAGAUUAUUCAAGGUCCACAUAGUAUGUGUUCCGUUGUGUUGUCUGUAAUUUUGCAUUUAAAUAAAUUUGAGUGCUGCCGUUUCGCUCCCACAAUCUCUCGCCUUUUUUUAAUUUUAAAAAUUAAAAUAUUAAUAAAAAACAAUAAAGAAAAUCGAAUCCUUUAUGUCAUUCCAUCUUUACAACUCUCUCUCACAAACUCCAUCUAACAGACUUCUCUCUUACUAUCUCGGUCGAACAAGACCAGUGACAAUGAUGACACGACCGCCGACGAUGAGAUGGUCAUCGCUAAAGAAUCGGGCCGUGUAUUUUACAAUUUCUUGGUUUGUGACAACAAUGGAAAACUCCUGAAAAUUUUGAAUUUGUAGUCGAGCAAAGGAAGAAGCAAGUUAUCUUCAAAGCAUUUUCCAGUAAUAGCUGAUGAAAUUUAAUACUUCAAGCUGGCCCUUUGCUGUCACAACUAGAUGCAUUUGCACUGUCAUUACAAUUUAUGGAAAUUAAAGUAAUUAAUGGUUCUAAUUAAUAGCUUCCCAAAAAACCAAUCUGCCCUUGUGAGAACCAAAGCAUUAAUUUCUUGUAAGAGCUGCAGAAGGCCAGAGAAUUUCAGAUCGUGAAAAGGAGUGUGUGAGUGAGAGAGAGAUCGUGAAAUAGUGAGAGACAAUGAGAGAGAGAGCCGCUCGACUGAGAUGGUGAGAGAGUUGCAAAAAUGGAGUAAGGAGCAGAUAAGAUUAUGUUUUCUUUAUUAUUUUUUAUUAAUAUUUUAAUUUUUUUAAUUAAAAAAGGGCGAGAGAUUUUGGGAGUGAAACGGCAGCAUGUUCCAAUAAAUUUUUACCAAAGUUUCUCUCGUGUUUCUCUCACCUUUCUAGAUACCAAGCAUUUUCCAAUAAAUUUUUACUAAAAACUUAGCAAGCCCUUGAAACUUUGGUCAAAAUUAUUGUUAUUAUUACUUUUAGAGGAAAAACUUUUAUUAAAACCUCAUUAACACAAUUCUUAAUUAAAAUUAUAAGUUUGUGUUGGUGUAAGGAUUUGCAGGAGCAAUUACUGCCUAGCCAAGUGUCAAAAGCACAAAAUAAAUCAAGAGAAAGUAGACAUGAAUUAGGAUCCAAUGAAAUUUAAAUCCCGGAGAAAAGAAAUAAUCAUGCAGAUUAUCAAGAUUUCAAUAAGGGAUAUUGAUAUCCUAUUUUGAUUAAUAAUAUCCUUUUACUGUGUUAACUCAAAAAAUAUGUAUAUUCUAAUAUUUUACAAUAAAUAGAAAUCUAAUAUUAAAAUAAAUGUGAUAUAUAUAUAUAUAUAUUAAAUAAUUUAAAUAUAAAAAAUAUUUUAAUGUUUUACAAUCUACUACACAUAUUUUAUUAAGUUAAUAUAAUUUUUCAAAUAAAUAGGGACAUAAUAUUAAAAUAAAUUUAUAAAAAUUUAAAUUAUUUUGAAUUUAAAAUAAUUUUAAUAUUAUUAAUAUGUUAGAUAUGUUUGAUUAAUUAUAAAAAUUAUUUACGCAAAUUUUUUUAAUAUUUUCAGUAGAUAUAAAUAUAUUACUUACAUUUUGAUUAUUUAACUAUUAUUAUUCUACAAUUAUUUAUAUAAUGUUUGCACUUAUUAGAAUAUAUUUAAAGUCAAAUCUUUUGCACUUCUACCUAGCUAGAAUUAUUGGACGCAGAGAAAUAAGCAUAUAUGCUUUAUAACUUUAGAAAUCGAAUUAUCUAUACAAAUUGAUUUUAGCUGGAAAAAAAGUGAGCUGAAUGAUAUAGGCGAUUAGUGUGGUAAUAUUUCAUAGAGUUAGACUAUUGAAUUUGGCACCCCUCCAAUCUUCUCAUGAUUACCUUUUUGAGUUAUUAAUACACUUCUAAUUUUUCGUUUAAUUUUUUUUAUUGUUAUACUCAAAGUAGUAUUGUGAUAUUUUAUAUUUCUUUUGCAAUCUUAUUAUUAUUUUACACAAAAUUAAAAAGUUUUCUAGGUGAUGAACUUUUGAGUUUUGAACAUUAAUCAUUGGCUUAAAUUUCAUAUAUUUUACAUUAUAAUUUGAAAUUAAGUACGAAAAUAUUUAAUAAAUUAUGAAAAGAUUAACAGAUUAUUCUAAAUUGAUACAACUUAUUUUAGUUAAAUAAAAAGUAACAGGUAAAAAAAAAAAGGAUUGGUUAUGAAAUUUGUUGGAAAAAAAUCUGUGUGUGUUUAAUUUUUAUUUGUCCUUAAUUGUAAUUUAUUUGAAGUGAGGUUUUAUAAGGAUAAUGAAGGGGUGCCAUAGUUUCACUCUAUUUCAUAUGGAGAGAGAAGUAAAAGGUACACCUGAGGUUAAUGGAAAGGACUUCGAAAGUUUCUUUUGAUUAUAAUACUGUUUGUUCUAAUUAACUUAAAAAAUUUUACUUUAAUAUUUUAUAAUAAAUUAAAUUUUAAUCUUAAAAUAAGUAUAAUCAUAUAUUUUAAAAUAAUCUUAAAAUAAAUACAAUCAUAUAUUUUAAAAUAAUCUUAAAAUAAAUACAAUCAUAUAUUUUAAAAUAAUCUUAAAAUAAAUACAAUCAUAUAUUUUAAAAUAAUCUUUAUAUUUAAAAUUUAUUUAUUUGUACAUAUUUUAUAAUAAAUAUAACACAUACUAUUAAAAUAAUAUAUAAAAAAUUAAAGUAUUUUGAAUAUUAUAUAAAAUAACUUUAAGAUUCUUAAUAUGUAAGAUAUAUUUUAUUAAUUUAAAAUUCUAUUUAAAAUUUUAUUAAUUUAAAAUUCUAUUUAACCCAAAGAUUUAUUUAAGAUAAAUUAAUAAUCAUAUUUUUUAAAUCAUUUCAAAUAUUAAAAAAUAUUUUGAUAUUACUAGUCUAUUAAAUAGAUUAAAUAUUUUUAUUAUUUUGUACUAAUCAAAAGUUACAGCUCGAAUGAUAUUAUGAGAACAGAAUUUUUAUGUCUUUAUUAAAAAUUUGGGUUUGUAUAAUUAUUUUUUCAAAUGUUAGGGGCAUAGCUGUCUUUUUACUUUUAUAUAUGUGAACCGCGGUGGUGAAAAAGUGUGAUUUAAUAUUAGUUAUUUAAAUAAUAUCUGAAUUAAAGAUGUACAGAGAAGAAAUUUCGGUGGGCAUUUUAGUCUUUUAACGAUUAUCAUGAUUAGGGAUUAGGUCCUGCUCUUGAAACGUUGGUCAGAAAAGUUCUAAAAUGCGUACAUUAUCUUUACUUUAAAAAAGUUAUUUUAUUUUAUUACAAAUUAAUGCCGACAAGAAAAAGCAAGAUCUUAAANNNNNNNNNNNNNNNNNNNNNNNNNNNNNNNNNNNNNNNNNNNNNNNNNNNNNNNNNNNNNNNNNNNNNNNNNNNNNNNNNNNNNNNNNNNNNNNNNNNNAUAAAGAUGAAGAAAAGGGCAAAAAAAUAUUAAUGAUUAACGAAAUCUCUAUCCAAAUUGAUUUUAGCAGGAAAAAAGUGAGCUAAAUGAUGUAGACGAUUAGUGGUAAUAUUUCAUAGAGUUAGACUAUUGGCACCCUUCCAAUCUUCUCACGAAUCCUCUUUUUGAGUUAUAUUUAUUUUAUUUUUAAAAUAUCUUUUUUCUCUUUUACUACACUUCUAAUUUUUCAUUUAAUUUUUUUAUUGUUAAACUCAAAGUAGUAUUGUGAUAUUUUUAAUUUCUUUUGCAAUCUUAUUAUUACUCUGCAUAUAAAUUAAAAAGUUUUUUAGGUGAUGAAUUUUUGAAUGUUAAUCAUUAGCUUAAAUUUCACAUAUUUUACAUUACAAUUUGAAAUUUAAUAUGAAAAUAUUUAAUCAAUAAGAAUUAUGAAAAGAUUAAUAAAUUAUUCUAAAUUUAUACAACUUAUUUUAGUUAGAUCAGAAGUAGCAGGUUAACAAAAGAAAGGAUUGGUUAUGAAAUUUGUUGGAAAAAAAUCUAUGUGUGUUUAAUUUUUAUUCGUUGUUAACUCUAAUUAAGUAGGUUAAAUAUUUUUGUUAUUUUUUACUUAUCAAAAAAUUUAAGAUCAAUAUUUUUAGUUACCAUUCGAAGGAUAUUAUGACAAAAACAGAAUUUUCACUUCUUUGUUAAAAAUUUGGGGGUUUGUGUAACUAUUUUUUCAAAUGUUAGGGGCAUAUCUGUCUUUUUACUCUAUAUAUAUGAACCAUGGUGGUGAAAAAGCGUGAUUUAAUGUUAUUUAUUUAAAUAAUAUCUCAAUUAAAAAUGUAAGGAGAAGAAAUUUCGGUGGGCAUUUUAGUCUUUUAACGAUUAUCAUGGUUAGGCCCUGGUCUUGAAACGUUGGUCAGAAAAGUUCUAAAAUGCGUUCAUUUGUCUUUACGCCAACAAUAAAAAGCAAGAUCUUAGUGUCCCACAAAAGCAAAUCGUAAUAUUCCGCAAUGGAGUUAGAUCCGCAAAAGCAAACAAAUUCUUUUAUUAAACUACAAAUUAAAGUGGAAUCAUUUACUAAACAACAAAUUAAAUUUGAAAUAUUUAAAUAGUCGUGCGUUAGACGAUUAGAGACUCUUAUUAAAGGCAAGUACAAAGUAGUGAAGAAUCGAAUAUUUCUAUUGUCUAGUCUUUUUUUAAAAAAAAUUUUCUUUUAUUAUUUUUCAGAAUAUGUUUUGGUGAUUACUAUUGGGUUAUUAUUCAGAGUUAUUGUUAUCUUCCGGGGCAGUUUCUGUUCAUCGAAUUCGUUAAUAAAAUUUUAAAACUCUUAUUGAAAGAAUGUUUUUCCGUUAUCUUUUUUAUAAUCUAAUUUUAAGUGUAAGAAGUAGUCAUUUUAGAAUUUGGGUCUUGAAUCGAAUUUCAAUGCAUGAAUUAAUAUUUAAAAAAAAUUUACUACAUGCAGUUUAGGUUACAAACUAUUUUUUGCAAAGUUGACUAUGAAAUUGGAGAAAUUAAGUAAUUUAUAAUGUUUGCAAAGAAAGAGACCAACAUACUUCCAAUUACACUAUAUCUCAAUUAUCAUAAUGUUAAGAUUAAACUAACUUAAAAUAAAAUUUAUUUAAAAAGUUUAUCAAACGCAGUCUAAUUUUAUUAACUUGAAGAGAUAAUAGUUAUAGAAAUUAUUAUUCUAACUUAAUUAGUAAAAGUGGUAUAAAGGUUAAGUGUGCACUAAAUCUAUUUAAAUUUUUUUCCAGUAUAACUAACAGAGGUCAUUACUAGAAUUAUAUUACUAGUCUAUUAGAUAGAAAAAAUUAUUUAUAUUGUUUUAUAUUUAUUAAAAAAAUUUAAAGUCAAUCUUUUUAAUUACUAUUUAAAGGAUAUUAUAAUUAAAAAAAUUUUAAUGUCUUCAUUAAAAAUUUAAAAUUUUAUAUGACCGUUAUCUAAAUAUUUAAAGUGUAACUGUCAUUUUCUCAUAUAUAUAUAUAAUUUCAUCAACCCCUUAUACUUUAUGUUAUUUAUAUUUUAUUCAUGAAUAUUAUAAAUUUUUUGAAAUAUAAAAUUUCGUUUAACCCUUUAUACUCAAUUUUAUUUUAUUAAAACCCUAGAGUAUGAAUUCGUCCCUAUAAUAUUAAAUUCUCAAAAUAACUUCCAUUUAAUUAAAAAAUAUAAUUAUUAUUAAAUGAAUUAUAAUUAUUAUUAUUAUGUUAUUAUAAUCAUAAAAAGCGAGAUCAUAUUCCACAAAAGCAUAAGUGACAAAACAACCAACUGGAUUCUUUUAUUAAUCAACAAAUUGUAUAGUCUUUUUCAAAUUGUUAUAAAUUGGUGGCCCCUACAAUCCUCAAUAAUUGUACCGAAAUUCACAAGUUGGUGGGCCCUACAAUUCUGUUCCGAUAAUUUAACUGUGCAAGUGCUCAUUCACAAUCUUCCAGGUCAUGCUCUUAACAAUUGUUUUUUCUUUUCUGCACGCCCUUUCAUGCUCUUAAUAAUUGAAGAGCAUACUUUUCAAAUGUGAAGCCGCAUCUAAUGUCGCUAAUUUAAUUUGGGAUUAAAUUACGGGACUAUUAUAUUGCAGUGUGCACUAAUUUUUAUGUUUAUCUAAACUCUUCAAAUUUAAAACAUAUUAUGGCAUAAAUAAGAAUGUAACAAUAACAAAAGAGUAAGAAAGUGUAGAGAAAAUCUUGCAGAAAUAUAAAUAAUAUUUAUUUUUAAAAUAAUAUUAAUAUUUAAAAUAAUUUUUAAUAUUUUAUGGUCCAUUAGAUAUAUUUUAUUAUAUUAAAAUAAAUUUUAUAAUAAAUAAAAACAUACUAUUAAAAUGAAUAUAUAUAGAAAAUUUAGAGUAUUUUAAGUAUUAUAUAAAAUAAUUUUAAUAAAAUAUGUGAGAUAUUCAUAUUUUAUUAAUUUAAGAUACCAUUUAACCUAAAGAUUUAUUUAUGAUAAAUUAAUAAUUAUAUUUUUGAAAUUACUUCAAAUAUUAAAAAAAUUAAUAUUACUAAUAUAUUAGAUAGAUUAAAUUAUAUAUAUUAUUUUUACUUAUUAAAAAAAUUUUAAAAUUAUUUUUAAUUACUAUUCAAAAAACGUAUUCAAAAAACAUAAUGAUAAAAAAAUCUUAACAUCUUUAUUAAAAAAUUAAAAACUUAUAUGAUAAAUUCUCUAAAUAUUUACGGUAUAUGUGAACCACGGUGGAUAAGCUUUAUUUAAUAUUAUUGAUUUAAAUAAUAUGUCAAUUAAAAAUGUACAGAGAAGAAAUUUCGGUGGGUAUUUUAGUCUUUUAAGCAAUUAUCAUGAUCAGAUCAGCCUUUAGCCUUCAAACGUCGGUCAGAAAAGUUUUAAAAUUAAUGCUAAAUUGUUUUUCACUUUUAACGUUGGUGGCCUUGAAAUUGCUUGUAUUUUAUUAAAAAUUAAUGCUAACAAGAAAAAGCUAGGUCAUAUUCCACAAAAUCAAAAGUGACAAAACAACCAGCUGGUUUCUUUUACUAAACUACAAAUUAAAAUAAAUUUUUUCGAUAAAUUACAAAUUAAAGUGGAUUCUUUUGAAUACAAAUGGGACAGACGAUUAGGCUCUUUUUAUUAGAGGCAAGUAAAAACUAGUCAAGAAUCGAACAGUCUUUUUCCAAUUCUUGUUUUAUUAUUUUUCAAAACUAGUUUUUGGUAAUUACAACCGGGUCAUUAAUCAUUAUUCAGAGUUAUCUUCCGGGGCAGUUUCUGUUCAUCGAAUUCGUUAAUAAAAUGUUAAAACUCUUAUUGAAAGAAUGUUUUUCCGUUAUCUUUUUUAUAAUCUAAUUUUAAGUGUAAGAAGUAGUCAUUUUAGAAUUUGGGUCUUGAAUCGAAUUUCAAUGCAUGAAUUAAUAUUUAAAAAAAAUUUACUACAUGCAGUUUAGGUUACAAACUAUUUUUUGCAAAGUUGACUAUGAAAUUGGAGAAAUUAAGUAAUUUAUAAUGUUUGCAAAGAAAGAGACCAACAUACUUCCAAUUACACUAUAUCUCAAUUAUCAUAAUGUUAAGAUUAAACUAACUUAAAAUAAAAUUUAUUUAAAAAGUUUAUCAAACGCAGUCUAAUUUUAUUAACUUGAAGAGAUAAUAGUUAUAGAAAUUAUUAUUCUAACUUAAUUAGUAAAAGUGGUAUAAAGGUUAAGUGUGCACUAAAUCUAUUUAAAUUUUUUUCCAGUAUAACUAACAGAGGUCAUUACUAGAAUUAUAUUACUAGUCUAUUAGAUAGAAAAAAUUAUUUAUAUUGUUUUAUAUUUAUUAAAAAAAUUUAAAGUCAAUCUUUUUAAUUACUAUUAAAGGAUAUUAUAAUUAAAAAAANNNNNNNNNNNNNNNNNNNNNNNNNNNNNNNNNNNNNNNNNNNNNNNNNNNNNNNNNNNNNNNNNNNNNNNNNNNNNNNNNNNNNNNNNNNNNNNNNNNNNNNNNNNNNNNNNNNNNNNNNNNNNNNNNNNNNNNNNNNNNNNNNNNNNNNNNNNNNNNNNNNNNNNNNNNNNNNNNNNNNNNNNNNNNNNNNNNNNNNNNNNNNNNNNNNNNNNNNNNNNNNNNNNNNNNNNNNNNNNNNNNNNNNNNNNNNNNNNNNNNNNNNNNNNNNNNNNNNNNNNNNNNNNNNNNNNNNNNNNNNNNNNNNNNNNNNNNNNNNNNNNNNNNNNNNNNNNNNNNNNNNNNNNNNNNNNNNNNNNNNNNNNNNNNNNNNNNNNNNNNNNNNNNNNNNNNNNNNNNNNNNNNNNNNNNNNNNNNNNNNNNNNNNNNNNNNNNNNNNNNNNNNNNNAUUGUGGGCACUCUUGUUCGUGCAUGUUUGCUAGAAGAGAUGGAAGAUGAUAAAGUAAAAAUGCAUGACGUUGUUCGUGAUAUGGCUUUAUGGAUAGCUUGUGAAAUUGAGAAGGAGAAGAGAAACUUUUUGGUUUGUGCAGGUGCUCGAUUAGAAGAGGCACCGGGUGUUAAAGAAUGGGAAAAUGUGAGAAGAUUGUCAUUGAUGCAAAACCAAAUUGAAACUGUGUCAGAGAUUCCCGCAUGCCCUCAUCUCCAUACUCUAUUUCUUGCCUCUAAUAGGAAUUUCAGGAUGAUCACGGAUGGCUUCUUUCAAUUUAUGCCUUCUCUCAAAGUUUUGAAGAUGUCACGCUGUGGGCAAUUCGAAGGUUUUCAAUUACCUGUUGGGAUGUCAGAGUUGGGUUCAUCACUAGAACUUCUUGAUAUUUCACAUACCACCAUAAGAGAGUUACCCGAAGAGUUAAAGUUGCUGGUAAAUCUGAAAUGUUUGAAUUUGAGGUGGACAGGUGCGUUAAUUAGAAUUCCACGGGGACUAAUAUCAAAAUUUUCAAGGUUACGUGUGUUGAGAAUGUUGGGUACUGGCGGGUUCAUUUUUUAUGAAGCACCAGAAGACAGCGUUUUAUUUGGUGGGGGUGAAGUUUUGAUACAGGAAUUGCUCGGUUUGAAAUAUUUAGAGGUAUUGGAGUUGACCUUGGGAAGUUAUCAUGCUCUCCAAAUUCUUUUGAGCUCAAAUAAGUUAAAAAGUUGUAUUCGAUCUCUUUACCUCUAUUUGACCGGAGAUAAAAAGUCGAUUAUUGAUGCUACGGCUUUCACAGACCUAAACCACCUCAAUGAAUUAUGGAUUGAUAAUGGAAUUGAGUUGGAAGAAUUGAAGAUUGAUUAUACGGAGAUAGUACGAAAAAGGCGGGAACCUUUUGUUUUCCACAGCCUUCACCUUGUUACGAUAUAUAGUUGCCAUAAAUUGAAAGAUUCGACAUUCCUCGCUUUUGCUCCAAACCUCAAGUCUCUUUCGCUAUUCAAAUGCCGUGCUAUGGAAGAAAUAAUCAGCGUCGGAAAAAUUGCUGAGAAUCCUGAGAUGAUGGGACAUAUAAGCCCUUUUGAAAAUCUCAAAAGUCUUGAUCUAUCAUAUUUGCCGGAGUUGAAGAGCAUUUUCUGGAAGCCAUUGCCUUUCACUCAUCUCAAAGAAAUGGGGGUAAGAGCAUGUGAUCAGCUUAGAAAGCUUCCACUCGAUUCCAACAGUGCAAAAGAGCGUAAAUUUGUAAUUCGUGGAGAAGAAGACUGGUGGAACCGACUUCAAUGGGAGGAUGAAGCCACUCAAAUUGCUUUUCGUUCCUGUUUCCAACCUGAUUCCUGAGCGGUGGUCGCAAAAUUUGAUUUCUGGUGAGUGCGUUUGUCUUUUAAAAGAAGAAUUUAAAAGAAAUUUAUUCUUGACGUUUUCUUCACUGUUUUUAUUUCAGUCUCUCUCUCUCUCUUUUUGUCUUCUGCUAAUCACAAUUAAAUGUUGAAUUAAUGGAAUUAAUGCUUCAUAAAUUUGCCGGCACUGCCAUUACUUUUUUUUUUUUUAAUACAAAUUGAUACUUUAUUUAUAUCUUCUUAGCGAUUUAAUUUCCUGUCAAUUGACGAACGAGAAGAACAUAUGACUUGAACCAAUGCUCGCAUAAACUUGCUGUAAAAAGAUAUAAUCUCACUGAAAUGCACACGCCUAGAAUGAAUAGAAUUAAAACAGGGAAAAUAUUAAGUAUAUUAGCCCUCUUUACCGAAAAUCAAAUGACAAUAAAUUUUUUGAAGUUUUGAUUUUCUAUGGUCAAUUCCACCUUUUGCAAUUUCUUCUGUUCUAACAAAAACCAAUUUCUUUGUUCAAGUAUUUUCGUUUGGGUAUUAAUAAUUCUCCACCGAAAGAGUGAACUCUUGCUCAAGGGAUCUCUAAUCAAUAGCCGGAAGGGCGCCGAGACCUGAUCGGACCUAGGCCCAAGUUUGGUCUUAAAGCCUGGGCUUGAGCCUGGCAAUUAAAUUAAAACAGUAAUUGAUUUCUUGAAUGAAUUGUCGUGUAAUUGAUUUAUGGGGGAUGACACAUCAACAUACUUGAAAAUACACUAAUCUCAGCAUCAUCCGUUAAUAACUUUUAGAUUUAUGGGCAAUCAAUAGUUAAAUUAGUUGUCAUUAAUACUAAAUAAUUUUUACUUUUUUUGUCUCUUCUAGAGGAUCUUCUAGAAAAAUGCAUCCACAAUUAAAUUUAAUACUUUACAUAAUAAAGAAAGCAUAAAUGUUAAAUUUAAGAAACUGCAUUGUAUUUCAGCUGAAGUUGACUUUAAUAUUUAGGGUAGAAAAAAAUUAAAUCCUUAAUGUGUUUAAUUUCUAUCACUUGUGUCAUUAAAAUUUUCUAGUCACCCUAACCAAUUACAUCUCAACCCACUUUUUUUUGGAUGAUUUUAUUUUUACACUAUUAUUUUCAACAUUUUUUUUUCCUUUUAACACCAACAUUAGUGUAUGUUACGUAACAUAAUCCAUAUUUGGAUAAUUUGAAAUUUGUUUGUGUUUUAUCUCAAAAUAGAGCUUCAAUCAAUUUGUACCUCAUAAAUUCACAAUAUCUGGCAUAUUGUCAAAUGUGCUUAUCCUUUUGCUUGACAUGUCAUUUUAAAAUUGUCAUUCAAUGUCAAAAAAUCACAUCAACUAAUGGCCGACUACUUUAAUUUGAAAGCAUGCGUGCGAUCGCCAAUAAUUAUAACUUAAUUGUUAUAUUGAAAUUUUUUUCUUUAUAAUUUAAGUUUAAUACUGCUACAUGUGUGGCACAUAAGUUGGAAAAUAUAACAUAAAAUUUGAAAAAUGUGUAGUUUUCGUUCCUUUUUUUUCUAAAAAAAUGGGAAAAAAGAAUGUAAUUUUGUUUAAAUUACUGUUGUCAUAACAAUUAUUAUUUUAUUGAUUAAUUGGCAGAGAAUCGUAAUGGUUUCGCAUGGUUGUUAAAACAUUGGAAAGUCCACUACAUCAUCGGUUAAUAACUUUCAGAUUUAUGGUUAAUUAAUAGCUGAGAUUUAUUAUCAUUAAUGCUAAAUAUUUUUUCUCUCUCCUGGAGGAUCAUCCACAGGCAGGUGCUUCCUGACGAUGACAAAAUUUUGGGCAGGCAGGUGCUUCCUGACUUUCACACGGUAAUUCUCAAAUUCUGAUUUCACCAUAUUUUAAUUACUGAUUAGCAUAUAUUCAAGUGCUCUCCAUUAUAAUGGAAGCCGCCGCCUCACUCGUAAUUCCAAACUUUAUCUUUUUUUCCUUUUUUAAAUUAAUGCAAGUAGCCGCUGUCCUUUCUAUUAAUUAAUUAAUUCGGCCGCCCACAUUUCUUUUCCUAAUGUCUUCUACUGUCGAGUUUAUUUUAUUUUCUCUUUAUUAUUAAAAUAUACUUAUAAUAAUAAAAAAAUAAAAAUUAACAUAUCAAAAUAUAAUUUAACAGAAAAUUAAGAUAAAAAAUUAAAAAUAAAUAAAUUAUGAGCAUAUCAAUCAAUAAAUGAAAAAUAAUAAUUUUUAUUUUUAUUAAAUAUAAAUUUUUCAGUAUUAAUCAAUUAUCUGAAUAAAUAAAAUCAUUUAAAAAUAAAUAAAUAAAUUAUUCUUAAAAAAAAAAAAAAAACUUUUUAUAACACUCACUAUGCUGGUUGUAGGGUUGACGCUUUGGGUACUGAAGCUAGUAACUUCUACAAGUAGUCUUAAGUUGACUGGCAACAACUAUAUUGGCAUUUAGAAAUAAUGUACUGCAACCAUAUUGGCAUGUUCAAAUGUUCUUAUUAUUGUAUUGGUGUGUCAAUAUUAUCUCUAACGGUUUUAUAAAUAAAAAAAUAAUCUAAAUUUAUAAUUUAACAUAAAAUAAAAUAAUUGGUAGAAAAACAAUUAUGGUUCAUUUACUUAUCAGUAAUCAGAAUAGACUGAAAUCGAAAUGAGUUGUAUUACUGUUGAUGUGUUUAUGUUGUACUCGAAUCGAAAUGAAUUAUUUUAAAUUACUAAAAUAUCCUUGGUCUGUUAUUCUAAUUAUUAUUAUUAUUUAAUAUUUAUUAUAAUAUUUUUCAUAUCAUUAAAAAAAAAUAAUAAUGAUGAUAAUAUUCUCAUUAUUGUUUGUUACAUUAUUAUUAUUCAAAAAAAUUAUUGUUAAUAACAAUAAUUACUUUAUUUCAAUAAUAAUAAUGAUAAAAUUAAUAAUAAUAAACAUGACAACAACAAUAAUUAUUUAUUAUGCCAAAAAAUAACAAUAAUAAUAAGAAUAAUAAUCAUCAUCAUUUUUUUGCCAAAGAAGCAUUAUCAUCAUCAUUUCAAAAAAAAAAUCAUCAUCAUCAUCAUCAUUUUUGUAGUGGCUACCUAUCGGCUGCUGCUUUCAUGUGAGAUUGACUUGCGACGCUUCAACGGCUAUUAUUUCUGACAAUGUCAGGUGUUGCUAUUUCAAUUUAGGAAGAAGUUGUUUCGGUGUGCUAGCGAUGGGAGAUGUUGUGGCUGCGAUUCGGGGAGCUACUAGUUUAUUGCACUAAUAACGGCAGGUGCUGUUGCUUGAUGCGAGGUCCAUGGCCAGUUGUCAGCAGUUCGACUUUGGUAUGGGUGCUGCUGGUUCGAUUUUAGGUGUUGUCCAAUUUCAUUUUCAGGAUUUUAAUUUUAUUUUUCUUUUAUAUUUUCAUUAAUUAAUCAGGGUAAAAUUGGAUUUUAGAAUUUAGAAUGAAGGUAAUUUUGUUAAUAAUGGAAAUGAGAUUCUGAUUGUCGAGAAUGAGCUUACACAAACAACUAUAAAUUAAGUGAAAACAAAACACUUUUUCUCUUUGUGUGAUUAAAACAUGAUAUGUACCAUAAAUAAAUAAGUAAAAAAUAAAUCAACACAAUCUAAAACAGUAAACAAAUUACAAGAGGCACAGAUUUUUAUGUGAAACACCGAAAAUGGAAAAAACCACAGCAUCUUAGUUUGAUAUAAUCUUCUACUAUAUUAAUGGGAUUAUAGCACAAAUUCUUUCCUAUAUAACACUAGAGAUUAACAACAUCAAGAAUCUCAAUAAUCUUGACUUACAAUACAGCCUAAUAUUUGUCUCUCUAAUAAGUAGAUAUCUAAAAUAACAGUCUCUAAUAAGUAUGUAUCUAAAAUAAUAGUCAACAAGAGGAUAAAACAAAAAUUAAGAUUAGUAGGAUGUGUAUAAGGUGAUGCUAUCAAUUUAUCUUCUAAAUUUGAGAAAAAUAGUUAAAUUCACUUUUUCGAUUGUCCGACCAAAAAUGGAAACCCUUGCCCCAAAACCAAAGGAAUCACCAUUAUGUUUUUCUCUCUCUCUCUCUCUAUCUCGUUCUUUUCUUCUUCUUUUCUUAAUGUUAGCCAUCACUUGCUUUUAUUCUUUAUAGCAUUCAAAAAGCUACUUUUAAUGGUAAAUUUCAUUUAAGUCUGCAACUUAGUGAUAAUUGCACACCAAACAAUCCUUACAUAGUGUUUUGGGCCCUCAAAUGAGAUGAAUACAACAAAUCUCCCCCUUUAAAUCAUGUGGGGGGCACCGCAAGCCCGCUAUUUGCAUAUAGCUUUUCAGCUUCUCCUUGAAUAAUGACUUUGUCAUCAUACAUAAUCCAUUCUUCGUUGUGUAAAUCUUCUCAAGCUGUAACUGUUCCUUCUCAAGCUGUAAUUAUUCCUUCUCAAGCACGUCUCGUAUCUAAUGAUACCUUACAUCAAUAUGCUUAGAUUUCGAAUAGUAUAACAGCACUCUGACUAUCGUAGUACAUAACAUAGCUGUCUUGUUUUACACCCAGCUCUUGUAGGAAAUUCUUCGUCCACAAUAUUUUUUUGCAACCUUCAAUAAUUGUAAUAUCAUUUGCUUUAGUGGUAGAAAAGGCAACUUAUUACUAAAGUUUAGAUUGCGAUGAGACUGUUCCCCCUGCAAAAGUGAGCAAACAUCCUAGUAGGAAUUUUUCGGAAUCAACAGCUCCUGCCAUAUCUACACACUUGUAACACAGGUUUGUCACCACCAAAAUAUAAACAUGCUCUGGAAAUGCAUCUAAGAUAUCUGAGAAUUUUUCACUGUUGUCCAGUGCUCUUUACCGAGGUUGAAGAGAAACCACUGACUACACUAACUGUAUAGGCAAUAUUUGGUCUUGUACAAAUUAUGGCGUACAAUAAACUGCCAACUGCUGAAGCAUAAGGAACUCCUCUCAUGGAGAAAUGGGUUUUACUCUUGAGAUUUUUGGGACCAUGAAGAAUAAAGAUGUAAUUUCUUAUACUGCCAUUGUUUCGGGAUAUAUAAAUAGAGAACAAGUCGAUAUAGCUCGACAGUGUUUUGAUCAGAUGCCAGAACGAGAUUAUGUCUUAUGGACUACCAUGAUUGAUGGGUACCUUCGAGUGAAUAGGUUCAGAGAGGCUUUGACACUUUUUCAGGAGAUACAAACUUCAAAUAUAAUGGGAGACGAGUUUACCAUUGUUAGCAUUCUUACAGCUCGUGCGAAUCUGGGGGCACUAGAACUGGGAGAAUGGAUAAAGACUUAUAUUGACAAAAACAAAGUCAAGAAUGAUAUAUUUGCGGGGAAUGCUUUGAUAGACAUGUACUGUAAAUGUACUGUAAAUGCGGAGAUGUUGAGAAAGCUCAAAAGGUAUUCAGGAAGAUGCUUUGAAAGGUCAAAUUCACAUGGACGACCAUGAUUGUUGGCCUUGCCAUCAGUGGAAAUGGUGAUAAAGCUCUUGAUAUGUUUUCCCAAAUGCUCAGGGCUUCGAUCAAACCAGAUGAGGUAGCUUAUGUUGGUGUUCUGUCUGCCCGUACUCACAAUGGUAACGAAACUUUUGUGAUAAAUAGUUGCAACUUAAGGUGAGAACUGGAGGAAGGGAAAUAGAUUGAAGUUGUUCAAUCAUCAGUAGUUGCUACUUGGUUUUAAGUUGUUCAAUCAUCGGUCGUCUCUAUUUGGUUUUCUCCAAUAUCUCAUCUUCAAUUUUGACUCAGAUUGUAUCUUACCACUAGUAAUUACAUAGACUUGCUGCCAAAGGUAAGAAUGGGAAUAAAUUAAAUAGAUUAUGUCGAAAACGAAAUAAAUUUACUAUUGUUCUGUUCAUUCUAUUUGUUUCCUACAAAAUAUUUCUCCUGCCUAAAAUUUUUUGAAUCAGUAAGUUUUUACCUUAUGGAUGAAUUGUGUUGAGAGUAAUUCCAUUUCUCAGUCUCUUUAUGUUUCAAUGAAGACGUAAAACUUGUGUUCUAGUGCACCAACGUUUAUGCUUCUUACAAUUUGACUUUAAUUUACUUUGUAAAAUUUUUGUCAAAAAGUACUAAAAAGUAGUGCACCAAACACCAACUUUAUUACAGAGAGGACUUUAGUUAAAUUUUAAGAAAACACUCAAAAGAAAGAGUUGUAAAUUAUUAUAAAAAUAUUUCACAUAAAUAAAAGCCAUCCCAUGCUGCAAAGAUCUUGCUAUAAUCACCAAAAACUAUCGGGAGCUUUUAGGGUUUCCAUAAAAAUGCCAUUUCGUUCCAUGUAUAUGAUUCUAUAGUCUCACUGGCAAGUAAACCACAGCCCAACAGCACUGACUGUCCAUGAUGAUUCACCCCAAUGAACGAAACCAGCGUUGCAUCAUAUCUUUCUGUCAAGCAUGUAAUAUCAAUUGAUUUGAGCUAUUAACAUCAUUUCCAAAUACUCCAUUGGCAUCUACAUUACCAUUUCCCUCGGCAUCAAUGAUAAGAGUUCGAAACAGUCUAAUCUUUUGAACUUCUUCAGCACCAUCUAAGAGCAAUGUUCUUUUGGUUCCAAUACCCAUGUGCUUAUGAUAUUUGUAAAAUAAUUAUUUGUAAAAUAAUUAGUUCAAUUUUGACAUAAUACGGAAUAAACACAACCUGCCAAUCUAAGUUACUAUCUUUUCCCGUCAUCAGGUACCUGUUUGAAAAAUAAUUAUAUACAAUUUUAUUUGCGUCGUCCCUCUAAAAAUUUGGGACUCAAAUGUUAUUUCUAAUUGCUAAAAGUACGAAAUUGCCCCCUUUCUCUUCAGCUAAAGGAGUGCAAAGUCAUCUGUAUAAUUGAAUCUGCAUCAUCAGUUUCUAUUGCUGGCUGGUGUUACUGCAUGCUUACAGUUGCUUGACAAAGUGAGCCAGUUUUUUGUUUAUUAAUUUUUUUUCUUGUCGAGACAGUCACAAAGUAUUACUUGUUCUAUUUGAGAAUGAUGUGAAUCAAUUUUUCAAUUAUGCAUUCUGUGGUAAUUAUUGUGAAUUUAGUUUCAUUUGUCUUGUCUCCUGCAAAUUUUGAAGAAAAUGCAGACAUACAAAUUUACAAUAUGUAUUUGCGUUAGUAUAAAAACAAUUGUUAGAUGAUUAAAGCGAUUUAUUUUUUUUUUUACAGCAUUUGAUUGUAUUAGUUAAAAUCAUUUUUUAAGGAUAAAAAUAAAUAGAAAAUUAUUCUCAUGUAGUGUGGAAAUCUUUUCUAAUUUCUUGUUGACUUGUACAUUUAUUUCAGAAUUUCCAUUCAUUAAUUCUACUGUUUUAAUCUUUGACUUAGCUACCGUAGUUGACUUUUUAUAUCAAAGGCUUAAACAGCAUGCAUUUUUGAAUUGACUGAGAAUAAUUUGGUGGACAAAUUACUAGUAAAGGACUUCAAAUGGUUGAAUUGACUGUGGGUUUUUCAUGCCCAAGUCACUCGUCACGUCGUUUCAUCGAAACAAAGUGCCCGGUGCAAAUGGUGUGAUGUAAAACACCUUUUUAAAUUGUCAUUUUUUUUCCUUUGCUUUUGCUUUAAUUUUCUAAAUGCUCAACGCCAUAAAUCCAUGUAUUCUUAAUUUUCGUUUGCUGUAUUGAUUCCCAACCCUCUAUGUCACAAGGUUUUGAAUGCCAGUAAUUAAGUUAAAUUAAACAUAUUUUAAGUCCUACUUUAAAUUAUUGAAAAAUGUAUUAUGGUUGAACUGAAUUUUAACUAAAAAAUAUAUACAAAAUAAAAGAUUAAUCAUAUCUUUUUAUGAGGAAGGUCAGUCAUCAUUCUGACCACAGACACUUAAAAUUAAUUGAGUGGAAUAUUGCAAAAUAUAUAUAAACCAUGCCAAAACUAGAUGUUUGAGUAAUGAAAACGAGAAUUCAUAUGACUCAGAAAUAUGGUCGCUUUCCUUUUUCUGAAAGGCAAAAAAAAAGGGGGAACCAAAAAGGACCAAAAUGAACAAAAAUGGAAGGCGAAGGUAAGCAGACAUGUUAUAUGUUUUACCUAAGAUGCCAAAUGCAACUCCCCAUUGAUGGUGAUCGAACAUUAUGGCCAUUUUCUUAGUAAACAAAAAAUGAAUUUUGAACACUCAACAACGAAACUUGAGCAGAAGAUCAAGCAAGGGCCUCGAUCUCAAAGAAGAUACUAUGAAACCCUACUUAAUGGUUAAAUAACUUUCAUUCAGCUUUGGACCCUAUUUCGUGAUACGGAAAGACAAACCUUUCUUGGCCGGCAGUGUCCCAGAUCUGGGCUUUGAUGAUCUAGAGGUUGAUGGUGACAGUUCUGGUUUGGAACUCGACGCCAAUGGUUUAUUUCGAUUCAAAGCAAAACUCAUUCUUGGUGAAUCUCGAAAGAAUCUGAGACUUGCCCACGGCCGAGUCACCGAUCACCACUACCUUGAAUACAUAGUCUAUUUUGUCAGGAAUCAUAUUCUCUCGUUGUUGAUGACGAUGAUCGGUGCCAUCACCACUCAUUUCUUCGUUCAUUCAUUCUAUGUCCAUUGAUCUUUUUGAAUUAUUGAAGACAAGUGGCUCACCGCUUUUAGUAUUGGUAAAAUUCAGAUAAUCUCUAUUCCGAAAUAAUAAUAUUAAAAAUAUCUCUUAAAUCAUUAUAAACUUCAAAUCUAUUUUAAUUUUAUUUAAAAGAUAAAAGAAAAAUAAGUUAUGUUGGUGAUUUUUUAUUAUCUUUUUAAUAAAAAUAGAAUAAAUUGAUGUUUAUAAUUAUUUAAAGUAUUUUAAAGAUUGCUAUUUUAUGAGAGAAUAAUAUUUCAUUUUUUUUUUCGUGUGAAAGACCGAAAAAGGACAAAGCAAGUUUCCCUAAUUUUUAUUUUAUGUGAAAUUGGUCAUCUCAUAUACUUUACCCUUCAACACUCUAAUUUUUUUGGUUAUAAUUUUAUUAUUUUUUCUCUUUUACACAUGCAUGUGAAUUACUUUUCUUUAAGCUCCUGAAUAUUUAAGACAAAUCAUGGAAGAGAUGAGAGUAUAACAAGAUGAUCAAAAUAUGUAACAAAAAAAUUUUAGAAGUGAAAAAUAUGUUAGAGUCGAAGUAAAACUCUGAGGUGAUGUUUGAUUUGAAGAAAAUGGAGGAGAGAAAAAGAGUGGAAUGGAGAGGAAAAGAGAGAAAAGGAGAGGAGAGGAGAGGAGAGUGAACUUUUUUUCUAAUGUUUGGUUUGUCACAUAAAUAUACAAAGAAAGGAAAUCUCCAAUUUUUUAUUUAGACAAUUUUAACCUUAAUAAGUAUUAAGCUUUCAAUAUUUAUCAUGUGUAUAAUUUAAAAAAAGUAAAUGGUAGAAAGCGGUUUCUGAUUCCGGCCACAUCGCCGGCAAUGGAAGGUACUUAUCAGAACAUCAAGAACCGGCCAUCAUUCCCUAGCCAUCACUGCUGUAGGAACACUGCUAAAAAGCUGCCGAUUGAACCGCGAAAAGUCGUGGAAAUCGUUGCCUCAAAUCGGUGAGUUUCGCCUUUUUCUGGUCAUGCCGUCGCCUUGGCUUUGUCCAUCAACGCUGCCACUUCCAUUUCAACCAUCCAUAGCCACUAUUAACCGCCAAAUCGCCGCCGAUCAGCGGGAUCUGUGGAAGUUAAAAAGUUUCUAAAAUUUUUUAAUUGGAUUUGAACAACAUACAACCAUUUUUUGAUCUCAAUAACGACAUAGUAAUGUUGAUCGUUGGUCGGCAAGUCGAAUGGUAGUGGCGGUGAGUAACACGCGCCAAUGACAUCGGCGGCGGCGGCGGCACUAUCCGGCUACUGUUAAAAUUAAUAUUUUAUAUUUGUAGAUUAAAUAAAUUUAUUUUAUUAAACUUUUUAAAUCAUUAUUUAAAUUUAAUUAAUUUAAAAUUAUCUAUGAUGUUGAAUUGAUAAAAUAAAUUUAUAAAUAAUAAUUAUGUGAUUACAUUAAAUAAGUUAAAAAGUUGAAGGGUUAUUUUUGGAAGAUUUAGUUUCCAACACAAAGGGAAUUUGAAUUCUUCACUUCUUAGUGUGGAAUUCAAAUUCUAUAUUGUAAUGGAUAUUAAAUUCCAAUAGAAAUUAAAUUCUUAUAAGUUAUGUCAAACCAAACAACGGAAAUAAAAAAAAAGAAUUUAAAUUACUUUCCUUUCCUCCACCCUCUCCUUCCAACCAAAUACAUCCUGAAAAUAGAGAUAUUGAUUAAUUUAGAAGAGAUGCAAGCAAAAGAUAUUCCACAAAAAAAAAAAAGCAAUAUGUCCCUUUGGAGGGCAAACUUGUCAGUUUUAAAAAAGUACAUGCUUUGGAUUGAUAGUUGUAGGAUAUUUGUUUUGUCACUAUGUGUUAGUUGGAGAAGUCAAGCCUUGUGAAGAAUGUUAUGAAAGAGCAAAGGAUAUUCCUGAUAGCUGAUAGAGCUCUAUUUGAUUAUGUAUCCAAUGAAUGGAUGUGUUGUUGGAAGAUAUUUGAGUGCAUUAGUUCAUAUGUGUCUAUCAAUGUGAUUUUAAUGAUUUUUCCACUUGUUUGUUGUAAAAGAUUAUUGUAAAUUGAAAUGAACUUGAUGUUGUAAUAUUUUCUCCUUAGUAGAAUUUCACCUAGUAUGUAUUUAGUUGUGUUGUCUAUAAUUUUGCAUUCGAAUAAGUUUCACCUAAAAUAUUAGCAUGAGUAGUGGCCCUUGAAACUUUGGUCAAAAUUAUUGUUAUUAUUUCCGACUAGAUGUAAAUUUUUUAUUAAAUCUCGCUAACACAAUUCUUAAUUAAAAGUAUAGGUUAGUGUUGGUGCAAGACUUGCCACACCAAAUUCUGCCUAACUGUCAAAAGUGCAAAAUAAAUGAAGAGAAAGCACAAAUACACGACUUGAAUAAGGAUACAACGAAACUUAAAUUCAAGAGAAAAUGAUAGCUAUAUCUCAAGAUUUGAAAAAACGGUCAUGUAGAUUUUUAAGAUUUCAAUAAGCGACUGAGAUUCAAAUAAUAUCCUUUAAUUCUAUUAACAAAAAACAAAGACUCAAAUAUUUUAUGAUAAAUAAAAAUAUAAUAUUAAAAUAUAUGUGAUAAUAUACACAUUUUAAAUACUUUCAAUCCAAAAAAAUAGUUAUGUUUUACAAUCUAUUAGACAUAUUUUAUUAAAUUAAUAUAAAUUUUCUAUAAAAUAAGAAUAUAAUAUUAAAAUAAAUUCACAAAAAUUUAAAGAAUUUUGAAUGUAAAAUAAUUUUAAUAUAUCAAUACGUGAGUUUUUUUAUUAAUAUAAAAUUUAUUUAACUUUAAGAUUUUUUAAAAUCUUUACAAUAAGUAUAACUAUAUUAUUUACAUUUAAAAAUAUUUAAAUAUUAUUAACCUACAAUUAUAUUUGCAUUUGUUAGAAAUUUUUUAAGUCAAAUAUUUUGCACUUCUAUAUUAUUAGAAUUAUUGCACAAAAAGAAAGAAACAUACACCUUUAGAAAUUGUUUUCUUUUAAAAUAGAGAUGAUGAUUAGUAUAAGGAUGAAAAAAAGGAUAAAGAAUAUUAAUGAUUAACGAAAUCUCUAUACAAAUUGAUUUUAGUAGGAAAAGAGUGAGAUGAAUGAUUUCUUUUACAGUUAGAAACAUAGAUGAUGAUUAUUAUAACGAAGAAAAAAAGAUAAAGAAUAUUAAUUAUUAAUGGAAUCUCUAUACAAAUUGAUUUUAGUAGGAAAAAAAUGAUUAAAUGAUUUAGAGUGCGUUUGGAAUUGAGAUUGGGCAGCCAUAGAUUUUAAGUUACAACACUGAAGUGUUUAGUAAAUACUAGUUGCUGCAGAUUGAAAGUUAUGUUGAUAUGAUUUUUCACAUGUAUCAUAGAAAAUAUAUUACAUCUUUAAUAUUUUUUAAAAAUUUAUAUUUGCUAUAUAUUAUUAAUUUUUUUUUAUAGUUAUAACUUUUUUUCCACAACAGUUGUAGCUUAAAAGUCACAGCACCUCAAUCUCAAACAAAUCCUUAGACAUUCAUAGUGUGUUUAUUUUUUGGAUUGGUGAAUCAAAAUUAUUGACAACGCUAACUUCAUCUUCACUGUUCGCAAUCCAACAGCAGCAAUUGUCGCCAAUAAUGAUAUCUCCAAUGAUGAUGACAAUUAUUAUUAUUAUUUUUAUUAUUAUUAUUAUUAUUAUUAUUAUUAUUAUUAAUUAAUUAAUUAAUUAAUUAAUUAAUUAAUUAAUAUAUUAAUGUUGAUAUUAUUAUUAUUAAGAUUAACAAUAAUUAUUAGUAAUACAAUUUUUUGAAUAAAAAUAAUCACAAUAAUUAAAAUACAAAUUAAUAAUUAUGACAAUAAUUAAUUAAUGUCUUUUUAGUAAUUUGUAAUAAUCUAACUCAUUUUGGUUCUGAUUAUUACAGCUUAAGUAAACAAAUUAUUAUGAUUCCUAUUCUCCUUUCCCAUUUUAACUCACUUUGAUUCCAGUCUAUUCCGAUUUCUAUUUAAUAAAUGCACCAUUAGUGCUAAAGUAAUAUUUCAUACAUAGAAAAAUAAAAACUACGCCUAAGGUUAAGGGAAAAGACUUCAAAAUUCUCUUUUGAUCAUAAUACAUUUUGUCCUAAUUAACUUAAAGAUUUUGAAUCUAAUAUUUUAUAAUAAAUAAAAAUAUAUUCCUAAAAUAAAUAUAAUAUCAAUAUUUAAAAUAUGUUUUAAUAUUUUACAAUCUAUCAUACACAUUUUAUUAUAUUAAAGUAGAUUUAUAAUAAAUAUAUAAAAAUUUAGAAUAUUUAGAAUAUUAUAUAAAAUAAUUUUAAUAUAAUGCGUGAUAUAUAUUUUAUUAAUUUAAAAUGUCAUUUUACCUAAAAAAUAUGAUAAAUUAAUAAUUACAUAUUUGAAGUUAUUUCAAAUAUUAAAAAAAUUUAAUAUUAUUAAUCUUUUAGAUAGAUUAAAUUAUUUUUUAUAAGAGAGAUUAAAUUAUUUUAAAAUGCCUUAAUUGUUUUUACUUUUAACGUUACGGGCCUUUCUUUUAUUUUAUUGCAAAUUAAUGCUAACUAGAAAAACAAAAACAAAAGUGACAAACACAACCAGCUGGAAUCUUUUAUAAAACUACAAAUUAAAAUGGAUUUUUUUUUUUUGUUGAUAAAUUACACAUGAAAGUGGAUUCUUUUGAAUAUAAGUGGGGUAGGCUCUUUUAUUUUUUUUUUAAUACCGUAUAACAGGACUGUAGACUCUUUUAUUAAGCACAAAUAUAGAGUUGUCGAGACAAUUAGGGUCUUUUAUUAAACUACAAAUUGUAUAGUCUUUUUUAAAUUGUUCAGAUAUUUAUAAAUUGGUGGCCCCUACAAUCCUCAAUAAUUGUACCGAUAUUCACAAGCUGGUGGCCCCUACAAUCCUUAAUAAUUGUUUUUUUUUUUUUCUGCAUUCCCUUUCAUGCUCUUAAUAAUUAAAGAGCAUACUUUUCAAAUGUGGAGCCGCGGCUAAUGUCGCUAAUUUAAUUUGGGAUUAAAUUAGGGGACUAUUAUAUUGCAGUGUGCACUAAUUUUUAUGUUUAUCUAAACUCCUUAAAUUUAAGAUAUAUUAUGGCAUAAAUAAGAAUAUAACAAUAGCAAAAGAGUUAGAAAGUGUAGAGAAGAUCUUGCAGAAAUAUAAAUAAUAUUUAUUUUAAAAUAAUAUCAAUAUUUAAAAUAAUUUUUAUUAUUUUAUGAUCCAUUAGAUAUAUUUUAUUAUAUUAAAGUAAAUUUUAUAAUAAAUAAAAACAUACUAUUAAAAUGAAUAUAUAGAAAAUUUAGAGUAUUUUAAGUAUUAUAUAAAAUAAUUUUAAUAAAAUAUGUGAGAUAUUCAUAUUUUAUUAAUUUAAAAUACCAUUUAACCUAAAGAUUUAUUUAUGAUAAAUUAAUAAUUAUAUUUUUGAAAUUACUUCAAAUAUUAAAAAAAUUAAUAUUACUAAUCUAUUAGAUAGAUUAAAUUAUAUAUAUUAUUUUCUAUUUAUUAAAAAAUUUCAAAUUAUUUUUAAUUACUAUUCAAAAAAUAUGAUGAUAAAAAAAUCUUAACAUCUUUAUUAAAAAAUUAAAAACUUACAUGAUCAAUUCUCUAAAUAUUUAGGGUAUAUGUGAACCACGGUGGACAGAGGUCAUUACUAAAAUUUCUCUUCCACAGGCAAUUACAGCAGCUCCAGUUUAUCAAACUCAACCAAUUUUCUUUCUUAACAAAAUUCCAAAGAUGUGUAGCUUUUUUCAGAUCACAUGCGAUGGUGCUUUUUUCAAUCGUUGCUUGGAUUGCUUUCUUGGAAAAGCAGCAUACAUACGUAACCUCCAAGAUAAUCUUGAUGCCUUGGACACUGAACUGGGAAGACUAAUCGCAGCAAAGAACGAUGUGAUGAUUAGGGUUGUCAAUGCUGAACGGCAAUAAAUGAGAAGGCUGGACGGAGUGCAAGUGUGGGUUUCGAGUGUGGAUGCUGUUAAAACUGGAGCCGAUGAACUUAUCACAGACGGCUCUGAAGAAAUUGGCAAAUUAUGUGUUGGAGGCUACUGUUCCAAGAACUGCAGGUCAAGCUACAAAUUCGGAAAACAAGUGGCUAGAAAGCUACGAGAUGUGGAGACUUUAAUCGCCGAAGGAGUUUUUGAGGCGGUGGCUACUGAGGUGGUGCCUGAGAGAGCUCCAGAGCCUGUAGCAGAUGAAAGACCUACCGAGCGAAAAGUAGUAGGCUUGCAAUCACAACUUGAACAAGUCUGGACGUGUCUUGUGGAAGAAUCAGCGGGAAUCAUUGGCCUAUACGGUAUGGGCGGUGUUGGUAAAACCACACUAUUGACCCAUAUCAACAAUAAAUUUCUCGAGAGUCCAACCAACUUUGAUUGUGUGAUUUGGGUAGUAGUUUCAAAAGACCUGCGACUUGAAAAACUUCAAGAAGAUAUUGGGAAAAAGAUAGGUUUGGUUGGUGAUUCAUGGAAGAGUAGAAGUGCAGAGGAGAAAGCUCUCGACAUCUUCCGGAGUCUAAGAGGGAAGAGAAUUGUAUUGUUGUUAGAUGAUAUAUGGGAGCGGGUUGAUUUAACAAAAGUGGGCGUUCCACUUCCUGGACCACAAAAUACUACCUCAAAAGUCGUAUUCACAACNNNNNNNNNNNNNNNNNNNNNNNNNNNNNNNNNNNNNNNNNNNNNNNNNNNNNNNNNNNNNNNNNNNNNNNNNNNNNNNNNNNNNNNNNNNNNNNNNNNNNNNNNNNNNNNNNNNNNNNNNNNNNNNNNNNNNNNNNNNNNNNNNNNNNNNNNNNNNNNNNNNNNNNNNNNNNNNNNNNNNNNNNNNNNNNNNNNNNNNNNNNNNNNNNNNNNNNNNNNNNNNNNNNNNNNNNNNNNNNNNNNNNNNNNNNNNNNNNNNNNNNNNNNNNNNNNNNNNNNNNNNNNNNNNNNNNNNNNNNNNNNNNNNNNNNNNNNNNNNNNNNNNNNNNNNNNNNNNNNNNNNNNNNNNNNNNNNNNNNNNNNNNNNNNNNNNNNNNNNNNNNNNNNNNNNNNNNNNNNNNNNNNNNNNNNNNNNNNNNNNNNNNNNNNNNNNNNNNNNNNNNNNNNNNNNNNNNNNNNNNNNNCAGGAAGUCCUAGUGCGUGCUAUCAGAAAAGAUGCUGGGAACUGUUUCGCGAAAAUGUUGGGGAAGAAACUCUUGAGAGUGAUCAUGAGAUCGUUGAGCUAGCCCAAACUGUGGCCAAAGAGUGUGGUGGUUUGCCACUCGCACUUAUUACUAUUGGUCGAGCUAUGGCCUACAGAAAGAAAGCGGAGCAGUGGAGACGUGCAAUUGAAGAGUUAAGAAGAUCAGCUUCAGAGUUUGCAGGUUUGGGAAAAGAGGUGUAUCCUCUUUUAAAGUUUAGCUAUGAUAGUUUGCAGAAUGAUACAAUUAGAUCUUGUUUCUUGUAUUGUUGUUUAUAUUCUGAAGAUUAUGGCAUUCUUAAAUGGGACUUGAUUGAUUGUUGGAUUGGUGAGGGAUUUUUGGGGGAAUCUGACAGGUUUGGUGCAGAAAACCAAGGAUAUGACAUUUUGGACACUCUUGUUCGUGCAUGUUUAUUAGAAGAGGUGGAAGAAGAUGAAGUAAAAAUGCAUGACGUUAUUCGUGAUAUGGCUAUAUGGAUAACCAGUGAAAUUGAGAAGGAGAAGAGAAACUUUUUGGUUUGUGCAGGUGCUGGAUUAGAAGAGGCACCGGAUGUUAAAGAAUGGGAAAAUGUGAGAAGAUUGUCAUUGAUGCAAAACCAAAUUGAAACUCUGUUUGGGGUUCCCACAUGCCCUCAUCUCAUCACUUUAUUUAUUGACUUUAAUAGGGAGUUGAAGACUAUCGCGGAUGGCUUCUUCCGAUGUGUGCCUUCUCUCAAAGUUUUGAAGAUGUCAAACUGUGGAAAGCCUUAGAAAGGUUUGGAAUUACCUUUGGGGAUGUCAAAGUUGGGUUCACUACAACUUCUUGAUAUUUCACACACCUGCAUACAAGAAUUACCACAAGAAUUAAAGUUGUUGGUAAAUCUGAAAUGUUUGAAUUUGAGGCGGACAAUUUGGUUAAAUAAAAUUUCAUGGCAACUAAUAUCAAAAUUUUCAAGGUUACGUGUGUUGAGAAUGUUCGCUACUGGCUGGUUCAGUUUUCAUGAAGCACCAGAAGACAGCGUUUUAUUUGGUGGGGGUGAAGUUUUGAUACAGGAAUUGCUCGGUUUGAAAUAUUUAGAGGUAUUGGAGUUGACCUUGGGAAGUUAUCAUGCUCUCCAAAUUCUUUUGAGCUCAAAUAAGUUAAAAAGUUGUAUUCGAUCUCUUUUCCUACAGUUGUUCAGAGAUACAACGUCGAUUAUUGAUGCUACGGCUUUCGCAGAUCUAAACCACCUCAAUCAAUUAUGUAUUAGUAACGGUUCUGAGUUGGAAGAAUUGAAGAUUGAUUAUACGGAGAUAGUACGAAAAAGGCGGGAACCUUUUGUUUUCCGCAGCCUUCAACGUGUUACCAUAGAGGAGUGCCAUAAAUUGAAAGAUUUGACAUUCCUCGUUUUUGCUCCAAACCUCAAGUCUCUUUCGCUAUACGAUUGCGGUGCUAUGGAAGAAAUAAUCAGCGUCGGAAAAUUUGCUGAGACUCCUGAGAUGAUGGGACAUAUAAGCCCUUUUGAAAAUCUCCAAAUGCUUUAUUUAAUGGCAUUGCCGGAGUUGAAGAGCGUCUACUGGAAGCCAUUGCCUUUCACUCAUCUGAAAGAAAUGGAGGUACUUGGGUGUGAUCAGCUUAAAAAGCUUCCACUCGAUUCCAACAGUGCAAAAGAGCGUAAAUUUGUAAUUCUUGGAGACACACAGUGGUGGAACCGUCUUCAAUGGGAGGAUGAAGCCACUCAAAUUGCUUUUCGUUCCUAUUUCCAAACCUGAUUCCUGAGCGGUGGUCGCAAAAUUUGAUUUCUGGUGAGUGCGUUUGUCUUUUAAAAGAAGAAUUUAAAAGAAAUUUAUUCUUGUCGUUUUCUUCUCUGUUUUUAUUUCAGUUUGUUUCUCUCUCUCUCUUUUUGUCUUCUGCAAAUCACAAUUAAAUGUUGAAUUAAUGGAAUUAAUGCUUCAUAAAUUUGCCGGCACUGCCAGUACUUUUUUUUUUUUUUAAUACGAAUUGAUGCUUUAUUUAUUUCUUCUUAGCGAUUUAAUUUCCUGUCAAAAGACGAGCGAGAAGAACAUAUGACUUAAACCAAUUGAUACUUUAUUUAUGUGCAUUGUAUGUAAUAAAAUUUUCUCUGUUUUUUUCAAAUUGAGGCUUUAUUUAUAUUUUCUUCGUGAAGAGUGAUUUAAUUUCCUGCCAAAAGACAAACGAGAAGAACAUUAGAGUCAAACUAAUGCUCACAUAAAUUUCCCGUAAGAAUAUAUAUAUAAUUAGACUGGAAUGCACACCUCUAGAUUGAACAGAAUUAAAGCUGAGAAAAUAUUGAGUAUAGUAGCCCUCUUUACAGAAAAUGACGCGAAAGUUAAUUUAGAAAGAUAUAUUCUUGAUUAAUCCAUUUUCUGAAGUUUUUUAUUUUGUAUGGUCAAUUAUACCUUCAUACUAAAAAAAAAAAAAAAAAAGAGAAAAUAUGUAAUCCAUGAAUGGUUAAUUUUGUUUGUUUGUUUUUUUUUCUUAAAUAUCAUUCUUUUUCGGCCACCCAAGGACAUUUUCACAAAUACCUUUUGUGUGCAGAAGUCUUCCAAACCAUCAAUGGAAAAAUAAAAAAUAAAAAAAACACGGUCCAGUAUACCUCAAAAUAUCAUUGAUGACUUUUCUGGUCUAAUGCUAUGUAAAUAGUAUGUUAAGUAAAACAUAAUCAGUUCAGUACCUCACAAAUAAUUCGCAAUAUCUACAAAAUACUAUAAUGGCUACAAAACAAAUCCUGCUUGCAAAUUGUCAAGGAUACCUAUCCGUUCGCUUGACAAGUCAUUUGAAUAAAUAUUGUUCACAUUCCUUACUCUGUCAAUUAUCCAAAGCACCAUCAACUUUAGUUUGAAUAGUAUACAUGCCAUCACCGUUACCAAGAAUCAAGCAUGGAAGGGUCAUUCUAUAGAGUGCAGAACAUGACUCUAUGCGGUAGUCAAUUUGACACACGACGAACACCAUAUGCUGCAUAACAUACAAAUUAAUUUCCCAUAUGUGAUGCAAUUUUCUCCUCAACAUAUGCGCAAUUCUUUCCAUUCCGGCAUUUACACUCAAAUUUUCCUUCCUUUCUCUUUGUGGUUGAAUCUUACACCACAACUCAUGUGAUGCAAUCUCCUCUCGCUGCCUAAAUUGCACUCUCAGCAAAGCAGCAUAUGUAAGCAAGCUUGAAGAUAAUCUUGCUGCUCUGCAGAAGAACGGCAAAAGUUAAUCGAAGCAAGGAAUGAUGUAUCAGAAAAUAUUUGGUGGAGAAUUCAGCACAAACAUAUUUCGGAUGAUCAGAAUCAAUAAAACCUGGUGGUUGUGCCAUAUAAACAUCUUUGGAAAGCUGACCUUGAAGAAAGGCGUUAUUGAUAUCCAAUUGAUGAAGAGGCCAGCCAUGACUAACAUCAAUACUAAGAACAAGCCGUACUGUGGUGGACUUAACAACUGGACUGAAAGUGUCAUAAUAGUCCACACCAGGCCAUUGAUUGAACCCUUUGGCAACAAGAUGAGCUUUAAACCUGUCAACAGAACCGUUGGAAUGUCUUUUAAUACAAAAAUCCAUUUGCAGCCAACAAUAUUGGAAGGGAUGGGAGGUGGAACAAGCUUCCAUGUCCCGUUACGAACAAGAGCAUCAUACUCUUCUGACAUAGCUGGACGCCAGUGAAGAUUUUUGAUAGCUUGCGUCACAGUUGUAGGUUCACAAUCAGAAGAAGGGCUAAAAUGAGCACGGAGGUUAAGUUUUUGUAACGGCUUGUGAAUCUUAUUUUUAGCUCGGGUAGUCAUAUCAUGAUGACUUGUGGGGCAAUGAUCUAGUGGAGUUUAGGAAGAUGAUUGAACAGGAAGUGAAGAAGUGCUUUGUGUAGAGGUAGAAGUAGGUUGGGAGGAUUGCUGCGGAGAUGUUACCGGUAGAGAAGAAGGAGCAGUACACGGUGGCAACUCCAGAGGGCCCACAAUAGAUGGAGUAGGUGCCGACAAUGGAGUACUAGGAAAUGAAACAGGAAGAAUUGGUGGAACACUUGCAUAAUUAGGAGUGGUAGAUGAGCUUGUAAUGAUUUGCAUGGAAAAACAAACUCUACAAAUUUAACGUGACGUGAAAUAAAAAUUUGAAAGGUGGAUGGGUCAAAACAUAAAUAAGCACUUUGAGAUAAAGGAAUAUCCUAGAAAAACACAAGGCUUAGAGGGUGGUUCGAGUUUAUGUGAUGAAACACAAACAUUCAAAAAAUUUUAAGUUUAUAUUAAUUAGGAGUGGUACCAAAAAUUAAUUAGCUAUGGGGUUGUUGGAUGUGUUUUGGAUAUUUACAGUUAAGUUUGAGUAUCUCAACUUAAAAUUUGUAGUUUUCACUUGAAAAAAUUCAGUUAAAUUUUGCAAUGCAGACUGAUUGAUUUAUCAGUUUAACGUGUGCCAGGAAUGAAGAACUGGAAUAUCACCGUCAAGCAAGCACCCUGUGGAGCAAUACCAAAGAAUGCACAAUCUGGCUUUGCUAGGUAACACUGGAGGCUUUUUGAAAAGUGCUUCACGCUCACUUGCACAGAUUGAGCAUCCCCUCUGGAUAUUGCCCUCUCUGAUCGAGUCUGAGCACUCAAAUUUUGGUCCUCAGAGGGAGCUACAGUUUUCUCUCCACUAACCAACAAUAUUCUAAACUCAGCACCUAGUGUGAUCAGAGUUGUUGAUAUUUGCAAAUGGAGAUCCCCAUAUUUGCAAAUGGAGACAUUUAACAAAUCACCAACAUGCUUCAUCCGGUCCACGAAAUUCUGCAACUGAUGCAAAUCUGGAACCUGAACCAGAGUCGGAGGUAUAUCUUGAGCCAUAUCUAAAGCAGUUUGAAGUUCAAGACCUUGAGCCCUUGACAAUGGUUUUGAAAUUGGAACAUCUUGGAUUACUGCAGACUUGUACCCCUUGGUUUCAAAGGUAAGGAAAGGCAUUGCUUGAGUACAAUUUGGAGGCAGCUUCUUCACCAAUUUUAUUUGGAGGCGAUUGGCAGCGGAUCCAGCUGCACCAAUUUCAGAGCAACUACUGACACUACUUCGAACAGCACACUGAAGAAGUGAUAUGUCUACGGCGAAGGCAAUGCAGUCCUCAUUUUGGCUUGAGACACAGUAAUCAUCGAAGAGAGUUUCCUUGUGAAACUGGGCAACACAUUGAAUCCCUUCGGCACUGAGAAGGUUGUGGAGGAAGUAAGCUUUCUCUCUAGUAAGGAAGAGGUGGCAUACAUUCCCCAUUUUGUCUAGGGCAGGUAGGAAUCUUUUUUCUAAGAGAUUUACUUCAUUCUCUGUGAGAAAUGCUUUGAACUUCAUCCCUCUGUCUCUAUCCUCACUUAUCAGUAAAAUAGUUGAAAGCGCUACAAGGAGAGAAAAGAAGAGUAUUAAGAUAUAUAUAUUAUAUAGACAAGAAAAACAUUAGAUGUCGAUCUUACAAGCUAAUACUUCAAACAAUAUCCUAGAAAGCUAAAAACUGCAAGAUGGCUUGAAAUUUGAAAAGAGCACGUGCUUUUCCUCCUUAACUUGAGAAAAUGUUUAAUAUAGUGCACCUUACAGAAGCAUUUAAGCAAUUAGAACUUUGCACAAAAACAUCAAGAAGACUAAACAAGUCAGAUGCAGUGUAUUUGUCCAAGCACAAAUUGCAUUUUGUCCUCAACUUUAAUAUUUAUUGAUGAGAAUCAAUACAGGUCCCUCAUUUGUUAUAGAAAGCUUUCUUGUAGUCUCACCAGUUAAUAUGGAUAUUAGAUAAGGAAACUUUAUUAGGUUGCGAGGGUAAAAAAGGAAAGAGAUAUCAUUAUUUUAUUAUCGAUAAUUAUUAAAUUUUUUUCCAAAAAAAAGAACAAGCAAGGAUAUUUUAUUGUCAAUUGCAACCUUUAAUUUUUUUAAAUGCUAUUAGAAACACAAGAUAACAAAAAUGUAGUGAGAUGGGAUCUCCUGCAUGCCACUCUGGUUUAGAACACAAAGAAUGUGUCUGCAUAAAUAUCCUCUGAAAUUGAACAACCCACAAACACAAAGCACCUCCAAGUCGGAGGCAUUGUACAAAACAUCAAAAGCCCUUGAAUCCUUCUCGUUGCCACCAACCUCGAAUUCUUCCUUCACUAUGUAUGUUAUAGGUCCAUCAGAACUAAUAUGUUUUGUGCUAUAGUAAGAGUACAUAGCCUCCACCUCCAUCUGAAACUUCCUUAACAUUUCAUUUGUGUACAGUUUUGAGAGUUGAAAUUCAUAGUAACAUCUUGGUUUCCGGAUACAACUUGAAUUUCUUGAAUCCAUAUCUGCCAAGGCUACCAGUUGAUAAUUCGCCUGCAGUGCUUGAUCAUACUUGUCUAAGAAUUCUUUCAAAGGAGUAUUCUUAUCAAGAUAUCCUUCAAAGUAUGAAGUAGAAACCUCAUUCUGCAGGAACGAAAACACUCCUGAUAAAAAAGCUUCCUUCAAAUAAAUAGGAGCCCACCUUUUAUGAUCUUCAUAUAAAGUUUGAAUCCAUCCGUGAUCCUUUAUUCCAUGACAUUGAAUCAUGUCUUCCCAAGCUGCUUCAAAUUUCUCAGGCCUGAGAGAGUGAUAAAUUGCUCUAUGUAAUGCAGCUUUAAUAGCUUCAUAUUCAAACAAUCCUUGGAGUUUCUCUGGAAUUUUUUUGCAUGAUGCAUGACAAUGAAAAGAAAUGAUAAGCUCUUGGGAAAACAUCACCAACAGCAAUUUGCAAGAUUCUACAUUGGUCAGUGAUGAUUGUUUGUGGAGAGCGCCCUAACAUACAUGUAAGCCACGCCGUAAACAACCAUGUAUAUGAUUCUAUGGUCUCACUGGCAAGUAAACCACAACCCAACAACACUGAUUGUCCAUGAUGAUUCACCCCAAUGAAUGAAACCAGUGGUACAUCAUAUCUUUCAGUCAGGCACGUAGUAUCAAUUAAGACCACAUCACCAAAGUACCUAUAUGCAACUCUUGACCUGGUAUCAGUCCAGAAUAGGUUUUUCAAGCAUCCCUUUUCAUUUAGAUCCACUACAUUAAAAAAGUUUGGAUCUGUCAACUGCAAAUGACAAAAGAAACUCUGGACAGCUUGUGCAUCUCCUGGUUUAAGCUUCAAUUGAUUUGAGCUAUUAACAUUAUUUCCAAAUACUCCAUUAACAUCUACCAUUUCCCUUGGUAUCAAUGAUAAGAGUUCGAAACAGUUUAAUUUUUUGAACUUCUUCAGCACUAUCUAAAUGCAAUGUUCUUUUGGUUCCAAUACCUAUGUGCUUAUGUGACUUGUAAAACUUUCCGCUUCUUGGGCUUAACAAGUGGUUAUGCUCAAGCUCGACUUCAAUGAUUCUCCACCUUUUGGUUUCCAUCAACCUAAACUUUAUCAUUGCUGGACAGCCAGUUCUUGUUUCUGGUCUUGGGCGGUUUGCCUCGCUUUUCUUCUUGAAGCCUGCACUACUACAGCUCAGCUUUCCUCUAUACUUUUCUCUACUCUUUCGGUACCAUGGAUUGCUAACUCUAACACCAAAACCCUGUUCCUUGGCAUAGCAAUUGUAAAAGUAAUAUACAUCAUCAUACAUCUCAAACUCCAUUCCAACAGUAGGAGGCAAGGGAUUUUGGAUUAUCCCAGUUUGUCCAACAUAUUCAGUCAUCGCACAAUCUCCUACAACCUCAAAAUCAUCAGUGUCAUCAUCACCUACUGGUUCGGUGUUGAGAGAAACUUCAUCCAUCUACAAUGGAUGUUCAAUGAAGUGAGCUUUAAGGAGAAAAAGCAAAAUCUGUUCAAGGAAUGAUAAUAUAAUCAUACAGUUACUUUCACAAAGCUUCAUAUUUCAUCACUGCUUUACCAACAUGCAACUGCCAGAGAACAAACAGACAUGUCAUAGACGCUUGAAUUAAGUAUUGGUACAAAUGAGCACACAUCAUGUGGGACAAAAUUUCAGUCACUAAACCCAAUACCACUUUUUACAUCAUACCAAGGAACAGAUUAAACCCGACACCUUCUUUUAAACCAUACCAAGGAACAGAUUAAAUCAUCAAUGAAAAAUUAAUCACAUAAUAACUUAACCAGACAAAUGAAGAGCCUGAAACAGCACAAAACUUGAAUCUGAUUAUGAUAAUUGUUGAGUCCUUGUAUCUACAGCUUUCCUUCAAUGAUAAGACAAUGAACAUAAACGAGACACAAAAAAAUUAUUUUAAACUGACAGCCCAUGAUAUAAAUCAAACAAAAUCAACUCCUUUUUUUACACAUUACAUCUCAUAUUCAUUUACAUUGAAACACAAAAAGGAAGCAGGAGUGGGAAAAAAACAACAGCAGAGGAACUUAUUUCCAUAAGGUUUACGAAAUAAGGAAUCUAUUAAAACCCAAAACUUGAGGUCACCACUAAGAAUUUGGUUCUCAUUAUUUUUUUCUUCAUUUUUCACCAAUUGAUGAACUUAAAAUACAAUCAUAAAUGAUAAAACCCCAUCUCCAUCUUUUUGAACUAGAGCUAAAGCAAAGCAUUUUAAGAUGUUUCAUCAUUUUUUUUUUUAAAAAAAACUCAAUAGUACAAUGUUUUUCAAUGCUAAAUGCACAAUUCAAUCUUCUCCUAAUUUACUCUAAUAAUCUCUUAAUUAAGGAAGAUUAAGCUUCAGUUGUAAGCUAAAACAAAUUUCUUAAAUCAAGCCCCAAUGCUUUAUGCUAUUCAACAAGGGCUCAUAAAUGAUAAAACUACUUCUAUAAAGAUACCCAUUUUCUAAAUUAAUUUCACAAACUGAAAUCAAACUCCUGAAACGUAACGAGCAUUAAUAUAAUCAAGCCCGAACAAGAAUUGAAAAAUGAUACAUAAACUCGUUUACACAUUUCGACAGACACUUUGCAAUCAAUGAGCAAAAAAUUAAUGGAGAAGAUAAAAUUCAAACGAAACAUGCCUUACAUUGAUAAAUUAGAAGGGCAAAAGAAAUUUUAGUACGAUAUGCGAUCAGGGUCUUGCCACGGUGAUGUUAUUUGUGAAGUUCGAGCGACUCAGCAGCCUUCGAGGUUGAAAAUUUGAUUGACCAAAAGCUUCCCGUUCGUUGAUUCUCUAAUAGUAGAAACGAGACUGGCAGUAUACACAAGAAGUUCGCCGAUUUUAAAUUCCGUUGUUUGAGAUGGAAAAUUUUUUGAAAAAAUUAAUGUGUUCGAUGAAAAUCAAAAUCUCAAAAACCUCUUGUUUUUCAUUUUUUUGGAAAAAACCAUUGAGAUCCUUACUAUUUUUUCUUAUAUCAUCUUCCUUAAUAAUUUGCAAAGUCUAUCGCAUAGCACCCAUGUAUGAUGUAUGCUGCGUUGUAAUUUACAAAAUUGCACAUGAAUAAAUCCAGCUAAAAUUUGUUAAAAGAAAAUAAUAAUAACAUGUUAAAACUUUAAAAUUUGAUUAUUCGAAGAAAUUUUAAUUUAGUUAAGUAGGUGACAUGAUAAUAAAUAGAUACGUAUAAUGUCCGAGAUUUUUUAUAAGAUUAAUAAAUAUGAUAAAUUUGGAUUAGUUCAAUUUUGACAUAAUUCAUAAUAAACACAGCUUGCUAAUCUAAAUUGCCACCGUUACUCAUCAUCAGGUACCUGUUUGAAAAAUAAUUACAAACAAUUUUAUUUGUGUUGUUUCUCUAAAAGUUUGAGACACAAAUGUUAUUUCAAAUUGAUAAAAGUACGAAAAUUCCCCCUUGCUCUUCAACUAAAAAUGAAACAUGCAAAUAUACACACUAAUUUAGAUGUGUGAAUAACAAAUAUGGAACGACACAUGCAAAGUCAUCUGUAUAAUUGAAACGCCAUGCACUAGUAGUAGGUAAGAGAAACCAAGGUUGAAGUUGCUCCAAUGGUUACUGUUAAUUUAUUUUUAUUUAUGAUUUUUUUUGUAAAAUGUAAGAAAUAUGUAGAAAUGUUGCCAGCAAUGAUUUUGGAACUUUGCAUAAAAUUUUUAUCAUUAUUGUUUUUGGUAUUAAGAAAUCCGAGGCGGUGAUUAGACGUAUGUUGCAACAAUUAAGAAAUUUCUUAUUGGAGAUAAUUUGGUAGGUUUGCAGCAAUUAGAGAAUAAUUUUCCUGCCAGUUAAUCAAUCAAUAAUAAAUUUCAAAUUGCAGAAAAUAAAAUAAUACAGCCUCACUUAGAAUCAUCUUUUCUAUCUCUUUCAAUUGUGGCAAUCAUUUGCAACAAAUAAAUCAAUUUGAUGCACAUCAUUUCCCCAAUUCAAAGUUCAAGUCACUGCUCAAUUACAGAGUAGUUAGUGGACAUGCAUGCAUGUUUAAUUAAGUACUGCAUUGUAGUAUCGAAAAUCAUAACAUCUCACCAAUAUCAGAUUAUUAACCAUGGAAAUCAUAUCACAAUAUCAUAUAGAAUUCACAAAUCUGAAAAUCAUCACCAAACAAGUACCCAGAGAAAUAAUCUCGUCAUAUCCAGACCUCAACGGACGGGCAAUGACGUACUAUUUGGGUAACGUCACACCCUGGAGCUACACGGAUAAAUAGGAAAAUACCAUCUCAUAUCUCAUCAUAUUUGUGCAUGCAUAAUCUAGUCCCCAAGGGACAAAAGCGCCCAAGCACACGGCCCAAAGCCUCUAUGUGUACUCAGACGGGCCCCAAAGGCCUGUAUCUCAUAUGUAUCAUAUGUAUCAUUUGUAUCUCAAUAUCUGUUUGUAUCUCAUUUCCGUAUAUCUAUAAUCAUCAUACCGCAUGCAUAUGCCCCCAAAAGACAAAAGCGCCCAAACACAUGGCCCAAAGCCUUUAUAUGUGUUUAGACGGGUCCCAAAAGCCUCUUAUCUCAUCUUAUCUGUAUCACUGUAUCUGGAGAGAAGGGUACUGUCUAAUGAUUUAAAAAACAAUCAUUAUACUCAUAUUUACAUACCUCUUAAUCAUAUUUGAAAUCAUAUCACAUUUGAAUCCACUUUUCUAAUCUUUAAAAUAUUAUCAUGCUUUAUUCAAAGUCGAUACGCAAAAUCAAUAACCAAACAUUUUAAAUCAAAUUAUUAACCAUGGAAAUCAUAUCACAAUAUCAUAUAGAAUUCACAAAUCUGAAAAUCAUCACCAAAUAAGUACCCAAAGAAAUAAUCUCGUCAUAUCCGGACCUCAACGGACGGGCAAUGACGUACUAUCUGGGUAACGUCACACCUUGGAGCUACACGGAUAAAUAGAGAAAUACCAUCUCAUAUCUCAUCAUAUCUGUGCAUGCAUAAUCUAGUCCCCAAGGGACAAAAGCGCCCAAGCACACAGCCCAAAGCCUCUAUGUGUACUCAGACGGGCUCCAAAGGCCUGUAUCUCAUAUGUAUCAUAUGUAUCAUUUGUAUCUCAAUAUCUGUCUGUAUCUCAUAUCCGUAUAUCUAUAAUCAUCAUACCGCAUGCAUAUGCCCCCAAAAGACAAAAGCGCCCAAACACAUGGCCCAAAGCCUUUAUAUGUGUUCAGACGGACCCCAAAAGCCUCUCAUCUCAUCUUAUCUGUAUCACUGUAUCUGGAGGGAAGGGUACUGUCUAAUGAUUUAAAAAAUAAUCAUUAUACUCAUAUUUACAUACCUCUUAUCAUAUUUGAAAUCAUAUCACAUUUGAAUCCACUUUUCUAAUCUUUAAAAUAUUAUCAUGCUUUAUUCAAAGUCGAUACGCAAAAUCAAUAACCAAACAUUUUAAUAAAAUACCAAUGCAUAAAUAAAAUUCAUUUCGAGAAAUCAUUAAAUCAGAACAUUUAAAAUACUUAUUUCGCAAACAUGCUUUACUAUCAUCGCUAACUAUGAAAAUAAGUUUUGUAUAUUCCACUUUCAGUGAUGGUGUUCACGGUCGGUUAUCGUCCAUAUCUGCAGACCGAUUCUCGCUCGCGAAUCCUCCUAAAUCAAGGAAACGACAUAAUUAUUUUUUGUAAAUCGGAAUUAUGACUAAAUUUUAUGCAAUAAACUCAAAACGAACAUCUAUUCAUAAUUGACAACUCCUAUAUCCAUAAAAUUACUAAAAUAUCCUUGAGUCCGUAGAUCAUUAACAUGCUCCGAAAUCGUAAAUCACUGAAUUACCCUCGGAAUCGUAAUUACACCCGAUCCUCAAUUAUAGGAAUUACUAACAGAUCCACAGGCUUAGAAAUUACAAAAUUGCCCUCGUAGUGUGAAAUUACCAAAAGCCGGAAGUUGGUCAACAAUGGCUAGGAAGCUCAAAUCGUAAAGUUCCAAUCACGCUGAGUUCAAUGGUACCGGCGGUGAGCUCCAACGCGCGACAACGAUGCCAGAAUCUAGCUCGGCAGCCGUGAAUUCCACCAAUCGACCGGCGGCACAACAGUGACUCUCGGUGCCUAUGGAUGGUCGAAAAUGGAAGAGGGAGCCGUGGGGAACAAAAUCCAACCGGUGGUGUCACCAAAACCGGUGAAAAUCCCGGCGGAGCAAAGUGAAACAGUCGCGGGUUUCAUGCUUCGAUCGCCGGUGUUCCGAUUGGUUUUUGGCGAGGAGGAUGGCAAGGGAACGACAGCCGGCUUCUAAGCUUCAGAUUGGUACCAAGCUCGGCCGAAACGAUGGCCGGAAAUGGGAGAUAUGACCGGGUCAAGGUCGCGGGUUCCGGGUCGGGUUUUUUGGUCUGUAGUUGGGUCGGUUUGGUAGCUUCUCUCUCACUCUCUGUUACACGUGCAUAUGUUUCCUCUGUUUCCAGCUUAUUCUUUUGCUUUUACUAACUUCUUAACCGCCUCAUACUUAUUCAUUUUUAAUUCACAUAUGUUACAAUAAUUCCCGAGUAUUAAAUAACCAGUGGUCAUAAUUUUUGUACAAGAUUCUUUUUUUUUUUUGGAGAUCGUUAAAAGUGGUUGACGAUCCAUUUCGUAAUAUCAUAGAGGGAUCAUCAAUUCCUUUUCUUUUCUGUGGCUAGGCAACACUUUUUGGCCAAAGUAAGGAAAUCUAUUUUAGGUAAUGUAAAAACCAGUUGUAGGAUGUAAUAGUUUAUUAUGCACUGACAAUAACUUUUUGUAUAAUUGUCAGUUUAAUGAAUGCAAGAGGAACUCUGUUGGCAAAUUCAUCCAAGAUAGAUGCUAAAAUUAUUUAUGCAUGCCAGUUGCCUUAACUAAGUUUUCUCAGCACUGGUUUUGAACAGGAAAAUGAAUAUGCAAUUUGUAUAUUGUGCCAUAGUGGAGAAUUUGGAUAUUCUUAUUUAAGUAACAAGGAGAUUAUUUGCCUCAUCUUUAAACAAUGAAUCUUUGAGAGAUGAGGAGUGGGUGAUUGGAUGUGUCUUCAUGUAAUUGUUCAUUUAUUUGUAUUUUGAACUGUUAUGAAAAUCUUUAUAUGCCAAAUUAGUAAUACAAGUAUUCAGAUGAUUUUUCCUAUUGAUCAUGCAUUUGUAUCUGCCCACAACCAUUGUAUAUCACUUUAUUCUGAUGCGCAAGCAUCUGUAAUUUAGAAGAAAAGAAAUAAUAAUCAUAUUUUAUUGCUUGGUUCAUGAUUAUUAACGAUUAUGGCUUUAAAAAUCUACAAAUUUCUUGUGUUCAUGUAUGAAUGUGCCAAGUUUGCUGUAUCUUAGAUUACCUUCUUCCAAGGUAACAAGUUCAUAUAUAUAUAUUUUUUAAAUCAUUUUCCAUUACAGUUGAAUUUCAAGUGUUAGUUUUGUUAUUAGUACCUGGUUUCCUGUUAUAAGGAUCUAAUAAACAGUGUACGGAUAUGUGCUCUACUUUUGGAGGGCUUCCACGUGAAAGAAAAUUACAACAAUUGAAUUCUUCCGGAGGAUAUGGUAAUUAAUUUAUUUUCUCAACUUCUUGUAAGACUAAUAUAUUUCCUUCAGUAGGCACAGCAUGGUGGGAAGGGUUUUUAUUGAAAGAAUUCUGAUAUUUCUUAGACUUUGUUUUGGAAGGGGGUGGAGGAAUUUCUCAUCCAUAUAUGGUUACUUGAUUAGCUUUUGACUGUAUUGUCUCUGUCGUGCAAAGGAAAAUCUAAAUACUAACGAUGGGGAAUUGCUUAGGCACCCAAAAGGCAGAAAUGAAUUACAGAAGGAAGUUUUUGCUGCUUUAUUUAGUGCUGCUGAGAAAUCUGAUGAAUUUCCUGAAAUUACGGUGAAGACCGAGUGGAGGUCCAAAGCAUUAGGAAAGGUGGUGAGUGAACUGCCGGAGGAAUUUGUACCAAAAUACAAGGCUAAUGUGGUGCACUUGCAGCAAGAUAACCAGACCGGUAUGUGCUCUUAUAUUAACUAUAUUGACUGGAUUUGUGAGUGUGUGCAUUUUUUUGUGUAUACUCACUUUUGUAUUUAUGCAUAUUAACAUGUGUAGGAUUCUUGAUUUCUGCCACUUACUGGAGAACUAGUGGAAAGCUUUAUAUUGAUAUAUCUGCAAUAACUAAUGGAAACUAUGAUAUGAAUAUUUUCUCUCACCUGGGGAGCUGUGUAACAGAUAUACUUUGUGGCUCUGGAAUGCUGAAGAUUCUGCAAUAACUAAUGGAAAAUAUGAUAUGAAUAUUUUGUCUCACCUGGAGAACUUUGUUACAGAUACCCUUUGUGGCUCUGGAAUGUCUAAAGAAUGCUUUAGUUAGAUCAAAUAUCUUUUAGUUAGAAAAGAUAAAAUUCUCUGAGUCUGAAAGACUGAAACAUUUUGCAUAUUUUGUGAAAGGGAAAUAUCUGUUGAUACUAGCUCAUGCAUUGAGGUAAUAUCGAUGUUAAAGAAAAACAGCAAUGAUUUAUGAUAUAGAAUUGGGUUCACUUGCUUCAAAUGCUGGUCUGAUCAACCAUAUCAACCUGUAAUGAUUCUGCAGAAAUAUAUAUACAUGGAGAAAGUAGCUAAAUUUUUCUUUCAUUUAUGGGUUCGGUCUUUUUUCCCCUUAUUUUUCAGCUUUCCUUCUCCUGAAGUAUGUUAACAAUUGCAGAUAAUGAUGAAGACGACAGCUUCCGGGCUCUCCUUAGAGCCGUGAUGGAAUAUAGGGGCACAAUGAAGGAAUAUUGUAAAGCUGUAGGUACUUUUUCUCCUUUCAUUUAUGUUUUCUCACACAUUUUGUAUAUGCCCUGAACAUGCACCUUUGUAUGUAUCAAUUGACUUUUAAAUUUUAAAAGCCAUAAAGUAAGAAUACGGUUCCUUGUCAGGCUACUGAUGACAUUCGCUCAGGGGGAUCAUGUUCGAGCAGGAAAAUUUCUAGAACAGGUAAGGUUUCCAUCUACAGCCAUCCAUUGACAGCAGAUACAUUUUCAUUCAGCAGACUCUGUUAGCAUUCAAGAUGCUGGCAGAUUCACUUGAUUCUUAUUAGCUUGUUUAGUGGCAAAGCCUAUAACCUGUAUUUCAAAGCCAAGUUGUGCUAUUGAUUAUGUUAACUUUUUUGUUAACAUAAAAUGAUAUGGAGGAAAUAAUCAGUGUUGGAAAAUUAGGUGAAAAGAUGAUGUCAAAUCUUGAACCUCUUACGAAACUCUAAGUUCUUUACUUGAAGAGGCUACGAAAUUUGAACAGCGUCUACUCGAAGGCCUUGCCAUUCCCUGAUGCAUGCAGAAUUUUUGUAUUUAAAUGCCCAGAGCUUAAGAAGCUGCCACUGGAUCUUGAAGGGGCAGACCAAGGUAAAAAUCUUAUCAAGGGAAAGGAAGAUUGGUGGAAACAACUUAAUGGGAGGAUCAAGUAACUCAGAAUGCAUUGCUUCCAUUUUUUAAAUUGACUGACAAGUGAUUGAACGGGGCAUCAUCAACAUCAUCAACAGGGAUGGAGAGAUACCGGAGCAGAUCAGCAGGGUUUGAAUAUGACCUUUGGCGGUUGCUUUUUUUUUGUGAUUUUUUUUUCAUUUUUUCCUUCCUGUCAUUUUAUCAUUUCUUUCUCUGUUUCUAUUGCGGGUGUUACUGCAUGCUUACUGUUGCUUGACAAAGUUUGCUAGCUUUUUGUUUGCAGUGUUGCUAUACACUCCGAGUCAAGCCUCGAAAAUUUAUUAAACGAAGCCGUUUCGACAGUAACAAUUCUUUUCUUUUCCCUUUGCAUGUCUCUUUCAUCUGCUGUUUCUCUAUCACUUUUCAUUUUUGAUUUCCUUGCUUCUCAGCUGCCCCUAAAUUGUUAUUCUAGCAAUAUACUUUCUCAUCUUUGAAUUUUCAUCCUUGAGUACUCCCACAGCCGUAAUUUCAUCAUCAUAGACUUCACUUGGAAUGCUGUAUUUUUUCGAUUCUUGAGCUACUUCAAUUACAUCUUAGUAUAGGAUCCUCAUCUUCCUUUAUUUCUUCAUCUUAUGAGGUAAUAAAUGGAUUUCACAACUCAUCUACUUUUAAGCAAUUACAUAUUAUACCUUGAAUGAUUCAACUGUUCUGACAGUUAAAGAUUUUAUGCUCAACCUGCAGUGCUACGAACAUUGUCCAUGAAAGAUGAGUUUCAGCAUAUAAAAUGAAAUAUAGAUGUUUAAUCUAAAAUAACCCUUCACUGCCAGAAACCUAGGUCACAAAAUUCACAGAUAAUGAUAAAGAGCUAAAAAAUUUGAAAAACUCUACAGAUCACACAUCAAGCAAGAUAUCAUGUUUUUUUCCCUCAUUCAGUGGUGAUUGAUUCGCUUUUUGAUGAUGGAUAUGGUAUAAAAGUGUUGACCCAAUUUCAAGCAAACACAAAUAGAAACACAAACACAAUCGGGACUAGAGUUGUGGGCGAUUAUCUUAGGUGUACAAGUGAAACGGUGGUGGCUGUCGAUGGUGGUAGUGGGGUGGUUGGGUAUGCGUGAUGGCUAGAUUUUAGGACAAUAAUGAUUGGAGUUGACCUCAAUCAACGAAGGAAAGUGACAACAAUUUUGACAUCAAACGGUGCAUUUUUUAGCUUAGUAAAAUGGAGCCGUUUCGAUUUUGGGGUUUAAUCCGGGGUUUGACUCGGUGCAAGUAUCAUUUUCCUUUUGUUUAUUAAAUUUUUUUAUGGUCACAAAGUAUCACUCGUUCUAUUUGAGAGUCAUGUGAAUCAAUUUUUCAAAUUUUCAAUUUUAAAUUUUGUGGUCAAUGUGAAUUCAAUUUCAUUUGUCUCCUGCAAUUAUGAAAAAAUUAAAUAGUCAUAAUAUGGAAAAAUACACCGGUAAAAACUUUGUAAAAGCUUCGGAGUGAUACGGGGAAUUCACUUACUACUAAGGACAAUUGGUGGCAAGCUAUUCCAUUCAUUUUAUGUCCAUCCAUCUAUUUAGUUAUUGAAGAUAAGUGGUCCAUUUGUAAAUUUCAGAUUGUCUCUCUCUCCCUCUUGAAAUAACAAUAUUUAAUAUAUCUCAUAAAUUAUUAUAAAUUUUAAUUUACUCUCGAUUUAAAAUGGAGCAUGUCGAUAAAUUUUUUUUCUUCUUAAUAAAAUUGACGUAAGUUGUGUUUACAGUAGUUUGAAGUUUGAAAUAUUUUAAAGAUUAUUAUUCUAUAAGGGAGUAAUAUGAAAUGAUAUUUACUUUUCAUGUGUGAAAUGAAAAAGGACGAAGCAAGUGUCCCUGCUUUUAUUUUAUUUCAAGGAGGAGUCAUCUCACAUACUUUAGCUCUUAACAUUACAUUUUUUCUGGUUACAUUUUUUAUUUAUUUAUUUUUUUUUUUUUACACAUGCGUGUGGGUUGCUUUUCUGUAAGCUCCUUAAUAUAUAUUUAAGACAAAUCAUGGAAGAGAUGGGAUUAUAUCAAGAUGAUCAAAGAAUGUUAAAAAAGAAAAAAGAAAAAAAAAAGAAGUAAGACACUGAAAAUGGAGAAGAGAUGGAAGCAAAAGAUAUUCCAAAACAAAGCAAUCUAUCCCCUUUCGAGGGCAGACUUAUCAGGUUUAAAAAAGUACACGCUUUGGAUUGGUAGUUGCAAUCAAGGGAAAAUAAAUAGGAUCCAAUGAAAUUUAAAUCUCGGAGAAAAUAAAUAAUCAUGCAGAUUUUCAAGAUUUUAAUAAGGGAUACUAAUAUCUUAUUUUGAUUAAUAAUAUCCUUUCAUUGUGUUAACUCAAAAAAUAUAUAUUUUAAUGUUUUGCAAUAAACAGAAACGUACUAUUAAAAUGAAUAUAUAAAGAAUUUAGAAAAUUUUGAAUGUUAUAUAAAAUAAUUUUAAGAUAAUGCGUGAGAUAUAUUUUAUUAAUUUAAAAUGUUAUUUUACCUAAAAAAUAUGAUAAAUUAAUAAUUACAUAUUUGAAGUUAUUUUAAAUAUUAAAAAAAUUUAAUAUUAUUAAUCUUUUAGAUAGAUUAAAUUAUUUUUUAUAAGAGAUAGAUUAAAUUAUUUUAAAAUACGUUAAUUGUUUUUACUUUUAACGUUACCGGCCUUUCUUUUAUUUUAUUGCAAAUUAAUGCUAACAAGAAAAAGCUAGAUCAUAUUCCACAAAAGCAAAAGUGACAAACACAACCAGCUGGAAUCUUUUAAUUACUAUUCAAUAAUUCGAGACGAUUAGGGUCUUUUAUUAAACUACAAAUUGUAUAGUCUUUUUAAAAUUGUUAUAAAUUGGUGGCACCUACAAUCCUCAAUAAUUGUACCGAUAUUCACAAGUUGGUGGCCCCUACAAUUCUGUUCGGAUAAUUUAACUGUGCAAGUGCUCAUUCACAAUAAUUGUUUUGUUUUUUUUUUCUGCAUUCCCUUUCAUGCUCUUAAUAAUUGAAGAGCAUACUUUUCAUUUUCAAAUGUGGAGCCGCAGCUAAUGUCGCUAAUUUAAUUUGGGAUUAAAUUAGGGGACCAUUAUAUUGCAGUGUGCACUAAUUUUUGUGUUUAUCUAAACUCCUUAAAUUUAAGACAUAUUAUGGCAUAAAUAAGAAUAUAACAAUAGCAAAAGAGUUAAAAAGUGUAGAGAAGAUCUUGCAGAAAUAUAAAUAAUAUCUAUUUUAAAAUAAUAUCAAUAUUUAAAAUAAUUUUUAAUAUUUUAUGAUUCAUUAGAUAUAUUUUAUUAUAUUAAAGUAAAUUUUAUAAUAAAUAAAAACAUACUAUUAAAAUGAAUAUAUAGAAAAUUUAGAGUAUUUUAAGUAUUAUAUAAAAUAAUUUUAAUAAAAUAUGUGAGAUAUUCAUAUUUUAUUAAUUUAAAAUACCAUUUAACCUAAAGAUUUAUUUAUGAUAAAUUAAUAAUUAUAUUUUUGAAGUUACUUCAAAUAUUAAAAAUAUUAAUAUUACUAAUCUAUUAGAUAGAUUAAAUUAUAUAUAUUAUUUUCUAUUUAUUAAAAAAUUUAAAAUUAUUUUUAAUUACUAUUCAAAAAAUAUAAUGAUAAAAAAGAAUCUUAACAUCUUUAUUAAAAAUUUAAAAAUUUACAUGAUCAAUUCUCUAAAUAUUUAGGGUUAUAUGUGAACAACGGUGGAGAAGCUUUAUUUAAUAUUAUUGAUUUAAAUAAUAUGUCAAUUAAAAAUGUACAGAGAAGGAAAUUUCGGUGGGUAUUUUAGUCUUUUCAGCAAUUAUCAUGAUCAGAUCAGCCUUUAGCCUUGAAUCGUCGGUCAGAAAAGUUUUAAAAUUAACGCUAACAAGAAAAAGCUAGGUCAUAUUCCACAAAAGCAAAACUGACAAAACAACCAGCUGGUUUCUUUUACUAAACUACAAAUUAAAAGUGGAUUCUUUUGAAUGCAAGUGGGACAGACGAUUAGGCUCUUUUUAUUAAAGGCAAGUAAAAACUAGUCGAAUAGUCUUUUUCAAAUUGUUGUUUUAUUAUUUUUCCUUCAAAAGUUAGUGUGGCUCAUGUUUGCAGGUGCGAAUGUGGGUCCCGAAUCAUUACUAAAAUUUCUAUUCCACAGCCCACCGCAGCUUCAGUUAAUCAAACUCAAAUCAAUUUUCUUUCUUAACAAAAUAUUCCAAAGAUGUGUAGCAUUUUUCAGAUCACAUGCGAUGGUGCUCUUUUCAAUCGUUGCUUGGAUUGCUUUCUUGGAAAAGCAGCAUACAUACGUAACCUCCAAGAUAAUGUUGAUACCUUGGGCACUGAAUUGGGAAAUCUGAUCGCUAGAAAGAACGAUCUGAUGAGGAGGGUUGUCGAUGCUGAACGGCAACAAAUGAGAAGGCUGGACGGAGUGCAAGUGUGGGUUUCGAGGGUGGAUUCUGUUAAAACUGAAGCUGAUCAAUUUAUAAGAGACGGCUCUCGAGAAAUUGAAAAAUUAUGUGUUGGAGGCUACUGUUCCAAGAAUUGCAUGUCAAGCUACAAGUUCGGGAAAAAAGUGGCUAAAAAGCUACGGGAUGUGCGGACUUUAAUCAGUGAAGGAGUUUUUGAGGUGGUGGCUGACAGAGCUCCAGAGUCUGUAGCAGAUGAAAGACCUACUGAGCGAACAGUAGUAGGCUUGCAAUCACAACUUGAACAAGUCUGGAGAUGUCUUGUAGAAGAAUCAGCGGGAAUCAUUGGCCUAUAUGGUAUGGGCGGUGUUGGUAAAACUACACUACUGACCCAUAUCAACAAUAAAUUUCUCGAGAGUCCAACCAACUUUGAUUGUGCGAUUUGGGUUGUAGUUUCAAAAGACCUGCGACUCGAAAAAAUUCAAGAAGAUAUUGGGAAAAAGAUAGGUUUGGUUGGUGAUUCAUGGAAGAGUAAAAGUGUAGAGGAGAAAGCUGUCGACAUCUUCCGGAGUUUAAGAGAGAAGAGAUUUGUAUUGUUGUUAGAUGAUAUAUGGGAGCGGGUUGAUUUAACAAAGGUGGGCAUUCCACUUCCCGGACCAAAAAAUACUACCUCAAAAGUCGUAUUCACAACCCGUUUCAUCGAUGUUUGUGGUAGCAUGGAAGUUGACAGGAAGUUUCAAGUAGCAUGCUUAUCAGAAAAGGAUGCUUGGGAACUGUUUCGAGAAAAAGUUGGGGAGGAAACUCUUCAGAGUCAUCAUGAUAUCGAUGAGCUAGCCCAAAUUGUGGUCAAAGAGUGUGGUGGUUUGCCACUCGCACUUAUUACUAUUGGUCGAGCUAUGGCCUACAGAAAGAAAGCGGAGCAGUGGAGACGUGCAAUUGAAGAGUUAAGGAGAUCAGCUUCAGAGUUUGCAGGUUUGGGAAAAGAGGUUUAUCCUCUUUUAAAAUUCAGCUAUGAUAGUUUGCAGAAUGAUACGGUUAGAUCUUGUUUCUUGUACUGUUGUUUAUAUCCUGAAGAUUAUGGCAUUCUUAAAUGGGACUUGAUUGAUUGUUGGUUUGGCGAGGGAUUUUUUGGG